GAUCAAUUAUAAUCGCAGAAAUGACGUCUUUCAAGUUAUUUUUAGAAAAGGUAUAAGCAUCUUCAUCUUUAUACAGGAACUCUACUGCUCUUGUAAAAUUAAUUAUAGACAUGAGCAAAACCCUUGGUAUAAUAUCAGUGUGUUUGAGGUAUUCUUAAUUCAAAACCUUCCAAUAAUUCUCUAUCAUAUUCCUUAUUUUCAUGUAUGCUUCUUCCUUUGUGACACUAUAUUCAUUCAUAUAACAUUCAACUGCAGAAGCUACAUCUCCUCUUUUUUGUUCUUCCUACAUACACAAUAUAAACAAACAAAAUAAAAGAUAAAUUAAUAGGUAGGCAUUUACUAAAAUUGAAGUGUCUAAUGAACAAAAAAUGUCUGUUAAAAUGUCAAAAUGAAAUAAGCGUGAACAAUUUUAACAUACUCAUAGUAUAAAAUAACUAUCAUUAUAAAUAAAUUAAUUCAAUAAUUACAUAUACACCAAUAUGUACCUCAUGUGAUUUAAGAUCAUUGAGUAAUCUUCCAAUGAGAGAGGCAGCAACAAGUAUUGGAGGUUCAGUUGUUAUCCAAUCAAGUGCAUCUUUAGUUGCUUGCUUUCCCAUGCCUAACCAAAACGUAGUUGCUAGCAACAGGUAACCACUUGAUGCAAUUCCAUUCUUCAUAUACUGCUCCAUUGUUGGUACUUUCUUCUCAUGAUACCAUCUUGCCUCUUCAAAGUAAGCCCUCACCACCUUUUUCAUCUAAAAAAAUAAUCAAUAAAUAAUUAUAUUAGUGAAACAUGCUUCAUUCUGUUCUUAGUUGGGGCCAAGAUAUAUCAAAUCUUCAUAGGAUUUGAGGCAUAAUUAUCAUUGGUAUUAUACCUCUAUUAUGAAAUAGUUUACUAGAAAUGACUUGUUUUCAUUUGUCAACUCUUUCUCAAUUUCAUUGUAAACAUCAAGAAGAUUGUAGUAAACAAUCUUCAUAUAUAGUGGUAAUUGUUCUGAAGCAUCAAUAUUCCACCUACAUAUAUAAAUAUGACGAACAUCAAAUCAAUCAAAUGAUAUAUAUGUACUGUAACACAUCAAUAAAAAUAUUGUUGUACGUUAUAUAUAUAUAUAUAUAUAUAUAUAUAUAUAUAUAUUACCUUUCAAUCGCGUCUGUGAGGAAAGUAAUUUCAUCCAAUGUCCCAUAGAUAUCAUAUGUGUCAUCAAUAAUAGUAAGGAAGUAUGCAAUUUUUGUUGAUAAUUUCCUUGCAACGCUGUACUGAGGCUCAAAGUAGACACUUAAACUCCAAAAGUAAGCCUCUGCCAAUUUGUCUCUUACAUAAGGUAAUGAUUUCACUAUUUCCAAUUUUUUCCACUACCUACAACAAAUUGUGUGUUUCUUGUAUUUAGUAUAAAUUGAUACAUUAAAGAAAAGAAUACUUAAAUUUGAAGUUGGAACUUAAUAUAAUUUUUGGAACACAGGUUGUGUUUGAUCAAAAUAAAUUUUACUUGAAAAAAAGGUGAAGCUUAACUUCAAUAAUUUUUUUGAGUAAACCAUUAUUUCACUUGAAAGAGUACUACUUAAAUAAGUUUUACAAACAAAGGUGAAGGUGCACUAGUGAGUUACCUUGUGAUACCACAUAGCUCCUUUUUAUGCAACUUUUGCAGAAUGUUGAAGUCCAAUUUGGCAAAGUUUAGUAACACCUCAUUUUCAUGGUUAAAUGAUAUAUAUUUCCUUGUUUCUACCCUCACCACACCAUCUUUAAUUGAAAAUUUCAGUGCAUUAUUGACUUGUUGUGCAAGCUGAGAGUUGCUCAAUUUAGGCAAAAUCAGUUUUAAUUGGGUGAUCGUGAAAUUCAGUGCUUCAUCCAUAAUUUCUUCGCCAUGUACUCUAAAUUGUGCUGCCUCAUAUAAACUCAAUAUUCCAUGUACAUCGUUAACCAAUUCAUUCUUGAAAUUUCCUUUGUCGUUAAUGAACUUCCUAAAAGCACCUGCUUCAAAUUUUGAGCGAAUUAGACAGAUCAUAUUUUCAUGAACUAAUUUUAUCAUCCUUUAAAUUGAAUGAUACUUACCACAUGAUGCAUAAUAACCUUGUUGCCUAAGUAAUCGAAAACAUAGAGCAAUAGCAUAAAGGUCGUUGCCAUCAACUUCACCAAUCCAUUCUUCAUAAUGAGUGUACAUAUAACUCAAUGAUUCCUCAAUCUCACGUUCAAAAUGAUAAGCUACUCCAAGACGUUGGAUUAUGUUGAGGAGAUCAUUCUUUUGCAAAGAUUUUGAAGGAGUCAUCACUAGCAUCUUUCUCACUUCUUCUUUUAGGUCUUCGUGUUGCGUUUCCUCCCCCUCAUUAGCUCCCUAUUUGGGAAUAUAUAUAUGUUACUCAAAUGAAUUUGUUUUGUAUAUUGAUGGUAUAAAAAGUGUUUAUUUACCGGAAUAUCAGCAUAUGUUAGAAAAUAGUCUCCCCAAAUGGUAGGAUGAUGAUUGCCAGUUCGACGUGUGAUUAUAAACUCAUCUGCCGCAAUGAUUUGUGUGCGCAACUCCAUCUUCUGUUUGGUAAAGGAAAUGAGCAAGGAUUUGAACAAACAUGAGAAGGGUCAACUAGCGGCGGAGCUACAUAGAGGGUGGUCAAUUAAACACGAGAUUAUAUUUUGACUAGAUAAAAUUAUUACUAUUAUUUAUGAAAAUGGGUUAAGUUGUUGAACUAUUGUGGAUUGAAUAGAGAAAAUUAUACUGCAUUAUAAGUUAUAAAAGUACUUUAUAUAUAUAGACAUAAAUCUUGGACAUCCUCGACGGAAUUUUUAACUUUUUCACUUGGGUCAGCACGAUGCAACCCUUAAAAUGUUCCAUUAACUCUUUUUUAGAUGAUCUAUAUAAAUCACCUAGCUAGGGCCAGUUGCGUAUAAUUCAAAGAUAUGUUCGUCCUCUCGAUCUAUCCAUCUCCUAUUUAAAUAAUACCAAAAUUUUAUCUGUGACAUGAUUUGAAUUUGUGUAAAAUCAAACUACUUCUUUACAAAAUCAAAUUGUUAGAUCAUAGAUGAAAUGAUCUCGAUUAGAAAGAAAAAAAUUAAAAAUAAUACCUUAAGUUGAUCUUUCAAAGGUUUCUUUAACUCACACCAAUGCACUAAAGCAUGAUGAUGUCUCGAUUCCUAUUUAUAAUGCCUUAAACAUGUGGAAGCGUCUGACAAAAUUAGGUCAAGAAAUCAUAUUAAUUAGCUUGGCCUAUUAAAUUUUGGAUUGACAUUUAGUUCAAGAUAAAAUAUUUUCAUUCCAAGUUCAGUGAUGUAUGAUUCAGAUUUGGAUAAUGAGGCCCGACAUAUUCAAGUCAUUCAAAAAAAGGAAGUUUUAAGUAUCUUGGCUUUAUCUAUAUCUAUAUCUAUAAUCUAUAAUAUAUAUCUAUAAUAUAUUAAAAUUGUGAAGCCCCUUGGAAAAGUGAAUUGAACUUUUUGCCCUUCAUUAAAAAAUUUUACAAUACACAAAACUGUCAUUUACUAAUUUUUAUAUUUAAUAAUUUAAAAUCACUUAAAAAUUAAAUAUAAUAAAUUAGUAGUUCUUUAUUUAAACUAGGUAACAAAACCUAAUAUUUUGGUAUCCUUUUAAUUUUGGUCACAGUCAAAAAAUACGAACUGAAGAAACCAAAUUAAAGAUAAAAUAAACAAGAAGUCCUAUUUAAGGUAAAAUUUGAUUAUUCAAACAAUUAUUUGAAUAAAUUGUAGAAAUCUUCAUCAAACGCAAAAUAAAUUUAAAGCCUUACUGAGGAUGUCAUAUAUUUAUGGUAGCAAAGCAGUUUUAAACCUAAAAAAAAAAAUUAUAAUCUUGUAAUUUUUUAUAACUAAAAAUAGAUUGACUUUAGUUUUUUCUUUUAUUUUUUAAUGAAAUAAUUUAUAAUCUCAUAAAUAUUAAGUUUUAUUUUAAAUCGCAAAUUGAAAAUAUAUUAUUUAAUUUUUUAGGUCAAUUUAAAAAAUAUAUUUAUAUCUAUAAUCUAUAUAUCGAUAUAAUAAUAAUAAUAAUAAUAACAACAACAACAACAAUAAUAAUAAUAAUAAUAUACUAAAGUGGGACCCCCUUAUAAAAGUGAUUUGAACUUUUUGUCCUUCAAUAAAAAAUAUCACAAUAGACAAAACUAUCAUUUACUAAUUUUUAUAUUUAAUAAUUUAAAAUCACUUAAAAUUAAAUGUAAUAAAUUAGUAGUUCUUUAUUUAAACAAGAUAAGAAAACCUAAUAUUUUGGUAUCCUUUUAAUUUUGGUUAUGAUAAAAAACAUAAUACUAAACAAACAAAUUAAAUAUGUACGAACUAGACAAAUCAAAUUAAAGAUAAAAUAAAUUAGAAAUUCUAUUUAAGGUGGAAUUUGAUUAUUCAAACAAUUAUUUGAAUAAUUGUAGAAAUCUUCAUCCUAAAGACAAAACAAAUUAAAAGUCCUAUUUAAGGUGAUUUAAUUAUUCAAACAAGUAUCAAGAUAGUUGUAGAAAUUUUGAUUAUUUUUUUCUAUAAUUUAACGAUUACGUUCUUGACACUUUGAAGUUGUUUUGAUUUUUUUCAUUAACCUAAUUGUCUGAUUUUUAUAUGUGUUUUAUGGUAUUUUGAGAUUUUAUCCUUCGCUUUUGUUUAAACUGGUUCAUAUAUUAUUAUUGCCAUAAUUUAUGUUUGCUAGGUUGUCACCUGAUUCAACAAAACGCUACGAAACAAAAAAAAAUUCAAGUAAGCUUCGAAGUUUUAUUGUAUUUAGAAAAUAAAAUAAAAUAAAAUAUUUUAAUAUUUUGAUUCGUAAGAUGUACACGUUUACCUUCAGUUUAAAUUCAUUAUAUUUAAGUGUUUCUUUGAUUUUUUUUUUUAAACCUAAUUGUGUGGCUUUUUGUGCAUAUUUUGUGGUAUUUCGAGAUUUUAUACUUAAUAUUUUUAAAUUGAUUUAUAUUGUUUAAUUAUCAUAAUGUAUGUUCAUUAGAUUGUGACCUUUAGAAGAAUGUAGUGAGACCGAAAUUUUCAAGUAAGAUUCAAAAUUUUGUUGUGUUUAGAACAUAUAAUAAAAUUUCAAUUUUUUACUUUUGUUAUUAUAAUUGGUUAGGAGUCGUGAUAAAAGUGUUUUACUUUUUGGUAUUAUAUUAAUAAAUUAUUAAUAUUAAACAUAAAUAAAUAAAGUAUGAAGGUCCUUAGAAAGAACUUUUGUGAAUCCUUAAAAGACUCUACAAUAAAUAAAAUUGGUAUUUUUUAUUUUUCUCAAAUUUUUGUUUAAUUUUUCAAUUUCAAUUUAUGUUAUUAUAAUUAGUUAUGAGCCAUAAUAAAAGUGUUUUCUUUUUUUUCUUUUGAAUUAUAUUAAUAGAGUAUUAAUCUUAAUUAUAAAUUAAUAAAGUUUGAAGGUCCUUAAAAAAAUAGAUAAGCUUGUUAUUUACUAUUUUUAUUUAAUUUUUUAUUUAAUUAUUUUAUAAUAUUUCUCCUAAAAUAUGUAGAAAGAAUUGUGAUAAAAUAACGACUCUUAAAGCAUGAAAGAUUAAGAAUUUGUAAAAUAUAUUAUAUUAAAGGGUAAUUAAUGUUCAGAUGAAGUAGUUGAUGCAAAAAAAUUUUUGGAGACACGUUAGACGUAAAAUAACUAAACUCAUAAAUAGAAAUAUAGAAAGACAAAAUUAGAAGAUAGUUUUUAAGGGAAGACGAUUUCUUUUUCACUUUUAAAGUUGAAACACUGUUGUCUAAGGAAUGACUUUGUAGUACAAUCAAACUUAUGUGCAUUGUACAACAUAAAUAUGAUUCUCUAGAAUUAUUUGUUUAAUUAGAUCUUAGUAUUUUGCUAUUUUGUUAUUUCCUUUUUUUGUGAUUACGUGUCUCAUACUUUUUUCCUUUUUGAGUUAAGGGUCUAUGAAAAACAAUAUCUCUACCUCACAAUAUAUCUAUAUCUAUAUCUAUAUCUAUAAUUUAUAAUAUAUUAAAAGUGUGAAGGCCUUUAUAAAAGUGAAUUGAACUUUUUGCCCUUAAAUUCUUCCCAAAUUUAAUUUUGUUUGUACCUGGUUUCUUCAACCCAAAAAAUACCCUAAAUUUCCCUAUAAUUAAUUUUUUUCAAAUUUAGUUUUUCCCCCAUUUUUUAUAUGUUUUUUCCCCUAACUAAUUGUAAAACAUACAAUUUUUUUCCUACACCCUAAAUUUUCCUAUAAUUAGCUUUUUCCAAAUUUAACUUUUCCCCCAUUUUUAAAUAUUUUUUCCCUAACUAAUUGUAAAACAUACCGGUUUUUUCCUACUAUACUUUAUUAAAACACCCUUUUUUUUAGUUAAUCAUAUUUGGUUCCUACUUGGUUUCUUUCAACCCACAAACACCCUAUAUUUUCCUACAAUUAAAUUCUUUUCAAAUUUAACUUUUUUCUACCAUCUUUUCACUAUUUUUUAAUUUAUUAUUUAAUUAUUUUUAUUAUAUUAACUAGACUUACUAAAAUAUAUGGACUCCUAAAAUAUAUGGUAGGAGAAUUAAUAAUAUUUUUCUUUCUACUAGACUUCCUAAAAAAUAUUUUCCUUUCUACUGUUUAAUUAGAAAAAUACUCCUAAAAUAGGACUCUAUUAAGGAAAUACUUCUAUAAAUAUUGAGAUGUACGUUAAACUAGAGAAUAAGUCAGUUUGCCUAUUGGAAGAAUAUCAUUAAAGCUCAUCUAACUUGAUUCAAUUGCAUGUCUAGAUUGAUGGAUGUUUGAUUUUCUAACUCUCGACUUCUUCACUGUUUUUGUCAACAUAAUAGAAUUCAACAGGUGUGUGUGUAUGUGUGUUUAUAUAUAUAUAUAUAUAUACAUAUAUAUAUAUAUAUGUAUAUAUAUAUAUCUUUUCGUUUGUCAAAAUUUUUGCCCAGACAAGAAUUAGUUGGAUCAAAAUCGAAACUUUGUGAUCACUAUUAGAAUUUUUUUAUAGUUUACAGGUCGUAGAUGAAUGUCAAUUGCAUCUUAAGAAUUUCUUGUGUAAAGUUUAGGUUUAAUUGUAUUGUUUGGAUAUUUUUAUUAUCUUAUUAUUUUAUUUUAAUUUACAGAUGCUAGAUGAAUGUGUGUCUGCUUUGAAAUUUUUUUUAGGUAAAGGUUAAGUUUAAUUGUAUUAUUGUAAUAUCUCUAUUAGUUUAUUAUUUUGUGGUAGUUUACAAUUCGUUGAUGAAUCUCGAUCGGGUUUGAGAAAUUUUUAUGUGUAAAAUUUAAGUUUAAUUGUAUUAUUUUGAUAUCACUUUUAUCAUAUUAUUUUGUUGCAAUUUACAGGUGAUAGAUAGAUGUUAGUCAACUUUGAGAAUUUUUUUUUUAAUGUAAAGGUUAGGUUUAAUUGUAUGAUUUUGAUAUCUCUAUUAUCGUAUUAUUUUGUUAUUGUUUACAGUGGUAGAUGAGUGUCAGACAACUUUGAGAAACUUUAUGCGUGUAAAAAUUUAAUUUAUUUGUAUUAUUUUGAUGUCUUAAGAUGGUAGAUGAAUGUUGAUCGAAUUUUAAAAAUAUUUUUGAUAAAAAUUAGGUUUAAUAAAUAAAUUCUUCAUCCUUACAUGCUCAAAAGAUAUUAAAUUUAAUUACUAUAGUCAUCUUUAUUAUUUAAACUAAUAUCAUAUUUAAUGUAAUAUUUGAACUCAUUAAAGUGAGGUACACGCGCAAGGCGCGUACACCUAAACUAGUUAUCUAUAAAAAUGAGAAGACUGAUGAGGAUGCCACUCAUUGUAUAGUACAAGGUGAAUGAAAUAAAUAAUUGCAUUUGGAGUCUUGUGUCAUAAGAAGAUGGCACCAUAAUUUAAAGAGAUGUUAUACAGAAUCAUAAUUAGACAUACUAUAUAUAUUGUAUGGAGCGAAAUAUUGGUCAAUCAAAACCUCUCAAGUUCAGAAGUUAAAAGUUGUAAAAUUGAGAAUAUUGCGAUAGAUAUGUAGGUGUACUAGAAUAGAUAGGAUAAGAAAUGAGGAUAUGAGACAAGGUGAGAGUACCUUUGGUGGAUGGCAAGAUGCAAACAUCAAGGCUGGGAUAAUUUGAGUAUGUGAAUAGGAGAUGUAAGUAUGCCUCAGUGCCGAGUCAUGAGGAUUGGCUAUGUAUAAUUUCAGGAGAGGUAGAAGUAGACCGAAGAAGCAUUGAGGAUAUAUGAUUGGAUCAGACAUGGAUCAAUUUCAACUUAUUGAGGAUAUGAUCUUAGAUAAGAGAUCGUGAAAGACAAGGAUUAGGAUUAGAUGCUUGGUAGCAGUGAAUUGUCUUGUUAUCCACAUACUAAUAGUUGUAAUAUUGCUCAUAUGUAGUUUCUUGUGCUUCAGUCUCUGUAACGAUAUGUUUUUUUUUUGUAUUUUAAAUAUUAUAUUAUUUUAUUGUAGUUACUGUUGUGUUAUUAUCUGUUAUUCUUAUUACUAUCUAUUAUUUUUUAUACUUCUUUUUCUGGAUUACUUUUUCUUCAAUCAAAAAUUUAUUGAAAAUAAUUUUUCUACCUCUAAAAUAAGGGAUAAAUUUUCAUACACUUUACUCUCUUCAGAAACCAUUUUAUGGGCUAUACUUGAUGUGUUGUUUAUCUAUAUUUAGUCUCAAUUGACACAAAGAAAAUUUUUGCCAAAAGAUAAUUACUACAUAUUUAGCCAAAUUUUAAAUCUAAACCUAACCAGAUUUCCUUUCUGGUGUAAAAUAAUCAUUUCAUGAAUAAAAGGAUGAAACAGAUGUCAUUAAUGGAACCCUUUUACCGGCAUGGGUCAAUAUGGCCUAAUUGACAACUGUUCCGCUCCUUUUCUGUUACCAAACUCUUUUUUUUUGUCUUAAUAUUGGAAAAAUGUUUUUUUAUUCUUUUUGCAAUUCAGGUUUAAAUAAUACACAAUAUUUUAACAUGUUAUUAAUUUAUAAUGUGAUAUUUUAUGCAUUUCUAUGUCAAACUCUAUAUGAUUUAGAGGAUUGUGGAUGCAUGAUAAUUAGGUACAGCCGUAUUGGAUAAAAUCCAGAAGUUAAAUUUACUCUGAUCUAAUCUCUUUUUGUCCCUAUCGCGUACGAACCGUAUUGGAUAAAAUCAGAAGUUAAAUUUACUCUGAUCUAAUCUCUUUUUGUCCCUAUCGGGUAUGAAUUGAAAAUAUUGCGAUAGAUAUGUAAGUGUACUAGAAUAGAUACGAUAAGAAAUGAGGAUAUGAGACAAGGUGAGAGUACCUUUGAUGGAUGGUAAGAUGCAAAAAUUAAGGCUGGAAUAAUUUGAGCAUGUGAAUCGGAUAUGUAAGAAUGCCUCAGUGUCGAGUCAUGAGGAUUGGCUAUGUAUAAUUUCAGGAGAGGUAGAGAUAGACCGAAGAAGCAUUGAGGAUAUAUGAUUAGAUCAGACAUGGAUCAAUUUCAACUUAUUGAGGAUAUGAUCUUAGAUAAGAGAUCGUGGAAGACAAGGAUUAGGAUUAGAUGCUUGGUAGCGGUGCAUUGUCUUGUUAUCCACAUACUAGUAGUUGUAAUAUUGCUCAUAUGUAGUUUCUUGUGCUUUAGUUUCUGUAACGAUAUGUUUUUUUUUUGUACUUUAAAUAUUAUAUUAUUUUAUUAUAGUCACUGUUGUGUUAUUAUAUGUUAUUCUUAUUACUAUCUGUUAUUUUUAUACUUCUUUUUCUAGAUUAUUUUUCUUCAAUAGAGAAUUUAUUGAAAAUAAUUUUUCUACCUCUAAAAUAAGGGAUAAAUUUUCAUACACUUAACUCUCUUCAAAAACCAUUUUAUGAGCUAUACUGGAUGUGUUGUUCAUCUAUAUUUAGUCUCAAUUGACACAUGAAAAUUUUUGCCAAAAGAUAAUUAAUACAUAUUUAGCCAAAUUUUAAAUCUAAACCUAACCAGAUUUCCUUUUUGGUGUAAAUAAUCAUUGGCCAAAGAUAUCGAUAGACACUCAAAUUUGUUGUCAAAAUUUACUUAGACACUUAAACUAAGGCCUGUUCUUAUCAGACCCCUAAACCCCCCACAUUUUGUUUCAAUUGGGCCUUUUUUUCCCUAUCAGCAAAAAUCUCAAAGUGUGUGUUGCACACACACGAUGACGUGGCAAAAUGAGCUAAUUGGAAGCUGACACAUGGCAUUGUGGGUCCAAUAAUUAUUAAAAAUUAAUUAUAAUUUUUUUUAAAAAGUAUAUAAAAAUUGCAUUGAGGAAAUUAUUUAAAAAUAAUUCUAAAAUUAUUUAAAAAAUAAAAAUAAAAAACUGAUUAUUUAAAAAAAAUUAUAAAUUUUUUUUAAAAAUGAAAUAAAUUAUUUUUUUAAAAAAUUAAUUAUUAAAAAAAAUUAUAAAAUUUUUUUAAAAAUGUAAAUGAAAAAUAACAUUGAGGAUAUAAAUUAUGAAAAAUAAUUAUAAAAUUAUUUAAAAAUAAAAAUAAAUAACUGAUUAUUUAAAACAACUAUAAACCUUUUGAAAAAAUUAAAUAAAUUAAUAAAAAAGUAUUUAAAAAAUAAAAAAUUAAUUAUUAAAAAAAAUUAUAAAAAUUUUUGAAAAAUAAAAUUAAGAAAUGGCAUUGAGGAUCCAAAUUAUGAAAAAAUAAUUAUAAAAUUAUUUAAAAAAUAAAAAUAAAACAUGAUUAUUUAAAAGAAAUUUUAAAAUUUUUAAAAAUAAAAAUAAAAAAUUUCAUUGAGGAUCCAAAUUAUUAAAAAAUAAUUAUAAAAUUAUACCCUUCAGUGUUAAUCGUCUUCCCCUGCCCCCGAUGUUUCUCUUCUUUUCCAUGAAAUAAUUUUAUAAUUUCUCAAAUUUUACACUAACACACAACACAACAAAAACAUAUUCACAUCACAAGAAAAAACCUUAAUUUUCUUCUUAACUUGAUAAUUAGUUUCCAUCAUAUUCAUAUCAACAAAAUAGCAGUAAUGGGGCGGGCUGGGGUACUAUGAAACGAUGAAGACGCGUAGUGGGGUGGGGAUACGAAACGAUGAAUAAUAUGUUGAAAAUUCAACAAUUUAAAUGUAGCAAACUUUUAUUUUUUUCGGCAAACUUUCAUUUUUUUCCUGCACUCUAAUGGAGGAAAAGAAUAAGAAUAACAACAAAAUUUUUUUAUAUCAAAUUCAAAAGUAAGAAUAAGAAAGGACAAAAAGUAGAAAAAAUGGUAUGAGAGUUAAGUUUAGCAAAAAAAAAAAAAAAUAAAGAAUCAAGAAGAGAGCGGAGAAGAAGAUGAAAUGGAGAGAAAAAAUAUGAGGCAAGGGGUGUCGGAUGGGGUGGGAGGUUUUGUGGCGAGGCUUUUUUUUUUUUUUUUAAAUUUUGUUUUAUUAAAAAAAUAUUGGGGAUCUUCUAAUGCUUAUUGUUUUAUUAAAAAGUUUUUUGGGGCCUUUAGUGUUUAAAAAAAAAUUGUUAUUAAAAAAAUUUUGGGGCCCUCAAUGUCACUUGACAUCUUUUUAUUCGUAAAUUAGUAAAAAAAUGCUCCUCACAUGUUUUUCAUGAUGGCACUGUACGUACAGUGUCACAUAGGUAAGAAGGAUUCAAUUGGAAUAAAAUAUGAGGAGUUUAGAGGUCUGAUAUGAACAGACCUUAGUUUAAAUGUCUAAGUGAAUUUUGACAACAAGUUUGAGUCACUAUGCCUUUGGCUAUAAGCAUUUCACGAACAAAAGGAUGAAACAGAUGUCAUUAAUUGAACCCUUUUAGGGGCAUGCGUCAAUUCGGCCUAAUUGGCAACUGUUCCGUUCCUUUUCUAUUACCAAACUCUUUUUUUUUUUUUUGUCUUAAUAUUGGUAAAAUGUUUUUUUAUUCUUUUGGCAAUUCAAGUUUAAAUAAUACACAAUAUUUUAACAUGCUAUUAAUUUAUAAGGUGAUAUUUUAUUCAUUUCUAUGUCAAACUCUAUAUGAUUUAGAGUAUUGUGGAUGCAUGAUAAUUAGGUACAGCCGUAUUGGAUAAAAACCAGAAAUUAAAUUUACUCUAAUCUAAUCUCUUUUUGUCCCUAUCGGAUAUAUUGUUGUGUAGGAGCAUUGAUUAUUCAUAUGCUUACUCUAUUAAUGAUAAUUUCCCAGAAAGUUAUAUAUUUGUAAAAUUUUAUAACUAUUUAAAUUGUUUGACUAUUGUCAUUGUAUUAGUAAAAUCACUCAAUCAAUUCAAAUAAUAUUUUCGAUAAAUAUUGCUGACGUGGAAAUUUUUAGAGCCAAACUUUUAAAAGUUAACCAUUAAAUUAACACGUUCCACUCAUCAAUUUAUUUCAAGUUUGAAGUGUCAACUAAUUAGGUCGUGCACUUUAUCUACGUUUAAAGGCAUUACAUUAAUAUCUUUAUAUAGAUCUACUUACAUUCAGUUUCAGAUAAUAAAAGUUCAUUUAAUUAUUUUUGGGGUCAAACUCAUUUUUCCUCCCCAAUUUGGCCUUAAAAAUCAAACCCCUACUUUUUAAAAUUUCUAUUUUACCCUUUAUCAUCAUUUUUUAAUUCUUUUUUUUUAACUUCUUUAAAAUCAUCAUAUUUUCAUUUUUAAAAAAAAAUCAUAUAACAAAAUUUUCAUAAAAACAUAAGCAUUAUUCAUAUAACAAAAUUUUUAUAAAAACAUAAACAUUAUCUUCUAGGAAAAAAAAAUAAGAAAUACUAAUUAAGUAUAUAAGCUAAUGAUGAUCUUUAUGAAGUAAAUUAGCAUAAUAAGAAAAUUAAUUUUAUUAAUAAUAAUCAAAACUAUAAUAUUUAUUUUACAAGUGAAAAUAAUAAGUAAUACUAAUUUUAUAAAUAUAUUUCAAUGCAGAAAAUACAAACAAUAAAUGAAAGAGAUAAACCUCUAGUACCACCUCGAACUAUGGUCAAAGUUGUUACGGCACACUCCAACUUCACGGGGUCCUAUUACCCCUUAAACUAAAUUUUAGCGUAUUACAUAAAAUGGAGCCCACAUCAAAGAUGUCACGUCAUCUAAAAUAAUUGACAAAAGGUAUCACGUUAGCUAAAAAGAUUGACAAAAAUANNNNNNNNNNNNNNNNNNNNNNNNNNNNNNNNNNNNNNNNNNNNNNNNNNNNNNNNNNNNNNNNNNNNNNNNNNNNNNNNNNNNNNCUUAUUUACUGAUAUAGACAAUAGAUAAUAUCGUUUCUUAUAACUUGAUCCUCAUACUAAAAAUAAAUAUUUUAAUUUAUCUGCUCAAUUUGUGAAACUAAGAGAAUUGUAUUACAUUUUUUUCCUACUAUUUACUGUUAAAUAACUAUAUAAAGUAACAGUAUAGACAAAUUUAAAGUUUCAAAUUAUCAUUAAUAAAAUUAAUUUAGCAAAAUAUACCUCUAAGUAAAAUUUUCUUAAGGAUUGUGUUAUAUCAAUAAAAAGUUAAGUAAUACGAGACAAAUUUAGUAAGAGAGUGAUAAAAAACAAAAAUAUACGCACAUGCAUGUACAUACAUAUGUAUAUAUACACACUUAGGGGUGGGUGGUUUGGAAACAUGUUAUUUUGGGAUUAGUUAUUACAAAAUAAGUUGUACUAACAUGUAUGUGUGAUAACUUAUCUCAUCACUAUGAUAUAAAUGGUGCGACAAAUAAUUUUGAGACUACAUAAUACAUCUAAUUAAACACAGGAUAAGUAAUCAUGAACUUUAUCUCUGAAUUACUAUAAUUAUACCUCACAUGAAACGACUCUUUAAUACAUAUAAUACUAAAAUAACGAUCUUAAAAAAUAACAUUGAAUUUUGUGAUAAAUUUUUAAAAAGUAUUAAUUUGCUUAUAAAAUUAAUAAACUUAAAUAAAAUGCUACAAAUAUCCAUGUUAAAAAAAUAUUCAUUACAUAUAAUAUAAAAAGAUAUUACAUAAAUAUAAAAUUAAAAUUAUAAGGACAAAAUGGACAUUGCAUGGGAUAAAGGGGGAAGUAUGAUUAUUGUUCAAUGUUGAGGGAGAGUUUGAUUUUUUAAUCAAAGUUGGGGGUAGAAAUGAUUUUCACCAGUCAGUGGCCUAGCUAUGUGUAGCGAAGGAUGGUCAGUCGAAUAUCCUUAAUCAAAAAAUUAUAUUAUGUAUAAAUAAAAAAUUAUACAAAGUAUAGAAGUCAUAUUUUUCAUAUGUAUAUAUUAAACUUUAAACACCCUUAACAAAAUUAGUUGAAAAAUAUGUUUCAUGAACACAAAUUAUACAAAGAAGAACAUAAGAUGAAGGGUUAAUUCGAAAAUAGGAUUUAAAGCUUGAAACACGUGCGAAAUGCUUUUUAAAAAAUAAUAUUUGUUUCCUCUCUCCUCUGCGAAAUUGCUAUGAGAUUAUAUGCAAAUAGUUUUAGUAGAUCUGACAAGCCUAUGAAAUUCUACACUUACUAAACUUGAUUUUUGGGAGAAGAAAAAUUUUUAUUGGAAAAAAUUGUAAACAUCAUUUCUCUGUAAAAGCUUUUCUAAAACAUACGUUAGAAAAUAAGUAGUUGGGGUUUAAAUAAAAUUGUUGGAAAUCAAAUAAUGAAAGGACACAACCUUUCGCUAAAUGACACCUCUUAUAAAAAUACUUAUAAUUAAUAAUUUAAUUUAAACAAAAUCUAAUAAAAUUUCUGACUUCACUACUGAUCGGAGUUUAUAUAAAUAUUAAGGAGAACUUUUCCUUUUAUUUUGUUUGUGUACUGUGUCAAAUUGUUCAGCAUUGGGUUAUAAAGUUUGAAAUCCACCUUAGAGUUGAAUUUUAAAUUGGAAAAAGUAUUUCAAAUGUAACACUCAGGACUUUCUUUACUCUUAAAAAGUGUAUGAAAUGACCCGGUAAGACCCCAAUAUUGAAGAUAAAUCACUUAAGAUGGGUUUAAAUGUGUUGGGGACAUUUUUAGCUUAGAAAAGACCUGUGUGUCAUGAAAUGGGCACCUCGCAGAAGCACUGCGCCACAAAGGCCACCGCAAUAAGCUACUAACUCGGGUUCGCGGUAGGGCUCGGCCCACGAACCUUCAUGUUCGCAAUGGGGUUGCCCCACGAACCUUAAGAUUCACGAUGGGGUCGCCCUAGGAACCUUCAGGUUCGCAAUGGGGGUCACACCACGAACCCCUUCCGUUCUUCAUCGAUAGUUCUCCCUUUUUAUUAUAUUGUACAUCCUUAAGUCGUUCUCAAUCCCUUAUGUACAUUUAUAGGGUCCUAAAAAUGAUUAUACAUCACAAGAAACCCCCAAAUCAUCAUUCAACUAGCAAGAGAGGAGAAAACUACCUAGGGUUUAAAAUUUAUAAGUCCAAGGGUAAAUUGAUAAGUCCAAGGGUAAAUUGAUACUACGUUAUCUCCAUUUCAAGGUAUGUAGAAUUAUUCUAACACUCAUGGGCUGAAUUAUGAUUUUUUUAUGAAUUUUAAAGUGCAUUUAUGUAUAUAAAUAUGUUAUGAAUUUUGAGGAUUGAUUUAAGAGCAUGGUUUAUAAAAUUUACUCUUUUAUGAUGAAAUCUAUUGGUUUUCAUAUGUUAUGGACUGUUCACUCAAAUUGAUUGAUAAGUAUGAAUUACAAAACCCUUUUUCUGAUGACAUUAUGUAUUAACUAUGGGUUCUCUAUAAACUUUAGAUUUCUAAUCAGGUGCAUGUAUUAUGGAUUUCAGGAUGGUAAUGAGAGCAUGAAUUAUAACUCUCCUUUUUUGAAUUAUGAGAUUUAUUUACUGACUAACAUUGAGGGUUGUUUAAUGAAUGAUGAUAAGAUUAGUUUUAAAUGUUCCCCGAUCAAUUAUGCAUUAUUAUUUCAUGUAUUUUGAAAGGGGUGUUUCUUGUUUCUAAAUGUUCUUUUAUUCGAAUGAAGAAAUGUACGUGAUUUAUAAAAGAGAUGACCACCCCAUGUCAAAUUCUUGAAAGGAUAAUGUGUUUGAAUAAGUUUUCAUGUGCUUUUGCAAUAAGAACUCUCAUGUGGUGUUUAAAUCUUUUGGUGGUCAUUUACAUGCUUUUAAAUAAAGGGCUAUGAAAAUGAUAAGAUAUGAUAUGACUUGCAAGUCUAGGUAUGGUGAUACCUAAUAAGGAAUGCCCUUAACAUGAAAAGAACAAAUGUUUAUAAGCAUGAAGCAUGAUUUUAAAAGGCUAAAAGUUGAGUUUAAAGGGAGCUAGAUGGCUACCCGAAGUAAGAAUGAGUGGAAGGGCUCAUUGCUAGAAACCGUAUUUUAUCGACGCGGGUAUUAUGAUAUGUUAUCCUGAAAGGGGGAUAACUUAGGUGUCCUGAAAGUGGAUGUCUACGGUAUGCUUGAAAGGGGGUAUACCACUAUGUAGAACUCCAAUCCUUGUGGCGAACUUGAAUUUGGGGCUUAGCCAAUGAGCUAAUGGUGAACCUAUAUAGCCUGUGGUGUGAUAGACUUGUAGGGUGUGUCAUCUGGCUCAAAAUUAAAGUGAAGAGUUAUGUCAAUGCGUUACAAGAAUGAUUUUAAGCUCGAAUAAUGCCAUAUAUUUUUAUCUCUAUUAUGUUGAAUUAUUUUCAUAAUGUUUAUGAUUAUUUUAAUGAACUAUAUAUGUGGUUUUUAAAUUGUUCUACAUACUAAUACAUUUCAAGUAUUUACUAUCCUCGGGUGGCUGCAUUGUCUCAUAAUGUAGGUUACGAGGAAUAGUCACGUGGUCCAGUGCAAAAAUAAAUUUUAUUUAGAAUUCAGAGUUGGUGAGCCUCCAUUAUUUCGAAGGACAUUUCUUCAUAUGUUAGUUUCUUUCAUGGUUUGGUCGGGGGCCUUGUCCCGGAUAGACAGAAUAGUGUUCAGUAAAGUCUUCGUAGGUUGGAUGAGGUUUUGUGUUUCAAUAUGACUUGAUGUAUUAAACUUGAUUAUGAGACUCUUCCUAUAGUUUGGCAAUCUUCUGAUUUAUAUGUAUGAAUUAUGCUUAUGGUAGUAUACUAAAGGGUCUCUUGGACCUUCGUGAUUCGGGAUGACCGUCUCAGUCAGGACCUCAGCUUGGGUUGUGAAAAGCUUGGUAUCAAAGCUAGGUUCAGGGUCCCAGGGUGUCUACAAAGCUGCAUCGAGUAGAGUCCUUUUAAUGGGUAUGUAGCGUUCCACACUUAUAAGAAGGAAGCUAUGAGACAUUUAGAAAUGUUUUUUUUUUUCUUCAUGUUCUAUUUUGUGCCAUAGGGUCUUAAUGUUUCCCAACUCAUGACUUUCCAUAUUUCACGUCAUGCCUUCCCAUAGAUCCAAUGGUCAUAACACCUCAGUUGGGGCCUCCGUUCCUAUUGGAACAAAUGCUGAAGAGGUACGCCCUACUCAUGGGACGUAGACAUAUUACAGAACCCAUACUCCAGAAUUCACCAAUCCUCCAGGGGUUCCACCAGUCCCAACUAGCCCUCUUCGAGAUUCUCAAUCCAUAGAGAGAGGUCUUGAAUACUGAGUUUCGUUAGUCUGUCCACAUGCUUACUCAGUUGGCGGAAUCACAGUCUUGUCAGAUUGAAAAUGUGAGUUAUAUCACUGGUUCUUCUGAAACCACUCAGGUUGGUCAAUUCAUGAUACUAAAUCCGCCCAUAUUUACGGGUACCAAGGUUGAGGAGAAUCCUCAAGUGUUUAUUAAUGAAAUGGAGAAAAUAUUUAGGGUCAUGCAUGCUAGUGAUACAGAGGGAGUGGAGUUUUCUACCUAUUAGUUGAAAGAGGUGGCUUACCAGUGGUAUGAUGAGUGAGAAGAGUUGAGAGGUAAGGAUGCUGAACCUGCAGUAUGGAAAGAGUUUUCAGAGGCUUUUCUGGAUCAUUUCAUUCCUCAGGAAUUAAGGGAAGCUAAGACUGAGAAAUUUGUUAAUAAUAAUAUGACAUUUGUCAUUUUUUUUAUUUAAAUUAAUUAUUUGAAAUCGGGAAAGAUGAGUGUCAAGGAAUAUGUAUUGAAAUUCACCUAGCUGUCCUAUUAAGCCCCAGUGUUGGUGUCACGAUCCGAACCCAGUCUUGGCCGUGACGGGUAUCUCAAGUCCAUCGAGGAUAGGAGGCCACUCCUGUUUCCUAGCCAAAUAGAACACGGCACACCUAGCCGCAGAUGAAUUCCAAACAUAUAACAAGAUAGAAUAAUCAAUAAUAAGAAUGUACGAAGAAUUCACAAUACCAAAUUCCAAUCCACAGUACUCCACAAAGCCUCUAUUCAAAUUCAAUAUUCAUCUAAGUUGAGACAUACCCUUGAUGAUAGCCACAAAAAGGGAAAACAACUUAACAGUCUAUGACAUAACUAGACCAAGAAGUAAAGGGCCUUUCGAAAGAAGAAGGCUCACUACUUCAAGCUGACUAUCAAACAACUCUGAGAUCACCUAUCACUGUGCAGGAAAAGUAGAAGGGUCUUCAAACCCUAUAUCAUGUGGGGAUACAACAUCCUGGGAUAGUUAGUGGGGUGAGCACUAGCAUAUAACUCAAGGAAGGGAUAAAAUAAAGCCAAGUUAAAAUUCGAUUCAAAACCAUACAUACAUCAUCAUAUACAUACAUAAAUAACAUGUCGGGAUAGAAAACGAGGUUUAGCAUGAUAGUAAAAUAUUAUCUUGGACUAUGUAGCUCAACCAUCAUUAACUAACACCAUGGGCUAUAUAGAUUUAGUUCUCCCUGCUGAAAGAGGCCUAGUACGUGUUAGACACAUGAAUGGAAUGUUUCAAGGAAGACCAGGAAUUGUCCCGACCCCACAUUAAUCCUGGAUACAAAAUAUAUCAAUAGUGUGAACCAUGCACACGGUUAUCAAGACCAACCCUUACAUUGGCAAACAUAAUUUUCUAGUAUCAGUCCUCUGGGACUCAUACCUUAAUGACUUAGCUACAUAAUCCCCAUUAAUCCUAACUAAAACAAGUUUCACAUAAACCAUUCAUUAACCAAGGGAUUAUACAUUAAGGCACACCACAAGUAUCAUCAUACCAUUUCGCUUCCAAGCUCAUAAUUAUAACAUUAUAAUUCCAUUAACUUAGGGGAAUCCCUCUACUUCUUUGUUCAUUAAAUCAAGUUGGAGAAAUGCCUCAACCUCGUUUAGUUUAUCAAAUCAACUCGGGGGAAUGCCUUAACUCCCUUUGUUCAUUAUAACAAGUUUAAGAGUGAAAACAUGGCCAACAAGGCCUUUAAGAAUCGUUUCUUUGUUUAACCAUUUAUGUAAUGCAAUAUUAUAGGUGAGUAAGGCAAACCAAGUGACAAUUCCAUAAUUCAAAUCUAUUUACACAAAGGUUAAGGGAACACAAUUAUUCAAAAUCAAUUCCAAGUUCAAAAUAUCAAAUUGGGGGAAUGCCUCGACCCCGACUCUAAUUCCCAUACCCAUAACCCAUGCACCCCAUUGGUUUAAGAAACAUUCAAUUCAAAGUAUGAACAACUCAUAAAAAUCAUGGGAAAAUAAUUCAAGGAUCAACUAUUCCAAAACCCUUAACCCGUAUUAAAAUCUACAUUCAAAUCCAUACAAAUAAACCAUUUAAAACACAUGUUUUUCAUAAAAUAAGAUUUGGGAAAAGGUAACAUGCCUGAAAGUAUCACAAUUAUGGAGAGAAAUCACCCUUGGGAGCUCUAAUUGACCAAUCUUGAGAAACCCUAGCUUGUUCUUGCUUUGGGGAAUUGAGAAAGUUUAAGAGUGUAUUUGAUGUGAUAAAGAAUGAGAAAUAACCCCUUCUUGGUGUUUUAUGGACGUGGGGUAUAAGUAGGGGAAAAAGAGAAAUGAUAAGAAUUCCCUUAAAAAGACUGAAAAUUGGUUGCCCAGUCGCUACGGGUGAUAUGAUGACUCAUAACAAUUAGCUACGGGUCGUUCUGUAGACUUGUAGUUUGGACAGUAUCAUGGGGCAUGCACAUAGGUCUGACUACAAGUCAUAACCUACCACUCAUACUCAAACCUUACGACUCAUAUGGUCUAGUUGUUGUCAAAGCAGAAAUAUUUGGGCACCAUACUGGUUAGGCUACGAAAAGCACUAUACGACUCGUAAUAAGUCUUAACGACUCAUUGAGUGACAAUCGUCAUCACAAUAGGAACUCGACCAAACACACUGGGUAGUUUAUGAAUAGGGUCCUACGUCUUGUACUAAUACUCUAGGACUUGUAUGAUAAAGUCGUAGUCAUGGCAGUAACCUAAAAGGUCAAGAAAUUUUUAGGGACCAAAAAUCUGGGGUGUUACAUUCUCUCCCCCCUCCCCCCAAGAUCAUUCAUCUCCGAAUGAUGAAUCAAGGCACCUACUAGCAUGAUUAAACAAAAAAACACAAGCAUAAUUUCCUUUAAUAAAGUUAGAAAACAAAGAUCAGCAAGGAAAAAAAACAUACCUUAAACACGAUUAUCUGAAGCGGAGAACAAGAAUGGAUACUUGGACUUUAUGUCCUCUUCGUCUUCCCAAGUAACUUCUUCAACCAUUUGGUUCCUCCAUAGAACCUUUACUGAAGCCACAUCCUUAGUCCUUAAAUAACGGACUUGCCUAUCUAAAAUAUCAAUCGGGAAUUCCUUAUAAGACAAGGAAUCCAAAAUAUCAACACUCUCCAAAGGAACAACUAAAGAAAGAUCACCCACACACUUCUUCAGUAUCGAAACAUGAAAUACCAGAUGAAUUGAAACUAAAAUCGGAGGAAACUCUAACUCGUAAGUAACAUUGACCACUCUUCUCAAAAUCAAGUAAGGGCCAACAUAACGAGAAAUGAGUUUCCCCUUAUUUCCCAAUCACAUGACUCUCUUCAUAAGAGAUACCUUUAAGAAUACCCAAUCACAAACAUCGAACUCCAACUCCCUUUGUCCCACAUUUGCAUAGGAAUUUUGGUGACUUUGGGCAGUUUUAAGGCUAUUUCGAAUCAUCUUCACCUUCUCCAUGGCUUAGUAAACCAUAUUUGAGCCAAACAACCUAGUCUUACCAACUUUGAACUACCCAAUAGGAUAACGACACCUCCUACCAUACAAGGCCUCACAUAGAGCCAUUUGAAUACUUGAGUGAUAGUUGUUAUUAUACGUAAACUCUAUAAGAGAAAAAUGGUCAACCUCCCUACCACCAAAUCAAGCACACAAGACCUUAGCAUAUCUUUUUUCUUUUGCCCAUCUAUCUAAGGGUGGAAAACUGUGCUUAGAUUCACCUUAGUCCCCAAAACCCUUUGAAAACAAUGCUAAAAGUGAAAAUAGAACUGUGUACCUUGAUCAGAUAUAAUAGUAACAGGCACACCAUGUAACUUGAUGAUUUCCAGAAUGAAAAUCUUAGCAUAAUCCUCUGUAGAAUAAUUCAUCUUCACUGGCAAAAAAUGAGCAGACUUGGUCAUCCUAUCCAUGAUGACCCAUAUCGAAUCAAAAUGAUGGCGAGACUGCGGAAGACCAGUAACAAAGUCCAUAUUAACCACUUUCCAUUUUCAUACGGGAAACUCAAUCUCUUGAGAUAAACCACCAGGCCUCAAAUGCUCUACCUUUACUUACUGACAAAACAUACACUUAGCCAUAAAAUUGGCCACAUCCCACUUUAUAUUAUUCCACAAAUAAACAUCCUUCAAAUCAUAAUACAUCUUCGUCGAACCAGGAUGGAUAGUGUACCUAGACUCAUGAGCCUCAACCAAGAUCCUCUCUCAUAGCCCAUCAAUAUCGGGGACAUAUAGUCUACCUUGGUACUGCAAGAUACCAUCACCACCAAUCUAAAAUCUAUGACUUUAUAUUGACCCACAUCAUUAUUAAUCUGUAUCAAAAUAAGAUCCAAAACCUGCUUCUCCUUCACCUCAGCACUAAGAGAGAGAUUUGAAGAAAACACUAGCCUCUUCUUAAUCCAAAAGCUUGAGAGAGAUUUAAGAGUGUUUAAAGUAUUUUUGAUUAAGAAUAAUAGGUUAAUGAAGUCCCAAAAGUGUUUUAAGUUGUAGGGUUAAAAGGGGUUAAGAGGAAAAAUAUUCAGAAUACCCCCAACUUAAACUGUAAAAAUCACCAUAGAAGGGUACGACUUCCCAUUCUCCCCAACUCGUACACACAAAAUACUAGUGCUACCCAUCAUUCGUACCCUAGAUAAAAUAUUGGACAUCACACUAUCCAUCAUACAACUUCCCUUACCUAAGUCGUACCUCCAUCAUAUGACAAAUACCUUAGAACCGUACCCUAGGCAGCCUACUAAGGGCAUGACACCCUAAUCAGCAUACAAGUGACUUUCCUCACUCGUACUAUCUCCAUACAACUUAUAUGGUGUCCAUUCGUAUUUUAGACAGUAACCAACCAAAACCACACUGAGUAACAUACGACCAAGACCCCUAAACCGUACCUAUAUUAUAUGACUAGAAAGCCUAUGUAACGCUCUAAAAUUGGGUCCCGAGACGUCACACGGUGCUUAGGAUCACAAGUGACCCCAAGCUAACCCUUCUACCAGCAUAACUCAUAAGCAACUGAACAAAAAGUAUAAAUCUAAACAAAUCUGUGGAAAAUAACUCUUUUCUGAAUAUGAUAGAUACAAAACUAAAUUUAAAAGAUUACAACUCUGCUUUUACAACCAAAACUGAAAUGGAAUACAUCAACUUCUACUGACUGUCUAUGAAGCCUCUACUAGUAUUGACUAUAGGUAGCCGGGUCAUGACUCCCGACUAACCCAUCUCAAUACGACUGAAUAAAGAAAAUACAACACUUCUAGAACUGUAUAACUAACUUAAGCCCUUGAAUCAAAAGGACUCAUCACCUGCUAACUGGAUGCCGCAAACUGACUGGAUCUGAAGAUGUACACUAUACCUUGUACCUACAUUCCNNNNNNNNNNNNNNNNNNNNNNNNNNNNNNNNNNNNNNNNNNNNNNNNNNNNNNNNNNNNNNNNNNNNNNNNNNNNNNNNNNNNNNNNNNNNNNNNNNNNNNNNNNNNNNNNNNNNNNNNNNNNNNNNNNNNNNNNNNNNNNNNNNNNNNNNNNNNNNNNNNNNNNNNNNNNNNNNNNNNNNNNNNNNNNNNNNNNNNNNNNNNNNNNNNNNNNNNNNNNNNNNNNNNNNGACUUUCUCAAACUCAGUCUUUCAAACAAAUAUGUUUUCAUCUCAGAUAGAAGAAUAAGACUUUUCAUAUUAGAUAGGAAAAUACACACACACACAUUGGGAGUCUCUUACAACCGACAUAAACCAUGUGAGCUACAUGGAGUCCAACGUCCAACCCACGUUGGGGAGAGCUGUCCUAUCCUUGCCAUCGGAGUAGGACCUUAAUCAUUCUUUUCACUAGUGAUCACUAUAUCAAUUAGCCUUAGGCUCACAUCCUACGGGGGCACGUAGUUCUAGGGAAGUACCAAUUACAGCUAUACCUCCCACUCGGUGCUAAAAACUAUUCCCAGACUUAGCUCAGAUCUUUUAAAAAGAAAAUCCACAACAACACAAUUCAACAAUUCAUAACGGGAGCCAUCAUGCUACCCCCUUAUCAUAAUCAAUCAAAAUGUGGAUUUCUUUUCUCAUUCGAGUUCAAAAAUAACUAUUUCAAGAUCAAAAGUUCAAAUCAAUCCAAUCACAAAGUGUGUAUAACACAUUACUUCAUAAAUAUCAUAAUCUCAAAUCGGGUUCAAAACAUUUCAAGAUUUACACUUUAUGUAGCAAACAUGUGUACUUCAUACCAAAAUCUGGAAAUUCAACUUUAAACAUGAUAUUCACAUCAAAUUCAUGAAAUUUAUCUUCAAAACAUCAAUCAUCUCAAAUUCGUAAGUAGAGCAUGUAAAAUCAUAUGUCUUUGUAAAAUAAUACAAAUUUUGGGCACAACAAUGAAAGGGUGUUCUUGUUGAAAACCCCUACAUACAUUAAACUUGAAGCUUUGAAUGAACUCUUGACCUUGGGACUCUAUUCGUGAAAAUAAUGAGUGUUUCUUGUAGCCCUCGAAAUAGGGAUUCCGAAUCUCGAAGAAUUAUUGAAAACUCAAGGUUGAAUCUUGAGAUAUUUAAAUUUUUAGGUUGAAACUCUAAUGAAUGUUCUUGGUGAUUUUGAGAGAAAGUAAACUUAUUUUGGUGUUAUGGGAGUUUAAUCUCGUGUUAUAAACAUAUAUAAGGGUGUUUUUGGCACUUGGAAGUGAGGUAUGCGGUGCACAACCCAUGGUAGACCUUAAGGUGUGCGUCUCACACCUUAUGACAGACAUUUAAGUAUGCCUCGCACUCCCAAUCCACAUAUUUGAUUGGGCAGCACAUUGCCCAUCGCACACCCUUACUGCCUUUCAUAAAAAUGGGCAUAACUCUUUGCUCGGGUAUCGAAUUUUUGCGAAAUUGAUAUCGUUGGAAAAAUAAUUCAAUUAUCAACAAUUUGAUAGGUCUUGAGAUGAAAAAUUCCAUAUAUAUUAAGAGAUAUACACAUUUGAAAUUGACCCUUGUAGAAUCGAAUGUCAAACUUUGGAUGAAUCAAUUGGUCUUAGCUCAACGUUAUUCUAGGUCAUUGCUAUAAAUAUUUUCCACCUAUAAACUACUCCAUAGACUAGGAUAAUUAUCAUGAAGCUUGUAUUCACGUGAGAAUCACUUGGAUUAGAGCUUAGACGCGCAGGAACGACGGUUAGAAUUCUAGCACGAAAAUACGGGGUAUUACAGCUUAAGUCAUAUGAUGUCCAGAGAGUUCAAAACUCAAGAAAUUUCUAAGGGUCAAAAUCCAAAGUGUUUCAUGAUGAGACUUGGUUACGCCUUACUAGAUAUAUGUUCAUGCAUGGACGUUUGAUUAUUUGUCCAAAUUUAGAUAGAGGUCAUGGGUAGGCUAAAUCUAGAGAUUUUAGUGUCAACUUGGCAUUCAAACACCAAAUAUCACAAAUUGGUUCUUCCAAACACCUCGUAAGUUAAUAAUUUUACCAAUCUAUGGCCUAAAUUGUCAUCCUUAUAUCUAAGAGAUGAUAUUAAAUGAACUAAUUCAAGUUUGUGUUCACAUUUAUUCCUCACUCAUAUCCCCCCUGUCAAGGAUGAUAUGGGUUCAAAGGUAUUUGGGAUUUGUAACCCUCAAUUUUUAGUUAAAAUAUAAAAUAAAUGUAAAACCCAUAUAAAGGAGCUAAUUUGGAAUACAAAUAAAUAAAAUCAUGCACUAACUUUUUACAAUAAUGUUUUUGCCUUCUUUCCUUUUUAGGUAUCUUAUGUCCAGGUAAAAAAGUCAAAAGUUGUUGAUAACCCGGAAAAAUUAGGUUUGCCAUUGGAUUGGAAGAAGCCAUUCAUGAACCAAGGCCCAUUUUGUAGGGUUGUUUGUAUACUUUCUUUCUUUAUGAAUUUGGCUAUAAAAUAAUCAAAUCCAAGGUCUAUUAGAAUUAUUUCUGUGGUUUCCGUAGGAUGCUCAACUUUCUGUUGAGGUACUCAUUAUCCAUCUUUGUGUCAAUUAAUUUGAUAGUAACUUAAAAGGGCCAAGGCCUGUGAAUCCCUUAAAGUCCAUAUUAAUUUUCUCUAUAAUAUUGUAAAAAUUACAUAUAUAACAAUAUGUUUACUAGGAAUUUCUAAAAGUCCCAACUUUUUUAUAAAUCUCGUAAAAUCCCAAUAUUUCGCCAUUGAUGAUACAUGUUAAUUAUCUUAGAUACAUAUAACGGAUACAUGUUUGAAGUAAACAAACUUGCACUUUUUAAGGAAUGUAACAGAUAAAUUAGCGUUAAAAGUGAAAUUAAUCUAACUAAUUAUGGUUAAAAUAAAAUUAAAUCCCACGAUUUAUGGCAAUUACCUUGUUAUUCCACCAUUCUAAUUCAAAACAACAUUCAUAAUCUGUUUGGAAAUACCCAAAAAAUUUCAGAUGUCCAUUUUUUUUCUGAUUUGUUAAUUUUAUUUGGUUAUUUGAAAUGAAUAAAUAGGUUUAAUGGGUUCAUUCAAAAGAAAGGAAAUUCAUUAUUCUUGAAAAAGAAUUCGUUAUUCCUUCUUCUCUGUUAUUUUUUGUUCUUUUUUUUUUUUUGAGAUGAUUCGUAGUAAUGUAUAUCGCGUCUUAUUAGUACAUUCUAGUGUUUGGUUUUCUGAUGUCAAGCACGAAGAAUACAAGAUUGAUGGUUGUAGUCGGAGAAGUACCAGUUUCGAUCUCAAUUUGUUAUUCCUUUUUCUCUGUUAUUUGUUGUUCUUUUUUUUUUCUCCGACGAUUUUUAAUAAUGAAUAUCGCAUUUUAUUAGUAUAUUUCGAUGUUUGACUGUCUGAUAUCAAGCACGAAGAAUACAAGAUUGAUGGUUGUAGCUGGAGAUGUACCAUUGUUGAUCUCAAUCGCUAUCUCAAGAAAAGCCGAUGAAGAUUUUUCCUCACUAGUUGUUUCACUGUCGGCUGUCACAAUGUAUGCAAUUCAUCCUUCAUGAAUACAGAUUAAAAAGUCAGAUUAUAAUCAAGAGAUGUACUCAUGAUUUGUUUGUCAACUCGUUUAUAAUUUGAAUUUUAAGUUCCUUUUCUUAGAAUUUUAAAUUUUAAGUUUGUGGUUCAAAUUACUAUUUUAAGUUGUCAAAUUACCCGUUUUUAGUUUAUUGAAUUAUAGUCUGUCAAAUUGUGUAAUUCAUCAUUAUUUCAAUUUUAAAGCCAAACGUUUGAUAAACCGAAGUUUGUAUCUCUUAUUGAUUGAAUUUAGCCAAAAAUACAAAGUUGUUUUCAUGUUUAAGCCAAAAUAUAACACAAAUCAAUAUAUAGAAAAACUGUAUGAACAUAAUAUUAUAGAUACAAGAUAAUACAAAUAUGUAUCUUGGUUGAAAUAUAUGUAUCUAUUGAUAUGCUUAAAUCAAUAAAUGUUAAACAAUACAAGAUACAUAUAAUUCAUAAACAGUGACGCAAUAAUCCAAAAUAAGAGAAAAUGUAUCUAUAAACUUCUAACAUGUGUCUAUUGUUGUGUUAAUUUGAAUAAUAAUUACAAAAUAUUAGAUACAUAUAAAAAUAAAAAAAUGUAUCUAAUAAAAAAUAAAAAAAUAUUCACAUUAAGAAGCUUAAUGAAUUUCUUAUGUAUUUGUGAAUUCAAUAUUUGAUUCAAAGUAACUAAAUGAUAUAAAAAGAUUUAUCUGAACAUUCAUUGAUAAAUUGCUUACAUAUUGCACAAGACUAUCGUUACGUAAUUAACAAUUGAUACAAUCGUGAAAAUUUUAUAUCUAUUGAAAAAUAUAUUUUGUGAAUAGUAUGAAGCGUAUGAAUAAUUACGUUCAGCUCGAAGUUGUUAAUCAAUUUAGAGACAAAAUGUCUUGCAAAGAAAAAAAAUUAAGAAAAAUAAAAUUAUGUUAUUAUUGAAUAUGUGAUUUAAUUGUACGAUGUAUCGUUAUGUUGCAUAAUGUAAUGUUGUGCUAGUUACUUUCAUUACUGGACUUAGUUAUAUAUGUUUCAAUAAACUUGAUACAUAUAGUUAUAAAUAUGUAUCUAAUACAAUGUAACAAAAAAUGUUAAAUAUGAUGACUUUGUAAAGAGAAACAAAAACGUACAACAAAAUCAUUAUAUAUCAUAAUCUGUAACAGCCAUAUGGCAAUCAUUGGUGAUAAGGUAGAAUCCAUGAUGUUGAAAAAUAUCUAAAAAAAAAAAUAACAACAUGUACUAACAUCAUCAAACUAUAUAACAAUCAACAAGCCAAUAAGUAAACAACUACUCAAUAUGCAAAGCACAUAUUUUUUCUUUUUGUGUGAAGCUGCUCCUUGACCUUGGUGGAUCGUCAUUCUCACUAAAGUAUCCUUUCUCUGUCUUUAUAGAGCCAUACUUGCACAAAAGAGUGGCAUAUCUCAUGCGAUGGUAUUGAACAUCAAUACUCAAUGAGGGAAUGCCUAAUCCCUCGCUCAGGUACUCGGCAUAAACAACUACAAAUACACCACAAUUCCUACAUAGAGAUUACUAAUUGAAUUAAAAAUACAUAUAUACUUGUAUAAGAUAAUGAAAAUAAUGAAAAGGUAAUGUAAUACUUACAAACUUCCACUAUCUUGUUGUGCUAUCCCGAUAACAUAUUCCACUCGGAAUGAAACCUAAAAAAAACAUCAAAUUAAAAAAAUAACAUUAGAUGCAAUAACUCUACAAUAACACAGAAUAAUAUAUAGAAAAACUGUAUGAACAUAAUAUUAUAGAUACAAGAAAAUACAAUUAUGUAUCUUGGUUGAAAUACAUGUAUCGAUUAAUAUGCUUAAAUCAAUAAAUGUUAAACAGUACGAGAUACAUACUAUUCAUAAACAGUGAAACAAUGAUAUAAGAUAAGAGAAAAUGUAUUUAUAAGGUUGUAAACAUGUAUCUAUUGUUGAGUUAAUUUAAAUAAUACUUACAAAACAUUAGAUACAUAUAAAAAUAAAAAAAAAGAAUCAAAUAUAUAAGAAAUUGAAAAAAAGUAUCACGCAUAUAUAAAUAUGUAUCAUGGCCAAUUAUUUUCCAGAUCUGAACAUGUCGGAGGUUCCAGAUAUUUUCUAGAUAUGACUUUGUCAGAGGUUUCAAUUUAUUUUUUGUUUCGCGCAGCAAAAUAUUAUUGGAUUAGAAGGUUUACCUGAAGUAUCGAUAACGGAAAACUAGCCGAAAAUAACCUCACCAUGGAUAAUUUUAUUUGCCGAAAAAGUAGCUUUACCCAUAACUCGAGCACCAAAAACAUUAUCAUCUUUAACACGAAACUCCAAACGAUCAAUUGGGUGAGCUAAAGGGAUAUGAUGUUGUUUAAUUUGAUUUUUGAGAAAAACCAUUGAACAUAAUAAGAAGAAAGUGAAGACAAAUUUAAGAGAAAAAAUAAAUUAAUUAAAAAAUGUGAAAAAGGAGAGGAGAAAAUUGUGGGAUAAAAUUGUAACAAAAAUUUUGGCGUUAAUGUAGCCAUUAAUGUUGGAAGAGUUGGAUAGAAACUGUUGCUUGAAUUAAGAUAUACAAAGAGGAGAAAAUGAGUUAUUUUUGGUAAUGAAUCGGGUUCUUAAUUGUAGAUUUUAACUUGUAUCUCAACUUUAUCAAAAAAUAUAAAAUAUUAAGAUUUAAGUAAUUUUUUAAAAGUGGAGAAAUUUUUAAAAAUUUUAAAACUUAUGUUGUUUAUUUAGGUAAUUUUUCAUAUAAUAUUUUCAAUUGAGCCUGUAGCCUUUACUUCGGGACAGCAAAAGUAAUUGGGUAGCCAGUUUAGUGCAAAAAUAAAUAUCAACUCUUCUGCAACUGCUGAAUUAAUAAACUUACUAUAUAAUCUCUAUUAGCUGACAAAAUGCAGGUUCGACAGCUGGUAAUUAAUCUACUGCACAAUGGACAAGAAACGUAUGCAAAUUUCUUAUAUAAAUGCAGAGAGCUGUUCCACAUGAUGGGAAAUCCCCCAAUCAGGAAUGAGUUGCAAGAGCAAAACAAGGUGGCUGAUUUGUUAGCUACAUAAUGAAAAUAUACUCAAAGAAGAUAGUCGUUUUGUGGAUUGGACAGUUCCUCAUGUUCGUUUGGAAGGCAAUGGAAGCAGACAAGGAACUCCUUUUACGAGGCAAAUAGCAUACUCCCUCUGUUUCAUAAUAAAUAAAUUGUUGAAUUUUGACACACAAAUUAAGAAAAAAAUAUUAAAGACAUAAAUUUAAUACAACUUUUCAUUUUUAUCCCAAAAAAAAAACUAACCUUGUAAUACUUUUUUAAAAGUUAAUUUGUUGUCAAAUCAUAAGGGUAAAUUUGAAAAAAAAUUCAAUGAUUCACUUAUUUUGAAACACCAAUAAAUACCUCAACAAUACACUUAUUCCAAAACGGAAGAAAUAUUAUAUUAUGUAGAUUGUACUCCUAGUUCUCAGAAACUAUCUUGUGCUAGAAAAACUACAGCCACUUAAGUUUGUAAUGAUGCAUAAUAUACUAAAACUCCCUUUUAACGGGGAAAAAAUUACACCCAGAUUGGGAGAACCUGAACACAAUUUUACUGUUUUAAUGUGGACUUUUGUUUGUUUCUUUGAUUCACAGUUGGUCAAGAAUUACUGCAUGCAAUUGUCAAGUUUUGGCAGCAGCAAAUUGGCAGAUUUGUAGGUGUUGGCAAAAGUCCUCAUUGGCUGCAUUUGGUAGAUGUAAGCAAUGACAUCUACAUGGACAGUUUUUGCUUAUAAAUAGAAGAGCUUUCAGCUCAUUUUAGUACACACCAUUUUGUGAACAACAACAACAUUUGAGAAGAUUUAGUUGUGUUUGUUUUCUUCUUUGUAGAGAGUAUUUGUGAGAGAGUUGUGUUGGAAAACACUUUUGUGAGCCCUUUCUUUUGGAGUGAUAUUUGUGAAAUUAUUCUCUUGGGUAUUUGGGAUAUUAGAGUAUUUAAUUACUCUAAUUUUGUGCUCUCUUUUAUACUUUUGUACUCUUUUUUGGUUCCGUUGGUGUUUAGUAAAGUUGCUUCUCCUUUUGGUUGUGGACGUAGGUAAAGUUGACCGAACCACGUUAAAUUUGUGUCUCCUCUAUUUUCUCAACUUAUUGUUAUUAUCGUCUUUGGUAUUGUCUUUAAUUGAUUACUUUGAUUGAUUCCGCACUAUCCGGGAUUCUCGAUACUAACAACCGUUCUCAAUUGUAAGAGUUUAGAAUAAGAUAGUUUGACGGCUAAGAUUAUAAGUCAAACACAUCGACAGACAUCUCAACUUAGCACCAUCUUUCACUUUGGUAUCUUAAAUGGACGAUAUUCAUUUUAAACACCUAAAAUAACCAUAACGCCUUUAGAUCAAAAGCUCAAUCAAUAGAGAAGCCUAGCACCUCGAAUUUAAAGCUCAAAGUGUAGACACAUAAUUUCGUCCCUCCCUGAUAUCAUUUUACCCAUUUUUACCUUAUCCUACCCAUGUAAUUACAUCCCACAAAAAUACAAAAAAUAACUCUCAACAAAAUCACUAACAAACUUUUAUUCUUUUAAACAUCCUAACAACCCUUUCAAUUAAAAGAAGACACAUUACCCAUACCCCUACCCCCAACACCCCAUACCCACGUGACCUCCUCCUCCUCAUAUUUCUUGUCCACAAAGGCAAAAAGAGAAAAACAUUAGAAAGGGACCCCACUAGGAAACUUUCAGGAAAGCCCACAAGGAACCAUUUUGUUUUAAGGGGAUGAAAUACAAUAUAUUCACACUCUCACAAAUAAAAAGGACCCACACGAUAUAAUUUCCACAGGCUCUACUCACAAUUGACACUGAUCUUCUCCAAAGAACGCAUAGACACUUCCACACUCUCUUGGAUUUUUUACUCAAUUCACUGGUAAACAAAAAAGAAAAUAAGGACUCCAUUUCUGUUUCUUGUUUUCUUCUUCAGAGAUACGCACACAACAACACUCGAAUUUCCCAUAGAAGGACUGAUUUCCUUCCAAUAGCAUAGACCCUCAAAGUCAUCUUCUUCACAUAUAUACCCAGACCACCGAAAAAGAAAAAAAUAGACUGAAAACUGAAGAGGGGUGAUCGGAAUAGGGGACUGGUGCGAGGUUCGAUCCUUCUCCAAGCUUUUUUUGGUGAAAACUUUCACCAGAAUUGAUUUUAGUUCAUCGUUCGGUUGACCAGUUCAAGAAGAAUCCAAAUUUCUUCAUUUUUCUUUAAUUUCUAAGGGAAUCUGGCCGGAAACGUUAAGUUUUGGCCAGAAAACAUGGACCAGCAGCGAAUUCUUCACUGAAAUUGGUCCAAUUUCGACUCAGUUUUGUGAUUAGCUUUUGUGUAUGGGUCGGGUUUAUUCUGUUGCUUUCCGUUGGGUUCUUCGACCUUCGUAUUGAUUUUGGGGUUUAAAUUCUGUUCGUCCCGAUCAGUUCGUAGCUAUCAGUCUUCGGGUUUUAAAUUUCUCAAUACCAAAUUGGAAUUCAUCGUUGUUGAGAUUCUUCUCAGGAUAUUCGAACGCGGUCUUCGUCUUUUCACUCGAUUAAUAUUUGAGUUUGGAAGCUACGAAUCGAGGUCCAAUUCUAUUCCCCUCUUUUAUUUAAUGUUUAUUAUAUUUGGUGUGUUGGAGUGAAUAUUGUGUUUGGUUGAUGCUUGUGAUGUGGUGAUAUGUUUCGAUAUUGUGUUUGAGCAAUCGUGAUUACUGUGGUUGAUAUUGAUUGAUUGAUUCACGUGAAUGAAGGAAUUGAAAGAUUUGAAUUCAUGUGGGAAUAAGUGGGGCGAGAAUUGAAAACUUGAUAUAAUUAGUGAAUUUUGAUUAGUUUGAUUCAUUAGUUGUUUGACUUGAAAUAAAAGUUAAUUGAAUUUGGUAGUAUCAAGAUACACCGAUUGGAAUAGGCAGGACGUAGGUUGGGUAGGCAAAUCUAGAGAUUGUGGGUUGAUUGAAUGUUUGAAAUUUGAUUGAAUGGUUUGAUUUUAUCACUUUUGAAUCAAUUAUAUAAUUUGGCCGAGGAAUGCCCCGAGGUAUCAUGUACCCGGAGGACGUUCGUGAUGAAGGCCCGAGGCAUCGGGUAGAGCAUUAGUCUAGAAUUAAUUUAGAGUAGGAUUUAUUUUUACACAUUUUUUUAUUUUUGGAUUGUAUAAUUGGAAUGGACACUAAAUUUUGGAUUGUUUUAUCUUGUUUGCUUGAUUGAUUGUUUUGCAUGUUUUGUGUGGUUUAUAUAUUCAUUAUGUCAAAUUAGCCUAUAUGCUCCACCAAGCAACCGUGGUCAAACCACGGGAUCGAGGGGUGUCUAACACCUUCUCCUCUGUCAACAGAAUUCCUUAGCCGGAAUCUCUGUUCGCAAACCAGUUUUAAAGAUUCAAACCAUUUCAAAAAGAAUUUUCCAAAGGUGACUUGGCACAGCGGAUUAUGCCAAGUGGAGACUCUGAAUUUAAUUAUAAAAAAUUCUUUUCGAAACAGAAUUUUCAUUUUUUGUCACUUAAUAAUAAAAUCCUUUCAAACUUAAAAAUUAAUCUUUUGGAGUACGAAAAAAGGGUGUGACAGCUCUGGUGACUCUGCUGGGGAACUAUUUCAGAAUCCAAGCUUUUUUUUUGGAGUCGUAUCGGCUUUGUUUGGCAUUACGAGUGUAUAAGUAUUGUUUGUGAUUUUUGUUUGUGUUUUCACUUUUGUGCAUUUUCGUGCUCUUUGUUUACAGUAUUUAUCCUAUAUGUUUAUCGCUUUUAUAUCUGACAUCAUGUGCAUAACCUGAGUCAUUCUUUCCGCAACAAGUCUCGGAGCGCACGUUGUGCGUACGAACUCUAUUUGAGUCACCUUUAGUUUGGGGGGAGCCGUUGGAUGUAUGGAGUAGGUGGAAAGUAAAGCAGCCACUAUCAACCAUAGUCUCUCCCGAACAGCCUUGUUAGUGAACCACAACGUAGGUCAGCCUAUAGGACAUUCUUAUGUGCAUCAUAUUGAGACCUAGCGGGGCCCACAUAGUUCUUUGUAGGAGACUCAUCCCUAAAGCAUUCCUACGUGCUAAAUGCUGCAUCUUUGAGGAUAACGUGGUCAUUUGACAGACUGAUGUGGGGUAAAGCAUGUGUUAGAAGUAAAGUGUGAAAAAAAAAGAAGAAGUCCAAAAAAAGAGUUUUGUAGUUUUUAGAGUUCUUUAUGGCUUUUGUUUUCCACAAUUCAAAAUUCAAAAAAGAUUUUUUUUACUUUUUGCCCUCAUUUUUCAAAAACAAAAAAAGUAUCAAAAAGAUUUUCCUUUUGUUUCCUUUAACAAGCAUUCACAAUUCGAAAACUCCAAAAAGAUUUUUUAGGAUCUUUUUAUAAAAAUAAAAAUGCAAAAAAAGGGUGGUAGAAGUUUUGUACAUUUCAUAUAACGAAAAUACCAAAAAAAAAAUAAAAAUUCUUUCAUAGCUGUUGGUGUCAUUUUUUAUGUGAAGUGUCAAAUUGAAAACUCAAAAAAAAAAAAGAUUUUGUUAUGUUAUUCAUUAUAUGUCUUUGGUCGUGUCUCAAGUCAGGAUACAUAGGCAACCCUCGGUGGAUCCAGUAAUCUUUAUUUUGGCCUUCGUCGUAGUCUUAGGCUAGGUCUUUUACCACGUAACCUAGAGUUGUUAGCCAAGUAGGCUGAUUUUAUUCAAUGUUACUAUUCGGCGAUUUGGAGUCAUAAAGCGGUCUGUUCCAUCGACGUAUGUCUGUAUCAAAUUCCCAUUGGUUGGGAACCUUUUGCUCUUAACAAAUUUUUGAGAUAAUUUCUUAUCUGCUACUACAGGAUGGAUCUGUCCACAAAGUCUAGAGUUCUUAUGGUUGUCAAGGUACCCAAAAAGUUGAUCAAGUGGUGGGGCACGUUCAAUUACUCUGAAAAGCACAAAGUGAGGAAAGUGUUAGGCAAUCUUGUAGCACUCAUGGAUCUCACGCCUCGUCCGGAUCUAAUAGAAGUUGUGUUGACUUUCUGGGAUCCAAAUAAUUUGGUGUUUAGGUUUGGAAGUUAUGAAUUGACUCCUACCUUGGCAAAAGUGUCUCAUUUGUUUCAGUUGACUUACUUGGUCAACAGAUGAUUUUAGCCCGCAAUCAUACUCGUAAGAAAUUCCUUCGACUCUGUGGAUUAAAAGAUAACAAGCAUCUGGGAUGUCUCAAACAAUCUUGGAUUUCCUUAGACUAUUUGUUUGCUAGAUUUGGGUCCUUAGAGGGUUUCAACUGCUUUUAGGAUGAAUUCUAUACUACCAAAAAAAUCUGGGAACAACGUCGUCUUGAGAUUUUCUGUCUGGCUUUGUUGGGUAUCUUAGUGUUCCCGUUAGAUGAGAGGUGUAUCAAUACUCGUCUAUAAUCAGUGGUGAUAGCUUUAUUCAAGAAAAAAGAUGAGGUCACCAUUGUACCAAUGAUCUUAACAGAAAUAUAUAAGGCUUUAACUGAAGUAAAAGGAGGGGUACGAUUUUUUGAGAGGAGUUAUCUGAUAUUGCAGUUGUGGAUGAUGGAGCACUUGCAUACGCCUUCUUUGGUUAAAGCAGAUGUGAUCGACCGUUGUCUGAAUGAUCUAGUGCAAGCCAUGCAAGAAAGAAUGCGUUUUGACAAAUUUUCUUUUCCUAUGGGAGUUUCUUGGAUUGAAUUUCUCAAAUCAAGAAUUCCGAACAACAUUCUUUGGUGCUAUAUGUGGUUUCAUCCUAAGAAAAUCUUUAUUGGAUCUCAAAUGCAACUCUUUCUAGUUUUGAUAGGACUUAACUGCACUAGGCCUUACAGUCCAAGAAGGGUGAUGCGUCAGUUGGGUAGGAUGCAAGACAUCCCCCCAAUAAUGGACCUUCUAAAGGAUGUAGAGUACUUUAAAGACCAAGCCGUGGGGAUAAGAAAAUAUGAGCAAUUUUGGAAUAACGCAAUAAAGCUAGGUGUCGAUACUCUCGAGGAAAAUCUAGGAUGCACUCAAAACUAUGAAAUCUGGCUACAAUCUCUACCCCGUGGCAUUAGUAGACCCUUACCAGCCCAACUUAGAGGGUGAAUACGGGAAGCAAUCAUGGUAAAGGAUGAUGAGCAGGAAGAUCCGGGUGCCAAUGUAAAGUUUUUGAGAGUUCAGUUGUCAUGUUUGAUCAUAACUGUGGAUGGGUGUCAGAGAAACCUUUGCGGGUGUAAUCUCCAAGAGGCGGGGAUACGGGAGAGAAAUUUGUUCCUUGGUAUCAAAACGUCGUUACAGGAUAUAUUGGAAAGUCUGAGUAGAAAAGAGGGGACUUCACAGAUGGGUUUAUCUCAGCCGGGGACGUCACACAGAGCACCAGUUUGAAAGAACAUGUCUUAUCUUUAUGUAGUUUUAAGUCUUUUAUGUUUCUGUCAUUGUAGGGUGGUGUCUGUGUUAAGUCGGAGUCAAGUUAUUUUUGAUAUUCGGAUCUUUAUUAGUAAUUGUACGCAUGUCGUUAGGGGUUUAGAAUGUUGUUUUGUAUUUGUUGUUUAGUUUUAAAGUGGUCCUAAAUUCGUUGUAUGUUUUGUUAUUUCUUUCAUCGAAAUGUUAUGAUGUUACGUCUUUCUUUUGUUUACUUGUUUUCGUUUUUUGUGAAAAAGUAAAAGAAAAAAAAACCUUCAAUUGUGUGAUGUUUAUGCAUAUGAAGCCCGAUCUGUGCAAGAUCUGAUUCAUGUACAACAUGAUACGUAGGCAACCUACUUUUGGGUUCAAUCUAAUCAUUUUGUUUCGUUGUUUUUCAUUAUUUUUCCUUUUUUAAAGAAAAAAAAUAAAAGCCAUAAAGAAUGAUAAAAUAAAGGUAGAUAGCGAGAGAAGAAAAGAAAGAAAGGAUGAUGAGAUAAUAAAGGGAAAAAACAGAGACUGAUAAGAAAAAAAAAGAAAAAAGAAGAGAGAGGGAAAGGAGGGCAAAAAAAAAAGGGGUGUGUUUGGAGGAAAGAAGUAAAUAAGUGUAGAUAAAAAUUGGGAUGAUGUUAAAAUGACCUUGCUACUCUCGAAAGCUGGUAGAAAUGAACAUGAAUUUAGGACAAUUUUACCAAUGUGAUUCCUAUGCUUGUUGUGUGCCCUAAUCCUAACGGAUGUUGUCUUUGAUGAGCAUGUUUCUUCAGAUUGAAGUCGUAGGUUUGCAGCACUCUGGCUAGUCACCCAUACUUCACUAGAUCAAAAGCAAAGCUCUCCAUGGCUAGCAGGGAGAUUGAAAAUUCGCUCAUUAACCCGGAUCAGGAUCACAGGGAAGAAAGUUCAGAACACAAUGAUGAGGUAGUAAGGCUCAGGCAACAAUUAAUAGAUUUCCACCAGGUAUGGGCCAGCGGAAUGCCUCCUCCUCCGCUCCCUGAAGGUCUUGGGAAUAUCUCUAAUUUCCCAUCGCUCUCUCAGGCACAAUUCUCUGCUUCUACUGAGUCACCUGAGCACGUGCUAGGAUUUACUCCGCGACAUUAUUAUCCUGGCAAUUCUAGUAUGCCCUUGGCAGCUCCCUAAUCAAGACCCGCUGCUCAGUCGGCGCCACCGAUCACAUCGGUAUUCGUGGCUCCACCACCACUUGAAGCUCCCAUAUAUGCUGUGCGUCUGACAAUGGGGCUUUCUCGAUCUGCCAGUGAGCCAGUAUUGAAGGUUCCAGAUAGUCAGUAUUAUGCCCCGGAGCCUACUUUGAGAAUGAAUGAACCGUAUGGGUACACUCAACCACCUGCAUUUCCAUUUGAUACGGAGAAACCUGUCGCAACAGAGGAACAGGAAGUCAUAGCGCGGAAGUUGAAAAGUUUAGAACAGGCCAUGAGGAAUUUGUAGGGAAUCGGAGGUUAUAAGAGUGUUUCCUAUAAAGAUCUUUGCAUGCUCCCAGACAUCAACCUUCCCCUCAGUUUUAAAAUGCCCAAGUUCGAGAAGUAUGCAGGGCAUGGUGAUCCUAUGGCACACUUGAGACGUUAUUGCAACCAAUUAAGGGCUGCAGGAGGAAAGAAAGAGCUGCUCAUGGCUUUCUUUGGCGAGAGUCUUUCUGAUCUGGCUUCAGAAUGGUUUAUCGAUCAAAAUAUCGACAAGUGGAACAGCUGGGAUGACUUAGCUUCUGAGUUUGUGCAACAUUUUUAGUAUAACAUCGACCUGAUUCUGGACUAAAAAUCCUUGGUCAACAUGAAGAAGAAAAACACUGAAGGUUUUAGGGAAUACGCGAUAAGGUGGUGUGAAUAGGCCGCCACGGUAAAGCCUCCAAUGAAAGAAAGUAAGUUGGUAGAGGUUUUCAUUCAGGCACAGGAUGAGACCUAUUUUCAAUAUUUACUUUUGGCAAUGGGAAAGUCUUUUAUUGAAGUCCUCAAUACGGGGGAGAUGAUAGAGGACGAAAUUAAGACCGGCCGAAUAGUGAGUUUUGCCUCAUUGAAAGCCACCACACAAGCGAUUCAAGGUAGAUCUAGCGUAUUUAGAGGUAAAAAGAAGAAAAAGGACGUGGCGACUGUCGUAGCUGGAACCCAUUCCUAUCCAAAAAGACCACCUCGCCCCUAUCUCUAAUCCCAAGCCCAAGUCUACACCCAAGCUCUAUAUAUUCCUCCCUACCAUUACUACCCUCCAUAAAGCCCUUUAUAUUUUAUUCCACCACCCCCGUACCCAGUAUAUAGCACACAUCCAUAUGCCCAAACCCCUUCUUACCCGCAAUGGCGCGCGCAAGCUCCACAAAAUCGCCUAUCCACUCCACUGAAUUACCAAAACCCCUCCAGACCCGAUUUUCAACCUAGGAUCGAGUAUAAGAAAGAGAAGAUGGUCAAAAAUCAAUUCACACCUCUUGGGGAGUUAUAUGCUAGUUUGUUUGAUAGGUUGAGAAAGUUGAAGGUCUUAAGCCCAAUUCAAGGACGGCUUUCAAAUCCACUGCCGAGGAAUCUCGAUUAUUCUUUAAGGUGUGCGUACUGUUCUGACAUGCCAAGCCAUGAUAUCGAGAAAUGCUAGCAUUUAAAGAGAGCUGUCCAAGAUUUAAUUAACACAAAUCAGAUGCUGGUCUAGGCCUUGGAGGGUUCAAACAUUAACCAGAAUCCGCUGCUAACCUAUGCUGAAACCAAUAUAUUAGAAUUGAUAUAUGAUGGGAAAGAGUCAUCAAGGUGUUAUAAGACUAUCGUCAAGAUACAGAGCAUUGAGGAGAAAUUGGUGAAUGUAGCAGUCUUUGAAAGCAAUGUCAUUGAGCCAGGAAGGAAUGAGAGAAGGUAAAGCCCAAGAAAGCACAAAGAAACCCCUGAUCACGGUGCAAGGUGCCAGAAGGUAUGUUGAUUUAAGUUAGGAUAAACCUAAGUUGACAGUGGUAGGAGCUCCGAAUAAGCCCAUCUUGACGGUGAUAAGAGCACUGACAGCAACUAUUGUCCUCAAACUGGUAACCCAACCUCUGAUAGUUGAUACGAAAAGGGUUUCCUGGAAUUAUGGGCGGACUGUGAUGACCUAUCAUGGGAAAGAAGUAGAGGAAGAUAUAGAUGAGGUAGGGGGUUUGACUCGGUCAGGAAGAUGCUUCGUCCCUAAAAGUUUAAGAAAGUCCAAGACAAUUAUGAGUGGACCAUCAUCUAUCAAAAAGCCUAUCACCGAAGAAGAAGCUUAAGAAUUUUUGAAAAAAAAAGAAAUUGCCAAAGUAUUCAAUAAUAGACCAGUUGAAGAAAACCCCUGCUCAAAUUUCCCUCUUAUCUUUGUUGUUGCACUCCAAGGAGCAUUGUGAUAUUUUACUGAAGGUAUUAAAUAAAGCAUAUGUUCCUAGGGAUAUUACAGUAAAUCAGCUUGAGAAAAUGGUUGGAAAAAUCUUUGAGGUCAAUCGGAUCAGUUUUUCUGACGAUGAAUUGCCUGUUGAAGGUACAGGGCAUAACCGAGGCCUUUACAUUACAGUGAAGUGCGAAGAUUUGUAUGUCACUCAUGUUAUGAUUGAUGGAGGUUCAGGUGCAAAUAUCUGCCCUAUUUCUACUUUUCAAAAGUUGAAUAUUGGUGCUAGAGGAUCAGGCCCAACAACGUAUGUGUUAGGGCUUUUGAUGGUGCAAAAUCAAACUCCAUUAGCGAAAUAGAACUAAUGUUGAUCAUAGGGCCUGUUGAGUUUGCCAGAAAGUUUCAAGUAUUGAAUAUAUACUCCUCUUACAAUAUUUUGUUGGAAGGCCGUGGAACCACAAGGCCAAGGCCGUUGCGUAUACACUGCACCAAAUGAUUAAGUUUGAGAAUGACAGGCAACAAGUGGUUAUUCACGGUGAAGGAGAUUUAUCCGCCUACGAAGAUUCUCCCUUGUCUCUUAUUGAAGAAAAUAAUGUAGAGGAGAUAUUCGUCUAUCAAAUUUUUGAUACAGUGCUAGUGAAUCUUAUCCUUGAAUGGCAGGUUAUACCGGGACCGUAAUUGUCUUCUGCUUCUAUCAUGAUGUUAAGUGAACUUUGGAAAUACGAAUUUAAGCCAGGAAAGGGUUUGAGAGUGUCUCUGUAUGGUAUAGUUCAUCCCAUAUGUCCGAGUAAGAACGUGGGCAUGUUUGGUCUGGGAUUUGAGCCUACGGCUGAAGAUCUAAAGAAAGCCAAGGGAAGGAAAUAUGAAACAUGGUCACUCCCUCGCCCAAUGCCACUACUCAGUGAAUCAUUUGUUAAGAGCGGUGUCACGAAGCAUGUGGAAUUUGAAGUUGAAUUGGUUGAUAACUGCCAGAACCUUUUUAUUGAAGUUGAUAUGGUCAAAGCAGGAGAAGGUACCAGUAUGACAAACGUACAAUUCAUAGGUCCAGCUGUCCGACUCAAUAAUUGGAAAGUCACUCCUCUCCCCAUCAGGAGGGAGUUUUGGUAUUUUAUUUUGUUGUUCUUUCUGUUUAUCCGAGUCAUUUCAGGGUUGUAAUUCGGAUUUUAGUCUGUUUAUGUUAUGUUGGCAUCUAUGCUUAAACCCUUCUAUCUUUUUAUUUAAUGAAAUGCAAUGGUCCUUUUGUUUCGUGUCUAAUAUAUUUGGCUUUUCUUUUUUUACACUGUUCUCUUUAUGCUGAUUCUAAUGAUAUGACAUGCAUGCGGAAUUUUCAGCCUAACCUUAAAAUCCAAACUAAUCAAGAUGUAAUGAAGCAGGAUGGGGAAUAUGAUGAAGAAGAAGCACUAGAAGAAAUAAGCAAAGAGUUGGAACAGUUUGAAGACAAACUGAAUCCUAAUUUGAAUGAGACCAAUAAAUCUAAGGAAUCAAGAGGAUGUUAGGGAAACUAAAAUUAGUGUACAUUCUUUUCCACAGCUAAAAGAUGGAAUGAUUCAAGCAUUAAUUGAUCAUAAGGAUGUUUUUGCAUGGUCUUAUGAUGAUAUGCCUGGUUUAAGCACUGAAUUACUGGCUCACAAAUUACCAAUUGAUCCCGCAUUCCCUCCUGUCAAACAGAAGUCGAGAAAGUUUAAAACUGAUGUAAGUAUUAAAAUCAAAGAGUAAAUCAUAAAAUAACUUGAAGCCAAAGUAAUUCGAGUGGCUCGUUAUCCCAUGUGGUUAUCCAAUGUUGUUCCCGUACCAAAGAAAGAUUUGAGUGUGUGUUGAUUACGUGAUUUGAAUAGAGCAAGUCUGAAAGAUGAUUUUCCACUGCCCAACAUCCAUAUUUUGCUAGACAACUAUGCUAAACACGACGUUGCCUCUUUUGUGGAUUACUAUACCGGAUAUCAUCAGAUCAUUAUGGAUGAUGAAGAUGUGGAGAAGACAUCUUUUAUCACACCAUGGGGGACCUAUUGUUAUUGAGUGAUGCCGUUCGGUUUGAAGAAUGCUGGAGCAACAUACAUGAGAGCCAUGAACACUAUGUUUCAUGAUAUGAUGCAUAAGGAGAUUGAGGUAUAUGUGGAUGAUGUGAUUAUUAAGUCAAAAAGUCGGGCCGACCAUGUUAAAGAUUUAAGAAAUUUCUUUAAAAGGCUUCGCAGGUAUAAUCUCAACCUCAACCCGACAAAAUAUGUAUUUUGAGUUCUGUCUGGAAAGCUGUUGGGGUUUGCAGUUAGCCGUCGGGGGAUUGAAUUUGAUCUCUCGAAAAUCAAAGCCAUUCAGUAUUUGCCCCUACCCAAGAAUAAGAUGGAGGUGAUGAAUUUUCUUGGUAGACUGAACUACAUUAUCAGGUUUAUUGCUCAACUGACAACACUUGUGAGCCCAUAUUAACAUUGCUGAAAAAGAGUGUUGCGGUAAAAUGGACUGAAGAAUGUCAGGAAGCAUUCGACAAAAUCAAAAGAUANNNNNNNNNNNNNNNNNNNNNNNNNNNNNNNNNNNNNNNNNNNNNNNNNNNNNNNNNNNNNNNNNNNNNNNNNNNNNNNNNNNNNNNNNNNNNNNNNNNNNNNNNNNNNNNNNNNNNNNNNNNNNNNNNNNNNNNNNNNNNNNNNNNNNNNNNNNNNNNNNNNNNNNNNNNNNNNNNNNNNNNNNNNNNNNNNNNNNNNNNNNNNNNNNNNNNNNNNNNNNNNNNNNNNNNNNNNNNNNNNNNNNNNNNNNNNNNNNNNNNNNNNNNNNNNNNNNNNNNNNNNNNNNNNNNNNNNNNNNNNNNNNNNNNNNNNNNNNNNNNNNNNNNNNNNNNNNNNNNNNNNNNNNNNNNNNNNNNNNNNNNNNNNNNNNNNNNNNNNNNNNNNNNNNNNNNNNNNNNNNNNNNNNNNNNNNNNNNNNNNNNNNNNNNNNNNNNNNNNNNNNNNNNNNNNNNNNNNNNNNNNNNNNNNNNNNNNNNNNNNNNNNNNNNNNNNNNNNNNNNNNNNNNNNNNNNNNNNNNNNNNNNNNNNNNNNNNNNNNNNNNNNNNNNNNNNNNNNNNNNNNNNNNNNNNNNNNNNNNNNNNNNNNNNNNNNNNNNGAUUGGGAGACGCGAGAUUUGAAGCUCAUCCCAUAGCGACAAUGCUUGCAAGAGUUAUGUCAACAGUUUGUGUUAGUAAAAUUUAGGCAUAUUCCAAGAAUUCAUAAUAAAAUUGCUGAUGCUUUAGCCACUCUGUCUUCAAUGCUCCAACAUCCUGAUAAAGCCUACAUCGAUCCAGUGUAUAUACAGAGUCGUGAUUAGCAUGCUUACUGUAAUGCGGUUGAAGAAGAGCUCGAUGGAGAACCCUGGUUCUUGGAUAUCAAGCGAUACAUUCAGUCAGGAGAAUACCCAACAUAUGCCACCAACAAUUAAAAGAGGACUAUUAGGCGUUUGGCUAGUGGAUUUUUCUUAAGUGGGGGGAUCUUAUAUAAGAGAACCCCGGAUCUGGGACUUUUGAGGUGUGUAGAUGCAAGAGAAGCCUCGACAAUCAUGGUUGAAAUACACUCUAGAGUAUGCGGGUCGCAUAUGAACGAUCAUGUCUUUUCAAAGAAGAUUCUUUGAGUAGGUUAUUACUGGCUUACUAUGGAGAGAGAUUCUAUUCAAUUUGUUCAAAAGUGUCAUCAAUGUCAGGUACACGAUGAUCUGAUAUAUUCUCCUCCUGGUGAGUUGCAUGCAAUGGCUGCUCCAUGGCCGUUUGUGGCUUGGGGAAUGGAAGUGAUUGGACCGAUUGAGUCGAGGGCAUCAAAUGGACAUAGAUUAAUUUUGGUAGCCAUUGAUUACUUCACAAAAUGGAUAGAAACAGUAACUUUCAAGUCAGUGACAAAGAAGGCUGUGGUAGAUUUUGUUCAUGCCAACAUCAUUUGUAGGAUUGGAAUUCCUCAGAUGAUCAUUAUAGACAAUACUGCCAAUCUCAAUGGUCAUUUGAUGCAAGAAGUGUGUCAACAGUUUAAGAUUGCACAUCGAAAUUCUAUUCCAUAUCGCUCAAAGGCCAAUGGUGCUAUAGAAGCUGCCAAUAAGAAUAUAAAAAAGAUACUGUGAAAAAUGGUACAAGGGUCUAGACAGUGGCAUGAAAAGUUGCCAUUUGCAUUGCUAGGUUAUCGCACCACUGUUUGCACUUCAACAGGGGCAACUCCAUAUUUAUUGGUGUAUGGGACAGAAACAGUCAUCCCUGUAGAAGUUGAAAUUCCCUCUCUUCGAGUCAUUGUAGAAGCAGAGAUUGAUGAUGACGAAUGGGUCAAAACCCGACUGGAACAUUUGAGUUUGAUUGAGAAAAAAAAGGCUAAUGUUUGUGUGUCAUGGUCAGUUGUAUCAGAGGAGGAUGGCUCGAGCAUAUAAUAAAAAGGUUCGUCCCAAGAAUUCUGAAGUUGGUAUUAAAACGUAUCCUUCCUCACCAGGUUGAAGCAAAAGGCAAGUUCUCCCCUAACUGGCAAGGUCCCUUCGUUGUGAAGAAAGUGUUGCCCAAUGGAGCCUUAUAUUUGACAGAUAUUGAAGGCAAAAUGGCAGAAAUGGCUAUCAAUGCUGAUNNNNNNNNNNNNNNNNNNNNNNNNNNNNNNNNNNNNNNNNNNNNNNNNNNNNNNNNNNNNNNNNNNNNNNNNNNNNNNNNNNNNNNNNNNNNNNNNNNNNNNNNNNNNNNNNCCUCUUUUGAAAUCAAAAUAGAGUCAAAGAUAAAUGUCAAGAAAAUAAGAAUAAAAGAAAGAGUUUGAAAAAAAAAUCAAAUCAAAACAAAGAACAAGCUUAUGGAACUACGUGCGACCUGAUUCUCCUCUCUCGGGAGUGAGAUACUUAGGCUGCCCUAUUUCGGGCUUGGUCCAACCAAAUAAAGAUUUUAGAGUCACCCAGUCAACAAAAAUUGGGGCAUGAUUUAAUGUGUUGUUUGAGUCGAUUCCAAAAGUUGUAAGUCCCACCCCCACAUCAAGUGUCAUUUGAACCUCUUACCAUUCUUUUGUAACCUUAUCCGAAAGCCAAGUUACAACCAAAGAAAGUCCUUCAGAUCAAUUUUUGAUAAUGUUAAGGCUAAGCAUGCAAUGGAUAUGAUGAUACAUUGUGAGUUACCACUUGUCUCCCUCAACAUAAGAAAUCAGGAAAGAAAUACAAAAAUGAGAGAAUCUUAUUGUUGAAAACCCCUGUGGGCAUCAUAAGAUGAUGGUGAGUCGAGAGAAAUGAAAAUGAGAGAGUCUUAUUGGUGAAAACCCCCGUGGGCAUCAUAAAGAGAAAAGUGAAAAGUGAAAAGAAAGAGAUUUGUUGGCGAAAGUCUUUUAAGAUCUCGUCAAUUGAAUGUGAUGUAUGAGUCCAAUGGAUUUCAAGAAGCGGCUCAGCGGCAAAGGCACGAACUCAACAAUAAAUGGGGAGUUUAAAUAGAAAGAUCAAGCAGCUUAAUCCAAAAUGUAUGUCAUACUCAUUGGAGUUGGUUGUCGUAUUCAGAUAAGUUUUCUUUUUGAAUAUAGGACAUUGCCCUUUUCUUUCAUUUACAUAUUCAUGCUUUUUGUCUUUUUAUGUCAUUUAUCAAACUAAAAGUCACCAUCAUUUCUUUACAUUUUAAGUCCAGUCUGUGUCAAAACAAGCGAGAAAGGAUUUCAAAAUUUACUACCAGUCUUUCCCAUUAUAUGAGGAAAAUCCAAGGACCAUCACAUGAAAGAAAUAUGAUCGAAAUUCAACACGAAGCAAAGAAAGUCUAUCAACCGACAAGCUGUUGGAUUCGUGGAAGUAUUCAGAUUUGGGAAAAGAGUUCACCUUAGAGGCAUGGUAAAAUGGAAAACCAUUGUUCGAGUCAGAACUCAUUUCCCUCGAUCUGGAUUCAGGUCAAUGAUGCGGCAAGACAGGGCAAGUGUCAGCAAUUUGGAACAAAGAUGAAAGGAACGAGUGCUGGGGCAGAUACCUGAGAAGCCAAGAGCUGCAAGCCACCACUAAGUUUUUAACUGACAAAUUUUCUUUGUUGAAUAGGGGCAAAUUUGCUUUCACUUAAUUCAGCUACCAAUGGAAAUGCACAUCCGUGGGAUUUUACUUUCUGUUCAGGACCCUCCUGAAAAAUGGGACUUUACUUUCUGUUCAGGACCCUCCUGAAAAAUGGGAUUUUACUUUAUGUUCAGGACCCUCCUGGAAAAUGGGACUUUACUUUCUGUUCAUGACCCUCCUGAAAAAUGGGAUUUUACUUUAUGUUCAGGACCCUCCGGGAAAAUGGGAUGUUACUUUAUAUUCAGGACCCUCCUGGAAAAUGGGAUGUUACUUUAUGUUCAGGACCCCCCUGGAAAAUGGGAUUUUACCUUCUGUUCAGGACCCUCCUGAAAAAUGGGAUUUCACUUUAUGUUCAGGACUCUCCUGAAAAAUGGGAUUUUACUUUCUGUUCAGGACCUUCCUGAAAAAUUAGAUUUUACUUUUUGCUCAGGACCUACCUAGAAAAUGGGACUUUACUUUCAGUUCAAGACCCUCCUGAAAAAUAAAAUUUUACUUUCUGUUCAGGACCCUCCUGAAAAAUGGGAUUUUACUUUCUGUUCAGGACCUUCCUGAAAAAUUAGAUUUUACUUUUUGCUCAGGACCUACCUAGAAAAUGGGACUUUACUUUCAGUUCAAGACCCUCCUGAAAAAUAAAAUUUUACUUUCUGUUCAGGACCCUCCUGAAAAAUGGGAUUUUACUUUCUGUUCAGGACCNNNNNNNNNNNNNNNNNNNNNNNNNNNNNNNNNNNNNNNNNNNNNNNNNNNNNNNNNNNNNNNNNNNNNNNNNNNNNNNNNNNNNNGACAACGCUUUCAAAAAUAAAAUACUACUUUACUAUAAUUUUUGUUUGGGAUAAUUUUCGUUCUAGUUUUAAUUUUGGGUUUCAGGGGCCCGCCUGAAGAACAGGGUGAUGAAAUAGCAAGUCAGGAGCCCGCCUAAAGAACCGGGCGAUGAAAUGUCAAGUCAAUAGCCCACCCUAAGCACAGGGUAAAUAAAUGGAAAGUUAAGCAACGAGGUGAAAUAAUUGAAAGCCAAACAACAAGUUGAGAAAAUUGCAAGUCAGGAGCUCGCCUGAAGAAUAGGGUGGUGAAACUCAAGUCAAAAGUUCAGAAGAAGCUGCAUAGAUAGGAUUUUGUAAUUUCAUUUAUGUUUUUAACUUGUACUUUUUAUUUUUUAUGUAAUGACAGAUCCGCGGACCGGAACCUCGAUGGAACCUCACUCGACUCUCCAACUCGGUAUAGUCCACUUCUCUUCCAACCCUUUGAGAUACUUGUGACUUCCUCAUGACUUGGGUAGAUAGGGUGUUCGACAGGAUUUGAUUGUCCUUCUUUCUUUUACUCCACUCUUUGAAUAAUGAUCGGGACAAAAUUUGAUCUCGUUGUUUUCUUCUUUGUCUGAAAACACUGCGUGUUUACAUUCAAAGGGGGCAUGAUGUAGACACGUAAUUUCGUCCCUCCCCGACAUCGUUUUACUUCCAUUAGCAUAGACCCUCAAAGUCAUCUUCUUCACAUAUAUACCCAGACCACCGAAAAAGAAAAAAAUAGAGUAAAAACUAAAGAGAGGUGAUCGGAAUAGGGGACUGGUGCGAGGUUCGAUCCUUUUCCAAGCUUUUUCUGGUGAAAACUUUCACCAGAAUUGAUUUUAGUUCGUCGUUUGGUUGACCAGUUCUAGAAGAAUCCAAAUUUCUUCAUUUUUCUUUGAUUUCUAAGGGAAUCUGGCCGGAAACAUUAAGUUUUGGCCAGAAAACGUGGACCAGCAGCGAAUUAUUCACUAAAAUUGGUCCAGUUUCGACUCAGUUUUGCGAUUAGCUUUUGUGUAUGGGUCCGGUUUAUUCUGUUGCUUUCCAUUUGGUUCUUCGACCUUCGAAUUGAUUUUGGGGUUUAAAUUCUAUUCGUUCCGAUCAGUUCGUAGCUAUCAGUCUUCGGGUUUCAAAUUUCUCAAUACCAAAUUGGAAUUCAUCGUUGUUGAGGUUCUGAUUGGGAUAUUCGGACGCGGUCUUCGUCUUUUCACUCUAUUAAUAUUUGAAUUUGAAAGCUACGAAUCGAGGUCCAAUUCUAUUCCCCUCUUUUAUUUAAUAUUUAUUAUAUUUGGUGUGUUGGAGUGAAUAUUGUGUUUGAUUGAUGAUUGUGACGUGGUGAUAUGUUUUGAUAUUGUGUUUGAGCAAUCGUGAUUUCUGUGGUUGAUAUUGAUUGAUUGAUUCAUGUGAAUGAAGGAAUUGAAAGAUUUGAAUUCAUGUGGGAAUAAGUGGGGCGAGAAUUGAUAACUUGAUAUAAUUAGUGAAUUUUGAUUAGUUUGAUUCAUUAGUUGUUUGACUUGAAAUAAACGUUAAUUGAAUUUGGUAGUAUCAAGAUAUGUCGAUUGGAAUAGGCAAGACGUAGGUCGGGUAGGCAAAUCUAGAGAUUGUGGGUUGAUUGAAUGUUUGAAAUUUGAUUGAAUGGUUUGAUUUUAUCACUUUUGAAUCUAUUGUAUAAUUUGGCCGGGGAAUGCCCCGAAGUAUCUGUAUAUAUUUAUUCACCGGGGAGGUAUCAUGUACCCGGAGGACGUUGUGAUGAAGGCCUGAGGCGUCGGGUAGAGCAUUAGUCUAUAAUUAAUUUAGAGUAGGAUUUAUUUUUACACAUUUUUUUAUUUUUGGACUGUAUAAUUGGACUGGACUCUAAAUUUUGGAUUGUUUUAUCUUGUUUGCUUGAUUGAUUGUUUUGCAUGUUUUGUGUGGUUUAUAUAUUCAUAAUGUCAAAUUAGCCUAUACACUCUGCCAAGCGACCGUGGUCAAACUACGGGAUCAAGGGGUGCCUAACACCUUCCCCUCGGUCAACAGAAUUCCUUAGCCGGAAUCUCUGUUCGCAAACCAGUUUUAAAGAGUCAAACCAUUUCGAAAAGAAUUUUCCAAAGGUGACUUGGCACACCGGAUUAUGCCAAGUGGCGACUCUGAAUUUAAUUAUAAAAAAUCCUUUUCGGAAAAGAAUUUUCAUUUUUUGUCACUUAAUAAUAAAACACUUUCGAACUUAAAAAUUAAUCUUUUGGAGUACGAAAAAAGGGGUGUGACACAAAGAACAUACAAAUAAUGAAGUGGCUGGAGAGAACUCUUCAAUGAAUGUAAAUCAUGUUAAAAAAUUUAAAGUUAUUGAUCAUGAAAAGGAGAGUGAAUUUCAAUAAAGCCCCAUCAAAUUAAUCAAAUUAUACCCAAAACUCCUUGAAUUGGGAAUCUAGAGCGGUAGUGAUGGUAUACCGGUGGUGGGUUCAUGAUGUGAUGGAGGAAAAAUGAAAAAAAAAUGGAGCAGCAGCAUAAUUUUUAAAAAAUUUUCAGCUAAAUAAGAAAUUUCAAGCACUCAAUUUCGAGUGUGUUACACUCACCAUUUCAUGUCAACAAAAAGUAUCAAAAUGACACGGUUGAAUGUUGGUUUAGGUGUUUAAAAUGAACAACGUCCACUUUAUGUGUUAACGUAAAAGUUUGUGUCAAAUUUAGGGGUUAGGCGAUAUGUUUGGCCAAGAUUAUAAAUAAAUAGUUGAAAUAGAUUGAUGACAUUACAGGCAUUACAUGGCAUUUGCUAAACCCACACUGCAGAUCAAUCACAUCAAACAAACCGAACAUGGCAUUGGCAACAAUAGAUAAUUCUCGACAAAAUUAGAGAAAAAAAGAAAAACUAAUGUGGACAACCAUCGGAUUUGGAACCAGAACUACCAUAAGAAAAAAUGUAUAUAUAUCUCAAGGAUCGUCGAGAAAAUAGUAAAAGCAAAUCAAAGUCAAUAAUGAGUACAAACGAUCAGAUUUUGAACCAAAAACUAAGAAAAUGGUUAAUGUUAGAAUAGUUGAAAGGAUGGGAGGAUAUCAACAUGAUUUCAUCAUUGUUGACCAGAGCCUAGCAUGUUGAGAGCCUUGAGUACGAAAGUGUAGGUAAAGGCAUCCUCCUGGAGCUUCUCAAAUCUGCAUCAAACACGGAAAGUUGGAAGUGUGAGAAUACUUGAGGUGUGAUUUUCAUUCCAUUCCACAUAUCUAUUUUAAAAAGAAAAAAAUCUUAUAGCAAAAUUGCUGACAGGGGAAAGUAGCUUAUCAAUUUUAGUUUGACAGUGAGCUUGAUCGAAAACUUGAGCAAAUGGAAAUAUGAUCAAUAUGAAAAAAGUUGUUUAUGAAAGUUUUGUUUAACUUCAUAUAUUCUCUAUUUUCCAUCCGACCAUUUACAAAUUUUUAGUCAACAAAAACAUACAGAGUGAAAUCCCACAAGUGGGGUUUGAAAAGAGUAGAGUGUACGAAAAUCUAACCCCUACCUCAUGGUCGUGGAGGUAAAGUGGUUGAUUCUGAAGAACCCUCGGUAAAGUAUAACAUAUAAAGAUAGGUAUGAAAAAGGGAAAACGUGUUAAGAAAACAGAGAAACUAACCUCAGGGAGGUAGAAGGCAUAUAUAUAUAUAUAUUUGAUGGGAGGAUAUCUGAAGAAGAAAAUCCAUAGUAGUAUAAUUUUGGUAUGAGAUUUUAGGGGCAGGAGGAGAGAAGGGAGACAUAAAAAUUAAAAAGGAUUUGAAGAAUAAAAAGGGAAUUAAAAAUAAAGUCGGUGGACCCACAAGAAACUCUUGAAAAGAGAAUAUAUGAGAUGACUUUUGACAAAAAAAUUGAAUACACGUGAUUCGAAACAUCGAUCUCUGAAACAUUUUGCACGGUCUUUACCACUAGACCAAAGACGAAGUCUGUAGCCAUGUCAAGGGUGUGCAAACGCAAAUACAUGUUGGUAAUUCUUAAGUUUUGACCUAUACAUUUUCUGACGAAGGGUGUUCACUUGCACACCCUUGAUUAGCUGUAGCUCCGCCCCUGCCCUGGGUAUCCACCAACUGUACUCUCAUUAAAGUAUGUUAGGGUGUAGGAAUUGUUAGGUUGUGGAGCCUGAUUAAUAUGUGACGUACUGUUAUAUAUUAAUGUUUAGGCUGUACCUUUUAUUCUCAUUCUCUAUGUAAUUGUACAUACUCCAAGUUAUUAAUAUAAAUAGCCCGUCCAUCGUGGAGGUUACCCACGGGUGUUACCACGAAAUUACCUUCCUCUCUCUCCUCAAGAACUCUCAAGUUUUCAUCAUCCUUUCCAUAGAUUUAGUAUGUGUGAACUGCUAAUCGAUCCUAACAACUGGUAUCAGAGCUUGGGAGUUUCAUCACGAUCACUGAAGAUGGAAGGAUCAAAGUUUGGAAUUGAGAAGUUUGAUGGAUUCGAUUUUGAUUUCUGAAAGAUGUAGAUCGAAGACUAUCUGUACCAGAAAGAUCUUCAUGAAUCCUUGAUCGGGGUGAAGCCAGAGUCCAUGAAGGAGGAGGACUGGAAGCUCAAGGAUCGGCAAGCUCUAGGGCUGAUCCAGUUGACCUUGUCGAGAAACGUGACGUUCAACAUCAUCAAGGAGAAAACCACAUCCGAUCUGUUGAUGAACAAGGUAUAUUUGAUGCGUAGAUUGUUCAAUUUACAGAUGCCUAAGAAUGGAUCUAUUACUGAUCACAUAAAUGUGUUCAAUAUGAUUGUUAGUCAACUGUGUUCUAUGGAUGUUAAUUUCGAAGAUGAAAUUAAAGCAUUGAUUUUGAUGUCAUCUCUGCCCGAGUCUUGGGAUACUAUUGUUGCUGCUAUUAGCAAUUCCUUUGGAUCUGAGAAACUAAAGUUUGAUAAAAUUUGAGACGUUGUUCUUAGUGAAAGCAUUGACAAACGAGAAAUUGGGGAAUCAUCUGGUAGUGCUCUCAGUGUUGACCGAAGGGGGAGAGACUAAUUGAGGGGUCAGAAUACACAUAACAUAUCAAAAUCGAAGAAUCGUGGAAAAUCUCCACAAAAAUCCAACGUGACAUGUUGGAAUUGUAGAGAGAAAGGAUAUUUUUGGACAGAUUGCAAGAAACCCAAGAAGAAGAAGAGUCAGAAAUCUAGAGAUGAUAAUGAUUCUCAGAAAUCUAGAGAUGAUAAUGAUUCUGUUAAUUCAGCAGAAGACAUUGGGGAUGCUCUAAUCCUUAGUGUGGACAGCCCGGUUGAAUCCUGGAUAUUGGAUUUUGGUGCAUCUUUUCAUUCAUCUCCUAGUAAGGAAUUGUUCCAAAACGUCAAGUCUGGAAAUUUUGGAAAGGUGUAUCUUGUUGACAACAAACCAUGGGAGAUUGAAGGAAAGAGGGAUGUCUGCAUAAAAACUCCAACAGGAAAUCAGUGGACAUUGGCGGAUGUCAGAUAUAUUCCUGGUCUCAAGAAGAAUCUAAUCUCUAUUGGUUAGUUGGAUUGCACAGGCUACACAACAGAGUUUGGGAAAGGUUCGUGGAAGAUUGUGAAGGGUGCUAUGAUUGUAGAAUGUGGCAAAAAAUCUAGAACUUUGUACAGCAUUGCAGGGUGUAUAAACACGGCUGCUGUUGCUGAGGGUACUUCUGGUUUAUGUCUGUGGCACAACAGACUUAGACACAUGAGUUCCAAAGGAAUAAAGAUGCUGGAUGCAAAAGGAGCUUUAGAGGGGCUGAAAUCUAGUGAUAUGGGUCUUUGUGAGAGUUCUGUUAUGGGUAAACAGAAGCGAGUAAGCUUCACGAAGACUGCGAGAGAGCCGAAGAAAUUACGGCUGGAAAUGGUCCAUACAGACUCUUGGGGACCAUCUCUUUUUCAUCACUUGGUGGAUCCAGAUUCUAUGUCACCUUUAUUGAUGAUUUUAGUAGGAAGGUAUGGGUUUACUUCUUGAAACAUAAGUCAGAUGUGUUUGCUACUUUCAAGAGGUGGAAAACUGAAGUUGAAAAUCAGACUGUCUUGAAAAUCAAAUGCCUAAGGUAUGAUAAUGGAGGAGAAUAUGACAAGUCAGAAUUCAAACAAUUCUGUGCAGCUGAGGGAAUCAGAUUGAUGAGGACAGUUCCCGGGAAGGCAAGGCAAAAUGGAGUUGUGAAAGGAUGAACAGAACAUUGAAUGAGCAUGCAAGGAGCAUGAGGAUACACUGUGGGCAGCCUAAGAUCUUUUGGGCAGAUGCUAUGAGCACAGCUGCAUACUUGAUCAACAGGGGACCAUCAGUUCCUCUAGGGUUCAAGAUUCCUGACGAAGAAUGGACAGGAAAAGAGCUAAAGUAUUCUCACUUGAGAACCUUUGGUUGCACUGUUUAUGUUCAUGUUGAUCCAGAGAAGAGAUAUAAGCUUGAUCCUAAAGCUAUAAAGUGCUACUUUAUAGGUUAUGGUUCUGAUAUGUUUGGGUACAGGUUUUAGGAUGACAGUAACAAGAAGAUGCUAAGACAUUGUGAUGUAACAUUUGAUGAAAAUGUCUUGUACAAGGACAGAGAGAAAAAGGUUCAAGAAACUACAAAGCAAGUGGGAGUUGAGCUUCAGUUGCUGAAGAGUACACCUAAAGAUGUUGCAGCAGAUACUCAACAAACUCCAGAGAUUAUCGUUGAGUAACCAAAGGUGGAAUAAGUGACACCUGAGCAGGCUGAGAGGAGAUCAUCCAGGACCAUUAGAGCACCAGAUAGGUAUUCACCAUUAUUACAUUAUCUGUUGCUGAUUGAUGAAGAGGAACCAGAGUCUGUUGCUGAGGCCCUGCAAGUGGAGGAUUUAAUCAAGUGGGAGCAAGCCAUUGAUGAUGAGAUGAGCUCACUUGAGAAGAAUAACACGUGAAUGUUGAAUAAGUUACCUGUAGGGAAGAGAGCCUUGUUUAACAAGUGGGUGUUAAGAAUCAAGGCAGAACUAGAUGGCAAAAGAAGGUUCAAGGCUCAGUUGGUAGUUAAAGGAUAUUCACAAAGGAAAGGUAUUGAUUAUGCUGAAAUAUUUUCUCCUGUUGUGAAAUUAACUACUAUCCGAAUUUUAUUGAGAAUUGUUGCAUCGGAGAAUUUGCAUCUUGAGCAAAUAGAUGUAAAGACUGCAUUUUUACAUGGAUAUUUGGACAAGAAAAUCUAUAUGCAGCAGCCAGAGGGGUUUGUAGUUCUAGGCAAGGAAAACAUGGGGUGCAAGCUCAACAGGAGCUUGUAUGGGCUGAUCCAAACACCUAGACAGUGGUACAAGAAUUUUGACUCCUUUAUGAGCAAGAGUGGCUUCCGUAGGAGUGAAAAGGAUCAAUGUUGCUACUUCAAGAAAUACACUAAUUCCUAUGUAUUUUUACUCUUAUAUGUGGAUGAUUUAUUGAUUGCAGGAUCCGGUAUAAGGAUAUAAACUCUCUGAAGGCAAGCCUAUCUUCUGAGUUUGAGAUGAAAGAUUUAGGUGCAGCGAAGCAGAUUCUUUGGAUGAGGAUUUCUCGGGAUAGAUCUGCUGGCACUUUGAAUCUAUCCCAAGAGAAGUACGUCGAGAAGGUGCUGUCUAGAUUUAGAGUUAAUGAUGCUAAACCCAGGACUAAUCCAUUGUAAAAUCACAUAAAAUUAUCAAAAGAGCAGUCACGGAAGACAACUCAGGAGCGGGAGCACAUGGCACUUGUUCCAUAUGCUUCUGUAGUUGGGAGUCUAAUGUAUGCUAUGGUCUGAAAUAGACCUGAUAUAACAUAUGCAGUAGGAGUUUUUAGAAGGUACAUGGAAAACCCCCAGAAGGAGCAUUGGGAAGCUGUGAAGUGGCUUCUAAGAUAUCUGAAAGGUACAUCCAGUACUUCACUUUGUUUUGGCAAUGGUAAAGUGAUUCUGCAAGGUUUUGUUGAUGCUGAUCUUGGUGGGGAUGUGGACUCAAGCAUGAGCACUUCCUAAUAAAUUUACAUCGUAAGUGGUACAACAGUGAUUUGGAUGUCCAGACUUCAGAAGUGCGUUUCUCUUUCAUCUACUGAGGCUGAGUAUGUGGAAAGAGCUGAAGCUGGAAAGGAGAUGAUAUGGCUGGCAGAUUAUUUGGAAGAACUGGGAAAGAAGCAGCUUAAGAAGAUUCUUUACAUAGAUAGAUAGAGUGCCAUACAGUUUGUGAGUAACCCGGUCUAUCAUUCGAAGAUGAAGCAUAUUAGAAGACGGUACCAUUUCACUAGCAGGGCAGUGGAAGAAGGUGAUAUGUGUUUGGAAAAGAUAGAAGGUGCAAAGAAUCCAGCAGACAUGUUGACUAAAUGUGUUGAUGUUGGUAAACUAAGGUUGUGCAAAACCUUAGUUAGCUUUCUGUAGUUAUGUCUACAGAUGUUGAGGUGUGGCGAACAUAUUGAUGAUGGAGGAAUAUUUUUUUAUUUUUUGAGAAUGUAAUUCUUGGAUGACAGAAUCAGUCUCCAAGUGGGAGAAUUGUUAGCUUGUGGAGCCUGAUUAAUAUGUGACGUACUGUUAUAUAUUAAUGUUUAGGCUGUACCUUUUAUUCUCAUUCUCUGUGUAAUUGUACAUACUCCAAGUCAUUAAUAUAAAUAGCCCGUCCGCCGUGGAGGUUACCCACGGGUGUUACCACGAAAUUACCUCUCUCUCUCUCUUCUCAAGAACUCUCUCAAGUUUUAUUCAUCCUCUCCAUAGAUUUAACAUGUGUGAACUGCUUAUCGAUCCUAACAGGAACCUCUAAAACGUACACUUAUUAAGAGUGUGUUUGGUAUGAAGAUGAAUAUUUUUCAAUAUCAAUUUUCUUAUUUCAUAUUUCGUAUUGUUCGUAUUUCUCUUAUUUCCUAUUUCUCUGAUAUCUAUUGUUAUUAUUUCUUAUCUCUUAUUUCUGUUAUGAUAUCCAUCCUAUUUCAUGUUUCAUUACAACCUUAUGUUACUAUUCUCUAUCUUGAGCUGGGUAUCUAUUAGAAAUAGCCUCUCUACUUCCUCGAAGAUAGCGGUAUGGACUGCGUAUAUUUUACCCUCCUCAGAUCUCACUUUGUGGGAAUACACUGGGUCUGUUGUUGUUGUUGUUGACUUCCGUACAUAAAGAAAAAACAUGUUUCAGAACUUUCCUUACAACCUCAAGAGCUUGAAACGAGUCACAACUUUUGGUCAUAACUGACACGAGACAUGGGACUUGGCUCUCAACGACAACCCCAACCAGGACCCGACUCCCGACAUAGGAGUCAAAUCUUGACCCCGACUUCCGACCUCAACCCCAAUGCAAGACCAAAUCGUAAUACACACCCAGUACUUGACUCCUGACCCCCGUUACUAAAUUGAGGCUCGACUCUUGACAUCGGCUCGGAGCCCGCAUAUCGAUCCCAUUCAGACGUCAAACUCAACCCUGCCUGACCAGAGACCUCACACCCAAAAUGGACCUAAUUCCUUAUCCUAACCUGGUACCCUACCAAUAUUUUGGACAGCGAAAGGAGACAAGAGGCGACAAGGUCCCGCCUCGCCACCCGGCGAGGCGAUCGCCUUUUGAAUGUACGGCAACAAUUAAUAUAAAAAAAUUAAAAUAAUAAAUAAAUGAUCAAAAUUUCAAUAACACUAAUAUAUGAGGAAAUAUUUUAAGUCAAGAAUUAAAAAUAGAUAGUAGAUAGAUACUAAAAGUCUAGAACUUGAAUUAUUCAACAAUCCAAUAUAUAUCCAUAAAACAAGCAAUACUAAAACUUUAAAGUUUAUUCUUCUUCAAGAUUGAGACGCCAUUGAAAUUGAAAUAGUUGUUAAUGAUCAAGACAGUAGUCAUUUAAUUAGUAUAUUACUAUCAUACUAUGUAAUUGAAUUCUAUAUAAGUUGUUCAAAAAGAAAUUACAUAAUAAGGCUACAAGGCACAAACUUACUGGUUACUGUUAUAGUAACAGUGUUUAAGACAAGUUCACUGUUACACAAUACAGUGAUAGGAAAAUAGAAGAAGAGAAAAGAGAAAGAAAAAAAGGCACCAAAGUACAGGUCUAAUUGAUGGAUUAAGAAGAAGAAGAAAGAACAAAAAUAUAGAAAUCAACAGUGAUGGCUCACUACUUACCAGAGUCGCCAGAGUACGUCGCCGGAGUAUGUCACUGGUUGCCGGGAAAAAAUUUGUGAGAUGGAUGGUAGCAGCCACAGUUACCACUAAGCAAGUUGGUAGAGCCAAUAUGUGUAAAUAAGCCCUAAAAUUAGUUUAUAUACCGAAAAUCCUAAUUUUUUUAAAAAAAUUUAAAAGGCGGCGUCAUUGUCACCUCGCCGCCUAGCCUCUCCAUGUCACCUUUCUCUCAAAGGAGAAAUCUUUUGAUUUUCGCAACACCAUGACCUGAAGAGGCGACUAGGCCUCGCCUCUCCAUUCUCCAUUGGCGACGUGGCGAGCACCUUUUACAACGCUGGAUCCUACUACAAAACCCGAUCUGGGACCCAGACUCCUUAUCCUAAUCCAAGACCCGACCCAAACCCAAAUCCCAAACCUGACACAGGACCACUUAUUUAUUUUCUAGGCAAAUAGAAAAAUAUUUUCCUUAUUACCAAACACACCCUAAAAGGAGAAAAAGAAAAAGAAGAAAUGCUUGUAAUAUGGGAGUACUUGUUUCUUUUACAUAAUAAGAAACAAUGGAUAAUAUGGAUAUCCGUAUAAUCCGUUGGUUUACCCAUUUUUUUGUCCAUAUAAAAUAUGGGUGGGUCAGAUAUUUUAUCUAUUUUCACCUAAACUCAUUUUCGACCCGCGCAUUUGCUACCCCUAACUCUAAUCAACAUCAUACAGGAGAGCAAACCCACAUACCUUAUGUCAUUAUUCCCUAUUUCAAGUAAGGUAUUGAUGAAGCUGGACCAAAUCAGGAGGAGGUCCUUACGGGAUGACAACAAUAGUGAUACAAGAAAAGAAAGGAAAGGAACAAAACAACAAAACUAAGUUACAAAACAAGAAGAAGAACACAACAAUAUUGUAACAACAACUCACGGAUUCCCUAGAAAUGAGAACAAACUAGUACAAACGAUUACAAGAAUAAAAUGAACAAAGGAUAGACAGUUAGACCUUGGUUGGUAUAGUCUUAAGAACCCAAGAACAUGUGAUACUCUUGGACCCUUAACACUACACGGAAUGGUUAAUAUAACUCCUAUGUUGACACAAGAGGGACUUUACCUCCUCCAAACACCAACGUCUCAAGCCAUGAAUGCAACACUAGUGAUUCUACACUAGUAUCACCCUAAUUUCAGGUUGCCUCCUAAACAGAAGAGAGGACUUAUCUUUCAAAGUGUUAUACAACUUACAAAUAUCAUCAAAGUCUAAGUAGUAAAUGACCUAACAUAUUCUAUUUAUAGUAGGUUACAAAAAUUGUGUGAAAUGUCCAAAAGACCCCUUAGUCAAACGCUUCACUUUAGGUGCCCUUGGAGUGUAGUUUGUGGACUUUUUUGGAGACUAUUUAGGCCCUCCUUUGCACUUCACUUGUACGCUCCAAGUCUCGGGUUCAAUACAUCUCAUAUAUGUCCAUCUCUAUGGUCAUUCUCGUAUCAUCCUCUCCUUCUUGAAAAAGGAUUUGAACUUGAAUCUGCUCCUUUGCAAAAUCAAAGAAGGACAAAUAAGCAAAAUAUCCUCAUGACAUAAGGGUUAGGAUUAGCAAAAUACACAAAUCACAUGCUAUGCCGAGUUGGUACAAACUUGGAGUAUACCCACGGGUCCUUUGUGUUGAACAUGAAAACCUUAGUAUAAAUAGCAUAAAGGAAGAGGUCAUCAUCAAUAAAAAGAGGUAAGGAAGAACCUUGCCUUCCUUCAUUAGCACUCACAAUCAAACAUUUCUUGUCGUUUGGACCAAGUAUCAAGUGGGAAAUGUAGAAAUUCCCAUAUUCUGAGAGGGUACCAGUGUCAAAUGGGAGAAGUACCCAACGUCUAAGCCGAGGCUAACCCUUCCUUCCCCUGGAAUGUCACUCCCAUAAUCAUGCAUAACAUUUUCUUUUUAGAGAAGACUAAUAUUCAAGAAUAGAGAGAUACGACCUAGAAGUCCUACCUCAAAAAGACAUAUGCCAUCAUUUAUAACAUUUCCAUACACAUGAUCUCUAUAAACAAACUACUAGCAAGGCUUUUACCACACAAGAUUUUCAAAGAGUCACGUGUACCAUCAAGAUCAACCCUAUAAACACCAUCACUAACUUGAGAUUUUCCUAGAGCACCACACAUAUGCUCAAGUAGUGGAAUAUAUUCAUGAGUAAGUUGAUCUUAUUCACAUUCUCACUAGUAGUUGGCCACUCACAUACCAACAUAGACUUACCUUGGCUCGCAGAAGGGUCAACUAGUGUAUGAAUACUGUCGUCAAUUGUUAAUAUAGUCUUACUCGAGUUAUAUGGGCUAGCACUAGAUGGACACAAAUUAUUCUUGCGAGAAGAAUCAAUUUCGUCAUCUAAAUGAUCAACUAGUGCUUGCAUACUUACAACAAGAGUUUGGUCCUCCCACGACCUAACAUCACCAAGAGUAUCACAAAAGGAUGACUCGAGCACCUCUACACUAGAAAAAUCCACAACUACACCUACUUGGCUCCUACUAGCCACAACACAACAGUUCAUAGGAGUGUAGGGGAUAGUGUUUUUACCUCAUAGCUCAUAUGAGAUAUGGAAUUCCUUUUGACGUGUGUCCGGAUAUCCCACUUGAUCCCUUUGACCUACCAUACGAUCCAACCUUUCAUUUACCAUAGCUAGAUCUCGUGACAUACUAUCAAGCAAAAUGACAUUAGUGGAAUUUUUGUCCAUGGGUUGAGAGGUUGAAGCCGCGGGUUACCUUGUAAUUGUACCUAAAAACAAAAAAGGAAAAGAACAAGCUUACAAAGCAAAGCACAAGUUAGUUCGGAACAACCUUACCACACUCUCACACACUUGAUCAUAUCACACUUGGAUUCACAAGUGUUGCAAGUCUGCUUGUAGUUGGUGAUGAGUCGAGGGGUGAGUCUAGUUGGUGAUGAGUCGAGGGGUGAGUCUACUCUUUGGUCGGAAUGGAUUCUUUGUUUGAAGACUCACGAAAAUGAUGUAUGAACUUGAACCAAAAAAUUCUAUGAUUCAAAAACAAGAAAAACACAAAAUAAGGUAGACACAAACAACGGAUGCAAAGGAUUAAUUGACAAUCAAGUAGGAGUUUACUAGUUGUUAAUUAGUUCUAGGAUCAACUAAUGAAACCAAGAAUCAACAAUUAGAAACUAGAAAAAUCCAAAUUUAAGCUUAAUUAUUGACGUGAACAAUAGCAAGUGGUGACGUGGAAGUAUGAAAUUUGUCUCGGGCCUACACAACUUAGUCACAAAUCUGAAAUUUUCAACCUUCACACAAUUUAGAAUGAAAGACAAUUGGUUUUGGAGGGAAAGUAUAAGUCUUGAGUAUUUUAUAAGUUUAUUGUCAAAAAAAAAAAGAAGAUGAUCUUGACUUGUACUAGUUCCACCAAACAAGGCUCCUUUAUUUAAGGAUAGUAGUUGAAAAAGUUGAUGUCAAGUCUAGGAAGUGAUGGUUCAAGUCUUCUCACCAAUAAACUUUACAGCUUUAUCUUCACCUUUUUGAAUAAAGUUUGCACUUUUUGUAGUUUAAGUUAUAAGAACAAGAUGAACAAAAUAACAAUCUUCAAGAACCUAACAACUUCUCAAGAACACAACAACAACAGCACGAAUCGUCCACCAAUCUUCAACACACGGUCAACUUCAAGUCACCACAACAUUAGUCAACAUUAUAAGCUCAACUUUAGAUCUAGACACUUUUAGUGUUGGUGAGAAAGAAACCAACACUAUAAACACACUACACAAGCAAAAAUAUACUAGAUCUAGUCACAAAACUUUUGGCUAAGUCAACAACAAGAACAUUUCUCCCCUUUUUUUUUUGAUUUUUCUAGCAAGCCCAAGAUUGAAUUUGUUGGAUAAAAAAUCAACCACAAGCUUUGAUACCAAAUGAUACAAGAAAAGCAAGGAAAGACACAAAACAACCAAACUAAGUUACAAAACAAGAAGAAGAACACAAUAAUAUUGUAACAACAACUCAUGGAUUCCCUAUAAACGAGAACAAACUAGUACAAACAAUUACAAGAAUAAAAUGAACAAUGGAUAGAUAGUUAGACCUUGGUUGGUAUAAUCUUAAGAAUCCAAGAACAUGUGAUACUCUUGGACCCUUAACACUACACACAACGGUUAACCUAACUCCUACGUUGACACAAGAGGGACUUUACCUCCUCCAAACACCAACGUCUCAAGCCAUGAAUGCAACAUUAGUGAUUCCACAUGUGUAUCACCCUAAUUUCGGGUUGCCUCCUAAAGAGAAGAGAGGGCUUGUCUUUCAAAGUGUUAUACAACUUAAAAGUAUUAUCAAAGUCUAAGUAGUAAAUGGCCUAACAUAUUCUAUUUAUAGUAGGUUUCAAAAAUUGUGUGAAAUGUCCAAAAGACCCCUUAGUCAAAGGCUUCACUUUAGGUGUCCUUGGAGUGUAUUUUGUGGACUGUUUUGGAGACUAUUUAGGCCCUCCUUUGCACUUCACUUGUACGCUCCAAGUCUCGGGUUCAAAACAUCUCACAUAUGUCCAUCUCCGUGGUCAUUCUUGUAUCAAAUAGUCAAUACAAGUUCAAUACAAGUUCAAAAUGGGGAAUGGGACACAGUAGAUUACCAAAAAAUGAACAAAGAAACAGAAGUAAAAUGUGGCAGCACACAAGAAAAAUUUACUUCUGAAAUGUGCAGAUACAACGACAAUGGGACCCAAUGGAACAAGUUGUAAUAAACCAAGGACAUAGACAAAAGUCGUUGGCACCCAAGAAUGUCAAGACUCCACAUGGCACUGCUCCAUAGAAAUAUAUCAAAAAACUAUGGAGUAAUUCAGUAAUUAUAUUUCCUUUGAAGUUGGUGAUGGAGACACAUCCGACAGGACAUGAUAAGUGGCUGAGCAAUAGCAUUCUAAAAGAUGAUAUUCCAGAUUUCUUCCAGUGUCGGACACUACUUUUGGAGAAUCCGACACAGACCCAUUGACAUUGAAAGAGUCCGAGCAACAUAGCUUGAGACCCAAAGUGAUCUCCUGGUUUACUGACAUUCUGUUAUCAUAACAGCAUCGUAAACUCUAAAGUAAGUAACCAAAAAGCCUAAAAAAGAUGCUAAGUCCCACUGGUUAUAAAAAAGAACUUAUCAAAAGUUUUUUUUUAACUUACCAAAUGAUUCAGGUCAUAAAGCUGGUUAUAAAAUCAUGGGAUAGUCACCAAUAUAUACUAUUCGGCCAUCUAGUUUACCAAACAUGGCCAAAGUAUACACUAAUAUGUAUGUGUACGUAUGUUACUCCCUCCAUUUAAAUUUGAUUGUCCUAUUUUUACUUGACACAAAGUUAAAUAAUUAAAGAAGAUUUUUGAAUCUUGUUGUCUUAAAUUAAAGGUAUGCCAACUUACUGAAAUACCCUUUAAUCUUGUGGUCUUAAGCAUGCAACAUAGAAAGUUGGAAUUGAAAGAGUUGCUAAAAAAAGAAAAAGAGACUUACUUUUUGAAACAUACUAAAAGGGAAGUAGAACAAACAAAUUGAAAAGGAGAGAGUAUAUGUAUAUUAGUAUAAAGUAUAUACUACCUAUACAGUGUGUAUAUAUUUUUUAAACUAGAUGGCCUGAAGGUGUUGGGCUGUAAAUUUUCCAAAAAUCAUACCUUCCAGAUUUUGAAAAAUGUCCUGCACCCAUUUCACAUUUGAACAAGUGUAAAUUAUCAUUCGUCUUCAUAUCUCUCAAUUUGGCCACAAACUUCGCUGGCUCAGAGAACAUAACGCGUGGAUCUGUUACAAUUUAAGACCUCACAUUAAAACAAAAGUAGAAAUAUCUAAAUAAGUGAAUGAAGAUUACUCCUUUAUUUCAAAGUUUGUGUAAUGACAGAUAUAAGCCAAUAUAUCAGUCUUAUGUGAUCUCUUUCUGAUUUGUCCAUUUUCAUAAGCAAGCUUCCUUAGUAGCUACAAAAGAUAAGCACAUACUAGUGGACAGUAGGAAAUUUACACUGGAUCACAAAGAUGAGAUCAUAUCAACUAAAUGAACUUGAAUCUUAUGAAUAUCUUUUGAAAAUUGAAUCUUAUGAGUGCUUCAUAAAAAUAUAAUAUGAACCUCUAAUCUUAUUUUGGACUUAUCCUGUUAUGAUAUUUUACGUGUUCCGAAUCUAAAACUUUAAGGAAGGAAAAGCCAUCAUUUGCUACUAGAUAUAUUUUUUAUUUGUUCAUAAAAAGGUAGAGAUGGCCAUAUACAAUAGAUAAACUAAAAGGUGAAGAAUUUGCAAAAUCUGAUUCUCCACAAAGUCCACCUAUCCUUCGAUACAAGAAGGAAAUUUAUAGGUGCACCAGAAGAAAAUAAGUAACCAGAGGCUCUUCCUCAAUUGGAAAAAACUUGACUCUACUCCUCAAAAUCUCUCGUAUUUCUCUCAUUCCAAAUAUCCCACAUCAACUCAAGACUUACAUCUUCUCCUCCUAUUCCCGCUUCUCCGCUAAAAAUUACUGGGGCCAAUUUUGUCACGUUUUCAUGUACCAAUUGAACACUAUCCAUUUUUUACUAUCCUCAGAAGGAUAAGAUUAUUCUCUUUACCAAACAUAUGCAGAUCGAAUCACAAUCUUAUAUAUAAGAAGAGCAAAAGAUUGAUCAAUCCCUUCAAGUUUGAAUUUGUUCAUUUGGAAUUUGGGUUCUUCUACUUCAUAUUUAUUUAAUAUAGAUAAUCUUUCACAGUAUUUGGCAUUACCCAAGAAACUUUGAACCACCUAAGCAUGUCCCACCCUAAUCAUAUGGUAGACAUAAUGAAUGAGAAGAUGAUCCACAUCUUUUCCUGUCUCCUUACAUAAGAACACUAGCUAACACAAAUAACCAUUCGCUUUCUAAGAUUUUCCACCGUCAAAUCACCCUCUAGAUGCUAGCCAAGAGAAAAAACAGACCUUCCUCGGUACUAACACUAUCCAAAUUGCAUCACAUGGAAAAACAACCACCUCCCUAAUUAAGAGUUUCUCAUAGAAAGAUUCAACACAAAAACUUUAUUAUUUCUCAAACACCAACACAAAGCAUCAGGUUUAUCCACUAAAAUGACUUGCCUGUGAAGGAUGGCCAUCAGCCUUUGGAACUCGGUCACCUCCCAAUCGUGAAAAUGCCUCCUAAAUCUCAAGUCCCAAAAAGUCUCUCCACUAUGUAUCUUCCUAAUUUGUUGAACCAAUGGAUCUCUCAUUGGCAUGACAUUCUAUACAAAAUCCAAAAAUCAUCUUUCAAUAAGUUAUCCCCACACCACAUAUGUCCCAAAAAAUUAACUCUCCUCUCAUUUCAAACCUUUAAUGAGAUAUUUUUGUUGAGAUCAUCUCAUCCAUUCAUUAUAUUCCUCCACAAACCACAUCCGAAAGGCAUAGUUACAUCUCCAUUUAUCCAUCCCCCUUCCAUUACCUCAUUUUUAUCAACUAUCUCCCUCCCCAAAAGUCUUGUACCUCCAUCCCAAAAUGCCAACGCCAUUUGUCCAACAAUGUUUUGAUAAGAAUCACCAAAUCUUUAAUUCUGAGACCUCCCUAUUUUUAGGAGAUGUGAUAGUCUUUCAUUGAACCAAGUGAUAUUUCUUUGCCCAAUCUGCUCAUCUCUGAGAAAGUUUCUCCGCAACCUCUCCUUUCCCUGUAAUUGAAAUUGGAGCCUGAAAUAAAGGCAUGAAGUAAGUGGAAAUAUUUUGAUAAAGUACUCCUAAGAAUCACCUUGUUUCUUCCUUUGGAGAAGUAUCUUUUUUGCCACCUGCUAACCUCUUCUCACCCCUCUAAAAAACCGAUCUCCACACCAAAACAUCCUUGUUUGAAGCCUCCACUGGUAAUUCAAGAUAGGUAGUCAGAAGAGCCCCACACUAUAGUGCAAAACCUGAGUAAGCACCUCAAUAUGACUUGGGAUGGGAUUGAAAAACCUUAAAGUAGGUUUAGGUUAGUGCUUGCCUUAGGUUAGGUUUUCGGGAUUAGUAGUGGGCCCCACAGGCCCUUCUUUAGGUAGAAUGCCUAGAAUAGCCCUUGUUGGACUAAAUUACCUCCUUUCGAUACCUUGGACUAAUUAUUGAACUUUAGGUUAACUUAGUCAGUUUAUUGAACCCUAACUAGCCUUGUGACCCCGGUUGGAGUAGUAUGUGACUUUAGAUCAUAUCCUUUGGCUUAGUGAAUAAACCCCGUAUCACUUAGCAUUUUUUUGGUAUUGUAUUAAGAAAAAUAAUGCUUGCAUUAUCUUUGUGUAUUAUUAAUACCUUGGUACACUUUUUUAUCUUAUGUAUUACUAAUCCUCACCUCUGUUAGACACUAUAUUUGAUAUUAAAGAGUGUGUUAUUAAUGCAUAGAAAUCAUUGGUAUUAGUGAUGCAAUGGAUUCUAAUGCAUGCAUUAGCAUGGUUGAAGUCAUAAUUGUCCCUCAAAAUCCUUUCCACAUCCUUUCCACCAUAUUUAUAAAGGGUAUUUCUAUAAACUAAAACAUAUUUUUUAGAAAUUAUGUAAUUCAUGUUAUUUUUAAUACACCAAACCAAAUAGUGCGUAAGAAUAACUAACGCAAGGUUAAUAAUGCAAGUGUUACUAAUACACAAUAUUUUGCACCAUUCUUAUACAACGUACCAAACGAUCUCCUACAGACUUGACCGCCUGACAUGGAAAUCUAUGACUUCUUAGACCCACGAGAAAUGAUAAUCUUGGAUCAUUAUUACCUUUAGCUUAUUUAUCAGUUCUGGUUUGAGUUCAGCACCUAGCAACUAUCAUAUUAGUUACCAGAUUGGCAUUUUAAUAUUAUGGUACUGUUCUCUAGUUCUAGUUCAAGUCCAGCGUUGAUGGGGGUUUGGGUUGUAGGUGACAAAAGAGUUUUAAAAUGAGGUGUAGGUGACACAAGUCUUAAUAAUUGAAUGGAGGUGACAAUAUCUUUAUUAUGGAUUAAGAAAGUUUGGUAAGUUUGAGAAUAACCCACAAGUUUUUAAAUUUACACUUUGAUCCAAAUAUUUACCUAAUAUAACAUGAAACGUGGGGAAAAAGGCAUCUUUCUCUCUCUCUCUUCUCAUCCAUUGUUGUUUUCUCUGUCUUAGCGAUUUUUGUUGUUCAUUGUUGCUGCUCCUUUAUUCAUCAUCUUUUGCUUCAUUAUCAUCAUCUUCUACUUCAUUAUCUUCAUGUUCUUGUUGUUGACCAUUGUUGUUGUUUUUGUUGUUGUUACCACUAUUGUUGCUAUUUGAUAAAUUUCUUAGGUCAAAUUUUAUUUCAUACAUCACUUUCCACUUUGGCAUUACUUCAUAGGAGACUUUGGUAAGUCAAGUUAUGAUUUUUAGUUGAAUUUUUCAUCUGGGUAACUGCUAUUAUGCUGUUUUUCCAAUAAUGGAUAGAACAUAAUCAUGAAUCAAACAUAAGAUCCAUCUGUUUAAAUAGAUAAAUCAUCUAUUGCGACAGAUGAGAUAUCUAUUUCAAUGAAAGACUGAUAUGUUGGAUUCAUGUUUAUGGUUCUAUAGGCCGUAACAUAAAUUGAAAAAAUAGGCCAUCUGAUAAAAUAGAUAAUUUAUCUGUUUAAACAAAUUAAUUAUCUGGUGCAAUAUGAUAAAUAUAUGUAGCAAUAGAUUAUUAACCUGUUGUAACAGAACCUGACCUCGAUUCCAACAAACGUGUUGUCUGUUGCAAUAAGGUAAAUAUCUGUUGCAACAGAUUAUUAACCUGUUGCAAUCGAACCCGAACUCAAUUCCAACAGACAAAAAAUAUCUGUUGCAACAUAUUAGUAACCUAUUGGAUAGAACUUCACCUCGAUUCUAAUAGAUCAUAGUCUGUUGCAAUAGGUAAUUCAUCUAUUGCAACAGGUUAAUUAUCUAUUGGAUCAUGUCACUCGUCUGUUGGAAUCAGCUUUAAAGGUGCCUCAUUACUAUAACAUCAAACCCAAUAGAUAUAUAGUCUGUUGCAACAUAUUUUUCACCUGUUACAACAGAUGACUCUUCUGUUGAAUUCAGCUUCAGGAGCGUAACAUAAAUCCUAGUAGGUAAGUAAUCUAUUGCAAAUGAUUACACCUCUGUUGGGAUUCAUUUACAACACUAUGAAAUCACUAUUAACUUUUUUUAACAAAUGACUUUAUUUAGGUACCACUAAUGGAAGGAUCAAUAACAAUAGAGGUAGAUUGUCAUGGUCAAUGGAUCGAGAAGAGCAAUCGAUAUGUAUGGCAUUGGAAUGAGGGUAAAAUGCUAGAGAUGAUAGCUAUGACAGUCCAAGGUGAUGUUUCGUAUGAUGAUUUUGUGAACUUAACCAUCAUUUAUUGUGGAAUGAAUUUUCAAUUGGAAGAACUCAUCAUUAGCUACAUACAUAGCUCCUUUGAAAAUCAGAGGGUACUACAUUUCAAGAUAAUUGAUCAGGUUCGGUUGCGUGCUUAUCUUAGUGAUUCAUCUAGGCCGGUGUUAAGGGUGUACAUGGUUGAAAAUACGAGAGAGAAUGAGAACUAGAACAUAGAAGAACAACAACAAGAAUACAUCUUUGAUGAUCGGUUGGAUAAUCUAGACAUAAAUAGUCCAGAUGAUGAUCAAACACCUACGCCCGUUAAUGUGACCAAUACGAUGUGAAGUUCUUCUCAAUUGACACAAUCUAGAAAUAUUCAUGAUGAUGGGACCGUCUUUUUUUAUUUGAAUGUCAUUCAAGGACAAGAAUAAACUAUCUACCACUUUGUUUAUUUCAUUCUUGAAAAAAGAUUUCAGAAUAACGAAGGUGAUUAAUUCGAGCAGUGUCUUUUGCUUCAAAUGUGCUAAUUCAAACUGCAAGUGGUGAUUGAGAGCGGUGAAGUACGCAAGUUCUAGCAUAUUCAUCAUUCAUAAACAUAAAAAGUAUCACACAUGUGGUUAAGGGCACAUCUCGGGACAAAAUCCUCACACCACAGCAAAGGUGCUCGGUGAAUAUUUUAGGAGUAGUUUCCCCGAUGGCAAAGGCCUUUCAACAAGGGUUAUGGCCAAUCAAUUCCUUACAGAAUUAGGUGUCUUGGUCAGUUAUUGAAAGGUGGAUAGGGGGACACUCGAGCAUGGGUAUGAAGUCCUAGAUGCCUACCUUACAUGAUUGAGUCCACAAAUCCUGGAAGUACGACGAUAUUGCAUCUUGAUAAAAAUGGAAGGUUCAGGUACUUUUUUUGUAUCCUAUAGUGCUUGGAUUCAAGGCUUUCGACAUUUGAGAAAAGGCAUAGCUGUCAAUAGUACCUUCUUUAGGAGAAGGUAUAAGGAGUUCUACUAGUGGCGGUGGCGCAAGAUGCGGAGAAUCACAUCUUUUCUAUCGUUUUUUGUGUAGUGGACAAGGAAUGUAAUGCAUUUUAUGGAUUUUUUUUGAACAACUGCGAAGCUGUGCCAAAGAUACCAAAGAGUUGUAUUUUGUAUCGGAUAGGCAUCCAAGUAUUUCAAAGAUGGGUUCAUGUUCCUUCACUUAAGCUUACUUUGGUUGUUGCAUCAGGAAUCAUGAAGAGAACAUUCAAACCAACUAUCACAACGAAAGGGUUGUGACCCUUUUUUAUAAAGAAGCUAAAGCAUAUAGUAGUGAAGAGUUUUUGGACUAUUUCAAUCAAAUAAUGGAUGUGAAUCCCAAGGUAGAAAAAUUUCUCGUACGUGUCGGUUUCGAGAGAUGGACCCGGGCAUUCUGUCCAACAAAUAGGUACAUUCUUAUCAAUUUAAAUGUCUUGUUUGAGUUACAAGUUUAAUAUGAUGUCGUACUAAGUGAUUCUUUUGUAUAGGUACAAUGUUAUGACAUUAAACAUAGAUGAAUCAGUGAAUUCAUUGUUUGGCAAUGAAAAAUAAUUUCCUAUCAAGGCUAUGUUUGAAAAAAUAAGCCAGAAGUAUGGCAAAUUUUUUAAUGAAAGGCGUGUGCAGUUCAAGUACCCAGAAAAAAGAACCCAAUUUGUUCUAAAAAUCAAAAAAAUAAUAUCAAUGAAUGUCAGUUUAUAAAAUAGGUUAUUACCUCAUAAAAUAGCAGAUUACAAAUUCAGUACGACCAGUCAUAGUGAUGUUGCCACAGUCGAUCUUCAAAUAAGAUCUUAUACAUGCAGAGUUUUUGACUUGGAUAAAAUACCCAGCCCACAUGCUAUGGCAACGCUUCAAGCUCAAUAAAGUCAUAAAUAUGGAACUGAAGUUUACAAGCACUCCUCUCAAUAUUAUUCGGUGGAAAAAUAUGAAAUGGCAUAUAGUGUGCAUAUUACUCCGGUGCCUCCUAAAGAAUCUUGGGUUGUUCCUACAGAAAGAUUAAUACCUCCUCCAUAUAUUGACCCAAACACUAUUAAAUUAGGAAGAAAGCCAUAUAAGAGGAGGCGUGGAGUCAGAGAAUCAUUCUCAUCAAGAAGAAAUAAGUCCUCCGUAUGUAAGCGCGCUGACCACAAAAGAACUACAUGCCCGAAUCAUAAUCCACCAUGAUCAUUGUAAUUGCAGAAACUUGUAUAGCUAUUUGUUGUGGACUUUUAUAUAUUUAACUCAUUGUUGUGAACGUAAUGUUAUCAUUCAUUAUAUAUAAAAUAUCUUUUUAAUAACUUGUGCAUCAAUAAAAAGAGGCAAAAACAUGAACUAAAUAAUACAGCAGACCAAAAGUAUUUUCAGCAGAUUACCCAUCUAUGGAAAUAGAUGGAUAUUAGCUGGAAAAAUACAACACAGUUCCAUAAAACUGAAAUAUCUUCCUCCAAUAGAUAAUAAAUCUAUUGCAACAGAUGGAUAAUCUAUUGACAGAAACCGAAUCGAUGACCAAUCUAUUCCAACUUAUGAUCCAUCUGUUAAAACCCAAAAGGCAAAAUUGCUAUUACUACUGGAUUCAAAAUUGCUCCUUGCCUCCAACCGUCAACAUGUUAACAUGUAAAAUAUUUUGAAGAAAAAAUAGACAGAAUGAAAAUUGAAUAAGAAUUAAAAAGCAAAAGUUGACUAAAAAUAAAUUUUUCAUUAAAUGAAAAUUAAAAUACAUUAGGUAUAGAUCCGAUAUAGAAAAAUUAAAAUACAUGCGCUAAAAUAAAAAACACAUUCUAAUUAUUAUUAUUAUCAUCAUCAUCACUAAUGACAGUCGGCCAAUCAACUCGCAGCAGCAGGGCCCUCAUCAGCCUCUGCAUCUCUCUGAACAUCGUCGCUCUUACGGAAACCAACUCCCUUUUUAGGUCAUUAACCUGCCUCUGAAGUUCCCAUAUUGUGUCGUACAGAAUAGCAAUGUCCCAAACAGGAUCAGCCAUAACUAAAACAUGCAUGAAUUAAUAAAUGUAAAUAAAAGAGUUCAAAUGUAAUACAACAUAUACUACAAACUGAUAGAUUUACACCGGAAAAAUACUUACCUCAACAUAAAGGAAUAUGCUCUUUGAAGAGAAGUUGUUGAAGAUGUCACACGAAAAGAAAAAUUUCAAGAAAUAAAUAAAGUUUAACAGAAUGAAGAUUAAGAAGGGACCUACUUAUAGAGGAUUGAAUCUGGAUAUAUAAGGACAAAAGACACGUUUGUUAAGCUCCAUUAUAUUAAUUACAUUCAAACUGGUGGCAUUUUUUUCUGUAAAAAGUUGCGACUUUUUUGUUUACAUUAAUACUUCCCACCUUUUCAAAACGGUUUUGAAACUUGAUAACAGUCGUUAUUAUUGUGCUGUUGUAAUAGAUCAUCCAUAUGUCGCAACAGAUUUACCAUCUGUUAUAUCAUAUAGAUUAUCUGUUGCGACAGAUGGACCAUACGUUGGGGAUAUUUUGAUUUUUUCUAACAACCAAUUCAUCAGUUGCAACAGAUGGAGAUUUUAGUUCAUCAACUAUUUUAAAUGUGUUAGAUUAAAAGUCACCACUACCUCUUUUUUAAUAGUCAUCACAUGCGUGCAGAUAAAUAAACAAUGUCUGGUCUGUUGUAACAGAUUUACAAUCUAUUUCAACAUAUGGAUUAUCUGUUGCGAUAGAUGGACCAUAUAUUAGAGAAGAUGUUUUGAUUUCUUCUAACAGCUAAUCAUCAGUUGCAACAGAUGGAGAUUUUGAUUCAUCAUUUAUUUUGAAUGUGUUAAGAUAAAAAGUCACAACUCUUCACACCUCUUUUUAAUAAUCAUCACAUGCGUGUAGAAUAAACAACACUGUAGUGUCUUUGAUGGUUUAGAAAGAAUAAGCUACGUUUAAUGGAUCCACUUUCAUGUGUGGGAGUUAUGUAUUAUUGAUUAGUCUACCGCGACAGACACACAUAAAGUGCAAUAAUUUUGUGAAUGCAGUUUUUUACCGAUUAGAGACUGAUCCUUCAAACAAGAUCCUGCAUUGUAUAAUUUAGUUUGAUAGGUGUAAACUGAUAAGGCCGAAGGGUUACAAGAUGGUGGUUUCGAUACCCUAUUACAAUUUAAUGACGAUCCAUGUUCAUGUUUUUGUGUCAAGUUUGGGGAAGGGUUUAAGUUUUUGGCGGCAGUGUAAAUAUCCAAUAGCGAUUAGACCGGUAUUAAUGGUGCAAUGGACUUGUUGAAAGGACUCCGAAGCCUCGCACUACAGCAAACAAUAAUGGAACCAAUAGAAAUUCCCCUAUUCUAUAUUUAUAUGGAUGGAUUGCUGAAGGAGACUUUUUUACAGUAGAAGGUUGUUGAGAGAAUACCUGUGCGGGAAGGGGGAGGUGAAGAAGUCCAUAUAUCAUCUCAGACCUUAUUUAAGAGGAAACACAAGGUAAGAAGCAAGGAAAUUCUAGCAAAUAUGGACAAUGAAGUUGACAUGAGAAACAGAGAAACUGGAUGAGCUUCAAAUGUUGAAGUGUAUUCAAAUAUAAAAAUCCAUCAGUCGUUGAAAAAAAAAAGGUCAACAGGUUUGGAGAUGGACACUUUGCUAGAGGAUUCAACUAGCGAGCGUUGACUCAAUGAAGACUCUCACAAAGUGCAGGACCAGAACUCUAAGGAAGAAGAUUUGCGAGCAUAAAAAGUUGAUACGAUUGUCGGUCAGAAUUGAAACCUGAACAAACAACUCCUGAAUUAAAAAUAAAGGAAGCCAAGAUGUUAAUUUCUAAAGUCUAACUUGCAUACCAUGCCAUCUGUUUGUGUCUAUGAUCAGGUUUGUGGUAGUAGAAACAAAAAGGUCUGAAGUUGGGAAAAAAUCCGAUGCCUUAUUCUUUCCAUUGCCUUUCCUUAUGAGGCAUGGGAUGUAUAUUUAACUUGAGAAAUUACCACCUUGUCUUUAUCCCAUAUUUUUAAUUCAGGAGUAAUUGUUUCAGGUUUCAAUUCUAACUGACAAUCUUACCACCUUCCGUGCUCGCGAAGCUGCUUCCUUAGAGUUCUGGUCUUGAACUUUGUGAGAAUCUUCUUUGAGUCCACGCUCGCUAGUUGCAGUCUCUAGCAAAGUGACCAGCUCUAGUACUCUUGACCAUUCUUCUUUUACUUCAACGAAUGAUGGAUUUUCAUUUUUGGAUAUGCUUUCACAUUCGCAACUCAUCCAUUUUUUUCAUUUUUCAUGUUAAUUUCAUCAGCCAAUUUCACUACACUUUCCUUCCUACCAUGUGUUUCCUUUUAAACAAGGUCUGAGAUGAUAUAUAGCCAUCUCAACCUCCCCUUUCCUGCACAGUUAUUCUCCAAAGCACCUACUAUUGUAUAAUAGUCUCCUCCAGCAACCCAUCUAUAUAAAUUUGGACCAGAGAAAUUUCUAUUGGUUCCAUCGGUGUUUGUUGUAGUGCGAGGCUUUAAAGGCCUUUUAAGAAGUCCAUUGAGCCAUUAAAACUGGUCCAAUCACUAUUGGAUAUUUAUACUGCCGCCAAAAACUUGAACCUUUCCCCAAACUUGACACAAAAACAUGAGCAUAAGCCUUUAUUAAAUUAUAACAGGGUAUCGACACCACCUACUUAGUCCCUCAGCCUUACCAGUUCUAACCUAACAGUCUUAUCUAUAAAAUGCCAUAUCUUGUUUAAAGAAUUAAUGCCUAAUAGGUAAAGAACGAACAUUCACAUACCUCCUAUAUAUGAAGAGAUUCCAUCUGCAAGCAGCUUAUUCAUUUGAACCCAUCUUUACUCUAGCCUUUAAUGCUGGUCGGGCAAAAAUAUAUCUAGUUUCACUUCCUUUUAUAUACAAACAAGAUAAAUACAUUUGACGUCAAACAAGAGAAGAAGAAAAAGAACAUUACAAAAGGGUAACACAAAAUUGAGCGAAUCAAUAGAUGACUAAUCUGAUGCAACAGAUUACCCAUCUGCUUAAUCGAUAAGGUAUCUGUUGCAACAUAUGGUUGACAUAUUACAACAGAUGAGUUAUCUAUUGGAAUAAAUCAAACCAGCCUUGUUACUGGUUUGAUUUCUUCAAACAGUUGCUCCAUCCGUAUAAAAAGGUAACACAAAAUUGAGUGAAUCAAUAGAUGGCCAAUCUUAUGCAACAGAUUACCCAUCUGUUCAACUGAUGAGGCAUUUUGCAAUACAUAUAAAAACAAUAGUUCAUUCAUUCAAGACUUAAAAGUCACCUUUCCUUCAAUUUUCUCAAUAAAUAGGAAACUAGUAAAUAGAUAAAUCAUUAAUAGCAACAUAUGUAAAUAUCUAAUUUAAAUGACAUACAAAGAAGAAAACGAGAUGGAAAAAGCAAUAGUAAACCAUACCUGUAAUUUGUAAAAAGCAAAGGGAUUGGAACAUCCAGUUCAAUUGAGAAAAGAAAUUGAUCGGUUGAGAUCUGAAAGGAUCCUCAUCUGAAAGAAGAGAGAAAAAAGAGGCAAAAAGGAAAAAAGAAGAUAAAGAAGAAAGAGUGAUAGAUGAGUUGAGUUAAGUCUUGAGUCUUACUUAUGGCUAAAGGAGAGAGUAUUCUUCUAGAUAUGGUUUUUAAAUAUUCAUUAAUAACUUUUGACUUUUGAGGGACACAAGGAGACAGUGACAUUGAAAUGACCAAAUAAGUCUACUCACUUAGGAGAUUUUUGAGUUAUCCAGGUAAUUUUUUUACUGCCUUAGUAUUUUAACUUUUUUAUCUCGGAUAGGAAAUACCUAAAUUAUUUUUAAAAAGGGUCUUAAAACAUCUAAGUGCAAUAGAUAACAAUUUCCUUUUGAAAAUUUCCAAAGCUCGAUCAUCUGUCGCAACAGAUGCAUAAUAUAUUGCAACAGAUGACUUAAUCUGUUUGAUUAAAUCCAACAAAAAAGAAAGCUAUUGAAAUAGGUUGAACAUUUGUUUUUAUACAUGUCAAUUGAUUUCUCAUCUUAGACUGAUACCUUAAGGGGUCAUUUGGUAAAGUGUAUUGUGAAAUAUAAUGCAUGCCUUAGUUAAUGUGUAUUGCUAGUACCUUAUUUGGUGCAACUUUUUGCCUAUGUAUAACUAAUGCAAGCAUUAGUUAUAGUUAUCCACUAUUGUUUAUUGAAGCGUGUAUUAGUAAUACACUCUAUUUCCUAUGUAUUAGCAAUACAAAUACUUUAAAAACAUGCAUUAACUUAUUAAAUGACCUUAAUACCCCUCAAUUUCCCUCUCAAAAUAUUUCACCAUUUCUUUUCCCAUCAUUUUAUUUUGCACUAGUGAGUUUUUUCUAAUCAUUUCACAAUUUCUUUUGCCACUAUUUGAAUUUACAAUAAUGAAUGGCUGAUUUAAAUAACUAUAACAUAUUUUUGCUUUGCUUCGAGAUUUAAAUAAAUAAAAAAAAUUGAUACUAUUUCUUAAUUUUACGUCUUGUAUUUUAUUUUCGUUUCGACUAUGUUAAUCCAUCGGCGUAACAUUUUUGCAAAAAGAUGAAGGUCUUGAAAUUAAUCCUAAACCUCUAUAUAAUAGUUUAACAAUAUUAAUUAUGUUUGAUAUAACAAAAGAACUUUGUUGCAAAAAAGUAUACAAAAUCAAAGAAGGGUAUUUUUGUAAACAAAAAUUUCUUUUAUAGAAAUUAUGUAAGAUAUAUUAUUUCUUAUACAUCAAACCAAACAAUGUAAUUAUUACUAAUGCAAGCAUUACUAAUACACUAUAUUUUGCAUUAUUCUUAUACACUCUACAAAAUUACUCCUAAUUGAUUAAUCUAGGACCAGGGGUGAGUUGUCAUAGUGUCAACUACAACUUCAAUUGAUUCUUUUGGAAAUUGAAUGAUAAGAUUGUAUUACGUUCCUCCCGGCCAGAGUCGUUGAUCGAUCACUCUGAGCUAAACCGAUUCUUACUACCUCAUAUGUUAGACCAAUAACUUAAUUGAUUAAACUAGGACCAGGGGUGAGUUCUCAUAGGGUCAACUACAACUUUAAUUGAGUCUUUUGGCAAUUGAAUGAUGAGACGGUAUUGCAUUCCUCCUCGCUAAAGUCAUCGAUCGAUCACUCUAAGUUGAACCGAUUCUUACCACCUCAUAUGUUAGACCAAUACCAUAAUUGAUUAAUCUAGGACCAGGGAUGAGUUCUCAUAGGGUAAAGUACAACUUCAAUUGAGUUUUUUGGCAAUAGAAUGAUAAUACGGUAUUGUGUUCCUCCCGACCAGAGUCGUCGAUCGAUCACUCUUAGCUAAACCGAUUCUUACUACCUCAUAUGUUAGACCAAUACUUUAAUUAAUUAAACUAGGACUAAGGGUGAGUUCUCAUAGGAUCAACUACAACUUCAAUUGAGUCUUUUGGCAAUUGAUGAUGAGAUAGUAUUGCGUUCCUCCCUUCCAGAGUCAUCGAUUGAUUAGUCUGACCUAAAUCGAUUCUUACUACCUUAUAUAUUAGACCAAUACCUUAAUUGAUUAACAAAUAGCAGCCUCUAUUUGAUAACUUACAAUAGAUGGAUAAUCUUUUACGAUAUGUGAUAGUCCAUUUGAUAAUUUACAAUAGAUGGGUAAUCUGUUGCAACAGAUUACUCAAUCUGUUUGAUAUUUUGCAAUAUAUAAGUAUCGGAUGCAACAGGUUGAACGUUUGUUUUUAUACAAUUUUAAUUGAUUUCAUAUACUUAAAUUGAUUAAUCUAAUCUAUGACUAGGGGUGGAUGGGUGAUUUCAUAGGGUCAACUACAACUUCAAUUUCGUCUUUUGGCAAUUGCAUAAUGAGAGGGUUAAAAAUUAUGCAUAUCUUUUAUAAUUUUAAAAAAUAAUUAAGAUCAAUUCAGACCAAAUUAACAUUUCCAAAACUUGUCAUUCUUUUCCAAAAUACAAAUCAUCCAUUUGCAAGAAAAAUGUUUCAUCAUUUCACAUCUCGAGUUCUCGCUCUUUUCUCUUUCUCACUGAAUUAUACAGUACAAUCAACAACUACAACUACUUAACAAAUCGCUCUACCUUUCAUAACAAAUCAAUUUUCUUCUCAUUUUUGACCACAUAGGUGUUAUUGUUGACUUUAUUCUUGCUUGUAUCAGUUAUUUUCUCUAUCUUCAUAGAUAACAGAGUUUGAGAAGAGUUCUAUAUUUGUUAUUAUUUUCUAAAAAAUAAGGGCUUUUAAGUUAAUAAUGAAAAAGAAAACUUUUAAUUGUAUUAUCUUUGAGAAUGGGUUUACAAUUUUGAGUUUUGAUGGUAAAAUCGUAGGAAGAACUCCAGAAACCCUAAUUUUUGUCACAGUUUUUCGUUGACUAUCAUGGUAUUAUUGGAUGGUGUUUGUGGUGUUUGUGGUGGUGGUAGUAGUGGUCAUCAUCGUUGUGGUGGCACUGGUGGUGGCUGUUGGUGACAUUAGUUAGGAGUGUUUGUGGUCGCAUUGGUUGGUGGUGUUUAUGGUGGUUGUCGGUAGUAUCGGUAUUUAUGGUGUUUGUUGCAUUGGUUGGUGGUGUUUGUGGUGGCAGUGGCUAUUGGUGUGUCGUUAUUGGUGGUGUUUGUAAUGUAUUUUUUAAAAUUUAUGCAUACAUCAAUUGUAAUGUAUUUUUAUUUUUCUGUUGUUUGUAAGUAAAACAUCUCUCCCAAAAGAAAAGAAAGUGAAAGUGGAUCAACGUUUGACCACUCCCAAAAAAGGUUAUAGUACAGAGGGAUUCAGAGGAUCUUCUUGAAUAAUCUCAGGCAGGGAAACAAAGUAAAGAUGAGGAGAUAUAUGAAAACAAUGUUGAAGGAGGUGGACUAGGGUCUGUAGAUGGGGAUGAAGAAAAUGAAAGUAAGAAAAAGGAGAAAUUAGAUAGUGAGAAAGAGAAAGAGGAUGAUCAUCAACAUGAUGAUAAUAGAUCACCCAUGGGGCAUGAAUUAAUAUCAACAUCCCAGCAUGAUCCUAUCAAAACUUUUAGUAUUGAUAAGUUUCAAGUUGCGAUGCCGAUAAAUUACAAAAAAGCAAAAGAACUAACUUGUGAAAUUGUACUUAAAUGUCAGAUGGGGAGUAAAUUUACUAGUUUUAGGAAAAUAAUGAAGGAUGAAAACAUAGAAGGACUUUUUAAGAAGAGCUACUUUGGAUGCUUUCUUGAGAUAGCUAAGGAUAACCUUGACCAUUUCCCAAUAAGGAUGGUAUAUGGUCUUCUCAAGCGCAUGAUCAAGUACGUGGGGAUGAUAAAAAUUCGGAGAAGGGGGCAAAAAUAUAAAUUAAAUAUGGAUCAACCACUGUAGAAUGCCGGUUUGUUUUAGUUUGCAAAAGUUUGCCAUAGUGAUGGGCUUGAGAUUCCAUUGUCCAGAAGAAUCACCUAUCACCAAGGAAACACCCCACAAAAGAUUAAAUGCAAGAAAACACAAAGAAAAAAUAGAUGGGUUUCUUGACAUUGCUCGACGUGGAUACAAAGCAUCGGAUUUGUUGAUAGAUCUCAUGGAUAAAACCAUACCUAAGAAGUAUUGGGAGAAAUUGUGCUUAUUUGGUUUGCCCAUCCGGUUAUAUUGGCAAGAGAUAUCAACAAGGCCAUAGAAGAUUAUUUGUUGGCCCGUGCUUAGGAUUUUGAUAAAUUCAACAAUUAUCCUUGGGGCUAUGACAACUUCUACUUGGUUGUCCAAUAUUUACCAACAAAGGUAACCUCAGGGAUGACUACAUUAUACGGAUUUUCUUGGACUUUUAUGGUAAAAUUAAUCACUAUUUUAACUCAUCCAUUAAGUUAUAUUGAAUAUAGUUAUUAUGACUUUUUUUUGCUUUUGUCCUGUUUACAUUUCUUAGGCUUGGGCAUUUGAAGCCAUUCCUCCCCUCCGAAAGAAAGUAAUGGAUUACCCGAAUGAGGUUUCUCAUCCAAGGAUAUUUAGGUGGUUGGCUGCAAAGAACAACACCAAAAUUAAGGAGGCUGAUCUCUUUAACCCUCUAGAUGAUGCAGUGUGUCUUCUUCAAGUAAAAUAAUUUUACUCAAUGAAAGAUAUUGAAUAGAUGUUAUAUCUGGUGCAAAAAAUGUUAUAUCUGAUACACCAGAUGUGACAUCUAUUGCAACAGAUUUCCCAUCUUGUGCUAACUGGUGCAAUAGAUGGAUAAUCUAUUGUGAUAGACGAUUGAUAUCUUGUAUCAGAUUAUCCAUCUGUUGCUUUGGUUCUCUGAACCCGACUCCUAAUAGAUUAACCAUCUACUGCAAAUUAUGCAACAGGUGUGUAAUCUGAUGUAACGUAUUGUUAAUACACAUACAGAUCAUCUAUUACAUAAUAUGUGACCCAAUAUAUUACCCGCCUUGUGUAAUUAGUGCAACAGAUUGGUAAUGUAUUAUGACAGAUGAUUGAUAUUUUGCAUCAGAUUAUCCAUGUGUUGCUCUGGUUCUCCGAACUCAACUCAAAUGGAUUUUAACCAUCUACUGCAAACUAUGCAACAAAUAGGUAAUCUGAUGCAACAUAUUGUUAAUCUGUUAUAGAAGUUGACUUAAAAUACUAACCCAGCUAUGAAAAUUAUUAUAUUAUAUGAUUUAAAUGUAUCUAUCUUUUUUUUUAUAGGUUGUGCAUCUAUGGAUCGUGCCUACUGAGGAGGAGUCAUUGAUGAUUUCUUAUAUUAUUUUAGGUCAUGUUGAUACUAUAGCAUACCCAACGGUAUAGUUAAUAAGGAAGGAAUUGGCUGGAGCAACAACCAUAAGAAGAACAGUUAGGCAAGGUCAGCCUAAUGUUGAGGCUCUUUAUGACCAACCUACUAAGGCAGAUUCGGGUGCUUCUUCUUGUGGAGUUGUUAGUGUUGGUGGAAGUCAUAUUGAUACUGCUACCACUCGUGACUAUGAUAAUAUUGAUGCUCAAGAAAAAAUAAAUAUGUCUGAAAAACACACCUUUUCACCCUUACAAAGGUCCUCUCACCCCUCUUUACCCUCGUAUGCUCGUUACGAAUCUGAAGAGUGCAAGAACAACCAGGAUAAGCUCUUUAAAAAAGUAGAGGCUAUCUCUAAAGCUGUCUAGAAAUUCAAAUCCAAUAGGGGUUUCAUACCAUCUAAGAAGUUGAGGGAUCAAUACACUCCUACAUUGUUGGUUAGGAGAAAGAAAAGAGCAAUAACCAACGUACUCUCUUAUUGGAAAUCAAAAAUAAUUACAACUCCUCCCUCUCGAAAAGCUGUUGAAGUUCAGGGGACAUUCAAGAAGAAGGUAAGGAUAUACGAUGAACUUGGCUCCAAAGAGAAGAGGGAUCUGCGACAGGCUAAGAAUGCCAAGCCAGGCACACCAGAUUACCCCAUGCCUCCCUUUCCCCCCCAAGACUUCCAGACUAUGACAGAUAUAUGUAUGUGUUGCGAGGAUAAGGCAAGUUUACUUUUCCUAACCUAGCCUUCUAAUCUAAUCUACCCCAUGAAGAAGAAGAUACACAACAGAUGUGAAACCUAUUGCAAUAGCUGGGUAUUCUGGUGCAACUGGUAGUGGUUCUGUUGUAAUUCACUAUCCAUCUAUUGUAUAAGUUACAUUGGAUUAUUGAUUCAGAGAACCCUAUGCAAUAGAUGUACCAUCUUUACAAUUACUAACCUAUUUAAAAAUUGUCUUCUUAUAUCACAAUAUGUUGACAAAAUUCUUUGUCUCACGAGGGAAAGACAAUUAAUGUACCCAGAAGCUUAUGACAUUGCUGAUAGGAUAAUGGACCUCGACUUCUGCAAGAAGCUCAAGGAUAAGUAUGAUCAACUCAAUAAUGCUGCAUUAUACUGUGGCAUGAGAUUUGAUUUCUUAUCUUCUACGUUGAACUGGGAUAAAGAAAAAAUGAUAAAAUAUGUUAGAGGGAAGAGGCCAAAUCCACAUGGUAAGAGCUGGACCGAGGCAAAGAGGAUUUUUGUAGUCAUUAUAGUGAAAGACAUACAUUAUUAGGAUAUUGAGAUACUACUCGAGGAGGGAAAUAUCAAUGUUAAUGACUGCAAUGAACCUCUCAUCGAUGAUCUCAAUCUUUUUCUCCUCGUGGAGCCACUAAUGGAGCUGUUGUCCAUCUUAUUGAGGGAGAGUAAAAUGCUGAAUCAUUUUCCAAAGAAAGUGUUGAUGAAAAAAUCAUAGGAUUUUGAAGGUCUAAACAAGGUCAUGAUCCUUCCAAAAAAUGAUGUCGGUUACGCGAGCGGCUCGCACGCUCUUGCACACAUCAAAUGUUUGAUGAUCGGCACAAAAAUGGUAGAGCUAAUGACCUUUCUGUGCAACAACACUAUGGAAAACCUACAAGAGGUCUGGGCUUAUUGGGUACUAAAUGGAUGCUUGGAGCCUAUGUAUAUAGAAGAGCCUAUGAAAUAACAAUUUUUAUUUCUAGUCACACUUCACUUUACUUUAAAUUACAUGUACGUGUAGUGACAAUAAUUUUUUCUAAUGAAUGAAAGUUAUUUUUUUAUAAUGCAAUAGAUUAUCAAUCUGUUGUAAAAUAUAUUCUAUCUGUUUUGGCAGAUAGUUUAUCUGUUGAAAUAGGUUGGUCAUCUAUUGCAUUAUACCGAUGUUAUUUCUAUCUAAUCUAAGUCUAAUCUUUUUCAAUAGCGGGAAGACCUAUUUGAUAAUUUCCAAUAGAUGACCUAAAUUUUACAACAAUGCCUAAAUAUGUUUGAUAUUUUGCAGCAAUUACAUGCUUGAAUAUCCAUGUGCACGACAACACCAAACCAGUAGCAAAUACACCACCAUGAAAAUUUCAGCAAUUAGGCUUGAAAAUCCAUGUUCCUAACACCACCAAACAAGUAGCAAUAAUGACAACAAUGUAGUAUCUUCUUGCUCGAUUUUAUUUCUCUUCAGAAGCCUUGACUUUCUUCAACAAACCCCAGAUUACACGAUUUUCUUGUGAAGGGUGUCGUUCUUCAUACCAAUCAAAGUAAUCGCAUCCAUCCAAUUUUUAUAAAAAUAAGAACACAAUUACAAAACAAUUACAAGUCAAUAAUUAAUCAACUAAUUAAAUAAAAAAAAUAUUACCUUUGAAAUCUUACAAGUAAAAAACCUAUGACCUGGAUUUUGUUGAGUCCAAGAAUUCUUCAAUAGAGCUUCAUGACCGCACUUACAAUAUCAAAAAUCAUUAUCACAAAAAACAGUGAAAGAUGAGCUCGACAUUGUCAAGCUCAGAUGAAAAAAAAUAAAAAAAGAUGAAGAAAAGAAAUAUCAAACAAAAAUAAUUUGAAAAAUAUUUGGAUAGAUAAAAAAAAGAUGACGACGAAGAGUAAGAUUUGGGAAUUGAAGGUUAAAUUUUAGGAAAAAGAUGAAUAUAUAAGACAUUGGGGGAAAAAUGAUCGUUGGGGGCAAAAUCAGACACCAAGUCAGCAAAAUGUGCCAACCUAACACAUUUAUGCCUAUUUUAUUUUACGUGUUUAAAAUGAAAAUUGUCUACUUGAUGUCUAUUUUAUUUUAGGUGUUUGAACUGAACACUGUCGAUAGAUUUCGCCUUUUUUAUUUCAAUUCACUUUCACUUUUUUACAUGUAGUGGCAAUUUUUUUAUGUCCAAUGAAAGUUGAAUUUUUAUAAUGCAACAUAUUCUCCAUCCGUUGUAACAGAUAUUCUACUUGUUCUGACAUAUAAUUUAUCUAUUGAAAUAGGUUGGUCAUUUGUUGCAUUAUGUAGGUGUUUCAUGUUUCUAUCUAUUUCUAUCUGUUGCAGCAGGGGAAGACAUGUUUGAUAAAUUCUAAAAGAUUACCUACCUAUUGAAAUAUAUGUCAAAUCUAUUUGAUAUUUUACAACAGAUGUUCCUUCUGUUACAACAGAUACAUUAUUAGUUGUAAUAUUUGAAUCUAGUAUUCCAUUUCAAUUAAUAAGUUCAAAUCUAAGAAAAAAAAUUCAUAGACAAAAUAAAAUAAAUCGAAGCCUUAAGAAAUUAGUUGAAAUAAAAUCAACGAAUAAAUGAGAUGUAAAAAAAUUGUUAUGGGCACAGAUGUCAACAAAUAUAUCAACAAUUUAAGUAUUGAUGCCAAGGAUUCCUAAGGAGGGAUGAGGUUAUUACUUUGACAGACUCAAGCUAUAAAGAUCUACUCAGUAUGGACAAGUUGUUCUUCAUUUGGUGCUAUGGAAUUUGGCUUUGCUCAUCGUAGAUCUUUAUUGACGCAUAUGUAUGGUUUCUGCAUUUUCUGUUCUUUGAAUUUCCAUAAAAAGAGUAGAUUAGCAUAUUAUCAAUGCUGUUCAACAAUAGCUUCUACAUCCACCUGGAAAGCUAGAAUUGGUAAAUGCUAAUCACGAAUAUACAAUAAAAUGGAAAAGGAUAACACAUUUUUUCUAGCAAAUCAAACAUGUCUUCUUUCUAUUUUAAAUUGUCCCAAAUAGAUUAUAUUUUUGUUGCAACAAUGAAUCAACUGUUGGGUCAAAUCUAUAUGAUAAUUUUCAAUGGAUGAACCAUCUGUUGCAAUAUAUGACUCAUCUAUUAUAGCAGAUAGGUCAUCUAUUGGUACAAAUAAAAGCGGUACAAAGAGCUCUUUGAUUUUCUAAAACAGAUGAGACAUAUGUUGCAACAGGUACUUUAUCUGGUUUAACAAGUUUGUCAACUGUUGCAACAGAUGUAUAUAUUUGUUUGAUAAUUUUCAGUAAAUGUGUCAUUCGUAGAAAUAGAAAUGUGUCUGCUUGUUAGUUAGAAGACAUAUAUAUUCACCUUGUUUAGCUCGUGUUGCUCUCCUUUGGACAUUGUACAUUGCUCAGUGCAACACACAGACAGAGGAGUUACAAUUUUGCUCUUUUAGAUGCUUGAUAAUGCCUUGAAAAUAACUUUCCAUCUCCUCUUAGCCUUAAUCUCUAAUGGAGUGGAUGGAAAUAAAAUCCUCAUUGAUGGAAUGAAACCUCUCUUAGAUAUCAAUUCCUUUGCAUAAGUAGCUAAUGCAUUAAUAACAUUAAUCACUACAUCAUGUUUCUCCCUGCAGUCUUGACAUUUGCAUGCAGAACGUUCGCUGGGAGAGGCAAAAUCUGUAUAACCAGUAUGAUCAUACUCAUAAUGGUUUAUUUUAAAUACUGUAAACGGAUCAUCAUUAGCACCAACAAUAACACUACUACCACCACCAACAGCCACAUCACUACUAAGAACAUCAAUAACAACAAGAUCACCCUUCCAAAAUUAUUUUUCUUGUAAUGGCUGUUGCUCCAAACAACUCCAUUUUUAUUCUGUCGAUGACCUUAGGGUUUGAUAAAGUUUUCACAGACCAUAAAGUAAAAACAAAUGACAUCUUCAACUCUCGAUUGGUCAAAACUAGCGAUGGAUGCACAAUCUAACAUAAAUCAUUACGUAUAUUAGAAUGAUGAUUAGAUCAUUCAAAAGAAUCAUUAAUUAAAAUAAAAACUUAAUUAUAAUUAUAAUUACUGCAUACUUUGGGUGUUGAAGAGAUCAAGAAAUUUUGCAUUUUUAUCAGUUUGGCCAACAACCAUCUCAAGAUUCUUGAACAUGAAACUUCUUCCUAGUAGUUCACUUGUUUUCUUAAAUGAGGAAUGACUUCAAACACCCAAGCCUAGAAAAUAACGCCAAUAAAUCAAAACAAUUAUUGAGCAAAAAAAGUGAAUGAUAUCAUAAUAAAAGAAAGAAACAAAACAUUUACCAUUAAAGCCCAUGGAAAGCCAUAUAAGUUGACUAUCUUUGGCGCUAACGGAGUCAACAAAUAUUGGAUAGUCAUUUUGAAACUUUUAUAACCCCAAAGAUAGCUAUUAAAUGCCUCAAGAUCCUCGGAGAUCCUUAUUAAACCAACGCUUAUGUUGUUGUUAACAUAUCUUUCCCAAAGAAUAUUAUGUACAAACCAAACCAAGCACAAUGACUGCUUGUGCUUCUUGGAAAGUUCUUUAACUUUCAAUGCUUCUAUUAAAUUUUUAUUUUUGAAGCUUGGACCAACAAUAGACACUAGGUCAUCACGAUCACACGACUUGCCUUUGCCUUUUAUGGGUGUGUGGGGUGUUUUUUUUGGUUUAGAAUAGGUAUAAAUUGAGAAGAAGGAUACCAUUUUAGUCCAGUAACUAUGGCAAACUCCUUCCAACCAAAACAAACAGGCAUGCCACAGUAAUUUAUGCUUACCUCAUCAAUCUUAUCUUUGUUUUCAUACAUAAACCUACUUUUGAGAAGUUCAUAUUCCAUUUUCAUUUGGAAAUGAGCAUUGUCGUCCUCCGACAAAUCAAGAUAUUUCUCAAAGCAGCUGUCCUUGAAAUAAGCAUCCAAUUUUUUUCUCAAAGUAUUUUUCUGGAGUUGUUGAAAGAUUUUCCCGUGGAUAACUUAACCACAAAAUCACCCGUUAAAUCUGUGGUACCAUCGUACUGCAUUCUCACAUGAUAAUGAUGAAUGCUGAAGGUUUUGACCAACUCUUUGGUAGAAGGGCUAUUAGCAUUUGAAUCAUUACUUUUGAAACAUUCCUUCUCCCCGUGUUCAUCAUAUUCUACUCCUGAUUAAGAUAACGCUUGUAAAGCAAGAUCAUAAGUGGUGGAUGUAGCCUAGCUGCUUCACUUAUUCCUUUACUUAGAUUUGAUUCGACUUCUGUUCUUCUGGGAGCCAUAUUAUGUAAAAUUAACAAGAACAUGAAAAAUAUAUCAUAGUUGAUUAAUGCAUCGUUAAAAAAGGAUAACAGUAAAUCUAACAAGCAAAAUAGUAAAAUAAUAGUUCCAAUAGAUCACUUAUCUGUUGCAUCAGGUAGUAUAUCUAUUGCAGCAUAUAACAAACCUAUUGCAAUGGAUUAGCAAUCUGUUGCAACAAUGCAAAAUGUAUCACUCAUCUUUUAAGAUAGAUGAAUGGUCUGUACAACAGAUCAAACAUUGUUAUAACAUAAGUGAUAUAUUGGAAUAGUUAAAUAACCUGUUAUAAUGAAUUAGUAAUCUUUUGGAACAAUACAAAACAUAUCACUCAUCUAUUGAGAAAAAUAAAUGGUCUGUACAGUAGAUCAUAUAUCUGUUGUAACAUCAUCUAUUGCAACAUAUGAGUGAUCUAUUGGAACAGUUAAAUAACCUGUAGCAAUGGCUGAGUAAUCUGUUACGAUAAUACAAAAUAUAUCACUCAUCUGUUGAGAAAGAUGAAUAGUCUGUGCAACAAAUUACACAUCUGCUGCAACAUAUGAGCAAUCUGUCGGAACAAUUAACUAACCUGCAGCAACGGCUGAGUAAUCUAUUGCAACAAUACAAAACAUAUCACUCAUCCAUUGAGCAAGAUGAAUAGUAUGUGCAAUAGGUCACACAUUUAGUGCAAUACUUGAGUGAUCUAUUGGAACAAUUAUCAACGGUCAAUAUUGUUUAAAUUUCUUCCAACAUUGGGUCAUCUAUCAUGGCAGGUGAAUGAUCAGUUAGAAAAAAUCAUUUCUUGGACAUAUCCUAUUGGAAGAGUUGAUAGGAUUUUAUCCAACAGGAGGUUCAUCUACUGUAUUAGAUUGUUAAUCCGAUGGUUCUUCUGUUGCAUCAGAUGAUUAAUCAAUUGCAUCAAAUUUUUUUAUCCGAUGCUUAAUCUGUUGCAACAUAUAGUUAAUCUAUUGCAUCAUAUGAUAAAUCUGUUACAUUAUAAGAUUAAUUUGUUGUAUAAGAAUGGUAAUCUGAUUAUUCCUCUGGUGUAUCAGAUGGUUGAUCUGUUGCAUCAUCUGACAAAUAUGUUACAUCAUAUGAUUAAUAUGUUGCACUAAAUGGACAAUUUGUUGGAUUAAACAAAAAAUAGUAGCACGAUUUUGUUCAAUAGAAAAAUAAUAAUAUCACCAUUUUUACCAAGAACAAGAUAGAACAAAUCAACCCAAAUCAUUGUUUUGUUUUUAGAAACACAAACAACAAAAAUCAAACUUCAAAAAAAUGCAACAAAUAACAAAAAAUCAUAAUUCACUUCAAAAAGAGGAGAUGAAAUACCAGAAAUUAGAGUUUUAUUGAGAGCGCAUUUUAAAUUAAAGCAAUAAAUAUUGAAAUUGUUAACCAAUACUAUAAGAGAAGUUGGCUCAUGUUCCUUGUCUUCAUUAAAACUAAAAAGGCUAUAAAUUUUUACCUGCAAAAGAAGAAAUAGAAUGAUGAUGAAUUCGAAGCUAUUGUGGCCGGAGAGCAAGGUUGUCACAUCGAUUGAAGGUUGAAGUUGAAAAGGAACUCGAAGCCCACUAUUUAUCAUCGGAUGUUGAAGUCGCCAAGAAUUGAAAGGAGAAAUUUGUAGAACUAUUAGUUGUGAGAGAGUUGAGAGAAGCUAUCGAGAGAGAAGAGAGAGACUGGUUGAUUUGGAUUUAAGAGUGGUCGGGGUUGGGUUGAUUUGUAUUUUUGAAAAGAUUAGAAAGUUUUGAAAAUAUUAAUCAAGUCCAAAAUUAACUUAAUAAAGUUUCCUAAUGAUGUUUGACCCUUUAAGUUGGUCAAUGUCACCAAUCCUUCAUUCAAGACUUAAAAGACACCUUUCCUUCAAUUUUCUCAGCAUUAAUGAUCUACACGCGGGAUUUUAUUAUUAAGAUACUAUUCCCUAGUUCUCAUUCAAGUCCAACAUUUAUGAUCUAUAUGGGUAUCAAUUUGGCAUUGAAAACCUGAUAAGGACCGAUAAGACUUGGGUUAUGACAGGCAAGGAGCAUCAGGUACGCGUACUACGUAUUGGCUCGUAUUACACUUAUCUUAAGUUAAGUGUAAGGCAUGACACCACUUGGAACCAAGUAAGCUCUUGGCCUAAAUGAUCUAGUUGGUUCAUAUCUACAUCACAACAAACUAAAGUAUCAACUGCAAACAAUAAGUGAAAAAUCGACAUUAUCCCAACAUCCCCAAUCAUUGCAUUAAAACCCUUUAAAUAAACUCCCAUGACAGCUUUGUCCAUCAUCCUGCUCAAAGCUUCCAUAACUAGAAUGAAUAAGCUCGAACAUAAAGGAUUUCUUUAUAUCACGCCCCUGGAACUCGUAAAAACCUGCAAUGAUUGCCAUUCACUAAAACUAAAUAUCUCAUAGAAGAAAUGUAGAAUAUGAUCUAUGUACUCCAUUUUUACCCAGAUACGAUCUGAAUCAUGAUGAAAUCUAGGAAACUCCAACUUACAUGAUCAUAUUCCUUCUUAAGAUCAAGCUUGCACAACAUGGAUGUCACUUUUUGCUUUCUCCUUAAAUCUACCACUUCAUUUGCCGCCAGAGUUACAUCCAAAAUCUAUCUACUCUCCUAAAAAGCUUUUGAAAAGAUGACAGUCUUAUCUAGCACCUUCUUAAGUCUUAUAGAAAGCAUCUUAGAGAUAAUCUUGUAAAUAUUUUCCACUAGACUAAUAGGUCUAUAAUCCUUUAAGCCUAAAGCUCCCUCGUAUUUAGGGAUAAUGCUAGUAAACAAAACAUUCAAACUCUUUUUGAAUUCAUCCCUUUUCUAGAACUCAACAAUAGUAUCCAUCAUAUCAGUUUUGUGUAUUCCAACAGUGCUAGAAGAAAGCAAAGAGAAAUAAUCAUACCCUGGAGGUUCAUCACCCGCGCAACCCUCUACUGCCCUUUUCACUUUUUCCUUCUCGAUCGCCCUUCCUAUCCACUCACACUCCUCGUCUAUAUGACUAAAACAUAACCUCUCUCCCCAACUUAGGCCUACUGCCUAUUUCUUCCUUAAGAAAAACUUGUAAUAAUCUACAAUUGUCCCUUCUAUUUCCUCCUUCCUACAUGCACCACCCUAUUAACCUUCACUGGCUCUAUGAAAUUCCUUUUCCUACUAGCAACUACUACCCGCUAAAAAUAUUUUGUAUUAGAAUCCCCUUUCUCUAACCAUAACGCCCUCGAUUUUUGUCUCCAACUUAUCCCUUGAGAUAAAGCCAACUCCUUUAGCUCCCUUUCCACUUGCAUUUUUCUUUCCUUCUUCCACACUUCCAACUCCUUCCCCGCUUCAAGCCUCUCUAAUUUCCCUAAUUCAAUCAUCAUCUCCCCUAUUUUCACCUGUAUUCUACAAAACACUUCUUUAUUCCACUCCCUUAAGUCCUUGUUAAGCAAUUCCAGCUUUAUGGCAAGCAUAAAAGAAGGCCUCCCAUCCACAUAAUUUCUUCAUCAUUCGGCCACUCAAUUUUGAAAACAUUUAUUAUUAACCACAUGUUCUCAAAUUGGAUAGGAGACCUCAUAUGUCUUCCUUUUCUACAAGCCAACAACAUAGGAAAAUGAUUUGACACCAAUUUAGAAAAAGAAUUUAGAUCACAUUGGGUGUUAACUCUUCCCAAGAAGUGGACACAAGGAAUCUAUCUAGUCUUGAUCUAUAAAAAGAGUACUCUGACCUACACCAUGUAAAUUAGGUACCUUUCAAAGGAAAAUCAACAAAAAAAUAGUUAUCAAUAAACUUCAAGAACCCCUUCAUUGCUCUAUAGACCACCCUACCUCCCAUUCUUUCUUCUAGGAAUCUAAUUGUAUUUAAAACCCUACCUAGCACCCAAGGAAUAUCCUACCUCCCAAAUCAUCUCCUAAUUCUUUCCAAAAACUCUAAUUUGACCCCUCCCAACGAGGCUAUAGAUUCUCCCAAAACCCUACUAUAUUCCAGUACCAAUGUUUCUAAAUCGGGCCCCUAACAUAAAUUCCCCCAUGGUGACCUCCGUAUGUGCCACCUUUAUAUCAUACCAAAGAAAAAGUAUUCCAUGUGCACUUUUCCAAGCCAAAAUAUAACCAUACUUCACCCAUCUCCCCCCACAUUCCGCCAUUUUAUCAUCCAAAGCAAAAUAUUCCACAUGCACUUUCCCGAGCAAAAAUAUAAUCAUACUUCACCCAUCUCUCUCCACCACCCACACUUCCGAUAAAACUCUUUGUGAAAGUUUCCAUUUUUGUUCCUUGGAUACAUAUCACAUCUUCCCCUAUUCUCCAAACCUAACUUUGAUGGUGGCCCUCUUACUAGGUUUAUUUAAACCCCUCACAUCCUAUAAAGUAAUUUAAACUUCCAUAGACAAUAAAAUUAACUUCUUCUCCACCUCUCUUCUACCCUAAAACCCUAAUCCUUUCCUUGUUUCAUUCUCUCCUUUCAUAUACUACCAAUUUUUCUCUAAUAUUAUCCUUAUCCAUACACCCUUGUCUCCUGCCUCCCUUUCCUGAGACCGUCUUUCUCCUUUUCUCGAACCCUUCUAGUUUUUUUAAAUGUUUUAACUCAAGUCUAGUACCCUACCCUCCUUCCCUACAGAAAUUAAUUCCAAAAUUCAUCAAAUCUAAGCUGUUUAUCAACAACCUAUCUAGACAUGCCUUUUCCUACCUCCACAUGCAAAAGGCAGUGCAUUUACCCCUGAGCAUCACUUAAACCACCUUUAGAACUGUUAGAAUAUGAGUAGAAAUAGAAAUAGCAUACAAAAUCCUAUUUGGAAAAGGAUAGUGAUGUAGUGCCUAUAAAUAGGAUCUCAAUGUAAUAAUUUACACACAAUUCAAAUAAUAUUUUUCUCCAUUAUUUAUCACAUGGUAUCAGAGAAGGUUUGGUAAGAAAAUUACUAGAAAAAAACUCAAUCAAACAGUCGUCAUGCUUUGAUUUCUAGAACCUAUCAAGUAUUGUUUGAGCCCUAGUCUAUUUUACAAGUGUUGUGUGUGAAAACCAACACUACCACGAGGUGCGAAAUGCUCAGGCGAGAAAAUCCCGGUGACCACAUCUCAUCUCUGGUGUACCGUGCACCGCUGGAAGGUUCAGAUCUAGGUAUCACGUGCGUCACGCACUAGUACAUAUUGUUUAUUCCGGCCAGGUUUCUUUUUUAGUGAGGUCGCCUCUUAAUUCCAAGGCUGUACUGAUAGCUAUUUCUUGAUUUGGACAAUCAAAUUCAAUUUUUUUUCAGUGAUUGCCCCAAUUUUUUUUGGGUGAUUGACUUUUUUGCUCAAUGUAAUCCUAUGAUUAAAUCCGAACCCUUAAUGAGGAAAUCAAAACAUCAAACAUCUUAGUCUAUGAAGAAUCAAUGAGGGGGAGGUCGAUUUGGAAGAUCUCAACCUAGGUAUAGUUAUUGUAAAAGGAUUGGGCAUACUCGUGAUGUAUGCUAUUCUCGACCUACGUGUAGUUAUUCUAAUAAACUUGGACAUACUCAUGGAAUAUGUUAUUCUUUGUAUGGUCUACCACCUAAAAAUGUUCAUGUUGCUCAGUCUAACAUGACAGGUGAUCAACGAGUGUAUUUAUCUGACAAGGAAUAUAAUGAGUAUCUUCAAUAUCAAGCAAGUAAGCAUACAUCUCUAUCAAUAGUCUCAACUGCAUAAUCUCCUACCUUUGGAUCAUUGGUUGUGGACUCAGGUUCUUCUAAUCAUAUUUCUGGAAACAAGUAACUUUUGUCUAAUAUUGUUUAUUCACAGUCUCUUCUAGCUAUUACUUUAGCCAAUGGGGUUCAAACAAAACCAUAAGAAGUUGGAAAAGCCAAACCCCUAUCUUUUUUCACUCUGAACUCUAUUCCUUAUGUCCCUAGUUAUCUUCUUAAUCUUGCAUCUAUUAGUCAUUUGACACAUGCCCUUAAUUGUAGUAAAAUUUUUUUAUGAUUCUUUUCUAAUGCAACACCGCAGUAUGGGAUAGACGAUUGGCAUAGAACAUGAAUUACAAGGCCUUUACCCUCUUACCUCUUCACAUUCUUUCAUAUCAUGUCCCGUUACAGACCCUCCAAACCUUAUUCACAAAUAUUUAGGACAUCCGAGUCUAUCCAAGCUACAAAAGAUGGUCCCUAGUUUGUCUAGUUUAUCCACAUUAAUUGUGAGUCGUGUCAACUUGGGAAACACACUCGUGCUACAUUAUCACAUAGUAUUGAGAGUCAUUCAGAGUCUAUUUUCUCCUUAAUUCACUCUAAUAUUUGGGUUCCUAGUAAAGUCAGUUCACCCUUAUGAUUUCAUUAGUUUGUUAGUUUCAUUAAUGAUGUUUCAUGGUGCUCUUGGGUUUUCCUAAUGAAAGAUUAUUCUGAAUUAUUUUCUAUAUUCAAAAGUUUUUGUGUUGAAAUACAAAAUCAAUUUGGUUUCGAUACUCAUACUUUUUGUAGUGAUAAUUCCUUAGAAUACGUAUCCUCUUAGUUUUAGGAGUUUAUGUGUCACAACCUAAGUUGGGGCCCCAGCCGUGAUGAGCAUCCUGAACCAUGAAGACCCAGGUGCCCUUCUAUUUCUGGUAAUUAUACACAAUAAUUAAUAACAAAGAAAAUAAUAUGUAAAUAAAAUAAAUAAAAUCAUGGUCAUACUCUGAAUUCAAUUUAACAAUACUGGAAAGAAAUCUAUCAGCAUCUAAACAACAUCUAUUUAAGUCUGCGAAAUCUCUAGUACAUACGAAAACUAAUACAACUGUUUGAAACCUGGGACAAUUCCCCCAGUGGACCAAUACCAUAAUGAAGUAACAAUUCUCUAAGAAUGGCCUUACGAAGUAAGGGAGGCUCACCAACUGUACACUUCUGAUUGUCAAAUCUACGGUUUAGCAGGACCUCUAGACUGAGCCUCAGACCUUGAAAGAUAGGGGGUCAAUACAAUUGUACUGGUACGCAGAGAAAUCCAAAAUAAUGAAUUUAUAUAUACAAAAUAUGUGAGAGCAUUUCAUGUAACAUCAUGUGUGAUAUAGUUUAAACUACAUGGGCAAAUCUUUGAUAAUCAUAAAACAUUCUUGUCAAUGCAGUUCCAAUAUUUAUAUUACUUUUGAGUUAGGUGGUCUACCCUCCAAUUCUACAACCCCAUGGGCUAUAGGGAGUUCACCCUUAACUCACUAGCCAAGCCCCCAACCUAAGUUUGGAACAAAAGUUGGAGUUUCUAAUUCUAAUAUGCCACAGGACACUAGGUCAACGUAUAAUCCCUAUAGGGGACAUAAUAAUCCCGUAUUGGCAAAACACUAUUUUGGGAAAUGAGUUUUAUAGAGUCGUGCCUUCUUAGGGUAACCACCUAACAUCUCUUUAUGCCCAUUUUUAGCCUUUUCUGAACAUGUAUUAUUCUAAGUUCAAAAUCUAAAAAUUUGAACAAAAAUCCACAUUUUAUUCUGUUCUGUCCUACAAUGGCAUUAUCUGAAUUGGUAUCAUCAUACCAAGACUUGAAAGUCAUUUUUUGAGCCAUAAAAAUCAUAUCACAAUUUUCUAUUUCAAAACAUAAAGUUUAGAUCACCAUACUUGUAAUACCCCGAAAUAUCCAAACCAAUAUUAGAGCCAUGUACCAAGCACAUCCAUAGUACAUCAUGGUUAUUUUAUAGUUUUAUGAGUAGGUUAUAUGUAUAUUAAGGCUUCAAAUAACUCCCAGCUAUCAGAUGAAUCAAAACAUUCCUUACCGAUUGAAUUCUUGAGAAGGAUAUUGGUAUAAUCAACUUCAAACGAGCAUAUCUCUCAUUAUACUUGGAAUUUUUGAGCUCAUGACCUAUCAACAGAUAUAUAAUUGAAUUAGAUUUCUAACGAUACCAAUUUAUCCUAAAUACGAUAUCAGAGCAAAGAGUUAUUCCUAUUUUAGUCUAGCAUGUCAGGCUGGAAAUAGUGUGACGACAUUCGUGGUAGCUUACCACAUUUGUGACUCCCUAUCACGAAGGUCAUUAGCCUUAGGGAGAAACAGGAUCCUAAGUGAUGACAUUCGUGGUAGCUCACCAUAUUUGUGAUGCCUUAUCACGAAGGUCGUCAGCCUUACACAGAAACCAGCUCCUAAGUGAUGAUAUUCGUGGUAGCUUACCACAUUUGUGAUGCCCUAUCAUGAAGGUCGUUAGCCUUAGGCAGAAACUAGAUCCUAAGUGAAGACAUUCGUGGUAGCUUACCACAUUUGUGACGCCUUGUCAAAAAUAUCUCUAGCUAUGAUUUUUUAGCAACUGGGAAUUUAUUUCAUAAGGGUAUUUUAGUCAUUUUCUUUACCUUCCACGACUUAUAACCCUAAAAAGGCAUAAUGUUUCCCAUUGUAUUCUUCAGUUAGGCAUCUCAAAAACCCUCUCUUACGCUCUCAACAAUAAAAUUACAAUUUCCAUCAAAAUCAUCUCUCAAAAGCAAGAUUCAAGCCUUUUUCCAAUAUAAUUGAGAAUAAAGUUUCCCAAUCCAAGAACUCUCCAGCAAAUCAUCAAGGUUUCCUUUAUAAGGUAUGUGUAGUGUUCAUCUAUGGAUCUAAUCCAUUCAUAGAUCUCAAGAAACGUGUUUAAAAUAUUAUUUUGUAAACUUUUUGUGGUGAUAUGAGUAUGUACAUGUUGACGAUUGUUGUUUAAGUUUCAAUGUGAUUUCUAAAGGUGUUUUCAUGGAAUAUAUAUGUUUGUUAAUUGAAAACCAUGAACUUUAGGUGGUUUAAUAUGGUGCAAGUAUGAAACUCACCUAUGCCUUAAAGAAUGCAUGCAAGGUGUUUGAUAAAAUGCUUAGGAUGCUAUAAAUUCAUGUUUAUAUGGUUCUAUGAUGUCUAAAUGACAAGUCUAAGUUAGCUAUAUACUUCAAUAUGAAUCCCAUGCUUUUCAUGUGUUGCUAUUGUGGUGUUAUGAAGCAUGUAAGAUAAAGGAGAUAUACAAUAUGUACAUGAAGUAUAUCCAUGCAUUUUUCCUACAAUAUUUAAGAUGUUGAAAAACUAUAUAAAAUAUGAUAUCCCCUACUUAUGAUAAUAUGAAUUAUGGACUCAAAUCUUGUGAUCAAGUCAUGUCAUGUGUGUCAGUUUCCUUCUAUUGAGUCUUGGGGAUAUUCGUACCCAAAAAAUAGUUGUGUGCCUAGAGCCAUGUCAUGUUGUCAUGAUAAUCUCUGUCAAGCUAUAAUCUAUAGAACUCAGUCAGUCAUGUGACUCAGGAAAACCUCAGAAAUCUCAUUAUCUCAGUUAACUCUCAGAUAAUAGUACUACUCCAUCAGUCAAUGAAAUUCAGUUAAUCUGUCCAUGUACAGUCAGUUGAAUCAUGUUUAGUCUCUUUAGAUGGGAGUAGAAGUUAGCACCGAGUGAACCCAAGGAUGGGAACUCACCUUCCAGUUUAGGGUGUGAUUCUUAGUAGUCAUCCUUGUGUUCCAGAAUUACGUAGCCAGCGUAGGUUGAGACAUAUUAACCUGUCAGAUUAGGGUUGAUGAGGUGGCUUAACCUUUUAGUUUAGAGUCCCACCAUUCUCACUUUGAGUACCUGCCAAAUAAGGGUCACUCACAACUGUCCUUACCAGUGGCGCGGUAUUAACACCCCUCCAGUCGGGGCAAAGAUUGGACCCCAACUUAGCCAUAAUGGUAUAUAUGUGGCAUGUCGGUUAAAAAACUACCUCCCACAGAUUUAGUAUCGAUCUCACUAAACAGUUCUUCGGAUAUCAGUAUACUAGGUCUGUUAGAUAUAGUCAAAUUCAGUUAUAGCACGGGACUCAGGGAGUUCUACCAGAUUCAGGACUGUCAGACACAUUCACUCAUGUUAUCAAAACUACAGUUCUAAUCAUGUAUUAACAUACAUAUUUAGAUACCAUGUACUCAUGAUCUCAGUUUCUUAUGGCCUUAUGGCCUACAUAUUCAUGUUUUCCGCAUUAUUACAUUAUAUAUGCAGUGUACAGGUACAAAUAUCAGUCUUGGGUUAGCUUGUGGUCCCUCGGGGUUAUGAGCAUCGUGUAGUAUUUCGAUUUAGAAAAUCAGGGCGUUACAAACUUGUUGUCAGAGCCUAAGGUUCAAUAGAGUCCUAGGAAGUCUGAAAGCCGCAUCUAGUAGAGUCUUGUACAUGGGUGUGUGCGUACCAUAUUUAUGUAUAGGAGGCUAUGAGAUGUUUUAGGAAUAGUUCCCUUUCUUCAGUAUUCAUCUCGUGCUAGUAAGCAUAAUUUCACGUCAGUCUCUCAGUCUAAUCCAUAUCAGCAAAUUUAGUCGAGUUAGAGAUGACUGAUUUUGAUGUCAUUCUUGGAAUGGAUUGGCUUUAUUCCUGCUAUGCCACAGUCGACUGCAUAAAUAGGACAGUUCAAUUUUAGUUCCUAAAAAGGCCAUCCUAGAUUGGAAGGGUAGCACUUUGUCUUUUAGGGGUCAGCUUAUUUCCUACCUUCGGGCAAGGAAAAUAAUUUCUAAGGUGUGUGUGUAUCAUCUCGUGCAUGUUAAGGAUUCUAGUUCCGAAUCUCCCAGUCUCGAAUCAAUCCCAGUGGUUAAUGAAUAUUCAGAUGUCUUUUCCAAAGAUCUUCCAGGCAUUUCUCCCAAAAGGGAAAUAGACUUUGGCAUAGACCUUCUCCUAGAUACUCAUCCUAUUUCUAUUCUGCUAUAUAGAAUGGCACCAAUAGAACUCGAGGAACUGAAAGAUCAGUUGAAGGAUCUCUUAGAUAAGGGAUUCAUCAGGCCCACUGUAUCCCCAUGGGGUGUGCAAAAAAGACGGUUCUCUCAGAAUGUGUAUUAAUUACCGUUAGCUCAAUAAAGUCACAGUCAAGAACAGGUAUCUGCUGCCUAGGAUAGAUGACUUAUUUGACCAACUUUAGGGUGCCAGUUAUUUCUCUAAGAUAGACCUCAGAUCAGGCUAUCAUCAGCUCAGAGUUAGAGAAUGUGACAUUCCAAAGACAACUUUUCAUACUCGGUAUGGUCACUUUGAUUUUCUAGUCAUGUCCUUUGGUAUUACCAAUGCCCCUGCACCUUUCAUAAACUUGAUGAACCGGGUGUUGAAGUAGUACUUGGACACAUUCAUCAAAGUUUUCAUAGAUGAUAUUCUGGUCUAUUCUCGCAUAGAGCGUGAUCAUUCAGACCAUCUCAUAAUUGUUCUUCAGACUCUCAGGGAUCACCAAUUGUUCGCCAAGUUCAGUAAGUGCAAAUUUUUUCUAAGAUCAAUAGAAUUCCUUGGCCACAUUAUUUUUGGUGACGACAUUAGAGUAGAUCCUCAGAAAACCGAAGUAGUAAGAAAAUGGCCUCGCCCUGUCUCUCCAUCAGAUAUCAGGAGUUUCCUAGGUUUGGCUGGCUAUUACCGAUGGUUUUUUGAGGGAUUUUGUUCUAUUACAUAUCGUAUGUCCAGAUUGACUCAGAAGAAGGUCAAGUUUCAGUGGUCAGAACCUUGUGAGAAGAGUUUUCAGGAGUUUAAGACUCGACUUACCUCAUCUCUAAUUUUAGCACUUCCCAAUAAUUCCGAUGGAUUCGUAGUAUAUUGUGAUGCAUCCAGAGUAGGUUUAGGUUAUGUCCUCAUGCAGCAUGGUAAAGUCAUAGCCUACACCUCCAGAUAGUUAAAGACCCAUGAGAAGAAUUAUCCUACUCAUGACCUUGAGUUAGCAGCAGUUGUCUUUGCCUUAAAGAUUUGGAGGCAUUAUCUAUACGGUGUUCAUGUAUACAUCUUCACAGGUCAUAAGAGCCUUCAGUAUGGCUUUUCCUAGAAAGAUCUCAAUCUUCGUCAGAGAAGGUGGUUAGAGAUCUUGAAGAAUUAUGAUAUGAAUGUACUUUAUCAUCCUAGCAAGGCCAAUGUAGUGGCUGACGCACUCAGUAGACUGUCCAUGGGUAGUGUUUCCCAUGUUGAGGAUAGUAAGAAUAAAUUAGCUUAGGAGAUUUAUCAACUUGCUAGACUAGGUGUUCUCUUAGUUGAAUCUUCAGAAGGUGGUGUAUGUGUUCAGAGUAGUUCAUAGUCAUCUCUAGUUUCCGAGGUGAAAGAGAAGCAAGAUAGGGAUCCUAGCUUUGUCAAGAUAAAAGAGUCAGUUCAGUGUUAAGAAGUAGAGGUUUUCUCCCAAGGGGGAGAUAAUGUUCUUCAUUGUCAGGGUCGUCUGUGUGUUCCCGGUGUAGAUGACUAAAGAAAGAGAAUUCUCGUAGAAGUGCAUGGUGCGCAAUACUCUAUUCAUCUAGGGUCCACUAAGAUGUACCAUAAUUUAUGGGAGAUCUAUUGGUGGAGUAGGAUGAAGAGGGACGUUGCAGAAUUUGUGGCUAACUACUCUACAUGUCAGAAGGUUAAGAUAGAGCAUCAGAAACCUAGUGGUUCCAUGCAGGAGUUCACUAUUCCUACUUGGAAGUGGGAAGAAGUGAACAUGGACUUCGUGAUGGGUUUUCCUAGAGCACGUCAUUAGCAUGAUUCAGUUUGGGUCAUUGUAGACAGAAUGACCAAGUCAGCUCAUUUCCUUCUAGUUCGUACCUAUUACUCAGCCAAGGAUUAUGCCAAACUCUAUAUCAGGGAGUUGGUCAGAUUACAUGGUGUUCCACUAUCUAUCAUCUCAGACAGAGGUACCCAAUUCACCUUUCACUUCUAGAAAGUGUUCGAAAAGGGUCUUGGUACCCAAGUUUAUCUCAGUACAGCGUUUCAUCCUCAGACAGAUGGUCAAGCAGAAAGGACCAUUCAGACUCUAGAAAAUAUGCUAAGGAUGUGUGCAAUUGAUUUUAAGGGAAGAUAGUAUGACCACUUGUCUUUGAUUGAGUUUGCAUACAACAACAACUAUCACUCCAGUAUUUAAAUGGCUGCAUUUGAAGCUCUCUAUGGUAAGAGAUGUAGGUAUCUAAUUGGUUGGUUCGAAGUUAGUGAGACCACAUUCAUAGGGCCUGACUUAGUAUUCGAUGCCUUAGAGAAAGUUCAGUUGAUCAGAUAAAGACUCUGGGAUGCUCAGAGCCGACAGAAGUCUUAUGCAGAUGUUCAUAGAAAGGAUCUUGAAUUUGAGGUCAAUGACUAUGUCUAUAUAUAUAUCUCUCCCAUGAAGGGAGUGAAGAGAUUCGGCAAGAAGGGAAAUAUGAUGGUCCCUUCAGGAUUCUCUGUCGCUUCCGCAAGGUAGCUUAUGAGCUCGAAUUACCUUAAGAUCUAGCCUCAGUUCAUCCAGUCUUCCAUGUCUCUUUGCUCAAGAAGUGCAUAGGUGACCCAGUAGUUGUAGUCCUUAUUCAGAGUGUUGACAUUCAGAAUAGCCUCUCUUACAAAGAGAUUCCAGUCAAAAUCCUCGACUAUCAGACUCGCAGGCUGAGGAACAAAGAAGUCUCUCUAGUCAAGGUUCUUUGGCGGAAUCAGUCCAUAAAGGGAGCUACUUAAGAAGCAGAAGUAGACAUGCAAACCAAGUACCCUCAUCUUUUCUCUGGUAAUUCAGACUUAGCUCUAGGUAACCAUUUUCCUUAAGCUUAUUCAGUUACAUGUUCAAAAUUCAAGUAUAAAAUUGGUAUCAAGUAUUAGUGCAUAGCUUAUCAUGCAUUCAUGAGUCCAGCUAUCAGUCAUGCAUAAAGAUGUGCAUGUUCAGUUGGGCUAUAUUCACUUUAGAAUUCAAUUCAGUCCUAUAAUCAUGUGCCAGUUGAGCAUGAUCAGUGUAUGCGUCGUUUUAUCUUUUCUCCCCUCUCAAGCAGCCAUCAUUCGAGGACAAAUGUUUCCAAGAGGGAGAUAUUCUAAUACCCCAAAAAAUCCAAACCAAUAUUAGAGCCAUGUACCAAGAUCAUGCAUAGUACAUCAUGUUUUUUUAUAGUUUUAUGAUUAGGUUAGAUGUAUAUUAAGGCUUCAAAUAACUCCCAGCUCUCAGACGAAUCAAAACAUUCCUUAUCAAUUGAAUUCUUGAAAAGGAUAUUGGUAUAGUCAACUUCAAAUAAGCAUAUCUCUCAUUAUUCUUGGAAUUUUUUAGCUCAUGACCUAUCAACAGAUAUAUAAUUGAAUUAGAUUUCGAACGAUACCAAUUUCGCCUAAAUCCUAUAUCGGAGCAAAGAGUUAUUCCUAUUUUACUCCAGUUUGUCGGGCUGGAAACAGUGUGACAACAUUCGUGGUAGCUUACCACAUUUGUGACACCCUAUCACGAAGGUCGUCAGCCUUAGGUAGAAACCAGCUCCUAAGUGACGACAUUCGUGGUAACUUACCACAUUUGUGACGCCCUAUCACGAAGGUCGUCAGCCUUAGGAAGAAACUAGCUCCUAAGUGACGACAUUCGUGGUAGCUUACCACAUUUAUGACGCCCUAUCACGAAGGUCGUCAGCCUUAGGCAGAAACCAGCUCCUAAGUGACGACAUUCGUGGUAUCUUACCAUAUUUGUGAUGCCUUAUCAUAAAUGUCAUCAGCUAUGAUUUUUCAGCAACUGGAAAUUUAUUUCAUAAGGGUAUUUUGGUCAUUUUCCUCACCUUCCACGACUUAUAACCCUAAAGAGGCAUAAUUUUACCCAUUUUUUUCUUUAGUUAAGCAUCUCAAAAGCCCUUUCUUACGCUCUCAACCACAAGAUUAGGGUUUCCAUCAAACUCAUCUCUCAAAAGCAAGAUUCAAGCUUUUUUCCAAGAUAAUUUAGAAUUAAGUUUCCCAAUCCAAGAACUCUCCAGCAAAUCAUCAAGGUUUCCUUUCUAAGGAAUGCAUAGUGUGAUGUGUGAGCAAAACCUAACACAUUUAAUACUUUUUAACUCAAAAUAAUUGUGAAUUCUCAAGCAACUCUUUUUGUUUUGAUGUGUUUGCUCAUGAUAUUGCCGAAAAAGGCUGAAGAAAUGUGAAUAAACAAUAAUGGAGCAAAAGAGUUGAAAAUAUGAGCAAAAUAAAAGAAAACAUGGAUGAUGACCUCUGUGAUAAGUCUUCAGGCUUGUGAUAGCCUAUCAGUAUUAACGUCAGCCUUAACCAGGGAGUUACAGUUUGAGGAGCAUUUCUGAAGAUGCCGGUGAUAUGGCAUCAAAGUCAAGAUAAGGCGUCAAGAAUGGCGUCAGCCUUAAGUAGAAAGUUAGCAUGGGAAAAAGAUAUCUGACGACGUUGGUGAUACGCCUUCAGAUCCCUGACACAGUGUCAACUACAUCGCCAGCCUAAGAUAGAACCUGAAGGCAACUAAAGCCUCUUUGACGCCAUCUGUAAUAGGGCAUCAACUUCUUGAUGCGGCGUCAGCCUGGGCGUCACCUGUUUAAAACAAUUUUAUUAAUUUUGUUAUUUUAUUUUCUUAAUUAGGCUUUAGUAUAAAUAACAUAUUUUAGGGUUUUUGAAGAGGAGGAAUAAUUCAUCUAUCAAACAUCAACUCUAAGAAGCGAGACAUUAUUUUUGCUUUUUUUCAUAAAAUAUUCUUGUGUUUUCGUAUCAACUAUUUUUGGGGUUUCUACGUUGUGAUUAAAUCGGAGGAACUACUUUUGGUUUUCUAUCCAUUCGUAAUUUUAUCAAUAUAAUCAUGAAUUCAACUUGUUAUUUCGUUCAUCAAAUCAUGAGCGGCUAAUUUCAUUAGCCGAAAUUAUGGGAUCCAUGGAUUAGGGUUUGAUAUGAUACUAGGUGUUUAACGGAUUCAAAGAGUAGUAAAACAUCUUGAAAUUCUAUUGUUUCAACUAAAAUCUAGUGGUUGCAAACAUUAGGUUAUGCGUUAGGUUUUAUUUGCUUCUAACGGAGAAAUAGACUAGAGGACGUGAAUUAUCAACAUGGACUCGGAAGCUACCAACCUUCUGUUUAAUGAUUAAUGCUGUAACUGGAUUAAUUUACCUGAGAUAACAUCCUAUUGGAAAUAGAUAAGUUAUCUAAGUUUGAGAGAAUUAGAUAAUAAAUUUUCUGGUGAGAUCGAGAGAUAAGUCAGAUAGUAUAAUCGUCAGGGAUAUUCUGUUGUUCUACUCAUUCCGAGAAUCUCUAGCAUCACUUAGUAUCUGUCAAUUUCUGAAACCCUUGGUGAACAUAGCUCUGCUUUCCUAUUUAUCUCUUUUACAAACACUGAAGUAUUGAGAGUGAUAUUUAACACACCAUGAACUUAAACUCCCAUCCUUCAGAAAUAGUAAAUUACCAGUAAAAUCUUUUGUAAACAAAUUAAAGUUCACACCCUAUUCCCUGUGGGAUUCGACCCACAACAUUGUUGGGUUUUAUAUUGACAAUGAUCGCUUACACUCAUUCAAGGGUGUAAUUUGAGCAUUAUCAAAAAUGGCGCCGUUGCCGGGGAAUACGGUUGUAGACUGGAUAUUUUGUGUGCAAAAAUUUGCUGAUAGUUCAGUUUCCAUGAUUUACGUUUAUUUGUUGGUUUUGUUUAUUGUAGAUACUAUGUUGUUUAUGCCAAGCACGAGAAUUUCUGGAGAACCUCUAUUACCAAUCAAUCUAGAACCUCAACUAAUUAGAGGAAUGGCUGAACAACAAAAAGCAGAAAGACUAGCUGCUUUAGCCAGGGCUCAGGUGAAUGUGCAAAAUUUGGGUCAACAAGCACGUCACCAAAACCCUAAUGAUAAAUACUUAGGUGAUGAGGAAUUGCUGAUUCCUCAAAACCCAAGGAGAGCUGAGCAAGUUGCUGCACCAGUGCAGUGAAACGAUAAUAAAAAUCAUCCAGUCCGAGAAAGGUAUGGUCAACAUCCUAUGCAAUAUGAGGCUGAUGAAGAUGAUGAAGGAAUUGAUGGAGCUGGUGCAACGGGUGCUAUCAUUCCGCCACCAUUGUCACCUGGUACAAAGUUCAGCAUUACAAGUACCAUGAUCUAACUCCUGAAUCUAAAGGGGUUAUUUGGAGGCUUUCCUGGUGAUGAUCCGCAUAUGCAUUUGGUGAACUUCAUCACCAUUUGGAAAUCCUUUUACAAUCCAGGGGUGAGCCAGAAUGCGAUCAGGUUGAAAUUGUUUCCUUUGUCUCUGUCCGGGGAGACAACAAUAUGGCUUAAUGAGUUAGAGCCUGAUUCUAUAACCAACUAGAGAUAGUUGAAAGAUACGUUCCAAGAAUAGUUCUUUCCACCCUCUAGAAGGGUAUAGUUGAGGGACGAAAUUAGCAACUUCAGACAGUUUUCGACUGAAGCACUACACGAAACCUGAGAAAGUUUUAAGAAAAAACUUGCACAAUGUCUGAACCACAAUAUGAUGGACUUGCACUUGAUGGAUACUUUGUACAGAGCUUUCAACUCUGUGACAAAGCCUAUUAUGGACAAUGCUGCAGGCAGUUUGUUCAUUGAUCUCCCUUUUUGGAUGCUUCCGACAUGCUGAAUAGAAUGACCAAGCAGAGUCGAGCUUGGCAUACUAGGGAUUCUGUAGUGGCUAGCCUGAUUAUUGCUGGUGGUAUUAAUGUGAAGCAAUGUAUAAGGAUGAGGAACGAGAUCAGGACAUGGACUACUUGAAGACGCAGAUGGACUUGCUGGCUAAGCACUUGCUAUCCGGCAAGACUGAAAUGGUCAAGGCUGUAGAUUCUUAGGGUACUGUAUCUGCAGGUGCUGAUGCUGAGAAAAACUAUAUGAGUAAUUAGGGGGUUCCUGAGGCAAUAGCCAAGGGAACCAAGGUCGAAAUUUUUAUGACACGCCAGAUUAUAAAGAUAUGGAGCAGGAACAUUAAAGAAAUAAUAACGACAGGAGUGGUUUGUAUAUUCCUCCUGGAAGUUAAGAUGCUGCCAUAACUUAUUCUGGAAAGAUAUCCAUCGAGGACAUAAUGGAAAAUUUAUUGAAGGGAGUUGAGGCAACCAACUCGGGGGUAACUAAUAUGAAAAGUAAGUUUUCUACCCUCAGUUAGUUGGUUAGCUCACACUCUACGUCCAUUAAGCAGUUGGAGCAGCAGAUGAGCUAACUUUUGGCUACUCUGAACAAGAGAAAAGCUGGUACUUUACCUAGUGAUAUGGUUCAGAACCCACGGACUGAUGGCUCCUAUAUGGCGAUUACCACUCAAAGUGGUAAGGUGUUAUCUAGCCCUUCUACAGGCAAAGCUAUAGAGGACGUAAAUGUUAAUGAAUCAGAAGGAUGCAAUCCAGUGGAGUUUGAGAAGAUGGAUGGCGUUGUUGAUAUUUUAGAAAAAGAAUACAAAAAGAAAGGGGAAGUGGUAUUGAAACAAAUACCAAGACCACCACCUCUAUUUUCUCAGAUAUUGAAAAAGAAAGAAGAUAACAAGAAAUUUAGCAAGUUCAUGGCAAUACUGAAACAAUUGACAGUUACCAUCCCACUGAUGGAGGCACUUGAGAAAAUGGCAAACUAUGCUAAAUUUAUGAAGGAAUUGCUAACAAAGAAGCGGAAGGUAAGAUGUAAGCCGGUGGACAACAUCCACCACUGUAGUGCCGUUUCUUCACAAACCUUAGUGCAGAAAAAUCCGACCCUAGAACAUUUACUAUACCAUGCACAGUUGGGUCCAUGAAGUUUACCAAAUCUUUAUGUGACUUAGAAGCAAGUAUAAAUCUGAUGCCACUUGAUAUCUACAAAAAGCUUGGAUUGGGGGAGCUUACCCCUACAACGAUGCGUCUUGUUAUGACAGACAGAUUGGUGAAAUGACCAGUAGGUGUAUUGCAUGAUGUGCCCAUAAAAGUGGAUGACUUUAUUUUGCCUGCAUCUUUUGUGAUAUUGGAUUAUGAUGUUGAUUUUGAGGUACCCAUCAUUUUGGGUAGACCAUUAUUAGCCACGGGAAGAGUAUUGGUUAAAAUGGAGCUCAAUGAGCUCAAAUUUAGGUAUGGAAAAAAGAAGGCCAUAUUCAAAAUUCAACCUCCUAUGAAGCAGUUGGAGGAGAUAAAUAUCUUCUUGGUUGUGGAUGUAUUCCAGGAAUUUGGUAAUAAGGUAGUGAUACGGCAUCUUGACGAAGUCUGAGUAGUCAAGAUAACCAAGUCGUGCCGCGAUACUAAAUCAGGCGCUUUUGGGAGGCAACCCAAAAUUUUAUUUUCAUGCAUUUUGUUUUUAUUCAUUUAGGUAGUAAUAGGAAGGAACUGAAGAGGUACAAAAAGGUCAAGGUAAAAACUGAAGAAUGCAAGCCAAAUGGUCUUGACGACAUUAGUGAUAGGCUAUCACAACUGUGAUGGCUUAUCACCAAUGUCGUCAGAAAGACCAGCAAUGGAGACCUUUAUCUGUUAAGGCUGACGACCUCCAUGAUAGGCUAUCACAUUUGUGAUUGCUUAUCAUAAGUUGUCGUCAGCCAUCAUUUUGUUUUUGAAAAUCUGGGCCCAAAUGGACCUGAAUCCGACUCGGCCCAGAUCUAAACCCUUCAGGUUCCCACUUUAUUUUAUUUUCUUUUUUAAGUAUUAUUUUAUUUCCUUAGUAGGAUAUUUACUUCUUUUCAAAACACUCCCAAGUAUACAAGGAAACAUCCUUCCUGAUAGUUGUGGGAUUGCAAGGAAAAUCAGAGUCUAUCUCUCAUCUUUUCUUCUCUCUCGCAUAAUCACGUGGAGUCAACUCAUCAGGUAUGCUCAUAACUUUGUUCUCCUAUGAUUGAAGGGGUAAAGUUGUUGAAAACAUGAUUCUCUAAAGGAAGAAACUUGAGUUCAAGUUGUAAUAGCAUGGAAAUCGGAAAUUAGGGUUAACUUGUGCCUAAAUUGCAAAAAUUUGAAAACCUCAAGUACAAAAAUAAAAAUUCCAUGUGAUUAUAUGAAGAAUUUGGUCCCAAAAUUAUUAAUGCAAACUGAGUGGGGGAAAAAUUCUGAGCUGAGGACCUAUCGAUAGGCUAUCACAACUGUGACGCCUUAUUAGGAAUGUCGUCAUAAGUUUGAAAAAAUUAUGCCAGUUCUGUUUAAGGCUGAUGACAUAGUUGAUAGGUUAUCAGAAACAUGACACCUUAUCAGCCACAUCAUAUCAAGUUAGAUGAUAAUGCUAAGUGAAUUUGAAUAGCAUGUUUUGACUGUUAUACCUUGAUCAUUAACUUGUAUUUGUCUUAUGGUCUAGGAACAUUCUAAUGGCACCUAAAACCAAGAAUCCUAACACUCCAAAGAAAGCUGCCAAGCCUAAAGUGGUUCAAAAGCUUAUUGAUGAAGACUCUAAUUAUGAAGAUGAAGAACCACUGCUCAGGUGGAGGAGAAAUAAACCCAGUCCAAAGGAACCUCCUCCACCUAAACCCAUUACGGUAGAGGAUAGUGAUGAUACUGAGACUACCACCCUAGCUGAGAGUGAAUCUUUUAAGCAAGAAGGUUCUAAACAAACUGAGUCCGAACAACCUAUGUCUGACAAGGUUGAUUCUGAGGAAACAUCCUCUAAAUCUCCCACGACUAAUGUUCAAGCUGAGAAGAAACCCCCAGUUCGGGGAACUUUGAUAAAAUGCAAGAAUCCGGAGGUUCGAGAGAAUGCUAGAUGGAAAAUCCCCAAAGCAAAGGAAAUAUUCCUCAAAGGGUUGAUUAGAACAAAAAGAAGAUCUACCAGACGGCCGGUGUUUCCAGAGAAGAGAGUCAUCAUCACAGGAUUUCUUGGGUAUCCUGCAGUAAAGAAGAAAUUCAAAGAUUAUGGGUUGGGAUGGAAUGCUAAGAGAGGUAAACCAUACAGUAGUCCGGGAGUUCUAUGCGAACUACCAGGCUAGAUUAGAGAGCAUGUGCAAAAGUGGAGAGACCACAGCAGACCAUCCUUUACUGACCAGAGUUCUAUUUCAUGGGGUAAAUGUAGAUAUUUCUGAUACGACUAUCAACAGGUUUCUACAUGGACCCAACUUUAAUCCUUAGGUCACAAAUCUUGCAUUCUACCAUCGUCUGAAGAGUAAGGAUGACCAGCAUCCUUGGUUUGCUACACUUAUAGCUAAGGGAGACCCUUUAUGGCUGACCCGACCCAGUGAGCGUAUUUACAAGGCUUCUUUGACUCAAGAGGCAAAAUUCUGGUGGGGUGUUUUGUGCACCUAUUUGAUGCUGACCGAUGGAGAUAAUAUUCUAGGUGAUGAUCGAGUAAUAUUGGUUGCAUGUCUUGUGGCCAACCUUAAGCUGAAUUUUAGGGAGAUUAUUGCUGAAGAGAUCAAGAUUUGGGUAACGAGGUCUGACACAGCUUAUUCAUUCCCUUUUCUGAUUACCAGGCUAUGCACAGAGGUAGGGGUACCAUAUAUUGUUGGGAUUUAUGAGACUUUGUAUGCCACCAAGACCCACAACCCUAUUCGUUAUGAGAAAAAUCAGCCAAGGCUAACACUUGGUAGAGGGGUGAGGGUUGAGGUGAACCCAUCAGUUGCAGGCCCUAGUUCAAUACCUAAAGUUGAGGUGUAAGCUUCUAAAGAUGCUCCGGCAGGGUCAUUUCCUGAUGAUGAGUUAGGUUUAUCAGUUGCUACAGCAUCAGCAAAAGCUGCAUCCUAGUAUAUUAAUAUCAAAAAAGUGGCCAAACAGGCUAGAUGGUGUGAGAUGUAGCUACGUGCCUUUGCUGAGCAGUUUGCUACUGCUAUAGAUAAAAGAAUCAGGAAUGCUCUUGAGUCUUUUGCUACUUUUCCUACACGGGUUGCAGAUUUGGAUAACUAUUUUAAUGCAAAGGCAUAAGAGCUGAUCGGAGCAGAGCUUGCUGAAUUCAGAGUAGCCCUAGAAAAGGUAAAGCUGAGAUAGUGGUAGUACAAAAACACAAAUUUAUGAUGCCUGCAGGGCAGACAACUGAGGAAUCUGAGGAUGAACCUCCAAUCCUUGAUCUCACUGUAGAGCCAGUGAAAAAGAAAAAGAAGAAAGACAAAGAAGCUAAGAAAGUUAAGAGAAAGAGACAAGAAGAUGAUGAGAAUGAGAGAAAAGCCGAGAAAAAGGUAAAGAAGAAGAAGAAUGCAGAGAAGACACUGCAGGUAGAUGAUGAGUUGACAGAAUAGGAGAAAGCGGAUCUGGAAAGGGCAACGUAAGUGUCUCAAGAGGAUAACUAGAAAUGGGAAAAAGUACUGUGAGCGAGAGAUAUAGGAGCUUCAUCUAGCAGAACAGCUGAACCGGAGCAAAGAGAUGCUCCUGAUGAGGAUAACACUGAUCCAGAGCCGAGGACCCAUGAUUUGAGACUUGAUUGACUCCAGGUAUGCCCUAAAACUUAUUUUUAAUUUGUUUUGAUUUUAAGUUGAGGGUGUAGGGUAGAAUAUUAUUGUAGCAUAUUCUAUAAGUAACUAGGAGUAGUGCAAGUUCUGUAGGCGUUAACUGAUUUUGUGAUUUUGAACACCUCUCUGAAGGUUUGUUUUGCAUGACUGUAUGAAUUGCACCUUAGUGUGUUCACUGUGCAUCUAAUCUUGGCAUUAGUUUAGUUACUUGAUCAUCACUGCUGAACAAUUACAUGAACCAUAUAGGUAGUAGCCAGUGAUAUUGCUUGUGUGUCAUGUGUGUGUGAGACUAUACCGAGUUCUCUUUGUAGUGUCAAAUCUAGAACUUGCCCGAUUCGUCUUACCAUAGUUGAAAGAUAAGGGUUAGGAAAAGAUCACAGGCCAUUUUUGAAUUUAAGUCACUAUUUAGCCUAUAUAACUUUCCUCAAAUGCAUGAUAUCCCUUGAUCCCGGUUUGAGCCUUUAUUGACCAUUUUUCUUUCUAUGAUACCUAUCACCUUCUCUUUUUAAAUCAUAAUGAACCUGUUUUGGCCCUGGUCCUCCUUGGACAUUGUGCACCUUAACGUAAGCAAACAACCUAAGUUGAGGGUGGCUAUCAUAGGGGUGUGUGAUAUAAGUUGGGUAUGAAUAAGGGUGGAGUUGAAGAGAAAGAAUCAAAGAAAAAGAAUAAAAGGUUGGGUGUUGGUUAAAAAGAGCAAGAAAAGAAACUCUGCUUGAAUAAAAAGAAGUGUACCCAUCCUGAAAGUGUUAUUAAGAAAAUAGAAAAAGUGAAAAAAGGAUUAAAAAAAAAAAGAAAAGAAAAGAAAAAGAGAGAAAAAGAGGUUAAUAAGUGGACCCCACAAGUUAAGGUAGUGCCAAGGAGGUUAGUCACUCUAAAUGCAGUAUAAUAUAAUACCAGCCCUAGCCUACGUUACAAGCCGAAGAAAGACCUAUAGUGAUUGUAGCAUACCUAUCUGGAAACCUUGGUAAUGACGAUAAGGGCAAGCAUAUGGUAUUUGGCAUACACUGGUUUGAACUUCAUUCUAAGAGUGAGUGUUUUUGUGUUGAUCCAUGUGUUUAUAUUUUUGAUGUCUGACAUGAGAAAAAGAGGGGAAUUUCUUUGUUGUGAGGGCACACUAGUAUCUUGCUAAGUUACUUACUUGUUUGGGUAGUGUACAUUGAUAAAUGCAUGAUUGUUAGUACUUAGUUGAUGCCAUGGGUAGAAGCCUUUGUGUUACAUUGUUGCAUUUCAAUAAAUUGUGCAGUAAUUUUGAGUUGGUUGACCUUGGACAUGGUAAACUGAGUUUUGAGCUAAAUUGGUUGUUGAUUGCUAAAUGUUCAUUGUAUUCUCUUAGUUAGUUAUUGCUUGAGGACAAGCAAUUGUUUUAAGUUGAGGGUGUUGAUGUGUGAGAAAAACCUAACACAUUUAAUGUUUUUUAGCUCAAAAUAAUUGUGAAUUCUGAAGCAACUGUUUUUGUUUUGAUGUGUUUGCUCAUGAUAUUGCCGAAAAAGGCUGAAGAAAUGAGAUAAACAAUAAUGGAGCAAAAGAGUUGAAAAUAUGAGCAAAAUAGAAGAAAACAUGGCUGACGACCUCUGUGAUAAGUUGUCAGCCUUGUAAUAGCAUAUCAGCAUUGACAUCAACCUUAACUAGGGAGUUACAGUUUGAGGAGCAUUUCUGACGAUGCUGGUGAUGUGGCAUCAAAGUCGUGAAAAGGCAUCAAGAAUGGCGUCAGCCUUAAGUAGAAAGUUAGCAUGGCAAGAAGAUAUCUGACGACGUUGGUGAUACGCCAUCAGAUCCCUGACGUGGUGUCAACCACAUUGCCAGCCUAAUAUAGAACCUGAAGGCAACUAAAGCCUCUUUGACGCCAUCCGUAAUAGGGCAUCAACUUCUUGACGCGGCAUCAGCCUAGGCGUCACCUGUUUUGAACAAUUUUAUUAAUUUUGUUAUUUUAUUUCCUUAAUUAGGCUUUAGUAUAAAUAACAUCUUUUAGGGUUUUUGAAGAGGAGGAAUAAUUCAUCUAUCAGACAUCAACUCUAAGAAGCGAGACAUUAUUUUUGCUCUCUUUCAUAAAAUAUUCUUGUGUUUUCGUAUCAACUAUUUUUGGGGUUUCUACGUUGUAAUUAAAUCAGAGGAACUACUUGUGGUUUUCUAUCCAUUCGUAAUUUUAUCAAUAUAAUCAUGAAUUCAACUUGUUAUUUCGUUCAUCAAAUCAUGAGCGGCUAAUUUCAUUAGCCGAAAUUAUGGGAUCCAUGGAUUAGGGUUUGAUAUGAUACUAGGUGUUUAACGGAUUGAAAGAGUAGUAAAACAUCUUGAAAUUCUGUUGUUUCAACUAAAAUCUAGUGGUUGCAAACAUUAGGUUAUGCCUUAGGUUUUAUUUGCUUCUAACGGAGAAAUAGACUAGAGGACAUGAAUUAUCAACAGGGACUCGAAAGCUACCAACCUUCUAUUUAAUGAUUAAUGCUGUAACUGGAUUAAUCUACCUGAGAUAACAUCCUAUUGGAAAUAGAUAAGUUAUUUAAUUUCGAGAGAAUUAGAUACUAAAUUUUCUGGUGAGAUCGAGAGAUAAGUCAGAUAGUAUAAUCGUCAGGGAUAUUCUGUUGUUCUACUCAUUCCGAGAAUCACUAGUAUCACUUAGUAUCUAUCAAUUUUUGAAACCCUUGGUGAACAUAGCUCUAGUUUCCCAUUUAUCUUGAUUACAAACACUGAAGUAUUAAAAGUGAUAUUUAACACACCGUGAACUUAAACCCCCAUCUUUUGGAAACAAUAAACUACUAGUAAAAUCUUUCGUAAACAAAUCAAAGUUCACACCCUAUUCCCUGUGGGAUUCGACCCUAACCUAGUUUGGUUAUAUAUUGACAAUGAUCGCUUACACCCAUUCAGUGGUUUAAUAUGGUGCAAGUAUGAAACUCACCUAUGCCUUAAAGAAUGCAUGCAAGGUGUUUGAUAAAAUGCUUAGGAUGCUAGAAAUUCAGGUUUGUAAGGUUCUAUGAUGUCUAAAUGACAAGUCCAUGUUAGCUAUAUACUUCAAUAUGAAUCCCAUGCUUUUCAUGUGUUGCUAUUGUGGUGGUAUGAAACAUGUAAGAUAAUGGAGAUAUACAAUAUGUACACGAAAUAUAUCCAUACAUUCCCUACAAUGUUUAAGAUGUUGAAUAACUAUAUGAAAUAUGAUAUCCCCAACUUAUGAUAUUAUGAAUUGUGGACUCAAAUCUUGUAAUCAAGUCAUGUCAUGUGUGUCAGUUUCCUUCUAUCGAGUCCUGGGGUUAUUCGUACCCGAAAAAAAUAGUUGUGUGCCUAGAGCCAUGUCAUGUUGUCACAAUAAUCUCAUUCAACCUAUAAUCUAUAGAACUCAGUCAGUCAUGUGACUCAGGAAAAUCUCAGAAAUCUCAUGAUCUCAGUUAACUCUCAGAUAAUAGUACUACUCUGUCAGUCAACGAAAGUCAGUUAAUCUGUCCAUGUGCAGUCAGUUGAAUCAUGUUUAGUCUCUUCAGAUGGGAUUAGAAUUUAGCACCGAGUAAACCCAAGGAUGGGAACUCACCUGCCAGUUCAGGGUGUGAUUCUUAGCCGUCAUCCUUGUGUUCCAAAAAUAUGCAGCCAGCGUAGGUUAAAAUAUCUUAACCUAUCAGAUUAAGGUUGAUGAGGUGGAUUAACCUGUCAGUUUAGGGUCCCACCAUUCUCACUUUGAGUACCUUCCAGAUAAGGGUCAUUCACAACUGUCCUUACAAGUGGCCGAUAUUAACAUCCCUCCAGUCGGGGAAGAGAUUGGACCCCAGCUUAGCUGUAAUGGUAUACAUGGGGCAUGUCGGUUAAAUAACUACCUCACACAGUUUCAGUAUCAGUCUCAGUAAAAGAAAUCAGACAGUUCUUUAGAUAUCAGUAUACAAGACUGUUAGAUACAGUCAAAUUUAGUUAUAGCAUGGGACUUAGGGAGUUCUACCAGUUUCAGGACUGUCAGACACAGUCGCUCAUGUUAUCAGAACUACAGUUCCAGUCAUGUAUUAGCAUACAGAUUUAGCUACCAUGUACUCACAAUCUCAGUUAUUAUGUAUGUAUGUUUGUACUUUUACGUUCAUAUUAGUCAGUCAAUUAGCAUUAUUCAUGCAUGUAAACCCUUUGCAUUAGCCUACCUCACUCAUAUACUCAGUACUUUAGUUCUACUGAUGGAUUUGCGCUAUGGUGCUUUCUUUUUAUGUUACACCAUAGGUUCAGAGAUACGAGAUCCAGAUCAGUAGUAGCAGUAGCAUUUCCAGUCGUAGAGAUUCAGUGAGUCCUCUUUAUUCGAGGACAAUAUGAUUUGAUUUAUUCAUUAUUAUUUUAGCCAGUUAUCAGUUUACGGAGUUAGUUGGAGACAUGUUCCUUCAACUCCUUAUUCAGAUAGUUCUUACAGGCUUUCAAAUUCAGUAGUCAGACUUAUGUUCAGAUUUGAUUUAGUUUUCAGCUGUUUUGGGUGUCUUUCACCUAUUGGAUAUUAUGUUUUGAUAGAUUCUUUAUUCAGUUGAACCUUAUGGCCUACAUGUUCAUGUUUUCCGCAUUAUUACGUUAUAUAUGAAGUGUACAGGUAUAUAUAUUAUUCAUGGAUUAGCUUGUGGUCCCUCGGGGUCAUGAGCUCCGUGUAGCAUUCCGAUUCAAAAAAUCGGGGUGUUACAAUACUUCAAACAAUUCAAGAAGAUUCAUUCUUCAAAUACAUUUAUCAAAUCAUGCAAAGGUUAUUCCUUCGAAUCAUUUCAAAAAAUAUGUGGUGGUCAUGUAUUAUUGGUAAAUCAUACAAUUCUUUAAUUAUAUAUAUUAAAAAUUUAUCAACAUGCAAAACCCCUCUCAACAAUUUAAAGAUCAAUUUUAAAUCAUACAACAAUAGUCAAAAACAUUGAUAUCAUGCUUCUGAAUAACAUUCUAAAAUCAAAAGGUGUUGCAACAUGAGAGGGAGAGUAAAUAGUCAUGGUCUCAAUUAAAUUAUCAACUUCAAACACUCACACGCAUAUAUACGAUUACAAAUCAAUUUGGGGGAAAGGCCUCAAGACCAAAUCAAUAGCCUCAAAAGUUUUAAAUCAUGAAUCUAAUUAUAAAUCUCAAAUCCUCUUUGAAAUUUCAUGAUUUCUAAAUCUUUAACAUGAUUAAGAAGCAUUUACUAUGCCCAUGUAGUUUUAGGAAACCCCAUGUACCUUAGUUGCAAAGAAUUCGCGAAGAGAUUUCAAAAUGAUUGGACCUUUAGGAUUGAUUGUAAGAACCCUAGUUGUUUUAUCCCCUUGUGUUCUUGAAAGAUGAAUUUUAGGGAUUUUUGAGGAGUUAAAAUGUUACUAAUGACGUUAAUUUCAUUAAAGGAUGAUUAGGGAUAGUUUUGGAGUGUAAAAAGAUUUGGUUUCCCUUAAAAUGACUUAAAAAAUGAUAUUUUUAUGCCUUUGGGCCAUAGGGCAUGCGAUGCAUUGCCUAUGGCCUUAUCUAACCAAUGAUCACAUUUCCCAUUGCCCAAAAUAGGUUGGGCGACACAUAGCCCAUGGCACAACAAUUCCAGUAGCUUUAGGCGAUUUGCAAGGCGACACACUCAACUUUGCAAAGUCAUAACUUUUCACUCAAGUAUUAAAUUUAGGAAAAAUUAGUAUCAUUGGAAAGCUACUUUGAAAACCUUUCAUUUGAUAUAUAGUAGGCCCUAUAAUUUAUUAUAUACUAAAAUUUAUGGUCGAUUGAAUUUGACCCAAGCUUCAACGCUCACAAAAACUAAAAUGAUAAGAAAGCUACCAACUCGUACUUGGGUUAAGGGACCUCUAUGAUCUCAAUUCUUUCUUAACUAGAUUCCCACACUACACGAUUGAUCAACACACUAUAUUCGCAUUAGAUUUAUAACUUUUUGAACCUUUACGCGAAGGAAAUGACGAUUUACGUUCUAGCCAAAAAUGUGGGGUGUUACAUUUUCUCCCCCUUGGGAUCAUUCGUAUCCGAAUGAUGGUUAGGGAUGUAAUGCACCACAUUUUUGAUCUUGAAAUUAAAUCAUCGUUCUACGUGUGUAAGCUCUAAUUCUAUGGUUUAUUUUUAGAUUCAUGUGUCAUGAUCUCUUGCCUAAUAUAUGAAGUGAUUAUGAGCUGAAAAGCAUUCAUAGAAAUGGACUAAAGCAAAGUUAAGCUAAGAACCUUUCAUUCAUCCAAAAUUGGAUAUUCGAUUCUACAAAGGUCUACUUUGAACGUUGAUAACUCUUGAUACACAGAAUUUUUUAGCUCAAAACCCACAAAAUUGUAGAUAAUUGAAUUAGCUUCCAACUAUACCAAUAUUGCCAAUAUCUAAUAACCAAACAAAAACUUAUGGCUUUUUCUGUGUGAGGCAGUAAAUCGAUGGAUCAUGACGUGUUGCAUCAAGAUCACAUUAACACGAAACCAGAUGUGUAUCUAAGGCUGUUUUACGCAUUAUUUUAGAUUCUAAUGGGUCUAAGGGCACCAUGGUCAUUUACCCUAACCCAAAUUACGUCUAUAACAUUGAAUUUCAACCCCAAGAAGCCAAAAUAUCUUAUUUUUCACUUUUCCUCUAAAAAUCAAACCCUAACUCCUCCCCCAAAGAUUCAAGAACUCAUUCAUAAGGUCAAGAAUUCCAAGAAAUGGAUCAAGAUUCGUGUUCCACUCUUUCUCCUAAAUAAUCUAAGGUGCGUGGGAUUUUCCUAAAACUACUUGGGCAUAAAAAUAUUGUUCAACAACAUUUAAAUAUAGUGAAAUCAUGGAUUUUGAAGGGGUUUUAGAAUUUAUAUGACAAUGUUGCUUUAUAAAUAUUUUCAUGGCGCUAUUGUUUUUGCCUCGAGGCCUUUUCUCCAAAUUGAAUUGUACUCGUAUAUAUAUGUACGUAUGAAAAUUGGGUUUGAAAAUUUAAUUGAGAGCAUGGAUCAUAUAGUGUCUUGAUUAAUAUUAUGACUUGAAUAUGAUUUUUAAUUCAAAAGAGAGAGUUGUUCAUGUUGAUAAAUGUUUAAUAUAUAUAUAAUGAAAGAGUUGCAUGGUUUAUCAAAAAAAAUAUAUGACCACCACAUGUUUGAUGAAAGAAUGAGAAUCUUUGUAUAGUUUUGACAUGGGUUUCGGGACAUGAAAUAUUUUAUACUAUUUGCAUGUUUGGGUGGUUUGAAUUGUGUUUUAAUGAAAUAAUCAUGCAUGAUACAUUAUGGAUCAGAAAUAUGACUUGCAAGUCUUGGUGUGACGACACCCACUCAGAUAUUGCUAUGGUAAUUCAGAACAGAACAGAGUGCAUGUUGGCAAUCAGAUUUUUAGAUUUUGAAACUUAGAAUGAUGUAUGUUUAGAAAUGGUUAAAAAUGGGCUUAAAGAGAUGUUAGGUGGUUCCCCGAAGAAGGCACGAGUUCAGACUACUCAUUGUACACUGUGUUUUGUCGAUACGAGUUAUUUAAUCCCUUAGAAUGAGUUUACAUUGCCCUAGAGCCAUGUGGAAUAUCAGACUCAGACACUCUAACCCUUGCAGCAAACUCAGGUUGGGGGCUUCCCCGCCGAGUCAAUGGUGGAUUCCAUAUAGCCUGUGGAAUAUUAGACUUGUAGGGGAGUACCACCUAGCUCAGAAGUAAUACAGAGAUCAAAACUGCAUUGAGAAAGCUUGCUUUAAGAUUAUUUGAAAUUGCCUAUGUGCUUUAAAUUAUUUCAUGCAUACUGUUUUACAAAUUGCUCUCACUUAUGUUUUCUAAAAUUCAUUAUUUUGGAUUGCACUACACACCAGUACUUUGUACUGACCCCUAUAUUUCAUAGUCUGAGGCUCAUUCCGGAGUUCCUGCUAAGCCAUAGAAUUUGUCAGACAAAAGUGAGGAGUUGGUGAGCCUUCUUUAUUUCAGAAGGCCUUGUCUUUAGAACAUUAUUAUGUUACUUUGGUAUUGGGUCCGACUGGGGGCCUUGUCCCUGUUUUGUUCUAGACUUAUGAUUGAUCUUGUAAUGUUAAGAGAUUUCACAGACGUGUAUCAAAUAUUGUUAGAUGUUUAUGGGUUUCAUUCUGUACUAUUCAGUUGAAGCUAAAAAUGACCAUGAUUCCAUUUGUAUUAUUUUUCUCAUUUUUCUUAUUGUAUAUAAAUAUUGUGUAUGAUUAUCAGGUAUAGAAGUGCGCUCAUGCCUUCAUGGUUUGUGAUGCUCGUCAUGGCUAGGGCCUCAGUUUGUGUUGUGACAAACUUAGCAUCAGAGCGCAGUUCAUAGUCCUAGGAUGCCUGCGAAAUCGUGUCUAGUAGAGUCUUGCUUAUGGGUGUAUUUUGCACCACACUUAUAAUCAGGAGGCUAGUGGGCAUUUAGGAGUUUCUUCCUAUUCUUCAUACUCUAGUUCAUGCUAUAGAGUCGUGCACAUGAAAUUUAUCCAAGUUCAUUCCUCGUUCCAAUUUUAUGGGUCAUGCCUCAUUGUCGAGAUGAUACAAUUCUAAGAGUCUAGCUCCCCCAGCAAUAUGGUUGUCUCUGAUUGAGUUUCCCAUAAAGUUAUGGAUUUUGCAUAAGGACUUGAAAGGAGUCCAUGAGUGCUUUAAAGUGUGUUUAUUUAAGCAUAUACCCCAAUCUGCAUCAGUUGUGCGGUUUAGCCUGAGGUAUAUGGAGUGUAUCCAGUCUCCUUUAAUAAAAUUCUUGUUGGGGAUGUGAUGUAUAAGAGUAAUGAUGUGUAGUAGAAUGUUGAAACUAUAUUUCCACCUUAGUAGUAGUGUAUGUUAAUAUGUCAUGUCCUAUUGGUAGUGACAUGGUUUAGAAGUUGGUGACAUGUACUCACAAAGUUAACAGUCAGUAAGGGUGACAUUUGCGUAAAUAAAUAGUUUUAUUUGUAUAAUCAUGGGUUGAGGAGUGGGUUUCCAUUGUAUAAUGAUAGACUAAUGUGCGGCAAUAAUUGUAGACUGUACGGUAGUCUGUGAAGGAAGAUAUAGGAUAUGAUUAUUAUUUAUUCAGAAUAGGAAAGGAUCACAGAAUGAAUGGUCAUUGUGGUUGUAAAAAUCAUCUUUAGGCUAUGGAUAGAAAGGGGUAGAUUAGUUAAUAAGCUGUAAGUAAAGACUCAUUAGUGUUUAUUGAAUUUUCAAGAUCAUUGUGAUGUACGAUUAGGUAAGUAAGUAUGAUGUGAGAAUGUAGGGAGUGGAAUUUGAGGUGCAGUAGUAAUGUCAUGGAGGGGAUGUGAUGGCAGGUAGAAGCUAGGAGAACUAUAGUAUUUUGGGUUGGUUUCCCAAUUUGAUGGACUAGUAUAGCAUGUGGCAUGCUUCGUUGGUGGUAUAUGAUGGAUGCAAGACUAUAGACUUGAACAUGAGAUGUGAAGUAUGGUGGCAAGAAUAAUAGCUUAAGAUUAAUGAUGCAUGUUUUGUGGAGUAAUUAGCAGUCUUGAUGUGAUGUGCAAAAUGGCCUAGGUUGAUGAUUUAUAAAAGUUUAAGUGGUAAUCGUGAGAUAUAUGUGUACAUGAGAACUAGUGUUAAAGCAAUGAAUUAUGGUUGAAUCAUUAAGUGGAUAAGAACACGAGUUUAUAUGAAUAAGUUGACCUCAGGUAGCAGGUUGUUUGAAAAAGUUUUAUGCGUAUAAGUGUUUUGUGUACCUAGAUUUAGUUUUGAAUUUUGUAGUAUGGAGAAAUCUGGGAAGUUGUUGUAUGGUGCUCUUUAGAGUUGAAUUGAAGAAAAUUAGGUAGGCAAUGUGAGCCUUGGGUAUGGUUUUACAAAGUUUUGUUAAGCUGCAAGUUAUAUGAUUUUAGGGGUAAUGCAAGUAUUCUAAGGAAUUGAAGAUGGAGCAUUAAGUAUUUAGAAGCGUGGGUGUCUAUGCCCAUGAAAAUAUUUGUCGUAAGUUGAUGACUUUGGGGGUUAGGAGAAAUUAUGAUUAGUGUCCCUAGAGGGGGUAUCUUAGAAAGGAUUUUGUAUCUUUAUAUUUUUAUUAAGGGGAGUUUUUGUUCAUAUGUAUAUUGAUACCCCACUUUGUUAUAGGGAGUGUGGAUGCAUAUGCUCAAGAGAGUGGGAAUUGUAGAGUGAUCGCUAUAGAGGUUAGCGAAAGUUAAGAGCAGCAUAUUUCAAAAAGCAAGGCCUUCCAAGUAUAGUUCAUUAGGGAAAGUUUAGAGUUCAAGUUUAUGGUGAUGUCCCAUUUGCGUUGAGGUUGUGGCUACAGAUUUUUGUUGUGAGGUUAUUUCUGCAAGUCAAGGGGUGUGACUUUGAUCGAAGGGGGAUAUGGGGAAUUAAGUGAGUUUUCGAAUAUUCUCAAUCUGGCAAGUUGCGGGAAGGAACUAGGAUGAACCUAAUUCUACUCAAGCAUAAUCCUCCCACUUCAAUUUAGGAGAGUAUCCUGCUAAUGUCUUAUGUCAUCUCUUCAAUUCAUACCUAUGGUUCAAGUUCUGUAUGGACUUAGGUUUAUGAUCUAACCUCCAAACUAGAAGCAAUUAUGUCUCUCAGUAAUCCAGUCUUUCAUGUAUUCAGGCCAUAUGUUAUAUUGUUUGUGAUCCAUGAAAAUCUAUGUCUCUUUGUAUGCUUGGUCCUAAGAAAAUAUGUUUCUGUAUGUCACCGAUUCAUCCUAUUGAUGUGUGAGCAGAUGCUAACACAUUUGAGGGUAUUAACUGAGAAUAAUUGCGAAGUCUUAUGCAACUUUUAUCAUUUUUGAUUGUUUAACUUUGAUUUUACAGUGGAAGUCGAGGCAAGAGAACCAACAAUAAUGGAAGUAAAAGAGUUGAAAACUGAAGAAAAUAGAUGAGAAGUGUGGCUGACGACAUUCCUGAUAAGUCGUCAGCACUCUGAUAAGUUAUCAUCUUCAUCGUCAUCCAUAAACAGAGAAUGGGAUUAAGUUAGAAGAAGUGGCGAUGACAUAUGAUAAGCCAAAAACCUUGUGAUAAGCCAUCAGCCUUAGACAGAACAUGGGAGCUGAGGUGGAGAAGUGACGACAUUGUCUGAUAUGUCAUCACAGUUUUGAUAAGCUGUAAGGAUUCACCGUCAGCCUUAAGCUGAAAAUGUCAAAAUUAAAGAGGAGCUGAAAACAUCCGUGAUAAGUCAUCAGCCUCCUGAUAAGGCGUCACACAUGUCGUCACUUAAUCCAAGAAGAACACUAAACUAUGUGAUUUUGUUUUCAUAAUUAGGUUGAAGUAUUUAAAGUAUAGUUUAGGGUUUUCUAGGAGGAUUCUGAACCUAUUUUGGAACGGACAUAUUUUGUUAUUUUCUCUCUAGUUUCUUGGCUUGAACAAAACAAUUAACUUUGAAGAGAUUAUCAUCAAUAUUUUACGACUUCUACUUUGAUCUAAUCUGAGAAACACUCGUUACUAUUCAUCUUGCUGUGAGUUUAUCUUUCAAAUUAUGAAUUCAACUUGUUGUGUUGAUUAUUACAUUAUGAGUGGCUAUAUCCUUUUAACCCGAAUUAUGGGAUCUAUGGGUUAGGUGUUGGUAAGUUGCUAAGUGUUCAAGAUUCUAAAGGUAAUAGGAAUCCUUGAUAAUUUCGAGCUUUUAAUUAUCGUCUAUUGGUUAGAAACGAUUGAUAGCUCCUGCUUUGAUUUGAUUGAGAUAAGAAAUAAACUAUAGUAAGAAGUAAAUUAUUGACAGUGACUUGGAAGCUACCAACCUUCCAUUUAAUAAUUGACGUUGUAACAAGGUUAAUUAACCUGAGGUGAAGUCUGGUUAGUGAAUAAAAAUUCCCUAAGUCUGAGAGGAUUAGGUAAUUAAAUGCUUAAGUAGGUCGAGAGACAUUUAGGCAUAACUUCGAUAAAGACAAUCUGUUGUUCCUACCUAUCGUGAGAAUUUUGAAUCACUAUUAGCAUCUGUCAAGUACCAAAACCCAUAGUGAACAUAAUUCUGGUUUUUCAUAAACCCUUGAUUACAAACACUGAAACUAAAGUGACCAACAAUUAUUCGCUAAAUUCUCAUAACCCCCAAUUUACCAGAAACUACUAACUAUCAGUAGAUUAACUCACAUACAACUCAGAUUCACAUCAUAUCCCCUAUGGGAUUCGACCUCAACCUAGUUGGAUUAUAUAUUGGCAACGAUCAUUUACAUUCUCACAUGAGAGGUGUAGUUUGAGCGUUAUGAAAAAUGGCACCGUUGCCGGGGAAUAUGGUUGUAAAUUAAAGUUUGUGUGCGCUAAUUGACUGUUAGUCAACUUCCCUAGUUUUACCUUUAUUUGUUGUUUUUGUUUAUUGCAAGAUCUUUGUGGUGUAUGCCAAGAACCAAAAGUUCUGGAGAACCAUUAUUACAAUUUAAUCUGGAACCACAAUGAAUUGGAAGAAUGGCAGACCAUCUAGAGACUGAUAGGUUAGCAGCCUUAGCUAGAGCUUAGGUGAAUGUGCAGAAUGUCGGUCAACAAGUACGGCAUCCAAAUCCUGAGGAUGAAUAUUUGGAAGAUGAGGAGUUGCUAAACCCUGGUAACCCAAGGCGUGCAGAGCAAGUAGCUCCACCAGUACAACGUAAUGCUAAUAGGAACCAUCCGGUUUUAGUAAGGCAAGAUUACUUGCCGGUCCAGUAUGACCUCAAUGAUGAUCAUGAUGGAAUGGAUGGAGCAAGUACAAUGGGUGCAAUUAUUCCUCCACCAUUGGCAGGUGGAGAAAAAUUCAACAUUACGAGUACUAUAAUUCAACUCCUCAAUUUGAAGAGGUUGUUUGGUGGCCUUUCUGGGGAUGACCCGAAGUUGCAUCUGGUGAACUUUGUCACCAUCUGUAAAUAUUUUGAUAACCUAGGAAUGGGUCAUAAUGCUAUCCGUUUGAGAUUGUUUCCGUUGUCUCUGUAUGGGGAGGCAACAUUAUGGCUUAACGAGCUGACACCUGAUUCUAUAACCAACUGGAAGCAGUUGAAACAAGCUUUCCUAGAAAAGUUAUUUCCACCUUCCAAAAGGGUAUAGUUGAGGGAUGAGAUCAGCAACUUUAGACAACUCCCAACUGAAGCCCUGUAUGAAACCUGGGAGAGAUUAAAAAAGAAACUGACGCAGUGUCUGAACCACAAUAUGGCAGACAUAUACUUGAUGGAGACUUUGUACAGGUCUCUUAACUCUGUGACAAAACCAAUUGUAGAAAUUGCUGCUGGUGGUUCGUUUGUUGAUCUUACAUUCCCAGAGGCUUCAUAAAUGCUAAAGAGAAUGACCAAAUAGAGUUGGGAUUGGCAUACCAGAGACUCUGUGGUAGCAAGCCCCACUGUUUCUGUGGGUAUGACAGUGGAACAACACAGGAGAGACGAGAAGCGUGAUCAAAACAUGGCGCACCUAAAUAAGCAAAUGGACUUUCUAACCAAGCACUUGCUAUAAGGAAAAAUUUAGAAGGUGAAAGCUGUGGGAUCUCAAGAUAGAGUUGAUGCUGAUCCAGAAGAAGAGGCAAACUAUGUUAAUAAUCAAGGGGGUUUUUGAGGCAAUAUCCAAGGGAAUCAAGAUCAGAAUUAUUAUGAUAAGCCUGGUUAUAAAGAUAGGGAGCAAGAAAAUUGAAGGAGCAAUAAUGAUAGGAGUGGGCUAUAUGUCCCUUCUGGAAAUCGUGAGGCUACUACAACAAGUUCUAAAAAGAUGUCCAUAGAGGACAUGAUGGCUAAAUUUUUAAAUAAAGUGGAGGCUACCAACUAAAGAGUGACUACCAUGAUUACCAAUCUGUCAUCUAUUAGUCAGUUGGUAAACUCGCACUCCGCUUCAAUCAAGUAGUUGGAACAGCAAAUGAGCCAACUCUCCGCAGUGCUGAAUCAGAGGAAGAGUGGAACAUUACCUAGUGAUACAGUCUAGAAUCUGCAGAAUGAUGGAUCAUGUAUGGCGAUUACCACUAGAAGUGGUAAGAUAUUACUUGGCCGUUCUGUGGGCAAAAAUGUAAUUGAUGACGCAGUUGAUAAUGAACUGGAAGAAGGUGUUCCAGUGGAGUCUGAGAAGCUGGAUGGUUCUGAUGAUACUCCAGAAAAAGGGAAAGGGAAGGAGAAGUAGGAAAGAGAAGGAGAAGGAGGUAGUAGUAAAAAAUCUCCUAAGACCACCACCUCCCUUUUCUCAAUAAUUGCAGAGAAAAAUUAAUGAUACAAAGUUUGGAAAGUACAUGAAGAUGUUGAAGCACUUAACAAUAAAUGUGCCUUUGGUGGAGGUACUUGAGCAAAUGCCAGGAUACGCUAAGUUUAUGAAAGACCUUGUUACAAAGAAACGGAAGGUUAGCCAUAAGUUGGAGGAUAAUCCCCAUCAUUGUGGUGCUAUCUCCACAAGGUCUUUAGUGCAAAAAAGGCAGAUCCGGGAGCAUUUACCUCCUAUGAACUAUUAGGUCCCUAAAUUUUACAAAGGUUCUAUGUGAUUUGGUAGCCAGUAUAAACCUAACACCACUUAUUGUGUACAAGAAGAUGGGUUUGGGGGAUCCUACCCCGACAAACAUACAGUUGGUGAUAGCGGAUAGGUCUGUAAAAUGGCUAAUGGGCAUAUUACAUGAUGUAUUAGUAAAGGUGGCUGACUUUAUAUGGCCUGCUAAUUUUGUAGUCCUAGACUGUGAAGUGGACUUCGAAGUACCCAUCAUCCUUGGUAGACCAUUCCUUGAAACUGGGAGAGUGGUAGUGGACAUGAAGCUGAAUGGGCUGAAGUUCAAGCUUAAUGACAAAGAAGCAAGAUUCAAAAUACACUCAUCCAUGACCCAGCAAAAAGAGAUAAGUGUUUUCGUAAUCAUGGAUGUAUUCUAUGAAGAUGGUAAAGAGAUAUCAGCAGGUUGUCUUGACGAAGUCUGAGUAGUUAAGAUUACCAAGUCGUGCCGCGAUAUUAAAUCAGGCGUGAUAUGAGAGGCAACCCAUGAUCCCCAUGCUUGAUCUACUCCAAGUAUACCCGAACCCUUAAUUUAUUUUUUCUUUGAUUUUUUGUUGAGGGUGUAGGGUGAGUUGUUGUUGCAACAUUUUGUAGUUGACUAGGAGAAAUACAAGUACCUGAGGUAGUUAACAUGGUUUUGUUGUUUUGUGAACACCUCUCAAGUGGUCUAGUUCUUUAACUAUAUGAUUUGCAUCUAUUUGUGACCACUCUGCAUCUAUGUAUGGUAUUAGUUCUAGUGACUUGAUAACUAUUGCUAAAUAAUUGCAUGAACCGGAUAAGUAGUAACUUGUGAUAUACUUGUGUGCCAUGUGCGUGUGAGAUUCUACUUAGUCCCCUUUGUAUGUUGAAUUCAGAACUUGCUCGGAUAGUCUUACCUAGGUUGAAGGAUAUGGGUUAGGAAAGGAUCAUAGGCCAUUUUGAUAUUAGCUCACUUUAGCCUAAAUGACCUUGUCUGUAUGCAUAAUAUCCUUUGAUCCCUAUUUUGAGCCUGAAUAGCCUAUUUCUUUUUAUGAUACCUAUCACCGUCCCAUUUUUAUAUCAUAAUGAACCUAUUUUGGCCUAGUCCUCCUUGGAUAUUGUGCACCUUGACUAAGGAAAAUGGCCUAAGUUGAGGGUAGAUAUCAUAGGGGCGCGUGAUGUAAAAUGAGUAUGAAGAAAGGUAGAGUAAAAGAAAAGAAUAAAAAUCUGGGUGCGGUGGAAAAGGGCAAGAAAAGAAAAGUUGUGAAAAUAAGAAGUGGUUGUAGAAAACAACUGAACCCAUCCUGAAUAAGUGUGAUCAAGAAAAGAGAAGAAUAGAAAAAGGCUAAUUAGUGAAACCCCAAAAGCUAGUGUAGUGUCAAGGAGGCUUAGUCACUUUAAAUAUCAUGAGUAUCAUACCAACCCCUAGCCUACAUUACAAGCCAAAGAGAAGACCUAUAGUGAUCCUAGCUGACCUAUCUAAAGAUCUUGGUAAAAAAAAUAAGGGCAAACCUAUGGUAUUUGGCAUACAUUGAUUGGAAUUUCAUUCUGAGAGUGAGUGUCUUGUGAUUGUCCCCAUGGUUACAUAUGUGAUGUCUGAUAUAAUUCCAAUGAGACUUCUUUGUAGUGAAGGCACACUGGCUACGUUGCUAAUUGCUAACUUGUUUGGAUAGUGUAAUCUUAAUACAAUCACCGAGUAAGCUUUUUUGGAUUAAAUGGUAAUAAUGGUUCUCCAGAACUUCUGGUUCUUGGCAUACACCACAAAGAUCCUGCAGUAAAAAGCAACAACAAAUAAACGUAAAACUAGGAAACUUGACUAACAGUCAAUUAGCGCACACAAACUUUAAUUUACAACCGUAUUCCCGGCAACGGCAUCAUUUUUGAUAACGCUCAAACUACACCUCUCAUGUGAGAAUGUAAAUGAUGGUUGUCAAUAUAUAACCCAACUAGGUUGGGGUCGAAUCCCACAGGGAAUAUGGUGUGAAUCUGAGUUGUAUACGAGUUAAUCAACUGAUAGUUAGUAGUUUCCGAUAAAUUGGGGGUUAUGAGAAUUUAGCAAAUAAUUGUUGGUUACUUUAGUUUCAUUGUUUGUAAUCAAGAGUUUAUGAAAAACCAGAAUUAUGUUCACUAUGGGUUUUGGUACUUGACAGAUGCUAAUAGUGAUUUAAGAUUCUCAUGAUAGGUAGAAACAACAGAUUGUCUUUAUCGAAGUUAUGCCUAAAUGUCUCUCGACCUACUUAAGCAUUUAAUUACCUAAUCCAAUUUAUAUUCACUAGCCAGACUUCACCUCAGGUUAAUUAACCUUGUUACAGCGUCAAUUAUUAAACGAAAGGUUGGUAGCUUCCAAGUCCCUGUCAAUAAUUCACUUCCUACUAUAGUUGAUUUCUUAUCUCAAGCAAAUCAAAGCAGGUGCUAUCUAUCGUUUGCAACUAAUAGACAAUAAUUAAAAACUCGGAAUUAUCAAGGAGUCCUAUUACCUUUAGAAUCUUGAACACUUAGCAACUUACAAAGACCUAACAUAUAGAUACCAUAAUUCGGGUUUAAGGAAUUUAGCCACUCAUAAUGUAAUAAUCGAUACAACAAGUUAAAUUCAUAAUUUGAAAGUUGAACAUACAAAAAGGUGAAUAGCAACAAGUGUUUCUCAGAUUAGAUCAAAGUAGAAAUCCCAAAAUAUUGAUGAUAAUCUCUUCAAAGUUAAUUGUUAUGUUCAAGCCAAGAAACUAGAGAGAAAAUAACAAGAUACGUCCAUUCUAAAAUAGGUUCAUAAUCCUCCUAGAAAACCCUAAAUUAUGCUUUAAAUACUUCAUCCUAAUUAUGGAAACAAAAUCACAAAGUUCAGUUCUAUUCUCAGAUUAGGUGAUGACAUGCGUGACGCCUUAUUAGGAGGCUGACGACUUAUCACGGAUAUCGUCAGAUCCUCUUCAAUUUUGACAAUAUUUGCUUAAGGCUAAUGGUGAAUCCUGAAGGCUUAUCAAAACUGUGAUGACAUAUCAGACAAUGCGUCACUUCUCCACCUCAGCUCCCAUGUUCUGUCUAAGGCUGAUGGUAACUCUGAUGGCUUAUCAUAAGGCUAAUGCUUAUCACAUGUCAUCGUCACUUCUUCCAAUUGAAUCCCAUUAUCUAUUUAAUACUGAAGAUAAAGCUGAUAACCUAUUAGAGUGCUGACUACUUAUCAAGAAUAUUGUCAGUCGCACUUCUCUUUUAUUUGCUUCAGAUUUCAAAUAUUUUACUUCCAUCAUUGUUGGUUCUCUUGCCUCUUGACUUCCAUUGUAAAAUCAAAGAUAAAACAAUCAAAAUUUACAAUUAUUCUCAGUUAAAAGCCUUAAAUGUUUAGCAUCUUCUCACACAUCAACACCCUCAACUUAAAACAAUUGCUUGUCCUCAAGCAACUAAAACACAACCAAGAGAAUACAAAGUACAUUUAAUAGUCAACCAUCCAUAUUAUCUCAAAACAUCUUCACCAUCUCCAAGGUCAAUCAAUUUACAAACAACUGUGUAUGUUAUUGAAGAGCAACAACGUGACAUACAAGAAUCAAGAUAUGGCAUCAAAUCACAAAGUUAGAAACUAGCAUAACCAAGGGGUCACCAACCCAACUAGCAACUAGAAUGAUAAAUGUAUCGGAAAAGACUAACAUUGGGCAUAAAGAGAGCUUAGGUGGUUCCCCGAAGAAGGAACAAGUUCAGACAAAUCAUUGCCCAAAAUCAUGAUUUAUCGAUCUGGGUAUAUUAUAUUACCCUAGCCUAGUGCCCUGUGGCGUAUCAGACUCAGAUACUCCAACAGUUACGGCAUACUUGGGUUGGGGGCUUCUCCUCCGAGUCAAUGGUGGAUUCCAUAUAGCCCAUGGAAUAUCAGACUUGUAGGGGAGUGCCUGCACUGACAGAAAGGUUUUAUGAUUAUCAAAGAUGCCCAUGUGUUUUUGAAUUUAUAUCAUUAUGAUAUUUUAUGACUAGCUCUCAACUAUUUUAUUUAUAUUAAAAGCUUUAUUUUGGAUUGUUCUGCGUACCAGUACAUCACUAUUGACCCCCUACCUUUCAGGUUCUGAGGUACAAUCUAGGGGUCUUGAUAAGCAGUAGAGUUCUUCAGACAGAAGUGCAGAGCUCAAUCGGUGAACCUUCUAGAUUUUAGAAGGCCCAUUUAUUUUCAGACAUUUAUUGUUAGUCGUGGUUUUGGUCUACUGGGGGCCUUGUCCCAGAAUUUUCAAACAGUUGUUAUUACAUAUGUAGUAGACAUUUGCAGAUGGUUUUUCAGAUAUUAUUAGAGGGUUUGGAUUUCAUUUUACCAUUGUUGAAUUUGUAUUAAACUUAGGACCAUGAUUCUAUUUCAUUAUAUUUUUUCGCAUUUUCUUAUUGUGUAUGAAUAGUGUAUAUGAUUACAAGUUAGAAGAGCUCUCGUGUCUUGAUGGUUUGAGAUGUUUGUCAUAGCCAGGGCCUCAGUUUAGGUUGUGACAAAAUUGGUAUCAGAGAAUGGUUUAUGGUCCUAGGGUGUCUGUGAAAUUGCGUCGGGUAGAAUUUUAUUUAUGGGUGUGUAGCGCGCCACAUUUAUAAGAAGGAGGCUACUAGUAAUUUAGGAAUACUUCUAUUAUUUAUGGUUUAGUUCUUGAUUCAGAGUCUAAAUUGUCCCCUAAUCAAUGAUCUCUUAUGUUUCAAAAAAACAGUCAUGCCUCCCCAUCGUACUAUCGAUCAGAAUUCACAGACAGAUGAGGUCUGUCUUACUCAUGAGAUGAGGACCCAAAACAGAGCCCCAGCUCCAGAGAUUGAUGCUACUCUGGGAUUACCACCUACUCAUACCAGCCCACCCAGGGCACCUAGAGCUCCCCGAAUGGGGACUAACCGCACUCAACUUCACUAGAGAGAGGUAUCUAAUACAGAAUUCAGACAGCCAUUCACAUGCUUGCAUAGUUGGUAGCCACACAAACUCAAUGGUCUAAAUAUAUUGGGUAUGCAUCUGUUACGUCUGAGGCUACAAGAGUGGGCCAGUUCAUGAAGAUGAACCCACCUAAGUUUACUGGUACUAAGGUAGAAAAGGAUCCACAAGAGUUUGUGGGCGAUAUAGAAAGAUCUUUAAGAUGAUACAUGUAGAUGAGGUAGAGAGGGUUGAGUUAGCAACUUACCAACUGAAGGAUGUAGCAAACCAAUGGUAUAAUGAAUAGGAGGAUUCUAAGGGUGAGAGUGCUGAGCCUACGGUAUGGGACGAGUUCAUGGAAGCCUUUCUUGAUCGGUUCUUUCCUCUUGAGUUGAGGGAGGCCAAAGCUGCAGAGUUUAUGAACCUUAAGCAAGGAAAGAUGAGUGUCAAGGAGUACACUCUGAAGUUCAACCAAAUGGCUCGUAAUGCUCCAGAGAUGGCUGGUAAUAUGAGAGCCCAAAUGAGAAAAAUUGCAUCCGACCUUUCGAAUGACUUAGUGCUUAAAUGUAAGGGGGUUACGCUUAACAGGGACAUGGACUUCUCUAGGCUAUCAGUGCAUAUGCAGCAGGUAGAGGAGCAUAAGAAGAUGAUCGCAAAAUCUAGGGAGAAGGAUAGGCAAGCAAGGAGAGCUAGAAUAACAGAUCAGAACUACAGUCAGUCACAAAGUGGUAAUUAGGAAAAUAAAUGGAAGAAGAAGAAGAAUUGGAGUAAUACACAGUCUGUAGCCAGUGCCCCAAUGCCCAAACCUCCAGUAGACCGACGAACUUAGAGUUUCCAAACUAAUCAUGGAUCCAGAGCACAGGAUACCCAGCCACAGGGCAACGUAACUCAGCAGCGUCAUACGUUUCCACAGUGUGAGACCUGCGGUAAGCAUCAUCCAGGGAGGUGUCAGCUAGUUUCACUAUUAUGCUAUUUAUGUGGUCAGUCAGGUCACUUCCAGAGAGAUUGUCCUUCGGUUAGAAGGAGUAUUGGUGGUGCCAAAUCUCAGGCAAACUCUUCCAUACCACCACCACCUCAAAAGAGCACCACCUUAGCUAUCGAGAGUGGUCUCAACCCAUUAUAUACUUUUUCCAACUGCCAGGAGGUGAAUCCUCGCCAGACGUAGUCACCGGUAUGUUACAAAUCAUUUCCCGUGCUUGUAAUACAUUGUAUUUUUAUGCUAGAAUUAUAACCGUCUUCUAUGGUUCUAAGCUCUAAUCCAAGUGAUACUCACAUGAAUAUAAGUUUCAUGAUCAUUAUCCUAGUCUAUGGAGUAGUUUGGAGGUGGAAAAUGUUCAUAGCAAUGACAUAGAACAAAGUUGAGCUAAGAUCAAGUUUGUCAUUUGAUUCUACAAGGGUCUAUUUCAAAUGUGUAUAACUCCUUAUAUACAUGGAAUUUUUCAUUCCAACGCCUAUUAAAUUGUAUAUAAUUGAAUAAUCUUUCCGAUGAUACCAAUUUCGCAAAAAUCCGAUACCCGAGCGAAAAGUUAUGGCCAUUUUAGUGGUUGAGGCUGUAGCACCAUGCGAUAAGCAAGAGGCGCACGCUCUAUCUCUUGCUAAUAAUUUUCAGGUUCUGUUUCUGCAUUUUUAAGGGAAAAAGUGGUAUUUUCCAACACCUAUCCAUCUAUAACAUAGGAUUAAACUCCCAUAACACCAAAAUAAGUUUACUUUCUCUCAAAAUCACCAAGAACAUUCAAUAGGGUUUCAACCUAAAAAUCCUAAUAUCUCAAGAUUCAACCGUAGGUUUUCGAUAAUUUUUCAAGAUUCAGAUUCCCCAUUCCGAGGGCUAUUAGAAGCACCCAUUAAUCUAAAUAAUAGUAAUCCGAAGUUAAGAGUUCAUCCAAAGCUUAAAUUUCAAGGUAUGUGGGGUUUGAACAAGAACACCCUUUUGUUAUUGUGCCCAAAACUUAUUUUAGAUUAUAAAUUACUGAAUUAUUGAUUAUUUUUCAUGAAAUUCAAGUUGGGGUUUAUACCCAUGGUUGUUAAUUACAAGCUUAUAAGGUUCCCAAUGAUUUAGAAGUGUAAUUGUAUGACUAAUUUCACAUAUUUAUGCAAGUAAUGUGAUUUUCCAGAUUUUUCCAAGUGAGUUUAAGAAUUAUAUUGUGAUUCUUGAUGUCUCUAUUUUGAAAUUGUGGAAGUGUUUUUGAGAAGUAUAUCGAGUAUGAUGUUUUGCUAUGAUAUUACAUAAAUAUGUUCAUAUUUUCAUGCUUAUUGAUGAAUUUUCAUAUUUUGAGUUGAUUCAUCAAUAUUUACAUUAUCAAGCAUGAAUCAUUUGGUGUUUUAAUACGAGUUUGAUAUAUGGGUCACUAACCCCUAUUUAAAGAUUGUUAUUUUGAUAAUGAGUUAUUGAGGACUUUUAAAGAAUUACAAGAAGUAUGGUUAUAUUUUCAUUAUUAUGAGAUCUUUAAAGCUUUGAUGAUGAGUCUAUCAAUAUUUCAGGAAAGAGUUGGUUUUUGAACCCAAGUAAGAAAAGAAAUCCACAUUUGAUUGAUUUAAGAUAAAGGGGUAGCGUAUUGGCUCCCGAUGCAAAUUGUUGAAUUGUUUAUUGUGGAUUUUCUUUAAAGUUCUAAGCUAAGUCCGGGAGUAGUAUUUAGCACCGAGCGGGAAGUGUGGUACUUCUCUAGAACUAUGUGCCCCUAUAGGAUAUGAGCCUGAGGAUGAUAGAGUGAUCACUAAUGAAUUGAAAAGUUAACAUUCUAUCCGAUGGCAAGGAUAGAACAACUCUCCCCACUGUGGGUAAGACGUUGGACUCCAUGUAGCUCACAUGGUUUAUGUCGGUUAGAAGAAACUCCCAAACUAGUCCUCCACUCUAUCUAUGAUAAAGGUAUAUGUUUUUCGAAAGCUAUGAUUCCAAGAUUUCUAAGGUUCUCAAGUGUCAAAAUCUUUAAGUUUUCAAUGGAGUUCUUAGUUUUCAUGAGAUUAAAGUGUAUAUUCGGAAAGUUAUUGUUUUAAGACAUUAUCUAUGCUACAAGUUUGAGAACAAAGAAAGAAUGCAGAUUUAGAAUGAAGUGAAAUGACUCACUAGAUUUAUACUAAAUGUUUCAUUAUUCAUGAUUUAUGAGAUUUAUAUUUCAGAUAUUAUUCAAGCUAUGUGAGUAAUUUAUGUCAGCAUGCAUAAUUUUAUAAACUGUGAUGAUAUUGAGAUAUUAUUUUAUAUGUGCAUUGCACCCCUAUAUACUCAGUACAUCCUCAAAGUACUGAUCCACAUAUAUAUGUCUAUGUGUUACAUUGUCUCAUAAUGUAGGUACAAGUUUUAGUAUGCACAUCAGACUCAGACAGUUGCAGAUUUCAGCCAACAGAUGAUAUGUCCUCCUACUUUGGGGAUUUAAGUUAGAUGCUAUUAUAUAUUUUAUUUAUUUAUUUUUCUUAUAUAUUGAUUAGUGAUAGUUGAGGUCGCGUCCUAGCUAUCUAUAGUCAGUAUUAGCAGAGGCUUCAUAGUCAGUCAGUAGAGUCAUUGUAUUUAUCUUACUUUCUUUGUAAAAGUAGAGUUAUAAAUAUAUGAAUUCACUUUUGUAUUGAUCAGGUUCAGAAAAGAUGUAUCUUCCGCUUACUUUGUUCAGAUUUAUCUAUCUUAUUCUAUUGCUUAUGAGUUAUGCCAGUAGAAGGGAUAGCUUGGGGUCACUUGUUACCCUAGGCACCGUGUGACAUCUCGGGACCUAAUUUUAGGGCGUUACAAACUUGGUAUCAGAGCACAAAGUUCAAAUAUCCUAGGGUGUUUGUGAAGCCAUGUCUAGUAGAGUCUUGCAGAACGGUACGGAGACAUCUGUACUUUUCUUUGAGAGGCUACAAGGAAUUUAGGAAAUGUUUUUAUUCUUUUAAGUCUUAGAUUGUGCUAUAGAAAGGAUCUCUAAGAAACUCAUACAAAUUCUCAUCUUGCUCUAUUCAAGCCAUUUUUGUCUUAUUCCCAAGGUAUCAGAAAUAGUCAAGCUCAAAUCCUUACUGCUAGAGCUUUUUCAAACAGUCUCCAUAAAUAGUUAUGGCAUUUUAAAAGAGCUAGAAAGUAUCCCAUCAGUGCUUUUAAGUUUUGAAGAUUUAAGUGCUUUAUCAUGUUUGUAAAAAUCUUACACUAAGACUAAGUCAGAUGUGCUUUCAGAUUCAUCCUCAGAUUCCAUAAUGAUAAUCUAUACUUCUCUAUCUAUGUACUGUUCUUGAGGUAACAUAAUCGGCAAGUUCUAAUUUCCUCCCCUGAUAAUGCUCUCAGACUUGCUAGCAAGAAGUUUCAAAAGUUUCAUACAGUAUCUUGAGAGGAGCCUUCUAGUGUGUUAUAAGUCCCUCAAAUUUAAAGUUAUACCUCAUUCUUAUGAGUCAUUUCGUUAAGACAGAGCAAGAUAUGUAUUCUUAGAUCAUUGAAUAUUGUGUAUCAAGUUUCUAUACCUUGUAAUAUGUAAUCUUGUCGUCAUGGUGUUUUUGAAACUCAAAGUCUAGUGAAGCCUUGCGGGCCUUUUUCGAUUCACUAGCAUAGUAGCUUUGUUAUUCAUCUAAUUUUCUUGUUCAAAACACAAAAUCAAAGUCUAGUGAAGCUAUGUGGAGAUCUUUCGAUUCAAUAGCAUAGUUGCAUUGUUAUUUAUCUCGGUUUCUUAUUCAAAAGACAAAACCACAGUCUAGUGAAGUCGUGUGAGGCCUAUUUCGAUUCACUAGCAACUUGUUGUUUAUCUUGUUGUUCUUGUGUUAGUUGAAAGUGUGGGUUUAGAAGUGUAGUGACAAGAAAGGUGGUAAGGGAGAUUUAUUGAAUAUGUAUAGCUGAAUUUUCGCUUAUAAUUGAAUUAGUAAUGAAGUGAUAUACCCUUGUUUGUUAGUUUAGUGAAAGUUAAAGAAGGAGAUUAUUAGUUAAGGAGGAUUAUUGUUUUCUUGAGGUAAGAAAAGAGUUACUGCGCUAGAAAAGUAUAGGUUUUGAUAGAAGUACUUGGUGGAUGACUGUUGUUAAUUUAGGCUUUAUUGAGAUUGCAAGAGAAAGUUUAGUUGAAACUUAUAAAGCUAUGAAAGAGUUUAGAUGUAUAAGAAGGGUAAAUAGUAAUGAGUUGUAGAAGAAGGAGGUGCUAGCAAAUCACAAUAAGAUAGACCAUAGGAUUGUGAUUGAUCAUUAUUGUUAUGAGGUUUUAGCGUACUAGUAUUUUAGAAUGUUUGGUAGGUAAGAAUAGUUGUUAAGAUUGUGGUUAAUCAUAGCUAGAACGAGAUACUAAGUUUGAAUAGUAGAUGAUGAGCAAGGUGGGGAUAACGAUUGCUUGGUUAGUGAUGCUAGUUAUAUGGAGGUGAACCAAGAGUCUUUAAAUAGUGAAUGCAAGAAUUUAAGUUAAUUGAUUUGAAAUUAAGUAUGAUGUUGUAGGUAUGAGGUAAAGGCGUGCCCAAGGUGAUAUAAGGUUGCAUUAUUUUCUAAGUUUAUUAAGUAUUGUGUGUGGUUAGUAGUACCCUUGAGUUUUAAGUGGAAGAAGCAUAGUGUCUAGUACAUGGUACUAUGGAUAGCCAAGUUAAGGAUGAUAUAUGAAAGGGGGUUGUUCAAGAAUAAAUUCAGCAAGUUUGAAAUAUAGCUUAUGCGUGUGAGUGUAGCAUUUAAGUGUGGACCGUUAGAGCAAAGAUAUUCCGACUCACUCCUAGGAAUGUGAGAUAGAUCCAUAAGUUUAGAAGAUGGCUUUAAAUCUAAGGGGGAGAUAGUACAAGACCCUUUAAUAUUCUAGCUCUUUUCAGUUCCUUGUAGCAUGACAAAAUAGUUCCCAAAACUUAGAAAUUUUUCAGUUAAGUGCCAAGACUUAGUCUUUUCCAAAGCCUUCUAACUUUGAGGAUUUUUUUCAUGAACUUUCUGACCUCCGAAAGUUGAUUUUCAAGUUGAUUCAUGAACGGGGGAGUCAAUAGUACAUCUUGGGUGACUUUCAGAAUUUUUGGAAUCCGUUUAGGGCAUGUUUGGAAUUCAAAAUAGUGACAUCAUGAGAUUAGCGUGUGGUGCAUGCUCCAGUACACCCCUAGUACCAUGCGAUAGAGCAUGCGGCGUACGCUCUAUUCCGGUGCUCCAUAGCAUGCGACGCACGCUCACAGCAUGCCCCCUUGUUUAUCCAGCUCCUGUUUCAGCUAUCUAAGGGACAAUGUUUAUAUACUUAAUGUGUAUUUGAGUUCAUUCUCAACUUUUAGUAAGUAAGUAAUAGUUUCACUCUAUGAUUUGAGUUUUCCCUCAAAAAAAUGUAUGGACUCUAGUCUUAUGACUGAAUAGCUCAUGAUAAGUAUGAACUCAUGUUUCAGAGUAUGACCAGUUUUAGAACUCAUGAUACUAGUGAAGUUCGCAUUAUAUCAUUUAUGUCCUCAGCUUAGAUUUCUUUAAUGAAUCCAUGCCUUUGAUAUUUUAUUCCUCAGGCCUAGGAUAAGUGUUAAAGUUAUGUAUUGUAGUGUUUUGUGCUUUUGGUUCUUAUGUGUUAGCCCUUCGGUGACCUCUUCCUAUGUUAAGAUAAUAGCGAUGAUAGUGGAUAAGCAAUGGUUUAGAUGAGAAAGGGUUGAUGACCCUCAUUAAGAAAGAUUAUUUAUGCUAAGGCUAAAAUGUGAAGUAAGAUUGAGGCCAAGUCGUUGAUACAUGUCAUGGUUAGUUAAAAUUCAUGUGUAUGUUCUUAAGAAUAGUACAAGCAAAUUGUUAUUGAUAAAGGUUUAAAUAAUAUGUGAAGUAUGCAUUUAUGCAGUUUUGCCUUGAAGUUCAUACAUGAUUUUAAUGAUAGGCGUGAAUGUCAUGUUGGGUGUAAGAGGACGGAUAAAAUAUACUCUAGUGAAUCAAUAGUAAGUGUUUCGAGUUAGUCCUUGAAGUGGUGAGGCAUGUUAUGCUUAGGGUGUGAACUCUAAAAAGUUAUGGAAUAUUGAACCUUGUGGUUUAGACUAGUAUUAUGGUUUGGCAUGUUGUAUCUUGUGAUUUAAAGUUAGGCUUGACCUUGGUGAGAGGACUUAGUUUAGUUUUAACCUUGCAGAAAGAUUUAUCAGUGCCCAUGUGAGGAUUAUAAGUUGAAUCAAGAGAGUGUGAUAUUUGAGGGAAAUAUCAUAGUCAAGGAAGCAACUGAGAAAUGUUGCUAAACUUGAAAGUAAGAAUUAGCAUUUCUUAAGGCCUAGAAAUUCUACCCUAGCUUAUGAUUUAUGGGUCUAUGUUCCAGGCCACAGAGGGGUAGCAAUUUCUUAAUUCCUUAUUCAGAUGUUUUAUUUAGAUCAUGUCCAAAGUUCUUUACUCCCUAAUUGCAUUAAAAAUUUCUUAGAAAGGCAUUGAAGAAAUACUUUAUUUAGGUGUAAGCAUCCAGUAUGAUUCAGUCUAUAAGUAUCAUAUGUAUCAUCUCAAUCUUUUCCUGAUUUUUAAAUCAAACUAUUAUCAUUCGGGGACAAAUAAUCCCAAGAGGGGGAUGUUGUAAUACCCCGAGUUUUCAUGUCAUAAACCUCUCAUCUUUUUCUUAUGAGAUCAGAUCCAACGCAAUGUAAUGGUUACUCAUAAGUUGACACUCUCAUUUCUAUCUAAGCCAUACAGCUAUUUUCAUGAGAAUUCAUGCAUUUGCAGAUCAGUUCAGUGGCUCAUUAUGUUUGAGAUUCAGUGAUUCAGUUUAUAUCAGUUGUACAUGAUAGCUUAAAGAAUGAGAUUCUUCUGUGCUUCAGCUUACUUAUCCACAUUCGAGGACGAAUGUUCCCAAGGGGGAGAUAAUGUAAUACCCCAUAUUUUAUUCGUGCUGGAAUUCUAACCGUCGUUUCUAUGGGUCUAAGCUCUAAUCCAUGUGAUUCUCAUGUGAAUAUAAGUUGCAUGAUCAUUAUCCUAGUCUAUGGAGUAGUUUAGAGGUGGAAAAUGUUCAUAGCAAUGACCUAGAGCCAAGUUGAGCUAAGAUAAAUUGAUUCGUCCAAAGUUUGUCAUUCGAUUCUACAAGGGUUUACUUCAAAUGUCCAUAACUCUUUAUAUAUAUGGAAUUUUUUAUCCCAAUACCUAUCAAAUUUUAUAUAAUUGAAUUAUCUUUCCAACGAUACCAAUUUUACAAAAAUUCGAUACCGAGCGAAAAGUUAUGGCUAUUUUAGUGGUUGAGGCAGUAGUACCAUGUGAUGAACGUGCGACACACGCUCUAUCACACGCUAAUAAUUUUCAGGUUCUGUUUCCAUGUUUUUAAGGGAGAAAGUGGUAUUUUCCAACCCCUAUCCAGCUAUAACAUGGGAUUAAACUCCCAUAACACCAAAAUAAGUUUACUUUCUCUCAAAAUUACCAAGAACAUUCAUUCGGGUUUCAACCUUAAAAUCCAAAUAUCUAAAGAUUCAACCAUAGGUUUUUGAUAAUUUUUCAAGAUUCUUAUUCCCAUUCCGAGGUCUAUGAAAAGCACCUAUUAAUCUAAAGUAUAGCAAUCCGAAGUUAAGAGUUCAUCCAAAGCUUAAAUUUCAAGGUAUGUAGGGUUUGAAUAAGAACACCCUUUCGUUCUUGUGCCCAAAACUUAUUUUAGAUUAUAAAUUACUGAAUUUUUUAUUAUUUUCCAUGAAAUUCAAGUUGGGGUUUAUACACAUUGUUGUUAAUUAUAAGCUUAUAGGGUUCCCAAUGAUUUAGAAGUGUAAUUAUAUGACUAAUUUCACAUAUUUAUGCAAGUAAUGUGAUUUUCCAUAUUUUCCAAGUGAGUGUAAGCAUUAAAUUGUGAUUCUUGGUUUCUAUAUUUUGACAUUAUGGAAGUAUUUUCAAGAAGUAUAUUGAGUAUGAUGUUUUGCUAUGAUAUUACAUGAGUAUGUUUAUAUUUUCAUGCUUAUUGCUGAAAUUUUAAGAUUUUGAGUUGAUUCAUCAAUAUUUACGUUAUCAAGCAUGAAUAUUUUGGUGUUUUAAUACGGUUUGAUAUAUGGGUCAUUAACCCCUAUUUAAAGAUUGUUAUUUUGAGAAUGAGUUAUUGAGGACUUUUAAAGAAUUGCAAGAAGUAUUGUUAUAUUUUCAUUAUUAUGAGAUCUUUAAAGCUUUGAUGAUGAGUCUAUCAAUAUUUCAGGAAAGAGUUGGUUUUUGAACCCAAGUAAGAAAAGAAAUCCACAUUUGAUUGAUUUAUGAUAAAGGGGUAGCAUAUUGGUUCCCGAUACAAAUUGUUGAAUUAUUUAUUAUGGAUUUUCUUUAAAAUUCUGAGCUAAGUCUGAGAGUAGUAUUUAGCACCGAGCGGGAAGUGUGGUACUUUUCUAGAACUAUGUGCCCCCUUAGGAUGUGAGCUUGAGGCUGAUAGAGUGAUCACUAAUGAACUGAAAAGUUAAGGUUUUAUCUGAUGGCAAGGAUAGAACAGAUCUCUCCAAUGUGGGUAAGACGUUGGACUCCAUGUAGCUCAUAUGAUUUAUGUCGGUUAGAAGAAACUUCCAAAGUAGACCCCCACUCUAUUUAAGAUAAAGGUAUAUGUUUUUUGAAAGCUAUGAUUCCAAGAUUUCUAAGGUUCUCAAGUGUUAAAAUCUUUAAGUUUUCAAAGGAGUUCUUAGUUUUCAUGAGAUUAAAGUGUAUAUUCGGAAAGAUGUUUUUUUAAGACAUUAUCUAUACUACAAGUUUGAGAACUAAGAAAGAAUGCAUAUUUAGAAUGAAGUGAAAUGACUCACGAGAUUUAUAUUAAAUGUUUCAUUAUUCAUGAUUUAUGAGAUUUAUAUUUCAGAUAUUAUUCAAGCUAUGUCAGUCAUUUAUGUCAGCAUGCAUAAUUUUAUAAACUGUAAUGAUAUUGAGAUAUUAUUUUAUAUGUGAAUUGCACAUAUACUCAGUACAUCCUCAAAGUAGUGAUCCACAUAUACGUCUAUGUGCUACAUUGUCUCAUAAUGUAGAUACAAGUUUUAUUAUGCACAUCAGACUCAGAUAGUUGCAGAUUUCAGCUAGCGAAUGAUAUGUCUUCCUACUUCGAUGAUUUAAGUUAGAUGUCAUUAUAUAUUUUAUUUCUUUAUUUUUCUUAUAUAUUGAUUAGUGAUAGUCGGGGUCACGUCCUAGCAAUCUAUAGUCAGUAUUAGUAGAGGCUUCAUAGACAGUCAGUAGAGUCAUUGUAUUUAUCUCAGUUUCUUUGUAAAAGCAGAGUUGUAAUCAUGUGAAUUCACUUUUGUAUUGAUCAUAUUCAAAAAAGAUGUUUCUUCCACUUACUUUGUUCAGAUUUAUCUAUCUUAUUCAGUUGCUUAUGAGUUAUGCCAGUAGAAGGGUUAGCUUGGGGUCACUUGUUACCCUAGGCACCAUGUGACAUCUCGAGACCCAAUUUUGGGGCGUUACAGUGAUACUUAUGUAUUACUUGAUCCUGGGUCUACCUUUUCAUAUGUGACCCCUUAUGUGGCUAUUGGCUUUGGGUUUGAGCCCGACAUAAUUUCAGAACCUUUUUCUAUUUCUACUUCGGUGGGUGAUUCUGUUGUGGCUAGGAGGUUGUAUAGAAAUUGAGUGGUGACUGUUUGUGGCUGAGACACCAUGGUAGACCUUAUAGACCUAGACAUGAUUGAUUUUGAUGCUAUCCUAGGGAUGGACUGGCUUCAUUUAUGCUAUGCCACACUAAAUUGUAGAACCCAACGAGUUACUUUUUCUUUCUCGAAUGAACCAGUAGUAGAGUGGGAAGGACAUUCUUUAGCACCUAGAGGGAACUUUAUAUCCUACCUCAAAGCCCAUAAACUCAUUUCUAAGGGUUAUUUGUAUUAUCUUAUUUUGGUUAAAGAUUCGGGUAUCGAAAGCCCUUCUUUUCAGUCCAUCCCUAUGGUGAAUGGAUUCCCAGAAGUUUUUCCAGAUAAUCUCCCAGGAAUACUACCUGAUAGAGAGAUAGAUUUUGGUAUUGAUUUAUUGCCAGACACCCGUUCUAUUUCUAUUCCGCCAUAUAGAAUGUCUCCUACAGAACUGAAAGAGUUGAAAGAACAGCUAGCAAAUCUUCUAUACAAAGGUUUUAUCCGUCCUAGUGUUUCUCCCUGGGGUGCACCUAUACUUUUCGUGCGUAUGUGUAGGUCACUGUUAAAAAUAAAUAUCCUCUUCCUAUUAUUGAUGACCUUUUUUACCAGAUUCAGGGUGCUAGAUGUUUUUCAAGGAUACACCUUGGUUCGGGAUACCAUUAUUUGAAGGUUAGAGAGUCAGAUAUUCCCAAAACAGCCUUCUAAACCAGAUACGGUCAUUAUGAAUUCUUAGUCAUGUCCUUUUGGUUGACUAACGCCCUGCAACUUUCGUGGAUCUGAUGAAUAGAGUGUUCCAUCAGUUUCUAGACCUGUUUGUGAUAGUUUUCAUUGAUGAUAUUCUGAUAUAUUCCAAGAGUGAGAAGGACCAUUCCAAUCACCUCCGAAUCAUCCUUCAGACUCUUAAAGAUCACAAGUUGUAUGCAAAGUUUUCUAAGUGUGAAUUCUGGCUUAAUACUAUUGCUUUCUUGGGGCAUAUUAAGUCUAGUAAUGGGGUGAAGGUUGAUCUCCAAGAGGUUGAGGCAGUGAGAAAAUAGCCCAGACCCAUGACUCCAAAUGACAUUCGGAGCUUCUUGGGUUUAGUAGGGUAUUACAGACGGUUCAUAGAGAGUUUUUCUUCCAUAGCUACACCGCUCACUAAGUUGACGCAGAAGAAUGUGAAGUUUGUGUGGUCUGACUCCUGUGAGAAUAGUUUUGAGAAGUUAAAAGAUAAGUUUACAACUGCUCCUAUUUUGACUCUUUUGGAAGGUACGGAGGGGUUUGUUGUGUACUGUGAUGCAUCCCGUGUGGGACUUGGGUGUGUAAUUAUGUAGCAUGGUAAGGUGGUGGCCUAUGCAUCUAGGCAGUUGAAGGUGCAUGAGUGAAAUUAUCCCACCUAUGACUUGGAGUUAGCGGCUGUGGUGUUUACACUUAAAAUCUGGCGACAUUAUCUCUAUGGGGUACAUAUUGAUAUAUUUAUGGACCACAAAAGUUUACAAUAUGUUUUCUUGCAGAAAGAAUUAAACCUCAGGCAAAGACGAUGGUUGGAGCUUUUGAAGGAUUAUGACAUGAGCCUGAACUACCAUCCCGGCAAAGCAAAUGUGGUAGCUGACGCCCUCAGCAGGUUAUCUAUAGGCAGCCUUUCACAUAUUGAAAAGGGGAAGAGGGAGAUAGUGUAGGAUAUUCACCGACUUGCAAAUCUAGAAGUACGACUCUUGGAUUUCGAAGAUGGGGGUGUGGUUGUUCAUGAUGUAGCUAAAUUUUCCCUUUGUGCAGAAGUUAAAGAGAAGUAGUUUGAAGAUCCCAUCUUAAUGCAGAUUAAGAAAGAUGUGGGUCAUUAGAAGGUGAUGUCUUUCAAAAUUAGUGGUGCUGGAAGUUUGAGAUAUUAGUGUAGACUAUGUGUGCCAGAUGUAGAUGGGUUGCGAAAGAGGAUCCUUGAUGAAGCUCACACUUUGAGGUAUGUUGUUCACCCAACUCUACCAAGAUGUAUCAUGAUCUAAAAGCUAUAUAAUGGUGGAAUAAUAUGAAGCGUGAUGUGGCUAAUUUUGUUGCCAAGUGUUUAAAUUGUCAACAAGUUAAGGUAGAGCAUGAGACUAGGUGGUACAUCCCAAGAGAUAGCUUUUCCUUUGUGAAAGUGGUAGAUGAUCAAUAUACACUUUAUUAUGGGACUUUCAAGGUCUCGAAACCAGUAUGAUUCUAUUUGGGUAAUUGUAGACUGGCUGACCAAGUCAACUAACUUUUUGCCUGUGAGGACCAACUAUUCGGGAGAUGAUUAUGCCAAGCUUUACAUUGAGGAAAUAGUCCGCUCGCAUGGUGCACCUGUAUCCAUCAUAUCUGACUGAGGUACACAAUUCUCUUCUCAGUUUUAGAGAUCUUUUUAGAGGGGUUUAGGAACCCAAGUAAAUCUGAGUACUGUAUUCCACCCUCAGACUGAUGGGCAAGCUGAGCGCAGCAUUCAGACCCUUGAGGAUAUGUUGAGGUCUGCAUGAUUGACUACAAAGGUAUUUGGGUAGAUCACUUGUCAUUGAUAGAGUUCACUUACAAUAACUGCUACCAUGUAAGUAUUAAAAUGGCUUCGUUUGAGGCAUUAUAUGGGAAAAGAUGUAGGUCACCGAUAGGGUGGUAUAAUGUUGGUGAGACGCAACUGUUUGGGCCUGAUCUUGUUCAUUAAGAAAUGGAGGACAUGAAGAUUAUUAGAGAACGAGUUAAGAUAGCCCAGAGUAGAAAGAAAUCCUAUACCGAUGUUGGGAGAAGGGAUCUAGAAUUUGAAGUUAGUGAUUGGGUAUUUCUCAAGGUCUCCCCUAUGAAGGGAGUUAUGUGAUUCGGGAAGAAAGAUAAGCUGAGUCCUCGCUAUAUAGGGCCAUACCAGAUUUUGAGAAGGAUAGGUAGGGUUGCGUAUGAGUUAGAUUUGCCCGCAUGUUUGGGUUCUAUUCAUCCGGUAUUUCACAUAUCCAUAUUGAAGAAAUGUAUUGGAGACCAUUUAUUAGUGUUGCCUAUAGAGGAGGUCAAAGUGACAGACUCCUUAUCCUAUAAAGAAGAGCCUGUGGCAAUCUUGGAUCGCCAAGUUAGGAAAUUGAGGAGCAAAGAAAUAGCCUCGAUUAAAAUGUUGGGGAAAAAUAAAAAAAUUGAGAAAGCAACUUGGGAAUCAGAAGGUGAUAUGAGGGAUAGAUACCCAGACUUAUUUGAUUCGGUGAAUGAUGAAAUGAAAGGUACAAUCUUUGUCUUUUUCUUUAAUGGCCUUAGUAUGUUUGGAAUAGUGCUUAUUUGUGUUCUAUGUCAUCAUUUGGGGAUGAAUGAUCCCAAGGGGGGGAUAACAUAACACCCCGCAAAAAUCGUGCAUGUAUUAGCUCCUAGUAGCUUGCUCUUAGAGUUAAAAACUAGAAGAUAUUUUUUUAGUGUCAAAGAGACUUAGUCUCAUUUUUUUGACUUCCAAAGUGAGUAAAGUUUAAACCAUAUAUAAUUUUCCUAAUUUUGACUUUUCAUCACAAAGGAAAUUUGAUAAGCUUUCCGCUGAUUAAAGAUUCUCCCAAAUCUGAUACCUGGGCAAGAAAUUAUGCCUAUUUUAAGUCCUAGUCAUAAAAUACCGUCAUUUUGGUGCUUGGCGCGUCGCGGAGGGGAUCUAUUUAACAAUUGUCAAAUUCAAUUAACCUUGCGCGAUUGUGGUGCAUCACGCUGAAGUUCUAGGUCCCAACCAGUGGGAGAAUGUGAUGGCUCCGUGUCGCGGUGGCCCAAAGAAUCCCAUUCGUUAAUUUCCAGUGAGCCACCGCGAUUGUGGAGCAUCGCAGUGGCCUAUAAAAUCGGGCUUCCAGUUAUAUUUUAUUCAGUUUUAUUAAGGGUAUAUUAGGUAUUUUCCACCCCUCUUAUCAGCUUAAACACGGGAUUAUACUCCCAAGUGACCACAUUAUUCAUAUUUUCAUAAAAAAAUCACAAGAAACUCUCUAUAGGGUUUCAAACUAAAAACCCAAAUAACUCAAGAUUUAACCGUGGGUUUUCAAGAUUGAUUGAAGAUUUGGAAUCCCCAAAUCGUAGGCUUCAAGAAUCAUCCACUAAAUUCCUAAAUUGAGGUACGUGGGAUUUUCCUAAAAAAAUUCAUGGGCAAAGAAACAUACUUUAAUUCAUGCUAAAGAUUUAGAAAUCAUGAUUUUACGGAAAGGGUUUGAAUUUUACCAUUACUAGCAUGUUUUAGAAGCUUUAAUUGAUAUUGUUUGAUCUUUAGGCCUUCCCCCAAAGUGAUUUGAAAUCCUAUGUAUAUGUAUGUAUGUGGUUUUAAUGUGAUGUUUGAAUUGAGAGCAUGACUCACAUUAAAUCCCUCUUUUGAUAUGAUUUAUCCCAUUUUUCAUAUGAUAUGGAUUGUUUUGAAAUGCAUCUUCAAAAGCAUGAUAUGAAAUGUAUUGAUUUAUACUAUGGCAUCAAUAUGAUUUUUGAAUCAAAAGAGAGGGUUGUUUUUAUUGAUAAAUAUAGAAUUUAAAUAUCCAAGGAAAAGAGUUGCAUGGUUUGACAAAAAUUUUAGGACCACCACAUUGUUUUUGAAAGAAUGAUAAUCUUUGCAUAGUUUUGACUUGUGCUUUCAGAACAUGAAAUCUCUUAUACUAUUUGCAUGUUUUGGUGGCCUGAAUUGAGUUUUUGAUGAAAGAAUCAUGCAUGAUGUAUUAUGGCUUAGAAAUAGGACUUGCAAGUCUUGGUGUGACGACACCAACUCAGAUAAUGCCAUGUUAAUUCAGAACAGAAUAGAAUGCAUGUUUGAAAUCAGAUUUUUAGAUUUUUAAAAUAGAAUGAUGCAUGUAUCAGAACAGACUAAAAUUGGUCAUAAAGAGAGCUUAGGCGGUUUCCCGAAGAAGAAAUGAGCUCAGACAACUCAUUGCCCAAAACUGUGAUUUGCCGAUCCGGGUAUAUUAUAUUAUGUUGGCCUAGUGCCCUAUGGCAUAUCAGACUUAGAUACUACAACCCUUGUGGUACAGUCAAUGGUGGAUUCCAUAUAGCUUAUGGAAUAUCAGACUUGUAGGGGAGUGCCACCCAACCCAGAAGUAAUACAAAGAUCAGAGACUGCAUUGACAGAAAGGCUUUAUGAUUAUCAAAGAUGCCCAUGUUUUUUGGAAUUUAUAUCAUAUAUGAUGUUUUAUGACUAUCUCUCAAGUAUUUUAUUUACAUUAAAAGCUUUAUUUUGGAUUGCUCUGUGUACCAGUACAUCUGUAUUGACCCCAUACCUUCCAGGUUCUAACGUGUAAUCUAGGGGUCCUGAUAGGCAGUAGAGUUCUUCAGACAGAAGUGCAGAGUUUAGUUGUGAGCCUUCUAUAUUUUAGAAGGCCCAUUUAUUUUUAGACAUUUAUUGUUAGUCGUGGUUUUGGUCUACUAGGGGCUUUGUCCCAGAAUUUUCAGACCGUUGUUAUUAGUUAUGUAGUAGAGAUUUCGCAGAUGGUUUUUUAUAUGUUAUUAGAGGGUUUGGAUUUCAUUUUACCAUUGUCGAAUUUGUAUUAGACUUACGACCAUGAUUCGAUUUCAUUAUAUUUUUCUAUAUUUUCUUAUUGUAUAUGAAUGGUGUAUAUGAUUACAAGUUAGAAGGGCUCUCGAGCCUUGAUGGUUCGGGAUGUCUAUCACAGCCAGGGCCCCAGUCGGGUCAUGACAGAUAUCGAUGCACCACAUUGGUUAUCUCAUUUUCCAAACCAAUGUCUUGACACGAUCUUAACACAUCAUGUCGCCAAAUGCAUCGAGUACCAAGUUUGUCGUACUAAUUUUUGAGUCAAGGAGUGUAAUUCAGUCUCUUUCCUAUAUCUUAUCUUGAUAUAUGCAUCAAUGUUUCUCACUGUGCUCUAUCCUAAGAAUUCAUGUAGUAUUGUGUCUUCUGAAUGACUCUUUACUUAUGAUCCAAAGACUUGUUGUAUGGAGAACUUCGUGUUUAUUCUAUCAUAUCUUUAUUUCAUGUCCCUCCUUGAGUAGUGAAAUAAGUAUAAGUUAUGGCCUAAUAGUGUUACUUCUAUUCAUGACAUUUAUUCUUGUGUCACUUAAUGACUCUCCAUAUGAUAGUAUGAUGGUGGAUGUGGAAGCGUGGUGAUGUAUUAGAUAGGGGAGUAGAUAUUCUUGAAGGUGAAAAAAAAUGAUGUGAAUUCUCGAGCUAAGGCUAUAAGUGAAAGGGAAAGGAAGAAGAUGAACUUUUGUUGUGUGAAAUAGCUAAGAAGGGGAUGGACUUUUAUUAUGAGAAAUAGUUGGUAAUGAGAUAUAUGGAAAAAAUCUUUGUGAAUGUACUUGAAUUUACUGGGCUUAUGGGGAGAAAUCCAUGAAGUGCAUGUAAAAAUUAUAGGCUUGAAUGUUGUGAUUGAUGAAUACUCAACCCAUGUACUAUAUGGUUAGUAUUCCUUGAAUUAAAACCCGAGAGUGUUUGACGAUAGUGAUAAGGUGAGGCAAUGUUCUUAAUGGGGUGUAAAGUAUAGGGUCCUAUAGUUUAAGUUAUCCCUUUUUUACUCAGAGUUAGGCUUCAAAAUAGUAGUACUAAGUAGUAGGACUCAAAUUUUGGUGGCUAUACAGGUGAUUGGAGAAUUGUAAGUUGGCAAGUGUGACGUAUGCUAUUUAUUUUUUGGGCUGUAGGCUAUUAGUGCUCUAAGUUUAAGUCUAUUCGGCGGUACUUUGUAAGGUAGAGAAUGCUCCUAAUCCUAUCUUCCAUGAAAUAUUAUUUAAUUAUUAGUACCAAUAUCAAUCAAUCUAUGAUCAUCAAAUAAACUCCUACCUUGUGUUGUGAUGAUUAUGAUUCAUAUAACUCAUGUGCAAAAUCAUCCCUAUGUAAAGUAUCAUUAUCCCAUGUUUCGUGCUUUCACAUUUUACUCGGGGUUACCAUGAAACUCAUUUGAUGCCUUUGUAUGUUUUUUUGAGGAAAAUUAUUCAAUGAGAGAUUACGUUCUUUAUUCUAGACUUUUAGAUCCUCAAAAGUCCCUACCUAUCAUUUGGGGCCGAAUGAUCCCAAGGAGGAGAUAAUGUAAUGCCCUGCAUUUUUAAACUAGAAAUUAAAUCAUCGUUAUAUGUGUGUAAGCUCUAAUUCCAUGAUUUAUGUUUAUAUUCAUGUGUCAUGAUCUCUUUCCUAGUAUAUGAAGUGAUUAUGAGCUGAAAAACAUUCAUAAAAAUGGCCUAAAGCAAAGUUGAGCUAAGAGCCUUUCAUUCAUCCGAAAUUGGAUAUUCGAUUCUAUAAGGGUCUACUUUGAAUAUGGAUAACUCUUGAUACACAUAGAAUUUUUCAUAUAAAGACCCACCAAAUUAUAGAUAAUUGAAUUAGCUUUCCAACUAUACCAAUUUCUCCAAAAUCGGAUAACCGAGCGAAAAGUGAAGGCUUUUUCCAUAUAAGGCAGCAAGCCGACGCGAUCAUGAUGCGUCGCAUCAAGAUCGUGUCAACACGAAACCAAACGUGUAUCUAAGGCUGUUUUACAUAUUAUUUCAGUUUUUAAUGGGUCUAGGGGCACCAUGGUCAUUUUUCCUCACCCAUAAUACAUCUAUAACAUUGAACCCCAACCCCAAGAAGCCAAAAUAUCUUAUUUUUCAUUUUUCCUCCCUAAAUCAAAACCCUAACUCCUUCCCCAAAGAUUCAAGAACUCAUUCAUAAGGUAAACAAUUCCAAGAAACGGAUCAAGAUCCGGGUUCCGCUCUUUCUUCUAAAUAAUCUAAGGUGCGUGGGGUUUUCCUAAAACUACUUGGGCAUAGCAAAAUUGUUCAACAACAUUUAAAUAUGGUGAAAUCAUGAAUUUCAAAGGGGUUUUAGAAUUUAUAUUAUAAUGUUGCUUUAUGAAUGUUUUAAUGGCACUAUUGUUUUGGCCUUGAGGCCUUUUCCCCAAAUUGAAUUGCACUUAUAUAUAUAUGUAUGUAUGAAAAUUGGGUUUGAAUAUUUAAUUGAGAACAUGAAUCAUGUAGUGUCUUGAUUACUGUUAUGACUUGAAUAUGAUUUUGAAUUCAAAAGAGAGAGUUUUUCAUGUUGAUAAAUGUUGAAUACACAUAUAAUAAAAGAGUGCAUGGUUUUGCCAAAAGCACAUAACCACCAUAUGUUUGAAGAAUCCUUGCAUAGUUUUGACUUAUGUUUCGGAACAUGAAAUCUCUAAUACUAUUUGUCAUGUUGGGUGGUCUGAAUUGAGUUUUAAUGAAAGAAUUAUUCAUGAUACAUUAUGGAUCAGAAAAUAGGACUUGCAAGUCUUGGUGUGAUGACACCAAUUCAUAUUAUGCCAUUAUAAUUCAGAACAGAAUAGCAUGCAUGUUUGAAAUCAGACUUUUUAGAUGUUGAAACUAGAAAAAUACAUGAUUCAGAACAGGAUAAAAUUAGGCAUAAAGAGAGCUUAGGUGGUUCCCCGAAGAAGGCAUGAUUUUAGACAACUCAUUGCCCGAAAUCGUGAUUUGUCGAUCCGGGUAUAUUAUAUUAAGCUGGUCUAGUGCCCUGUGGCGUAUCAGAAUUAGAAACUCCAAUCCUUGCGGCACACUCGGGUUGGGGGCUUCCCUACCGAGUCAAUGGCGGAUUCCAUACAGCCCGUGAGAUUUUAAAAUUGUAAGGUUGUACCACCUAACUCAGAAGUAAUACAAAGAUCAGACAUUGCAUUGACAAGAAUGAUUUAUGAUUUCAGAAAAUACCCAUAUGUUUUGGAACUACUUUAUAAUGAUAUUUCGACAAAUUGCUCUCCAACUAUUUUAUAUGUAUACAAGCUUUAUUUUGGAUUAAUUUGCAUUCCAGUACAUCUGUAUUGACCCCCUCCCCUCCCUCCAGGUUUUGAGGCUCAGUCUAGGGGUCCAAAAAAGCAGUAGAUUUUAUCAGACAGAGCUACAGUGUCCAGUUGGUGAGCCUUCUUUAUUCCAGAAGGCCUAUUUACUUUCAGGCAACUAUAAUUAGAUAUGGUUUUGGUCUACUGGGGGCCUUGUCCCAGUUUUUAGAUUGUGUUAGUGAUGUAGUAGAGAUUUUGUAGACGGUUUUCAGAUGUUGUUAGAUGGUUUUGGAUUGUCCUUUCCUAUUAUCGAAUUUAUAUCAGAUUUAUGACCAUGAUUCCGUUUUGUUGAAAUUUUCCGCAAUUCCUUAUUUGUGUAUGAAUGGUGUAUAUGAUUUCAAGUUAGAANNNNNNNNNNNNNNNNNNNNNNNNNNNNNNNNNNNNNNNNNNNNNNNNNNNNNNNNNNNNNNNNNNNNNNNNNNNNNNNNNNNNNNNNNNNNNNNNNNNNNNNNNNNNNNNNNNNNNNNNNNNNNNNNNNNNNNNNNNNNNNNNNNNNNNNNNNNNNNNNNNNNNNNNNNNNNNNNNNNNNNNNNNNNNNNNNNNNNNNNNNNNNNNNNNNNNNNNNNNNNNNNNNNNNNNNNNNNNNNNNNNNNNNNNNNNNNNNNNNNNNNNNNNNNNNNNNNNNNNNNNNNNNNNNNNNNNNNNNNNNNNNNNNNNNNNNNNNNNNNNNNNNNNNNNNNNNNNNNNNNNNNNNNNNNNNNNNNNNNNNNNNNNNNNNNNNNNNNNNNNNNNNNNNNNNNNNNNNNNNNNNNNNNNNNNNNNNNNNNNNNNNNNNNNNNNNNNNNNNNNNNNNNNNNNNNNNNNNNNNNNNNNNNNNNNNNNNNNNNNNNNNNNNNNNNNNNNNNNNNNNNNNNNNNNNNNNNNNNNNNNNNNNNNNNNNNNNNNNNNNNNNNNNNNNNNNNNNNNNNNNNNNNNNNNNNNNNNNNNNNNNNNNNNNNNNNNNNNNNNNNNNNNNNNNNNNNNNNNNNNNNNNNNNNNNNNNNNNNNNNNNNNNNNNNNNNNNNNNNNNNNNNNNNNNNNNNNNNNNNNNNNNNNNNNNNNNNNNNNNNNNNNNNNNNNNNNNNNNNNNNNNNNNNNNNNNNNNNNNNNNNNNNNNNNNNNNNNNNNNNNNNNNNNNNNNNNNNNNNNNNNNNNNNNNNNNNNNNNNNNNNNNNNNNNNNNNNNNNNNNNNNNNNNNNNNNNNNNNNNNNNNNNNNNNNNNNNNNNNNNNNNNNNNNNNNNNNNNNNNNNNNNNNNNNNNNNNNNNNNNNNNNNNNNNNNNNNNNNNNNNNNNNNNNNNNNNNNNNNNNNNNNNNNNNNNNNNNNNNNNNNNNNNNNNNNNNNNNNNNNNNNNNNNNNNNNNNNNNNNNNNNNNNNNNNNNNNNNNNNNNNNNNNNNNNNNNNNNNNNNNNNNNNNNNNNNNNNNNNNNNNNNNNNNNNNNNNNNNNNNNNNNNNNNNNNNNNNNNNNNNNNNNNNNNNNNNNNNNNNNNNNNNNNNNNNNNNNNNNNNNNNNNNNNNNNNNNNNNNNNNNNNNNNNNNNNNNNNNNNNNNNNNNNNNNNNNNNNNNNNNNNNNNNNNNNNNNNNNNNNNNNNNNNNNNNNNNNNNNNNNNNNNNNNNNNNNNNNNNNNNNNNNNNNNNNNNNNNNNNNNNNNNNNNNNNNNNNNNNNNNNNNNNNNNNNNNNNNNNNNNNNNNNNNNNNNNNNNNNNNNNNNNNNNNNNNNNNNNNNNNNNNNNNNNNNNNNNNNNNNNNNNNNNNNNNNNNNNNNNNNNNNNNNNNNNNNNNNNNNNNNNNNNNNNNNNNNNNNNNNNNNNNNNNNNNNNNNNNNNNNNNNNNNNNNNNNNNNNNNNNNNNNNNNNNNNNNNNNNNNNNNNNNNNNNNNNNNNNNNNNNNNNNNNNNNNNNNNNNNNNNNNNNNNNNNNNNNNNNNNNNNNNNNNNNNNNNNNNNNNNNNNNNNNNNNNNNNNNNNNNNNNNNNNNNNNNNNNNNNNNNNNNNNNNNNNNNNNNNNNNNNNNNNNNNNNNNNNNNNNNNNNNNNNNNNNNNNNNNNNNNNNNNNNNNNNNNNNNNNNNNNNNNNNNNNNNNNNNNNNNNNNNNNNNNNNNNNNNNNNNNNNNNNNNNNNNNNNNNNNNNNNNNNNNNNNNNNNNNNNNNNNNNNNNNNNNNNNNNNNNNNNNNNNNNNNNNNNNNNNNNNNNNNNNNNNNNNNNNNNNNNNNNNNNNNNNNNNNNNNNNNNNNNNNNNNNNNNNNNNNNNNNNNNNNNNNNNNNNNNNNNNNNNNNNNNNNNNNNNNNNNNNNNNNNNNNNNNNNNNNNNNNNNNNNNNNNNNNNNNNNNNNNNNNNNNNNNNNNNNNNNNNNNNNNNNNNNNNNNNNNNNNNNNNNNNNNNNNNNNNNNNNNNNNNNNNNNNNNNNNNNNNNNNNNNNNNNNNNNNNNNNNNNNNNNNNNNNNNNNNNNNNNNNNNNNNNNNNNNNNNNNNNNNNNNNNNNNNNNNNNNNNNNNNNNNNNNNNNNNNNNNNNNNNNNNNNNNNNNNNNNNNNNNNNNNNNNNNNNNNNNNNNNNNNNNNNNNNNNNNNNNNNNNNNNNNNNNNNNNNNNNNNNNNNNNNNNNNNNNNNNNNNNNNNNNNNNNNNNNNNNNNNNNNNNNNNNNNNNNNNNNNNNNNNNNNNNNNNNNNNNNNNNNNNNNNNNNNNNNNNNNNNNNNNNNNNNNNNNNNNNNNNNNNNNNNNNNNNNNNNNNNNNNNNNNNNNNNNNNNNNNNNNNNNNNNNNNNNNNNNNNNNNNNNNNNNNNNNNNNNNNNNNNNNNNNNNNNNNNNNNNNNNNNNNNNNNNNNNNNNNNNNNNNNNNNNNNNNNNNNNNNNNNNNNNNNNNNNNNNNNNNNNNNNNNNNNNNNNNNNNNNNNNNNNNNNNNNNNNNNNNNNNNNNNNNNNNNNNNNNNNNNNNNNNNNNNNNNNNNNNNNNNNNNNNNNNNNNNNNNNNNNNNNNNNNNNNNNNNNNNNNNNNNNNNNNNNNNNNNNNNNNNNNNNNNNNNNNNNNNNNNNNNNNNNNNNNNNNNNNNNNNNNNNNNNNNNNNNNNNNNNNNNNNNNNNNNNNNNNNNNNNNNNNNNNNNNNNNNNNNNNNNNNNNNNNNNNNNNNNNNNNNNNNNNNNNNNNNNNNNNNNNNNNNNNNNNNNNNNNNNNNNNNNNNNNNNNNNNNNNNNNNNNNNNNNNNNNNNNNNNNNNNNNNNNNNNNNNNNNNNNNNNNNNNNNNNNNNNNNNNNNNNNNNNNNNNNNNNNNNNNNNNNNNNNNNNNNNNNNNNNNNNNNNNNNNNNNNNNNNNNNNNNNNNNNNNNNNNNNNNNNNNNNNNNNNNNNNNNNNNNNNNNNNNNNNNNNNNNNNNNNNNNNNNNNNNNNNNNNNNNNNNNNNNNNNNNNNNNNNNNNNNNNNNNNNNNNNNNNNNNNNNNNNNNNNNNNNNNNNNNNNNNNNNNNNNNNNNNNNNNNNNNNNNNNNNNNNNNNNNNNNNNNNNNNNNNNNNNNNNNNNNNNNNNNNNNNNNNNNNNNNNNNNNNNNNNNNNNNNNNNNNNNNNNNNNNNNNNNNNNNNNNNNNNNNNNNNNNNNNNNNNNNNNNNNNNNNNNNNNNNNNNNNNNNNNNNNNNNNNNNNNNNNNNNNNNNNNNNNNNNNNNNNNNNNNNNNNNNNNNNNNNNNNNNNNNNNNNNNNNNNNNNNNNNNNNNNNNNNNNNNNNNNNNNNNNNNNNNNNNNNNNNNNNNNNNNNNNNNNNNNNNNNNNNNNNNNNNNNNNNNNNNNNNNNNNNNNNNNNNNNNNNNNNNNNNNNNNNNNNNNNNNNNNNNNNNNNNNNNNNNNNNNNNNNNNNNNNNNNNNNNNNNNNNNNNNNNNNNNNNNNNNNNNNNNNNNNNNNNNNNNNNNNNNNNNNNNNNNNNNNNNNNNNNNNNNNNNNNNNNNNNNNNNNNNNNNNNNNNNNNNNNNNNNNNNNNNNNNNNNNNNNNNNNNNNNNNNNNNUUAUAUAUAUAUAUAUAAUGAAAGAGUUGCAUGGUUUGUCAAAAAAAAUACAUGACCACCAUAUGUUUGAUGAAAGAAUGAGAAUCUUUGCAUAGUUUUGCCUUGUGUUUCAGGACAUGAAAUAUCUUAUACUAUUUGCAUGUUUGGGUGGUCUGAAUUGUGUUUUAAUGAAAGAAUCAUGCAUGAUACAUUAUGGAUAAUAAAUAUGACUUGCAAGUCUUGGUGUGACGACACCAAUUCAGAUAUUGCCAUGGUAAUUCAGAGCAGAACAGAAUGCAUGUUUGCGAUCAGAUUUUCAGAUUUUGAAACUUAGAAUGAUGCAUGUUUAGAAAUGGUUAAAAAUGGGCAUAAAAAGAUGUUAGGUGGUUCCCCGAAGAAGGCACGAGUUCAGACUACUCAUUGUAGGAAACUGUGUUUUGCCGAUACGAGUUAUUUAAUCCCCUAGAGGGAUUUUACGCUGGCCUAGAGCCCUGUGCGUAUCAGACUCAGACACUCUAACCCUUGUAGAAAACUCUGGUUGGGGGCUUCCCCGCCGAGUCAAUGGUAAAUUCCAUAUAGCCCGUAGAAUAUCAGACUUGUAGGGGAGUGCCACCUAGCUCAGAAGUAAUACAGAGAUCAGAACUGCAUUGAGAAAACUUGCUUUAAGAUUAUUUGAAAUUGUCCAUGUGCUUUAAAUUAUGUCAUGCAUACUGUUUUACAAAUUUCUCUCAAUUAUGUUUUAUAAAAUUCAUUAUUUUGGAUUGCACUGCGCACCAGUACUUUGUAUUGACCCCUAUAUUUCAGGGUCUGAGGCUCAGUGCAAAGUUCCUGCUAAGCCGUAGAAUCUAUCAGACAAAAGUGAGCAGUUGGUGAGCCUUCUUUAUUACGGAAGGCCUUGUCUUUAGAACAUUAUUAUGUUAUUUUUGUAUUGGGUCCGACUGGGGGCCUUGUCCCAGCUUUGUUCUAGACUUAUGAUUGAUCUGAUAAUGUUAGAGAUUUCGCGGACGAGUAUCAGAUAUUGUUAGAUGUUUAUGGGUUUCAUUAUGUACUGUUCAGUUGAAGCUAGAAAUGACCAUGAUUUUUUGCAUUAUUUUUCACAUUUUCCCUAUUGUAUAUGAAUAUUGUGCAUGAUUAUCAGGUAUAGAAUGGCGCCCGGGCCUUCAUGGUUUGGGAUGCUCAUCACGGCUAGGGCCUCGGUUCAUGUCGUGACAAGGGACUUCUUGAAUCUCUAAAAGUGUAUAAUAAAGAAUGUAAUAUUGAUUCAAACAAUUUUCCUCAACAAAAAAUAUGCAACGGAAUCAUACGAUCUUUAUGAUAACCCCUAGGGAAAUGGGUAAGCACGAAACCUGAGAUAGCGAAACUUGACAUCGACAUGAAUCUUGGCAUAUGUUUUAUGGAACAUGAUCAAAACAUUGUAAGACAUAAAUUUUCCUAAGAGUCCUCUGAUUAAGAUUGGUACAAGAGAUGAGAUAAGCUUCCCACGGAACAUAUGAAUAUUAGCAUUCUCUAUCUGACAAGAUACAAUGAAAAGACUUAAACUUAGACACACUACUUGUAUAUACCCCAACAUCAAUCACAUACUUCAUAAUUUCCAACUCACAAUUCUCCCGUAGCACAUCUUACCUCAGAAUUUGUGUCCUACCGUAUAAUACUUGUAGGUUGAAGCCCAGCUCAGAGGAGAGAGGUGCUAACUUAAACUACGGGACCCCAUACUCUACAUCACAAAAAGAAAUCACCUCACCUCAUCACUAUAAUUCAACAACCACAAGACUUAAUUCAAAGAUACUAACACAUGGCACAUUGGUUCGUGUUUUCAUCAAUGGCAAAAUUCAAGCCUACCACUACUACACCACACUUCAUGGAUCUCUCCAGUAAGGCUAGAAAAUUCAAUCAUUCUCACAAAGAUUUUUUCCAUAUACUUCCCUCCUAACUAUUUCACAUAAAGAAUAUUCAUCUCCUUCCUCCCCCCUGCUCCUAUAACCGUAGUUCAAGAAAUCACAUUGAAAAUUUUCACCUACACUGACAUCUACUCCCCUACCUGAAACAUUACUCCGCUCCCCUAACCACCAUCAUACUGACAUACGGAGGGUCAUUAGGGGACCCGAGCAUAAACAUCAUGAAUGGAAGUAACACUAUUAAACCAUAACUUAUACUUAUUACACUACUCAAGGAGGGACAUUAAAUGAAGAUACGAUAGAAUCAUAGAGUGCUUCAUAUAUCAAGUGUUUGGAUCACAAGUAAAGGGUUGUUCGGCAUAACCACAACACAACAUGAUUUCUUGGGGCAUACUACAGCGAGAAACAUGGGUACACAUAUCUCAUGACUUGUAUAACAUAAGGUAGGAAUUCUUAAAGUCAAUGAUUGAGACAAAGAUUGAUACUUGAAGUUAUUGCAUCUCAUUUUCAGAGGUAAGAUAGUCAUAAGUUCGUACAACUUUAUCGCUUUGGCUAAUUCCAGCAUAAAAUGAUUCAGUGACAUACAAAAACACGUUUUCUUAGGACCAAGCAUGUUGUGAGACAUAGGUGUAGAUCAUGAACAACAUAACAUAUGGCUUGGAUACUUGGAAUAUUGGAUCACUGAAGGAAAUUAUUGCUUCUAGUUUGGAAGUCAGAACAUGAAAUGAGUUACAUGGAGAGCUCAAACCUUAGACAUAGGCCGGUUUGACUAUAUAAGACAUUGGUAGAAUGAACUCCUAAACUGAAGUAGGAGGGACAUGCUUGAAUAGAUAUAGGUUUAUCAUGACUCUUCCCUAACUUGUCACAAUAAGAAAAUUCGGAAACUACCUUAAUGUACCAACUCCCCCUUAGAUCAAAGUCACAAUCCUAGACUUGAGAACAUAAACUCUCAUCAAUCUAUAACCACAAUUCGCAAUACAAUAGGAGGGGUAUCUGUAUACACAUGAACACAAACUUCCCUCAAUAAUUUAACAUAAGGACUCUAAAUUCUUUCUAGGACAUCUCCCCAAGGAUACUAAUCAUAACUUCCUCUACCCCCAAAGUCAUCCACUCAUGACUAACAUUAUUAUGGGCAUGGACAUUCAUGCUUAUAAAUACUUAAUACUCCAUCUUCAACUCCUUAGAGUACUCGCAUUACACCUCUAAUCACAAAACAUACAACUUAACAAAAUUUGUAAAAUCAUACCCAAGGCUCAUAUAGCCUACCAAUAUUUCCUCAAUUCAACUCUAACGAACACCGUACAACAACUCACUAGACUUCUCCAUACUAUAAUUUCAAGAACACAAACUAGUUAUGCAAAACACCUAUACACAUAAAUGCUAAACUUUCCCUUUUUAAUCAUACUCUAAAGGCAUUGCUUUUCGAGAAUGCUACUCUUAAUUUUUGCUAUCUUCUAUCAUCAUCUACUUACAACUCCCAGUCCAUGAUCAUACACAACCUCACUCCUUAUCACAUAAAAAUCCAGUACUUAACCUUCUAACAUUAGAUCGUUAAUGACAUAACUUAUAUCAUAAAAUCUUACCUAAGGCCAUACUAAAAAGAGGGUGCAACUUAUUCUUAUAUACUUACGGCCUUAUCCACUUAAUGACUCACCUACCAUUCAUCAUUUUAAGACUAGUCCGGAUAUACACAUAUACCUCACAAUUACAACUUAAACUUUUCAUAAGUUAUCAAUAUAGGCUCUUUCACAAUUCACAUCAAGCCUACUAAUUCAUUCCUGCAAAAGAUACAUCAUUAAUCUUAAGCUACUAUUCUUACCACCACAUUCUACAAUAAAGUUCAAGCCUAUAGUGUAGCAAAAAUCACGUAUCACCAGUGAAACAUGCAACAUAUUAUACUAGUCCAUCAAAUUGGGAAAUUAACUCAAAAUGCUCAUUUAAAUUUAACUACUACCUACAAUCGCAACCCCUCCCUGACAUCACUAUUACAUCUCAAAAUUCACUACAUACCUUCUCAUAAGUAGUACUAGUUUACAACCACUAAAGAAAAGAAGGUCAAGGGGGUAAAGUCACAUAAUAGACAUAGUCAACCUUAAUUUUAUAGUAUAGCCUAAUACGAUCUUAUCUACAUAUUCUACUUUCUCACAUCAUACUUACUUACCCAAGCAUACCUUUAGACUACCCUCAAAUUCCACAACAACAAUGAGUAUAUAGUUAUAACUUAUUGGCUAAUCUAACCGUUUCCAUUCAUAGCCUAUAAGAGCUUUCUAUAAUGACCAUAACUAUCCACUCUAGGCUCCUUUCCUAUUUUUUGAAUAAAUAAUAAUCAAAGCCAAACACUCCCCUUGUGGAAUACCAUACAAUUUACAAUUAUUACUACCACAUUAGUCUAUCACUACAAAAUGGAAAACCACUCCUCAAUCCACAGUUAUGCAACUAAACUAACUUCUGUAUGCAAAAGUCCCCCUAAUUUAGACUCUUAAGCUUGAGACUUCAUAUCACUAAUUUCUGGAUCAUCUCACUACCAAUAGGUCAUGACAAUUUAACAUACACUACUACUCAGGCAAAAAUACAAUUCUAACAUUCCACUAUACAUCAUUCCCCUUAUGCAUGACAUUUGCAAUAAGAAUCUUGAAAGGGACUGAAUACACUUCACACCUCAGGAUCGAACACACGAUUGAUGUAGAUAAAGUUAUAAGCUUGAAUCAAUACACUUUAUAGCACUCAUAGGCUCCCCUCAAGUCCUUGUGCAAUUUCAUAAUCAUUUAUGACUAAAUCAGAAAAGGACCACAUCAUUACUUGAAUCACCUCAACAAUAAGACAUAUCUAAGAACAUCAGAGUAAGGAAAGAAUUGGGAUAACUUUACUUUCGUAUGGAAGACACCAUAGCAUGAACUAGAGUAUGAAAGAGAAACAUUCUAGCUCCAUAACAUGAACUAGAACAUGAAAAAGAGAAAUAUUCCUAAACUCCUUGUAGCCUCCUACUUAUAAGUGUGGCGUGCUACACACCCAUAAACAAGACUCUACUCUACAAUAUUCAUUAAUAAAGAAAAGAAUGCAAAAAUAAAAUAAAUGGAAUCAUGGUCAUACUUUGAAUUCAAUUUAGCAAUACUGGAAAGAAAUCCAUCAACAUCUAAACAACAUCUAUUUCGGUCUGCGAAAUCUCUAGUACAUACGAAAACCAAUGUAACUGUCUGAAAUCUGGGACAAGGCCCCCAAUGGACCAAUACAAUAAUGAAAUAACAAUACCCUAAGAAUGGCCUUCCGAAGUAAGGGAGGCUUACCAAUUGCACACUUCUGACUGUCAACUCUACGAUUUAGCAGGACCUCUAGACUGAGCCUUAGACCCUGAAAGAUAGGGGUCAAUAAAAUUGUACCGGUACGUAGAGAAAUCCAAAAUAUUGAAUUUAUAUAAAUAAAAUAGGUGAGAGCAGGUCAUGUAACAUCACAUUGAUAUAGUUUAAAAUACAUGGGCAAAUCUUUGAUAAUCAUAAAACAUUCUUGUCAAUGCAUUUCUAAUUGUUGUUUUACUUCUGAGUUAGGUGGUACACCCUACAAUGCUACACCCCACGAGCUAUAUAGAGUCCUCGCUAAAAUCGGUAGCAAAGCCCCCAACCAAGGUUUGUCACAAGAGUUGGAGUUUUUGAUUCUGAUACGCCAUAGGGAACUAGUCCAGCAUAUAAUCCCUCUAAGGGACAUAAUAAUCCUGUAUCGGCAAAAUAUGAUAUUGAGCAAUUAGUUUUCUGGACUCGUGCCUUAUUCGGGUAACCACCUAACAUCUCUUUAUGCCCAUUUUUAGCCUUUUCUAAACAUGUAUCAUUCUAAGUUCAAAAUCUGAAAAUCUGAAGGAAAAUCCACAUUUUGUUCUGUUCUGUGCUACUAUGGAAUUAUCUGAAUUGGUAUUGUCAUACCAAGACUUGCAAGUUAUGUUUUUGUGCCAUAAAAAUCAUAUCACAAUUUUAUGUUUCAAAACAUAAAGUUUAGACCACUAUACUUCGAACAAUUCAAGAAGAUUCAUUCUUCAAAUACAUUUAUCAAAUCAUGCAAAGGUCAUUCCUUUCAAUGAUUUCAACAAACAUGUUGUGGUCAUGUAUUAUUGGCAAACCAUGCAAUUCUUUAAAUGUAUAUAUAUAUAUAUAUAUAUAUAUAUAUAUAUAUAUUCAAUAUAUAUAAAUAAAAAAAAUCCCUCUCAACACUCUCAACAAUUUAAAUAUCAAUUUUAAAUCAUUCAACAAUAGUCAAGAAUAUUAAUAUCAUGCUUCUGAAUAACAUUCUAAAAUCAAAAGGUGUUGCAACAUGAGAGGGAGCGUAAAUAGUCAUACUCUCAAUUAAAUUAUCAACUUCAAACACUUGCAUGCAUAUAUACAAUUACAAAUCAAUUUGGGGGAAAGGCCUCAAGACCAAAUCAAUAUCCUCAAAAGUUCUAAAACAUGAAUCUAAUUAUAAAUCUCAAAUCCUUUCUGAAAUUUCAUGAUUUCUAAACCUUUAACAUGAUUAAGAAGAAUUUAAUAUGCCCAUGUAGUUUUGGGAAACCCCAUGUACCUUAGUUACGAAGAAUGCACGAAGAAAUUUUGAAAAAUUGGACGUUUAGGCUUGAUUGUCCAAACCCUAGUUGUUUUCUCCCCUUGUGUUCUUGAAAGAUGAAUUUUAGGGUUUUUUAAGGAGUUAAAAUGUUACUAAUGACCUUAAUUUCAUUAAAGGAUGAUUAGGGAUGGUUUUGGAGUGUAAAAAGACUUGGUUGCCCUUAAAAUAACUUUAAAAUGACAUUUUUAUGUCCUUGGGCCAUAGGGCAUGCGACGCAUUGCCUAUGGCCUAAUCUAGGAAAUGCCACGCAUUGUUUAUCACCCAAAAUAGGUUGGGAGUCGCAUUACCCAUCACCCAAAGUGGGUUGGGCGACGCAUUGCCCAUGGCACAACAAUUCCAGUAGCCUUAGGCGAUUUGCUAGGCAAUGCACUCCAAUUUGCAAAGUCAUAACUUUUCACUCGGGUAUCAGAUUUAGGCAAAACUGGUAUCGUUGGAAAGCUACUUUGAAAACCUUUCAUUUGAUAUAUAGUAAGCCCUCUAAUUCAUUAUAUACAAAAUGUUAUGGUCAAUUAAAGUUGACCUAUGUUUUGAUGCUCACUAAAAUGAAAACUAUAGGAAAGCUUCCAACUCGUCCUUGGGUUAAGGGACCUCUAUGAUCUCAAUUCAUGCUCAACCAGAUUAUCAUACUACAUGAUUGAUCAACACACUAUAUUUGCAUUGGAUUUAUGGCUUUUGAAACCUUUGCACGAAGGAAACGACGGUUUACGUUCUAGCCCGAAAUGUGGGGUGUUACAUUAUGACUCACCAAGGAAUUAUUAACCACACAUCAUGCCCAUACACCCCUCAGCAGAAAGGAAAAAUAGGCAUCCCAUUAAAACUGCUCAUAUUCUUCUUAUUGAAUCCCAUGUUUCACUAUGUUUUGGGGGUGAUGCAGUCCUCGCAUCUUGUUAUCUCAUUAAUAGAAUGCCAUCAUCUUCGAUUCAUAAUCACAUUUCCCAUUCCAUAAUAUUUCCUUAGUCAUAUCUCUAUUAUAUCCCCUCCUUGUGUUUUUUGGGAGCAUGUGUUUUGUUCAAAACUUAGCCCCAGUAAAAGAGAAAUUAGCCCUUCGUGCUCUCAAAUGUGUCUUCUUUGGUUACUCUAGAGUUCAAAAAGGGUAUCGAUGCUAGUCACCUGAUCCAGGUCGCUACCUUAUGUUCGCCGAUUUCACAUUUUUUGAAACUCAACCUUACUAUAUAUCUUCUGAUCAUCUUAAUAUCUCUACGGUCUUACUCGUACCUCCAUUCUUACCCACACUAACCUUUGAGGAAUCUACAAUUACUUCUAAAUCUUCAGCUGCAAUGCUACCACUUUUGACUUAUCAUCGCCGCCCACGUCCAUUAUUAGUUCUAGAUAAUUCGUGCCAUGCACCUGAAGUUUCCCCUACUGCGAACUUGUCUCCUACUAGCUAAUCAGUUGCACUUGAAAAUUGUAUAAGAUCUACUCGUAAUGCUAACCCACAUUAUACUUUCUUGAGUUAUCAUCGUUUAUCAUCACCCCAUUAUGCUUUUGUAUCAUCUUUGUCCUCUAUUUCUAUCCCUAAGACUACAGGUGAAGCACUUUUCCAUUCAAGUUAGAAUCAGGCUAUGAUUGAUGAGAUGUCUGUUUUACAUGUGAGUAGUACUUAGGAUUUUGUUGUAAAUCUAUUAUUGGUUGCCAUUGGGUUUAUGUAGUCAAAGUUUGUCCAAAUGGUCAGGUUGAUAGGCUUAAGGCUUGCUUUAUUGGAAAAGGAUACACAAAUAUUCGGGCUUGAUUAUAGUGACACUUUCUCUCCUGUGGCUAAAAUAGCAUAUGUCUGUCUUCUUCUAUCUAUGGUUGUCAUUCGUUAUUGGCCCCUUUAUCAUUUAGACAUUAAGAAUGCUUUUCUGCAUGGUGAUCUUGAGGAGGAAGUCUAUAUUGAGCAACUACCUGGUUUUGUUGCUCAAGGGGAAUCUAGUAACCUUGUUGUCGAUUGCGCAGGCCAAUCUAUAGUUUGAAAUAGUCCCCUCGAGCGUGGUUCAAAAAGCUUAGCACAUUAAUUCAGGAGUUUGGCAUGAUUCAUAGUGAAGCUGAUCAUUCAGUAUUUUAUCGCCAUUCUAAAUCAAAUUUUUUUAUUUAUGUAGUCGUUUAUGUUGACGAUAGCAUUAUCACCAGCAAUUAUCAAGAUGGUAUCAUUAAUUUGAAGCAUCAUCUCGUUUAGCAUCUCCAGACUAAAGACCUCGACAAACUGAAACUCCCAUGGAUCUAAAUGCUAAACUUUUACCAGGACAGGGAGAGUCACUAAGUGAUACUGGAAGGUAUAGAUGGUUGGUUGGAAAGUUGAAUUAUCUCACAAUGACUAGAUCUGACAUCUCUUUUCUCGUGAGCGUUGUAAGUCAGUUUAUGACUUCCCCCUUUGAUAGUCAUUGGGACAUAGUUUUUCGUAUUUUGUGAUAUAUAAAGUCAUCUCCAAGUAAAGGACUACUCUUCGAGGAUCGAGGCCAUGAGCAUAUUAUUGGAUGUACAGAUGUUGAUUAGGCUGGGUCACCCUCUAAUAGACGAUAUUGUGUUUUAGUAGGAGGUAAUUUGGUGUUCUGGAAGAGUAAGAAACAGAGUGUGGUUGCUCAAUCUAGUGUUGAAGCAAAAUAUCGAGCAAUGAUUGCAACAACUUGUGAGCUAGUUUUGAUCAAACAAUUGCUAAGAGAACUAAAAUUUGGAGAAACUGGUAAGAUGGAACUCGUAUGUGAUAAUCAAGCAGCCCUUCUAUUGCAGCUAAUCCAGUGUUCCAUGAGAGAACUAAGCACAUAGAGAUUGAUUGUCACUUAGUCAGAGAAAAGAUACUGUCCGGAGACAUUGUUACAAAAUUUGUGAAGUCAAGUGAUCAACUUGCAGAUAUCUUCACCAAGUUGCUCACUAGUCCUCGUAUAAAUUAUAUUUGUAACAAGCUAGGUACAUAUGACUUGUAUGCACUAGCUUGAGAGGAGUGUUAGAAUAUGAGUAGGAACGAGAAUAGUAUACAAAAUCCUACAUGGAAAAGGAUAGUGAUGUAGUGUCUAUAAAUAGGAUCUCAAUGUAAUAAUUUACACACAAUUCAAAUAAUAUUUUUCUCCAUUUUUUCUCACGACAACCAACAGAUAACUUAACAGAAUGUAAAGCAGCCUUUUUACCCAAGUUUAAAUAGAAAUUGGAGUUACUACAGCUCCUCCGAAAGCCUUUUUGAACCAGUCCUGCGAACAAAUAGUCACCAAAAUAGAAGUUCCGAUGCUACAGAAGAACCUUCAGAGAUUGCUCUUCAUCCACAAAAUGAAAUAGGAAUUGGGUAUCAUUCAACUGUUAAUCUUCAUCCCCUCUACUACAUCCCAUCCCACUAUUCGGCUGCCAAAUUCUUGAACGCUUCUGGAGAUCCAAUCCAUUUGACGAAGGAUCCAACCAAACAUGAUUUCAGAAAACUUUUUCUCUUCAAAAUGUAGUCCUCUGACAGCAAGAAGCUAGGUUCUUUUGAAGACUCUAUUCUUUGACAUCUACCACCUAAAUCAAGAGAUGGCCAAGCUAAGCUUCUAUGAAAGACAUGUUCUCCCUCUUCAUAUAGUUUAGAGAGAAGUAGGAGCUGCUCUCGCUAGACAUCUCUUAUUAGCUACUAGAUUAUGAAAAUGAAAUAAUAAAAAUUAGCUAAGUACUAGAAUUAGCGCUAUGAUGAUCUCAAAUGUUAACAGUGUUCUAAGUAAAAUGAUUUUAUUGGAAGUAGACAGCUGCUGAGACAUUGUGUCUUAAUAUUUUUCUCCUGUGGAUAGAUGGCACUAGCAAAGAAUGCUAAGGUAUACUAGCAUUAGAUGAAAAGAAACUGAAAAGAAGUCAUCUCAAGAUGCAACUCUGAAUAAAGUACUGGUUUUCUGAUUUAACUAGAAAUGUCCUUUGUUCAUCACCAGAGAGAUGAGGAAUCAAACUAAUAAACCAUCAUUUGCUUAAGGAUUUAACUCCAGAAGUCAGACAGUUCAAAAUGCCAUCUUUAAAGGCAUCUUUGCAAAAUAAAUGGCUUCGGCUUAUGCUUCAACUAUAUCUGUUAAGCCUCCAUUUGGGACAUUCUUUGCAAAACUCAGUAACUUGUUCCUUAAGACAGAUUACUGUUCUUUAGAACUGGGAAUUCUUCCCAUCUCAUGCUCUUUUCCCUGGACCAACAUACAUAUCUCCAAACAAAAACUCCUAAUGAUAUAGAAUCUAUGCAAGUGUACCAAAAAGGCAAUAACUAACCAACUUUGACCCCAAUUAGUUGGGGUGUUACAUAUAUGGAUACUUUGCUUUCGCGUAUUCUAUUCUUGGUUGAGUUCCUCAUGGAUUCUAACCAAGAAACUGUAAACAACUUCACUCCAUGUCAUCUUACGCAUACUUCAUCGCAUUACUACUUUUAAUCACCAGCGUCACACAUGCAACAACAGACGUGUUCGGAUGUCUACAUGGGACAUAAAACCAUCUCACACAACCUUCAAUUAUUGUAUACCCCGAAAGUACUUCAUACACCUUCCAUUAGAUGCAUUCAUCUCUAAUAUUCUUUAACCUUGUAUGAACGCAUAUCCAUCCUAACAUGCAUUCCUAGGAUGCUCAACGUGUGGAUAUGUUGAGCGUCUAAAUUCUAUGCUACUCAUAUUUGUAGAUAAGUUGGGCCUAAGAGACCAAACAGUCAAUUUCAUGUAACAUUACUAGUUCCAGAACUGUUCAUGGAGCCAACUCCCCCCAGAAUUCAAAAGCAAGUUCGAUGAAAAUGAACAUUACAAAAGCCCUUUACCUCGCUCCUCAAACACUUUUUCCCGUUUCUAUCAUAUAUCUUCAUAGCUGAAAAAUGCUGCACUGUCUUUCAUUUCACUUACCAUUCAAGCCAACUGUAACAAGAAUGGAUAAUUCUGUGCUUUGACCUGCGAGAGUAAAAAAGACAAAAGAAAACGCCAAAGACAUUAAGUUGUCAACAUAAGAAACUUAAGUACACUUUCCUGAUUGACUUGCCCAAUGCACAAACCUUAAGUACUUUUUUCGGAGAUGGAUAUAUUACUUACAUUAUCAACAGGGGAAUAUGACUUCAUGUAGUAAUAGAAUUCUUCCUUACGUGGAUCACCCCAUUCCUGUAGCAAAUGAAGAGAUUAAACAUAAGCCACAAACUUCAAAAUAUUCAAUCUUCCAGGUCCCUCAAAUAUUAAUUAGAGCCAAGGCAUCACAAUCUGAUUCUCACAACUCCUCAAAUAUACCUUAAGCCCAUUUGGAUCCAUGUUCCAAAAAUAUUUUACUAGUACAGCUUAUCACUGGAAAACCUGUGGCAUAAAUCCCAACGCCAUUACCACAAAAGCGUGCCCUCAGAUACAUUCUUGUAACAUAUCCUCAUAUUGAUCAUCUAAAUGAUUUAAAAUGGAGAAUCCGCAACAAUGAAUGUCAUGCCACUUAAAUUUCUCAAUAAAGUAAGUCACACACGGAUUUAAAUUAAAGAGGUCUAACCUCCCACUCUGAAGUUGUUAAAGGAAUAGUUGAAUCAAGCAUUGUAGUUACAAAAUCUACAAAAGGAACCCCAGCCACAGCGGCUUUAAACAAAUCAGGCCGCAUGUUAACAACAGCACCAAUCAGCAAUCCACCUGCACUUCUUCCAUUGAUACAAAGUUUUUCCUUGCAACAGUACUUGUCUAUUAAAUACUCUGCACAAGUAAUGAAAUCUGUGAAAGUAUUUUUCUUUCUCAACAGUUUCCCAUUUUCAUACCACUGUCUCCCCAUUUAGCCACCUCCACGAAUGUGAGCAAUAGCAUAAAUGAAACCCCUGUCUAACAGAGACAAACGUGAUGCCUUGAAAGUGGGAUCAAUACAUACCUGUUAGGAAUAAGGCAUUUGCAGAGUCAGCAAAAAAUGACCAAGCUAUAAGUUCUAACCAACCGAUUAAUGACUGUGACCUUGCACAAAAUAUCAAUCUCAGGAAUUCCACACUUGAUAGACUGAAGACUUUACAUCAAUUCAAGUAGAAAGCCGUCUGUUGGUGAAUUUUCAUUUAUACCGAGGACAACGUGUACAUUUCUUGUAUUCUCCAUUAAAAAAGAAACAACAAAAGGAUUCAUUUGAUAGUAAAUCAUAGAUGAUCAAAUUAAAACUAUACGCGAAUACCCACUGGCUACACACAAGCCAUUCUUUAAAAAUUUUGACAGUUUGACUACCGAAAUCACAUGAAUAUCAGAUCUUUUCAUACAACAUCGCAUUUUUGACCGGCAGUAUUUUCUACAAAGAGUAGGCUUCAUAAGCUUUUGUACCAUUUACACAAAUGCCCAUCAGUAUAAAAAGCGACAUGUCACAUAAAUUUUCCAUCUAAGAUCUGUGAAAUUUCAUAAAACACAGUGUUCAGAAACAAUCAGAUGCUACCAUAAUGCGCUUAGCCUAACCAUAACAAAGAGAUAUUGACCUUCUUCCUUCUUCCUUCAGAUAAACAAGAAAAGGAAGGACAAACAGAUAGUAGUACUCCACAUUUAGUUACUCAAUUAUUAACUGUAUUAGCAAGUAAAUCACCUCAUAGGAUCCAUAACCAUAAAGAAGCAAUGGAUCUGAACUAUCAAGUUUUACAAGAUUCUCAUGAUAGAUUAUUGAUAUAGGUAUCUGUGUGCCAUCUGAAGCAGUAGCCCAUUGCCUCUCAGUCACAUAAUUUGAUGCAUCAAAGACUCCCAGAACCUAAAUAAGAUAAUGAAACGAACCAUUACAACUAAUAACCGAAGUUCAAUAACCACUAAUUGCUGUCAGAGAAUGUGAAGAUGUUCCAAAAAUGCCAAGAACCAUCAGAAUAGUCAUAUAAGACUGCUAUUCAUACUUCUAGUACGAUACUUCAAAAGUUGACCAAGAUGUUCUUUCUUUGAGAUGAGCGAAAAAUUCUGAAAGGCAGAAGCAUGUAAUCAGUAUGCAAUGACUGCUUAUCUCAUCAGUAAAUAAGAUACAUGUGAGAAUUUCUUAAAAUUCAAAAAGAUAAGACUAGAAUGAGAAGACCAAAAUACAUGUGUAUUUAUUUCUAUAUAUAAAAUAGAUUAUCUAUUUCUGUAUAUGAAAAAGUAAUAGUUUCCAAGGCAAGGAGAUGAGUUCUGAAACUACUACUCCUCUCCGUCUCAUUUUAUGUGAUACUUUUUUCUUUUUAGUCUUCCUAAAAAUAAAAUUAAACCUAUAUAUAUUUAGAAACAAUUCAACUUUAGACUUGUUAUUACCCUUAGUGAGAUAAUUGUCAAACAAAUGUGUAUGACUUGUUUUAGACAAGAAGUUUCAAAAGUGUGUUUUUCUUUCUUAACCCAUGUGCCCACAGUCAAAUACCAUCACAUACAAUGGAAUAGAAAGAGUUUUGUCAUGCAAUCAUUCAAUUUGAUGCAUGUUAGAAUAUGAGUAGGAAUAGGAAUAGGAAUAAGAAUAGCAUAUAGAAUCCUACUUGGAAAAAGAUUAUAAAGUAGUGUCCUAUUAGGAAAUGGAUUUGAAUGUAGUGUCUAUAAAUAAGACCUCAAUUUAAUAAUGUAGUUACAACAAUUCAAUAAUAUUUUUCUCUUAUAUUCUCACAUGGUAUCAGAGCUUCCACAAUCUUUAUAAAGAAUCAAAGAUUCCGCUGCCGGCGGGCAGCUAUAAUUCAUAUAUGCUGCCCGUCUGGCCAAUGAUUAUGUUUGCAAAAGUUGGAUCACCGUGUAUCUUUCUGGUGACUCUUUUAUCACAUAUGAUUUGCGUAGCAUAAUGCAUCUAUCCGGUGACUGCUUUCUCAUAUCAGAUUUGCGUAUUAUCGUGCAUUCUUUGGGCUACUUCUCAUAUUUAAUUUGCAUUGUACCGUGCAACUUUUUGGACUACUUUCUCAUAUCUGAGUUGAAUAGUACCAUGCGUUUUUUCGGUGACUCCUGAGAUCUGAUUUGCGUAGUCCCAUGCAUAUUUAUAGUGACUCCUCAGAUCUGAUUUGCGUAGGGUCGUGCCAUCAUUCUAGUCCUACCUAUAUAAUUUCUUUUUUUCAUUAGGGUCAUGUCGUCAUUCUAACUCUACCCAUAUAUUUUUUCUUUUUCUAGUACGGUCGUACCAUUAUUCCGACCCUAUCCAUAUAAUUUCUACUUCUCAGUAGUGUCGUGCCAUCAUUACGAGCCUACCCAUAUAAUUCUCUUUCUUAGUAGGGUCGUGUCAUUAUUCCGACCAUACCCAUAUAAUUUUUUCUCAGAAUGUGCCCACUUUUCAUCCAUCAAAUCUAAUUAUCCAACAUGCAAGCAUGUUUCAACUAGUUCUUCAUUGACUUUUUUGUUCAAGAUCUACUCAUCUCUUGAUUUCGAGAUGAACCAUAUAGUUUAUACCAGAUUUCAGCAAUUUUUCAUUGAUAGAUCGACUUUCCAGCAAUGUUUAUGGCACGACCCGAACUAGGGCCUAGCCGUAACGGACAUCCCGAACCACGAAGGCCCGAAACGCCCUUCUCUAUCUGAUAAUCAUGCACAACAUUCAUAUAAAUAAAGAAGAUGCGAAAACAUAAGCAGCUACGGAAACAUGGUCAAAUUCUAAUUUCAACAUAAGUGCAGAAACUGUACUGCAACUACAUCUAAAUAACAUCUGACUCAGUCUGUGAAAUCUCUACUACAUAAAAAUUUGACAACUAUCUGAAAACUGGGACAAGGCCCCCAGUAGACCAAUAAGUGACAUAAUUUGAAAAGAUAGGCCUUUUGGGAUAGAGAAGGCUCACCAACUGGACAAAUCAACUCUGUUUGAAAUAAUCUACUGCCUUUCUGGACCCCUAGACUGAGCCUCAGAACCUGGAGGGAGGAGGAAGGCCAAUACAAAUGUACUGGUAUGCAAAGUAUUCCAAAAUAAAGCUUUUAUAUAAAUAAAAUAGUUGGAGAGAAAUUUGUCAUAUACCAUUCAUAAAAUAGUUCUAAAACACAUGGGUACUUUCUGUAAAUCACAAAUCAUUCUUGUCAAUGCAAUGUCUGAUCUAUGUAUAAAUUCUGAGUUAGGUGGGACUCCCCUACAAUUUUGAUAUUCCACGGGCGAUAUGGAAUCCGCCAUUUUCUCGGUGGGGAAGCCCCCAACCUGAGUGUGCCACAAGGGUUGGAGUUUCUGAUUCUGAUACACCACACGGAACUAGACCAGCAUAAUAUAAUAUACCCAGAUCGGUAAAUUACGAUUUUGGGCAAUGAGUUUUUUGAACUCAUGCCUUCUUUGGGGAACCACCUAAGCUCUCUUCAUGCCUAUUUUUAUCCUAUUCUGAAUCGUGCAUUUUCUAGUUUCAACAUCUGAAAAGUCUGAUUUCAAACAUGCAUUCUAUUCUGUUCUGAAAUUAUCAUGGCAUAAUCUGAACUGGUGUCGUCACACCAAGACUUGCAAGUCCUAUUUCUGAGCCAUAUGCAUUAUAUGUAUAAGAGAUUUCAUGCUCCGAAAACAUAAGUCAAAGCUAUGCAAGAACUCUUCAAACAUAAGGUGGUCAUAUGCUUUUGGCAAAAUCCAUGCACUCUUUCAUUAUAUGUAUUUUAAACAUUUUUUCAAUACAAACAACCCUCUCUUUGGAAAUCAAGAUUCAUAAUCAAAUCAUUCAUAAAUUAAGACACUUAGUAACAUGCUUUUCAAGAUACAUUUAAAAACAAUCUAUGUCAUAUGAUAAGUAAGGAAAAAUCAAUAGAAGAGAGGGAUUUUCACAUGAAUCAUGCUCUUAAUUCAAUCAUCAACAUUAACCAUGUGUAUAUAUAUAUAUAUAUAUAUAUAUAUAUAUAUAUAUUUCAAUUCAAAUAAAUUCGGGGAAGGCCUAAAGAACAAAACAAUACCAUCAAAACUUCUAAAACAUCAAUUUAUUCACAAAUCCGAAACCCUUUUCGUAAAAAUAUGAUUUCUAUUCCCAUGAGAUUUUAGGAAAACCUUGCGUACCUUAACCUUAAAAGAUAAUAGGUAAUUCUCGAAGCUUUUAGAUUGGGAUUCUUGUUUGAAACCCUAGAGAGCGUUCUUGAUGAAUUUUGGUGAAAGUAUGUAUAUUUAGGUGUAUUUGGGAUUAAAUCCCGUGUUUGGAUGGGUUUGGGGCAAUGGGAAAUGUCUAGUUUGACCUUGGAAUUUAAAAUCCGGGACUGGAACGCCGUAAAAAGAUUCACCGUGAUGCGCUGGAAAUUGCGGUGAGCUACUGGAAUUGACAAUUGUCAAUUUAAGGCUCAUCACGAUGCGGUGGCCAGUCAAUGGGGAACGCUGACACUAAAAAUGCUCUAACUUCUUCGUUGAGUGUCCGUUUUAGGCGAAUUUGGUAUCGAUGGAAAGCUAAUUUGAAGAUGUUUCAUUUGAUAUAUAGUAGGCCACCCAUUUCAUUAUAUACAAGGAUCUAUGGUCGAUUGAAGUUGACUCAAGUUUUGAUGCUCACUAAAACUCGAACGAUAGGAAAGUUUUCAACUUGAACCUGAGUUAGGGGACCUUUAUGAUCUCAAUUCAUGUUCAAAUUGGUUACUAAACUACAUGAUUGAUUAACAUGGAAAAUUUUCAUAGGAUUUAUGGAUUUUGGAUCAUCUACGCAUAAAAAUGACGGUUUUUAUUCUAGUCCAAAACACGGGGCGUUACAAUAUCUCCCCGUAGGACCAUUCAUCCCCGAAUGAUAGGUAGGAAUGUUGAAGCUUAUAGGUAUAGAAUAACGUGGAGCUAAUGUGUCUUCUAAGAAAGGAUAUAACUGAUCUGAAAUAUUUAAACUUCUAUUAUGAAACUGAAUUCUGAGCUGACUUGACUUCACUUACUUCAAGGGGUUGAUUCAUGCAGAGAGUUUAAGAUUCCAUUGAAGUGUUCAUGAUCAAAUCAUACAUAUUGACUAGGAAUUGAUAACUUAUGCAAGUAAAAAUCAUGAGACAAUAUGUCUAAGAUCGCACCAGGUUACUGUACUGCCUGAGCUAAAAGACUUGGAAACAUUUGAAAUUAUGCUCUGCAUUAUUAUGAACCGAGUCAUGACUAAGUAGCUGAAUUUGAAACAUAAUGCUUUGACUGAAAUGAAUUUGCAACUUACAUGGAUGAAAUAGAUUAUCUCUUGGGAUGGUCAUACGCUUGAGGCUUUGGAUAGUAGGACUGGGUGAAAGGUAGAAAACCACAGUAACUUGUCUAUCCAACUGUUCAAAUGAAUUACUGUCUAUACAGACUGAAUUAUGCUGGACCCUCAUACUUAACUAGAAUAUCUCAUUCAACACUCUUACUAAAGAAGUUAUAGCAGCAUUAGGGAGCAAAGAAUCCUGGGCACUAGUUACACAAGACAUCCAACUAAGGAAUCACCACAAUGACAUUACUCUAUAGCAUGGAAUAUAGAUAUAUAACUUAUAAACUAGGAUAAAACUACCAGGCCUUAGGCAAUGCACUUCUUACUUUCAAGCUGAGCGCACUUCUCGAAUACUCCCUUAACUAUAUUAUUCCCUUUAAAUACCAUACUCGUUGAUUCAAAUUGUAAUCCUCAUAUGGUCAUUCAUAAAUCUUUCUACUAAUGCCUAAAGUAACAUAAGCCCUCUCACCAUGAUCAAGCCUAACUUCAAAUCACAAAACACAACAUGCCACACCACGAUAAUGGUCCAAACCAUAUGAUUCAAUCUUCUAUACCCUUUUUAGAGAUCGCACCCUAAAAAUAAUGUGCCUUACUACUUCAAUGACUAACUCUGAUAUCUUACUAUGGAUUCACUAGCGCAUAUUGCGUUCCUCCACUUAAAUCUCAACACGUCAUUCCAGCCUAUCUUUAUAACCACAUAUAAAAUCCAAGGCAAACACCCAUAAGGACAUACUUCACAUAUUCUCUAAUCCACUAUCAACAUAACUCCCACACACUACCCUAAGAACAUACACACACAAAUUUCCACUAACCAUCAUAUCUAUCAAAGACUUGGCCCCAGAUCUUACUUCACACUUAUGGCCUUAUCCAAAAUAAGAAUACUAUGAUCUUUCAUUGAAAAGAAAUAUUUACUCAUCACCACCAUCUUCACAUAUGGAGGAGUCACUAAUAGGUUAGAACAUAAGACCUUGAAACAUGGGAGGAUAUUAUGCGAGACUUGACACUUAACUGAGGCCGAAGGAAUAGCAAAUCAACAUAAGGGAUUUAUCAAAGUGAUCUAAAUUAGGGUAUACAUAACUAUAACAUGAAUCUCGUCAAUCAUAAAAACUUUAGCAUGGAUUAUGGGAACUGAGCACACUAUAAAGAGUGAGUACAUGAGUCAUGAGCUGCAUGACCUCAAUUUGAAGUUCAUAACAUAUGAAAUGUGAUUCCGACUACGGAAUGAACUGGAACUCCUUAGUCUAGAACUGGAAGAGCACAUGAUUCUCUAUCAUAUACAUGAACGAGAGCGAACUAUGAUCAUGGAACUAAAACAUAAAGCAUGAGUAAGUAUUGGGAUAACUGAAAAAUAUUGAGAUAAGAAUGGGUUGAGCCUCACCCUCACUUCCUGAUGUUCUAUAUCAUACUGACAUCACUACAAGAAUCUGAGAGCCUAUCUUGGUCAUUUGUUCUAUAAUCUCUCUUUUAGCUUAAAGCCAUCAUCUUAUGUUCAUGAGACCCCUUACUAGACUCUAAACUGAACUACACUCUCUACACUUUGUGGUCUGGAAUACGACGAUACACGUAUUUAAUAGAACUUAACACAAAUAACUACACUUGGAAGUGGAAAACCCACUGCUAAUACCACCUUCUGAGACACGCUCUAUCAUUCUAUAGACCUAAUAGUCCUCACAUAAUACUGGAACACUUACUUCAGAUCUUCAUAAGUAUCCCUAUAGUUGGAGUGUACACCCUCCAGCGCUUCAACUCUUAUUUCUAUUAGCUCAAUCUUCAAGAACUCAAACUUAGAUUCUAACACUUAUCACCAAGCCUCUGAUGAACCAUACUACUUCCAUCAUAGCAUAUCAAUAUCGCAACUCUGACUUAUAUCUCUCCACUAUGAAAAUUCAAGAUCAUAUCAAAAGGCCCAACACUAUCAAUCAGAACUCCUUUACAUGGCUAUUUAGAACACGAUAUACCAUCUAGAAACUCAACAUUCCUACUAGUCACACACAAAAUGUAAUAGCCUUAGAAAAAUUAACGCAACCUCAUAUCACCUUGGGCAUACUUCCAUAUCAUACAUACAACAUCAUACUUCAUUACGAAUCAAAUAAGCUUAGGCUCUGGCAUACACUGUUCAAGCCUAUUAGAUCACUUCCAUAAAACUAGUAUUAUUAACCAAGAAAUCAUCACAUCCGCCGUCAUGGCCAUCAACUGUUCAAACAUAAUUUCUAGUGCUAAAUAUGAUUUACAACCCAACCUUACACACAAUUUUCAUAAAACAUUCAUCCUUAAUCUUAAGCCACUAUUCUUACAUCCACAUUCUAUAUUAAAUUCAAACCUAUAGUCUAACAUCAAUCGUUUACCACCAAUGAAGAAUGCAACAUAAUAUAUUAGUUCAUCAAAUUGGGACAUUCUACCCAAAUACCUCAAAAAAAAUCUACUACAUACUUUCUCACAAGUAGUACUAGUUUACAACUACCAACAAAAAGAAGGUUAAGAGGGGUAAAGUCACAUAAUAGACAUGGUCAACCUUAAUCUUACAUCAUAACCCCAUACAAUCUUAUCUACUUAUACGGUUUUCUAACAUCACACCUACUUACCCAAGCAUACAUUUAGACUACUUUCAAAUUCCACAAACAACCAUGAGUCUAUAAUCCUAACUUACUGGCUAAUCUAGCCAUUUUCAUACUUCAAGAAAACAAUAAUUCACCUUGACUAAUAACUCCUUCUUUACCUUCUACUAAACUAACACAUAAGGACGUAUCACUUCAUUACCAACGUUAUACAUAUAUUCAAUAAAUUUCCCUCACCACCUUUCUUGCCAUUUCGCCUCUAAACCCCCAGUUCCAACCAACACAAGAACAACAAGAUGAACAAAAAAUUGCUAGUGAAUCAAAAUAGGCCUCCCACGGCUUCACUAGACUUUGAUUUUUUGUGUUUUGAAUAAGAAAAUGAAAUGAAUAACAAAGCAACUAUGCUAGUGAAUCGAAAGAUCCCCACAGACUACCAUACAAUCCACAUAUGUUACUAGCUACCACAUUAGUCUAUCACUAUAAAAGGGGUAAAUAAUCCUCAAGCAUCGGUUAUUCAACUAAAAUAUUUAUCUACACAAAAACCGUUCUUACUCUGAUUUCUAACCUUGUGACUUCAUAUCACCAACUUCUUGGUCUAAUCUCACUACCAAUAGGUCGUGGAACCGACACUUUAACUUAUACUACUACUCAAGUGGAAAUACAAUUCCAAUAUUCUGCUACACAUUGUUCUCUCUUAACCAUGACAUUUGCAAUAUAAAUUCUGAAAAAAAUGGAAUACUCUUAAUACUGUAGGACAAAAAGCACGAUUUCAUUGAAAUCAAAGUUCACACUAAAAUCAAUACACUCUGAGGCACUAAUGGACUCUUCUCAAGUCCUUGCACAAAUUAUAAACUCUUAUGUGGCUCAACCAUAAAGAACCAUACCAUUUAAACUAUAAAAUUCUGCACUUGAAUCACCCCAAUAAUGAGACAUAUCUAGGCAUAUGAAAGUAAGGAAAGAAUUGGGAUGACUUUACUUUCAUAUGGGGACACCUUAGCACGAAUUAGAGUAUGGAAAAGGAAGAUUCUGGAUCAAAAGCACGAACUAGAAUAUGAAGAAAGAAAAACAUUCCUAAAUGCCUAGUAUCCUCCUGCUUAUAAGUGUGGCACGCUACAUACUCAUAAAUAAGACUCUACCCGACAUGAUUUUGCAGACACCCUGGGACCAUGAACCGUGCUUUGAUACCAAGUUUAUCAUGACCCAAACUAGGGCCUGGCCGUGAUGGACAUCCCAAACCAUGAAGGCUCGGAACGCCCUACCCUAUUUGGUAAUCAUGCACAACAUUCAUAUAAGUAAAACAUAUGUGGAAACAUAAUCAGCUACGAAAACAUGGUCAAAUUCUAAUUUCAACAUAAGUAUAGAAAAUGUAGUGCAACUAUAUCUAAAUAACAUCUAACUCAGUCUGUGAAAUCUCUACUACAUAAAAAUCUGACAACCAACUGAAAACUGGGACAAGGCCCCCAGUAGACCAAAACUAUUAUAAGUGACAUAAUCUAAAAGGAUAGGCCUUCUGGGAUAGAGAAGGCUCACCAACUAGACACAACAAGUCUGUUUGAAAUAAUCUACUAUUUUUUUGGACCCCUAGACUGAGCCUCAGAACCUGGAGGAAAGAGGGGGGUCAAUACAAAUGUACUGGUAUGCAAAGUAUUCAAAAAUAAAGCUUUUAUAUUGAUAAAAUUGUUGGAGAGAAAUUUGUCAAAUACUAUUCAUGAAAUAGUUCUAAAACACAUGGGCACUUUCUAUAAAUCACAAAUCAUUCUUGUCAAUGCAAUGUCUGAUCUUUUUAUAAAUUCUGAGUUAGGUGGCACUCCCCUACAAUUCUGAUAUUCCACGGGCAGUAUGGAAUUUACCAUUGUCUCAGUGGGAAAGCCCCCAACCCGAGUGUGCCGCAAGAGUUAGAGUUUCUGAUUCUGAUACGCCACACAACACUAGACCAGCAUAAUAUAAUACACCCGGAUCGGCAAAUUAUGGUUUCAGGCAAUGAGUUAUCUGAACUCAUGCCUUCUUCGGGGAACCACCUAAGCUCUCUUUAUGCCCAUUGUUAUCCUGUUCUGAAUCAUGCAUUUUUUAGUUUCAACAUCUGAAAAGUCUGAUUUCAAACAUGCAUUCUAUUCUGUUCUGAAAUUAUCAUGGCAUAAUCUUAACUGGUGUUGUCACACUAAGACUUGUAAGUCCUAUUUCUGAUCUAUAUGCAUUAAGCAUGAUCUUUCAUUUAAAACAUAGUUCAGACCACCCAAAUAUGCAAGCAGUAUAAGAGAUUUCAUGCUCCAAAAGCAUAAGUCAAAGCUAUGAAAGAACUCUUCAAACAUAAGGUGGUUAUAUUCUUUUGGCAAAAUCCAUGCACUCUUUCAAUAUAUGUAUUUUCAACAUUUUUUCAAUACAAACAACCCUCUCUUUGGAAUUCAAGAUUCAUAACCACAUCAUUCAUAAAUUAAACACUUCAUAACAUGCUUUUCAAGAUAUAUUUCAAAACAAUCUAUGUCAUAUGAUAAGUAAGUAAAAAUCAUAAAAAGAGAGGGAUUUUCUCAUGAAUCAUGCUCUCAAUUCAAUCAUCAACAUUAAACAUGUACAUAUAUGCAUAUAUCAAUUCAAAUAAAUUUGGGGAAGGUCUAAAGACCAAAACAAUACCAUCAAAACUUCUAAAACAUAAAUUUAUUCACAAAUCCAAAACACUUUUAUUAAAAACAUGAUUUCUAUGCCCCUGAGAUUUUAGGAAAACCCUGCAUACCUUAACCUCGAAAGAUAAUAGGUAAUUCUCAAAGCUUGCGGAUUGGGGAUUCCAAAUCUUCAUCACUUUUGAAAAUCCACGGUUGAAUCUUGAGUUAUUUGAGAUUCUUUUUUGAAAUCCUAGAAAGCGUUCUUGAUGGAUUUUGGUGAAAGUGUAUGUAUUUAGGUGUAUUUGGGAUUCAAUCCCAUAUUUGGAUGGGUUUGGGGCCAUGGUAAAUGUCUAGUUUGACCUUGGAAUUUAAAAUCCAGGACUGGAAUGCCGUAAAAAGCUUCACCGCUAUGUGCUAGAAAUCGUGGUGAGCUACUGCAAUUGAUAGUUGUCAAUUUAAGGCUCAUUGUGACGCGGUGGCCAGUCAAUCAGGAAUGCUGACACUAAAAUGCUCUAAAUUCUUCACUGAGUGUCUGUUUUAGGCACAUUUGGUAUCGAUGGUAAGCUAAUUUGAAGAUUUUUCAUUUGAUAUAUAGUAGGCCACCCAGUUCUUUAUAUACAAGAAGCUAUCGUCGAUUGAAGUUGACUCAAGUUUCGAUGCUCACUAAAACUAGAACUAUAGGAAAGAUUUCAACUUGACCCUGAGUUAGGGGACCUUUAUGAUCUCAAUUCAUGCUCAAAUAGGUUACCAUACUACAUACUUGAUUAACAUGGAAAAUUUGCAUAGGAUUUAUGGCUUUUGGACCAUCUACGCAUAGAAAUGAUGGUUUUUAUUCUAACCAGAAACACAGGGCGUUAUAGUUUACUACUUUUCAAUUGAGGUCUCCUAGAUGUCCAGAGCAAUUCAUAUUAGUUUUCUUGCAGAUAUCUUCACCAAGUCCUUCACCAAUCCUCGUAUUAAUUACAUUCAUGACAAGCUUGGUAAUGUGUAUUCUAUGCUCUAGCUUGAGGGGGAGGGUUAGAAUAUGAGUAGGAAUAGGAAUUUCAUAUAGAAUACUACUUGAAAAAAGAAUUAUAAUGUAAUGUCUUAUUAGGAAAAGGAUUGAAAUGUAUUGUCUAUAAAUAUGGCCUCAAUGUAAUAAUGUAGUUACAACAAUUCAAUAAUAUUUUUCUCUUAUAUUCUGACAAUGCACAAAAUUUUUUUACUUGUUUGAAACCAUAUAAGGCUUUCUUUACUGCAACUCAUUUCGAUAAGGGAAACUCAUGGGGUCAAAUUCAGCAGCUCAACCUAUAUGGUUCUUUUGGGACUAUUUUACAACUCCGUUCUUAUAGAGCCUUGUACAAUAUUUGCUCCACUCGGGUUCAAUGCUGAACACAAUCUUUUAUUUUCUUAUACUCGAACAAUUAGAAUUUCCUAGAGUGGAAGUAUCAAGAACUACAAGUUUUGGGAAGUUAUUUGGCCUUCUUUAAGAAGAUGUCUCAGAACAUUUAAAAACAAUAUGAAAAAUGGAGCAAUAAUGAAGGAAAAGAAGAAGAGAGCAAAUCAUAGCAGAAUAUUGCAAGUGUUCCCUGGAACUUCAGAAUGCAUCUGAAGCAUUAAGUAUGAGACCACAAACAAUUAAGGUUUUUAUUCCUCAGUGGAGGUCAUACAGGAUAUUAAAACCUUAGCUAGAACAAAAGUUUGCCUCGUAAGUCCUUAAAAUUUAGCAUUCUGAAAUUCUGUCGAAACUUUAUUUUUACCAAGGCUUGCUAUAGGAUUGAGCUACAAGACCUGGUACAUGCCUUCAUGUUACCAACUUUUGUAUUUUGAAAUUCUGCCGAAACUUUAUUUUUACCAAGGCUUGCUAUCUAGAAGCCCUGGUACAUGCCUUCAUGUUACGAUAGCUAAGAAUGUAGCUUUUGAGACCUUGUAUACGGGAUUAUAGGAGAGGCAGGGAGAAGAGGUUGUAUAGGCUUGAUAAGGCUAGGGAGCAAAGGGCCAGUAUCCUUGACUAAGUGAAGUGUAUCAAGGGAGGCAAAGUAUUGGUGGAUUACGUGAACAUUAAGAAAAGGUGGCAAUUGUAUUUUCUAGACUCUUAAAUGACAAGGGGGACAAGGACAUUGAUUUAGGGGAGCUGCAGAACUCAGAGGGGUUUCGUAGUUUCGAUUAUUGUAGACGAAUUAAGGUUGAAGAGUUAUUUGAGGCUACUAGUAGGAUACGUAGGGGUAGGGUGACGAAGCCGUGGCAUUUUGGAAGUAUUUAAGCGGGGCAGAUUUGAGGACUAGGAAGAUGACCGAAGCUUAGAGAUGGCGUAUAAUUAUUCCUCUAUACAAAAACAAGGGUGAUAUUCAAGGUUGCAACAACUACAGGGGUAUCAAGUUAUUGAGUCGCUCUAUGAAGAUUGGGGAAAAAGUGGUCAAGCGGAGGUUGAGGAGGAUCAUGUCUAUUUUAGAGAAUCAAUUUGGUUUUAUUCCCGGUCACUCGACAACAGAGGCAACUAACCUUGUGCGAAGACUAGUGGGGAGAUAUAUAGGGACAGGAAGAGAGACUUACACAUAGUGUUCAUCGACCUAGAGAAGGCAUAUGCUAAACUUCCCACGGAGAUUCUUCGGAGAUGCUUAGAGGUUAGAGCAGUCCCGGAGGUGUACAUCAGAAUGAUUAAGGACAUGUAUGAUGGAGCAAAGACUCGAGUGAGGACAGUGGGAGGGGAUUAAGAGCAUUUCCUUAUUUUGAAAGGGCUGCACCAGGGAUCAACUCUUAAUCCGUUUCUUUUCACCUAAGUGAUAGAUAUUUUGAUGUGGCAUAUUCAAGGUGAGAUGCCUUGGUGUAUGCUGUUUAUGGAUGAUGUAGUUUUUAUUGCUGAGACUCUAAGAGAUAUUAAUGAUGAAUUGGAGGUUUGGAGACAAACCCUGGAGUCUAAAGGGUUUAAGUUGAGUAAAACUAAGACGGAGUACUUGGAAUACAGGUUCAGUGACGCGUCUCAAGAGGACGAGGUGGUAGUGAAGUUAGACUCUCAGGCUAUUUGUAAGAGUGAUAGUUUGAAGUAUCUUAGGUAUAUGAUUCAGGGAAAUAGAGAGAUUGAUGAGGAUGUCACGCACCAUAUAAGGGCGGAGUGGAUUAAAUGGAGGCUCGCUUCGAGAUUUUUGUGUGAUAAGAAGGUACCCCCCAAGCUUAAUGAAAAUUUCUAUAGAGUGGAUGUCUGUUAGGCUAUAAUGUAUGGAGCGGAGUGCUGGCUAGUCAAGAACUUCCACAUCUAAAAGUUGAAAAUGACGAAAAUGAGAAUGUUGUGGUAGAUGUAUGGACUUAUUAAGGGUGAGAGGGUUAGGAAUGGGACUAUUCGGGUAAAGGUGGGAGUGGCCUUGAUGGAGGACAAGUCGUAAGAAGUGCGGUUGAGAUAGUUUGGGCAUGUGAUAGGGAGGAGCAUGGAUGCUCCAGUUCGGAGGUAUGAGAGAUUAACUUUGGAUGGUUUCAGGAGGGGUAGAGGUAGGCCGAAUAAGUAAUGGAGGAAGGUGAUUAGACAUGACAUGGACCAAUUACAGCUUACCGAGGACAUGACCCUAAAUAGAAAGGUAUGGAUAGCGCGAAUUAGGAUAGAAGGUUAGUGUGUAUAGGUCAGUUGUAGCCUAUAGGUAGUUGUGCCUUGGGGUAAUCUUGCUAGUAUUCAUAUAACUUUGCACAUUGGGUGGAGCCUUUAGUUAGGAGGUCCGAGAAAAGAGGGAGGAGGGCUUGCGGUUUGCUAGUUUAUAGUACUGCUUUGUGGGUGCCGUAUUUUCUGUUAUUUCUUGUCUAACAUUUAUUAUGACUGUAUCUACUAUCCUUUUGUCUUGAGUCAGGGGUCUAUUGAAAACAACAUUCCUACUUGUUCGGAGGUAGUGGUAUGGUUGCGUACAUUUUAUCAUCCCCAGACCCCACUAGGUGGGAUUACACUGGGUAUGUUGUUGUUGUAUUCUGAAAUUGUGUCGAAACUUCAUUUUUACCAAGGAUUGCUAUAGUCUUGAGCUACAAACCCUGGUACAUGACUUCAUGUUACCUACUUUUGUUUUGUCUUUAAUUUCUUAUUGCAAUUGGUUAUCCCCAACCUGAACCUCUUCCAAUCGGUUCCUUGUGCAUUUCCACAAGUUCAAAGACAUGGUUAAAUAGAUAACUUGUGCUCCUUGAUAGCUUAAGUUUUUUAUGAGAUGGUCGCAGGAAAAGUCCUAGGAUCGAGUCCCACCCCCACCAAAUAUGAUAAAGAAUUUCCAAAUCACAUGAGAAAAGAAUCAAGCCACACAUAAAGGGUGUGUAGAAAGACAUAAUUAAAUAAAUAAAUAAAAGUGUUAGAGUUACCUAAGAUAUCUAUGUCAUAUUACAUGUCUGCACCCCCACCUACAAAUGGUAUCAAAGCCCAGUAAUUCAAAAAAUACGGAAGUGAGAUAUAUGUUAGAGUUAUUAGAAUUUACCUAUAAAUUAAUAAAUUAAUUAUGCGAAGACCAUUUAAAAAUAGAGAAGCUUUUAGAAAAAUUAAAGAAUCUUUAAUUAGUAAUUAUUCAGAAUAUAUAAGUCUAAUUAAAACAAAAGAAAACCCACAAAGAUUAACCUACUUAAUUACAUUAAUAUCUAGUAUUGAAUCAAAAUUAAUAAUCCAUUUAAAAUCUAGAAGAAUGAAAUACAUAUCACCUAAUUAUGAUAAAAUUAGAUUUAGAUAUCCGCCAAAGAUACUAUAAAUAUAAUUUAAAAUGAACAAAGAAGAAUUUAUAAUAGAUGAAAAAAUAUAUGAAAACCACGAAGGAUCAAAAAUAAAAAUAGUAUUUUCUAAUCUAGGAAGAAGAUAUAAGAAAAUAGGUGAACAUUUAUAUCUAAUGUCAGAAAAAGAAGAAUUAAAAUUAGAAGAUAAAUUAACAGCAAUGGUAAGAAUAGAAAAAGAAAAUGAAGAAAUAGAUCUCAGAAAGGAUCUCAAAUUCUAGAUUGGUGACUAUGUCUACCUAAUAAUAUCUCCCAUGAAAAGAAUAAAGAGGUUCAGCAAGAUGGCAAAUCUUAGUCCCCGAUAUGUCGGUCCCUUAAAAAUUCAUAGUCGCUUCAGCAAAGUAGAUUAUGAGCUCGAAUUGCCUUCAGAUCAAGUUGCAAUACAUCCAGUCUUUCAUGUAUCUUUGACCAAGAAGUGUAUAGGUGACCCAGUAGUUGUAGUCCCUAUUCAGAGUGUAGAUGUUAAGAACAGCCUCUCUUCUGAAGAGAUUCUACUUGAAAUCCUAGACUAUCAGACUCGUAGACUGAAGAAUAAAGAAGUCCCUCUAGUCAAAGUUCUUUGGCGGAAUCUGUCUGUUGCGGGAGCUACUUGAGAAGUAGAACCAUACAUGUGUACCAAGUAUCCUCAUCUUUUCUCUGCCAACUCAGAUUAAGCUUAAGGUAAUAGUUCUCCUUAAGCUUACUCUGUUUCAUGUUCAGUGAUAAUCACAAACUUGGUAUCAUGUACCAUUGAAUAUUCAGUCAUGAAUUAAUGUAUUAGUUCAUUUUUAUAAUUAUGCAUUAAACAUUUAUUUUCAUUGUGAGAAACUUAGUUCCUUAGAACACUCAUUCAUGCAUUCAUGAAUCAGUUAUGCAUGCAUUAUGUAUGCGUGCCCAGUAUGAUAUACUCAAUUAUCAUUCAUGUUAGUAAUGAGAUCAUGUUUCAGUUAUUCAUGUUUCAGUAUGUAUGUCAGUUUAUGUUCUUUGCCUCACUCUCAGUUUCAUUCAAGGAUAAAUGUUCUCAUGGGGGAGAUAUUGUAAUACCCCAUUCUCUUUCCUAGCUUGAAUCAUCUCAAAAAUAUUUGAAGCUUUGUUUUAACAAUUAAUCCACUUUUAUACAUGUAUUAUUUUAAAUAUUUUCACUUUCUGUCAUAUGGAAAAUUAAAUAAGCGUUCAUCGAUAUAUGAUUCGCUUAAAUCUGAUAAUUGGGUAAGAAGUUAUGGCUCUUUCAAUUUCCUAUCGUAAAAUAAUGUCAUAUUGGUCAGUGACGCGCCGCACCACAAACUAUAAUGGCAAUUGUCCUUUUCCAUUGACUCAGCAUGAUUUCCCCCGUGUCGCGCCAAACUUCUAGGUCAUAAAGGCAGUGGCAACGCAAUGGCUUUAUGUCACGCCAUUCCUCAGUAUCCCAAUUGUGAAAUUCAAGUGACACGGCGCGAUAGCACCGUGUUGCGCCAGGGGUCCAUUUCGGGAAAAUUUUACUGAAAUUAUAAGAUUCUUCUAGGGCUAAAAGGGUCUAUUUCCCACCCCUAUUUAAUCUCUUUAACAUGAGAUUCAGCUAUUAGGAACCCAAAAUAUACUUAUUUCUCUCAAAAACCUCUCAAGAACAACCUAGGACUUUUCAUAGAAGAUUCAAAAUUAAGAAUUUUCUCCGUUAAUCUUCGUGUAUUUACGAACCAAGGUAUACAAAAGGUUCGUUCAUUGAUUCCUUCCAUCAAUGAAGCUUGAGAACCUUGUUUUAUCUAUAAAUCAUGGUAUUUAGGUUGUGGGUUAUUUGUAAUCAUGUUGUUGACGUUGAUUGAUUUCAAAAUUGGAAUAUUUAUGUGUGUUUUUUUAUGAUAUUAUGUUAACAUGCAAGAUAAAAUCCAUGAAUUUAGUUGCUUAUGAUGUGUAAUCUGAUAAUUUCUUCUAUGACCUAAAUUGUGCAUGCAAGGUGUUUGAUAAAAUGCUUGGAAGAGUAGAAAUCAUGCCUUAUAACCCAAAAUGAGGAUUAUCAGAUAUAGCCAAUCAGUCUUAGUAAUAUAACUCUGAUAGUUCUAUAGAAUUCAGGACUAUCAAAUACUGUCAACUCAGAUUCAGUACAAAACUUAGCUAGUUCCAUCAGAUUCAGGACUAUCAGAUACAGUCACUCAUGUUAUCAGUUAUAUCAGUUAUCAGAACUCAUUCAUUAGUCAUGUUAUUUAUCAGUAAACUCACGUUAUCACAAUUUCAAUUAUAGUUACUAUGUAUGUAUGCAUGUAUUCUCAUGCUCAUAUUAGUUAGUUAGUCAGUAUUGUUCAUGCAUAUGAAACCCAUGCAUUCAACCUACCUCACAUAAAUAUAAGUACAUUCAAAGUGCUGACGUAUUUGCGCUAUGCUGUCUUACACCAUAGGUUCAGAGACACGAGCUCCAAAGCAUCAGUAGCAUUCCAGUCUCAGCAGUCAGAGUUAGAAGUGAUUCCUUAUCUUUCGAGGACAUGAUCAUUACUUAUCUAUGUCAUUAAUUAAUUUAUUAGUUGGAGUUAUUUAGGGACAUGUCCCAUCAACUCCUUAUUAAAACAAUCAAGUUUUAUAGGCUUUUCAGAGUACAAUAUGUUCAGAUAGCUUAUUUUAGCUUUGUUUUGGGUAUUCCAUAUCCCAUCUAUAUGUUAUGAUUUAUUAAAUCUUAUGUUACAGAUUUGAACCUAAUGGCCUUCCAGUUCAUGUUUCUGUAUUAUAUGGUAUGUUAUACAGUAUGCAGGUACAAAUAUCAGUCAUGGGUUAGCUUCUGGUCCUUCAGGGUCAUGAGCACCGUGUAGCAUUCCGGGUACCAGAUUUGGGGCAUUACAAAAAUAUUUUAAACUAGCAAAAUAAGCCCAUAUAACAACACUGGGGUGCAUAAAUCCACCUCAGAUGAGGACCACAUUACACUAUGAGUUCCUCACCCUCAAAAAGAAUAUCCAAAAUAGAAGCCGAUGUAAGGAACUGCUGGAUCUUAUGAAGGCUUGACUCACACUCAUCAAACCAUCAAAAAACAACCUCCUUUCGAGUUAAUCUGGUCAUUGGUGCUUAAAUAGUAGCAAAAACCUUAAGGAAUUUUUUAUAAUAACCAGCCAACCUAGUAACGCUACAAACCUCAGUUAGAGAUGAGGGCCUAUCCCAAUCACAAAUAGCCUCAAUAUUUAUCGAGUGUAUCAUAAUCCCAUAUUUACACACCACCUUCCAAAGGAAUGUCAUCGACUCAAGCCAAAACUCUCUCUUAGACAACUUAGCAAAAAAUGCAUGAUCUCUAAAAUUUGGAGCACGAUCCUUAAAUGUUUGGCAUGGUCCUCUCUACUUCUUGAAUACACAAGGAUUCCAUUGAUGAACACAAUCAAGAAGAAAUAAAAAUAAUGCCUGAAUGCUCGAUUCAUCAAAUCCAUGAAUGCGGUUGGGGCCUUAGUCGACCCAAAUGACAUCCCAAGGAACUCAUAAUGACCAUAACGGGUCCUAAAGGCUGUCUUUGGGAUAUCCUCAGCUCAGAUCCUCAAUUAACCGUAGCCAGAACUCAAAUCCAUCUUAAAAAACAUUGUUUCACCUUGAAGCUAGCCGAACAAAUCAUUAAUAUAGGUCAUAGGAUAAUAGUUCAUCACUGUCACCUUAUUAAGCUACCUAUAAUUAGUACAUAUGCACAUGAAGCCAUCUUUCUUCUUUACAAACAAUAUAGGAGAUAUUCAAGGAAAUAGACUCUGUCUAAUGAAAGCCCUACCAGAAAGAGUUAAAAGCUGAGAAUUUAGCUUCUUAAGGUCGAUAAAAGCCCUACAAUAAGGUGCCAUAGAAAUAGGUCAGGUGUCACGCUCAAGGUCAAUAACAAAAUCAAUAUCCUAGGAAUGAGGAAGGCCAGGCAGAUCGAUAAGGAAAACAUUAAGAAACUUACAGACUACAGGAAUAGAGUCAAGCGAUGGACUCUCGACUAACAUCAUGAUUAUAAGUGAGAUAAGACUCACAACCUAUUGAGAUUAAUCUCCUAUCAUACAUAAAAUAAAUAAUCCCCGUCGGCUCGUAGCUAAUAGAUCCCUACUAUAUAAUUGGGGGUAUGAUGGGCAUGGGUAAGGUGAUGGUCAUAGUAAAAUAAUCUAUAACUGCAUAAUAGUGGACUAACUAGUCUUGCCUAAUAUCACAUCAAAAUCUACCAUGUCCAAUAUAAUGAGAUCAACAUCAGUAUCAAUAUCUCUCACAGUCACCACACAUGAUCUGAACACCUGAUCCACUAGUAAAGAAUUACCUAUGGAGUAGGUAUACAUAAAGUCACAAAUAAUAAAUCCCAAGAUAACUCUAACUACAAGGCAUAAUAAGAAAAUACAUAAAAUUAAGUGGAUUCUGGAUCAAAUAAAGCAAAGGCCAACGAUGGCACAAUAGAAUCAUACCUAUGAUAACAACACCCAAAGAUUCAGACUCGAGUCUAGAAGGUACCACAUAUAACUAACCAUGACCGCUGCCUUGCUGGGCUCCUGACCAAUGUCCAAUCCUACCAGCUAGAGAAAUUUAUCGAGUACCUUGGGAACCAUACCUUUGAAUUACUCUAAUAGGGGGAAAGCUCUGAACUGUAGUAAUAAUCAGUCCAUGACAAUAGAACUCUCGCAAGGAAUGGCCAAAAGCUCUAUAACCAUAGUAUGUCACAUGGGAUAAACCUAAAAAAGAAGAUCAGGUGGACCCUAAAUAACCACGUCGACUUGAAUAAUCAGAAGACGAGCCCCUUGAUGAAUAUCCACCACCCUAACUAGGGAAAUCACUAGCAUAAUACUGACCUCUAUUAGUAAUUUAAGGUACUUCCAAAAUAGGUGUACUAAGUUGGAAAUAAGGAUGAAUGGAUAAUGCAGAGGUUAACUACCAUAAGAACUGCCAACAACGAAUAAUAAGCUACAACAAAUUUGACUAAAAAUAACAUAAUACAAAGACCUCUUAUCACUUCCCCUUAGGCCUCAUAAUGCAUUUUUGCCAUUACCUAGGCAUGAUCAGAAACCCCCCGCAACCAAACUCUAAGAAGAACUAUUGUAAUACCACAUAUAUUUCUAAGCUAGAAAAUAAACCAUUGUUCCUAUGCAUGAAACCUCCUUUUUUGUGAUUCAUGUUUGAUUACAUGAAUUAGUAUGAGUAUCCUAGUGAUAAUAGAGCUUAUGAUGUGUUAAAUAUGUUCAUAAAAGUCACUUCGAGUAAGCCAAGCUAAGAACUUUUGAAUCCUUCAAAUUUUUGUGUCUGAUUUCACAUAGUUCAUUUUUGAGCGAGAAUAACUUGGUUUAUAGGUGGUAUUUUUGCAGAUUUAUACCCUCCAAAUUGUAGAUAAUUCAAUAAGCUUUCUGUCGAUACUAAAUUUGCCUAAAGUAGACACUCGGUGAAGAUGUUAUGGUGAUUAAGUUUUAGCAGUGUCAUUUCAGUCAGUGGCACAUCGCGCCAUAAGCAAAAAUGACGUUUGUAAAUUACCUGUGUCUCUCCUCGAUUCCACUGCAUCGUGGUGAGUUUCCAAGUCGUAAAAAAGAGGCAACGUGAUGUCUCUGCAUCAUGCCAGGGGCUAAAAUCGGGAAAUUUUUACAAAAAUUAAAAGGCGCAUCUAGAGGGGUAUUUGGGUCAUCUUCCCACCCCUAUAUAUUCUCCCAAAACAUACUCUUUUUCAUCAAAAUCCUCUUAAUAACACAUUAGGGAUUCAAUUGGGGGAUUCAAGUUCAAGCAAAUUCUACCAUCAAACCAAGAAUCUCUCUGUCAAUCUUUACUAAAUCAAGAACUAAGGUAUGCGUGUCUUCAUUGAUGGACUCCUUUCAUCCAUGAAGUCCAAUAACCCUAUUUUAACCAGAUCACCAAUGUUCAAGAUGUAAUGGAGAAGAUAACAUUAUUCCAGAAGUACAUCUAGAAUAAAAGAAGACAAAAUGCCAGCCGGAAAGAUAGGAUAAGAAGCAAUAAUGGAGAUAUAGCAGAUACGACAAGAUCAACAGAGACAAGAUAUUGAAUUAUUGCACAAAGUCUUUAGACUUUACGCAAAAGUUGUAAUUAUUGUAGAUUUUUAGGCUUGUAGGUUUGUAGAAAAUUUAAAGGCUAGGUAGUAGCCUCCUUUUUUGCCUUUUUUAGUAGUUGUUUUACAUUUUAAAAAAAAAAAUGUGUGAAGAUUGUAAAGUUUUUUCAUUCUAUAAAUGAAGGCAACUGAAGGCAUUGCAAAGCAAGCCUUCAUGCAUUGAAGCAAAUACUCUCUCCAUUCCACAACAAAUAUUUUACUCAGUUAAUUAAAUAGAUAUAUUUCAAUGGAAAAUGCUAUGGAGGAACAAACUUCAGAAAUAUCAAAACUACCNNNNNNNNNNNNNNNNNNNNNNNNNNNNNNNNNNNNNNNNNNNNNNNNNNNNNNNNNNNNNNNNNNNNNNNNNNNNNNNNNNNNNNNNNNNNNNNNNNNNNNNNNNNNNNNNNNNNNNNNNNNNNNNNNNNNNNNNNNNNNNNNNNNNNNNNNNNNNNNNNNNNNNNNNNNNNNNNNNNNNNNNNNNNNNNNNNNNNNNNNNNNNNNNNNNNNNNNNNNNNNNNNNNNNNNNNNNNNNNNNNNNNNNNNNNNNNNNNNNNNNNNNNNNNNNNNNNNNNNNNNNNNNNNNNNNNNNNNNNNNNNNNNNNNNNNNNNNNNNNNNNNNNNNNNNNNNNNNNNNNNNNNNNNNNNNNNNNNNNNNNNNNNNNNNNNNNNNNNNNNNNNNNNNNNNNNNNNNNNNNNNNNNNNNNNNNNNNNNNNNNNNNNNNNNNNNNNNNNNNNNNNNNNNNNNNNNNNNNNNNNNNNNNNNNNNNNNNNNNNNNNNNNNNNNNNNNNNNNNNNNNNNNNNNNNNNNNNNNNNNNNNNNNNNNNNNNNNNNNNNNNNNNNNNNNNNNNNNNNNNNNNNNNNNNNNNNNNNNNNNNNNNNNNNNNNNNNNNNNNNNNNNNNNNNNNNNNNNNNNNNNNNNNNNNNNNNNNNNNNNNNNNNNNNNNNNNNNNNNNNNNNNNNNNNNNNNNNNNNNNNNNNNNNNNNNNNNNNNNNNNNNNNNNNNNNNNNNNNNNNNNNNNNNNNNNNNNNNNNNNNNNNNNNNNNNNNNNNNNNNNNNNNNNNNNNNNNNNNNNNNNNNNNNNNNNNNNNNNNNNNNNNGAUAUUAUACAGAUUAAGAGAUGUUAGAAUAUAUUAGAAAAACUAGAGAAAAUCAAGAUAACCUAAAUAAUGAGAUUAAUUAUAGAAACCGAAUUAGGAAAAUAAUGGAAAAUCUAAAAGAAAAAUUAAUAUGGAUAGAAAAAACCUUAGAAAAUUUAGAAAAAAGUACAUGUGAUAGUUUAUAUAAUUUAAAAAACUCAUUACGAGAAGAACAACACAAGAUAAUAAAUAACAUUGAAAAUCUAGAAUUAGAUAUACAUUACAGUACAGUUAGGAUAAACUAUUAUACAGAAAUUUGUAACUCUGCAAUUACUACAGGAUAAAAUAAUAAACAAAUUAAUGAAUAUAUCUUACGAAAAAAGUAAAUCAUUAAAAAAUAUCCACGCACAAAGAAAAAUAGAUUUAUUAGAUACCUAAUAUAUCUAUGUCAUAUUACAUGUCCGCACCCCCACCUAAUAAUGUAGUUACAACAAUUCAAUAAUAUUCUUCUCUUAUAUUUCUCACAAAGUAUCUUCAAUAAUAUUCUUGUCUUAUAUUUCUCACGAAGUAUCAGGGCAUUUACGAUCUUGGUAGGGAAUCAAAAAGCUUCCAAUCCAUCCAAUCAAAAAUCCUCUACGUUAUUACAUUGAGACCCUAUUUCCAAUCCUUUUCCAAGUAGGACUCGUUGUAUCAUUUCUUCUCGUACUCAUAUUCUAUCAAAAAGUGUGUUCUUUAAUAGCUUAGACUUCUAGAUUAUAUGGUCACACUUCAACACCCGAUAGACUAAGGCCCUCAUUACCCUCGUGUGGGUUCACAUAUCAUUCAAUGCUAGCUUGUUACUCUUAUCUUAAACUCAUUUUUAGCACCAAUUACGAGAAUUUACAAGGCUUUACAGAGAUCCUUGUAAGCUUCUUUCUCAAGUAUCAAUAGCAGAACAUUCGGAGAAUAGGGGAAGGUUUUGAUAAGACACAGGCAAGUUUGCAAAGUGGAAUUUUUCUCGAUCCAUUUUAUUCACUUCAGUGUGAACAAAACAGUUUUGAGUCAGAAGAAAAGUUAUUAUAACAUCUUCCAUCUGACCUUUCCAGGCCAUGCUUCCGCCGAUCAAAAGCUACAAAAAGACUAAGCAAGUGUAAGGAGAGGUUAAAUAAUUUAGUAUAACAUUUAUUAUUGACUGUCGCUGCCUGAUUGACACAAAAAUCUAAUAGUAUUUCUAUUCUGUCGCUGAACCUUCUUUAUAAUUAUUUUUGAUAAGGUAAUUGCAUUGAUGAAGCACGACACUAAGGAAGUACGGUACAUAUACAAAAUGCAGAAAUUGGCAAGUGAUCCUAUUAUAUCUGUAGAGAAACCAAGGAAAUCCAGCAGCACAUAGCAUCCUGAUGAAACUCAGUGGUACAACAAAAUUUUUAAGUUCAGAAUACAUUUAUUUUUAGGUAAUACUAUGCUUUCUUAUUUCAUUCCCUUCAAAACAUUUAUAAUUCCUUUAAGCAGGCCACAGAAUGCAAAGAGGGAUGGUCGUCCAAAUGUUUUUCUGCUCCUUCCUCAUCCUCUGAUGUUGCCAAAAACACUAAGUUCGCUUUAGAAUGGCCAAUUGAAUUCCAUAUACAUUAAGGAACAUAUCCCUAAUUUUUCAUACAAAAUUUCAAUGAGUAACAGAUGAUUGAUUGUUCUCCAUCUUUUCUGCAAAUAUAACUCAAGGUAUGCUUCUCCUUAGCAAUUUAAUAACGGGCAGAGGUACGCCGAAGAAAUACUGGGAGAGGUAACUAGACAGGAUAUGGCGCAGCUUCAGUUUACCAAGGACAUGAGCUUAGAUGAGAGUGCAUGGAAGUCGUGAAUUAGGGUCAAAGGUUAGAAGGUGGUGUAGAUUGUCUCGCUUGCCUGGGAUUAGGCUGGGUGGUAUAACCAACUCUGCUGCUUAACUUUGAGAUAUAUAUGUAUAAUAUUAAGGAGUAUUGAGAUUGACUCAUAUGUAAUAUUUUUAAACUCAAUUGGGAGCCAAAUGGUUUUUGUCAAAUUUAUUCAACAGGUGGAGUCAAUCUUAACUGUUCAAAAUAAUGGAUGGCUUGAUUUGAGUGAAUAGCAAGGAAAAAAUGUUGCGAUGACUUGGCAUAAACUUUUACAAACAUUGGUGAUUAAUUUGUGUUUUUUCUCGACGGUCUGUUUUUUUGUACAGGGUGCUGUAUGAUAAGAAGGUGCCGCCCAAGCUUAAAGGCAAAUUCUACAGGGUGGUAGUCCGUCCGGCCAUGUUGUAUGGAGCAGAGUGUUGGCCAGUCAAGAACUCCCACACCCAAAAAAUGAAGGUGGCAGAAAUGCGGAUGUUGCGCUAGAUGUGUGGGCUGACUAGAAGGGAUAGAGUUCGGAAUGAGACUAUCCGGGAGAAGGUUGGUAUGACUCCAGUGGAGUGCAAGAUGCGGGAAACCCGAUUGAGAUGGUUCGGACACAUGAAGAGGAGGGGCAUGGAUGCCCCGGGCUGUAGGUGUGAGAGGCUAGCGUUGAAUUACUUGGUGGGGGUUUUAUGCCCGUUAUGAUUUCGUGUUCCAUGUUUUAUUACGAAUCUGUGUGCUUUUCUCUGUUUUAUAUUACUUAUGGGUGCCAUAUUUAUGUUAUGUAAUCUUGUGUUGUGCUUUACUAUGUGUUUGUGUGGUAUCUCGUGCCUUGAGCCGGGGGUCUAUCAGAAACAGCCUUUCUACUUCUUUAGAGGUAGAGGUAUGGACUACGUACAUCUUACCCCCCCCAGACCCCACUAGGUGGGAAUAUACUGGGUUUGUUGUUGUUGUUGUUGGUCUAUUUUUUUGUAAUAUAUGGGGGACAACAGAAUCUAAUUUGCAGUAGGAUUUAAGUCUUACAACAUAACCAGGCUUGCAGCUAGAGCUGAAGUUUGUUUGAAUGGAUUGAAAUAAGUCGGAAUAUGUUGCGCAGGACAACUUUCAGCAAGAAAACCAUGGAAUGGCUAGUGUUUGUACUCCAAAAAGCUUCAAAAGAUUCUGGCACACACAUGAGGUGGAAGUUAAAUGAGCAGUACUACAAUUUCUUUUCUUCCAGGAAAACUAACAAGUUUGGGAGAGUUAUAAGCAUUGUGACAGUACAAGGAAGAAAUGGAUCCAUCAUAAUUAUUCCAGAAUUAACAUUAAAUGCGGGAUGGGGAGACGUUGCAUUUAAUAUUGAUAAUUUCAUCAAAGAACAAAACUGCGCUUUUAUUUCAUACAGUUGCAAGAAGGCAGAUCCAAAGAUCCCUUACGAAGAUUCAGUCGGGACUAGAAAGUGGCAAUCAAAGGAGGCAUCGAAAUCCCUAGUCAGAAACAAAACAACUCUAUCUCCAGUCUCUGGUGGUGAUGCUAAUCAGGAAAAUGGUUUGGUCAGAAGAUGUAUAGUUAGGAACCUCAGCAGGGAUGAGGAAGAGAAACCAACUCUCACAGAUAUCAGAAAGUGAGCGGUGAGUACUUCGAAAAAUGCUUUUGGCAUCAAUGUAUACGAAAUAUAGGGGCGCUCUUUCCUCUUUGAGUUUCCCAACAAACAAAUGACAGAGCACAUUUUUCAUGGAUAGUGGACGUGGAAGCACCUGAAGAUCCAUCUCGACUGGUGGAUGCGGAAAGUCGGAUGUUGUACUCAUCGAGAGAAUUCAACAUGGCUAAGAGAGAUAGGCCUUCCUCUUCAGUUGGACAGAAAAAACAUUUAAAGCCAUCAGAAAUCAAUGCGGGGAUUGGCUGGAAACUGAGGAGGAGACGUCUUUGAAGAAUCAUCAUAUGAAAUAGGCGAUACUAAGAGUCAAAGGAGAUGGAGGAGAAGAUCCAAAAGAGGUAAAGAUAGUCAAAAAUGGUCUUAUGUAACACCCCACACAUUCAGGCUAAAGUUUAAACUAUCGUUCCUACGUGUAUAGACCCGAACUCAUUGAUUCUUUGUUAAUAAAUGUGUGAUGAUCAAUCUUAUAGGUUGUUAAUACCUUUGAAUGUGAAUUGAGGUCACCAAAAUCCCCUAGCUCAGAGACGAGUUGAAAACUUUCCUAUCGCUUAAGUUUUAGUGAACGUCUAAACUUGGGUCAAGUUUCAUUGAUCAUAAAUUCUUGUAUAUAUUGAUUUAGAGAUCCUACUAUAUAUCUAAUGAAAGGUCUUUGAGUCCUCUUUCCAACGCCACUAGUUUUGUAUUAAUCCAAUAUCCGAGUAGAAAGUUAUGCCUAUUUUACUGAGAGGUGUCAUUUCAGGCUGAAACACGCAAAAAAGUGCAUUUUUAGCGGGGUAUUUUGGUACUUUCCCUUCCUAAAAACCUCCCCAACGAAAUUAUAUCAUACCCUAAGCAUCAUAAUCCUUAUUUUAUCAGUUUUCAAUAUCUCAUUCCUCUCAACUCUCAACAACAAGAUGGAAACUAGGGUUCCUUCAAGAGCAAGAAUCAAACUCUUUAAGUCCAAGAUUUCCAAGAAACAAAUCAAGAUCCGUGUUCUACUCUUUAAUCCAAGUAAUCUAAGGUACGUGGGGUUUUCCUAAAAUACAUGGGCAUGGUGAAUUCAUUUUGAUAAUGUUUUAAUGUUGAGAAAUCAUCAAUUUGCAAAGGGGUUUUGAAGUUGCAUUUACAAUUGUGCAUUGUGAAAUCUUUUUUAUGUUUUGGCCUUAAGGCCUUCCCCUAAAUUAGAUCUGUACUCGUAUAUUAGUAUGUAUGCAUUUUUGAGUUCUAAUAUUGAAUUGAGAGGAUGAACAAUUAAAAUCCCUCUCUUGUUUUAAAGCCUCUUGUUUUCAUGUGUUAACAAUUAUUCAAUUGCAUAUUGAGAAUCAUGAUUCAAAUAGUUUUACUACUAUUUUAGCCUUGAUUUUGGAUAUGAAUUUAAGAGAGGGUGAUUCUUGAAAAUAUAAAUGAAAAGUGAUGUUUCAAAGAGAUUGCAUGGUUUGUUACAAAAUACUUGAUCACCACAUGUUUGUUCAAAUGUUUAAAUGAGAGAGUCUUUGCAUAAUUUUACAUAUGAUUGAAAUAUAGAUUCUCUUGAAAUUUUUGAAUGAUAUAAUGGUCCAAACUUUAUGUUUUGAAUGAAGAGGUUGUAACAUGAUAUUUUAUGGCUCAGAAAUAUGACUUGCAAGUCUUGGUAUGACGAUACCAAUAUAGAUAAUGUCAUGGUAACAUAGAACAGAACAAAAUGCAGAUUUUCACUCAGAUUUUCAAAUUUUGAACUUAGAAUGAUGCAUGUUUAGAAAAGGCUAAAAUUGGGCUUAAAGAGAGUUAGGUGGUUCCCCAAAAAAGGCACGAUUUCAGAAAACUCUCUGCCCGAAAUCGUGUUUUGCCGAUACGGGUUUAUUAUAUUCCCAAAAAGAAACUAUACGCUGGCCUAGUGCCCUAUGGCAUAUCAGAAUAGAAACUCCAACCCUUGUGGAAAACUUGGGUUGGGGGCUUGGAUUCUGAGUUAAGGGCGCAUUGCAUAUAGCCCAUAGACUGUUAGACUUGUAGGGUGGACCACCUAGCUCAGAAGUAAAAUAAAGAAUGGUAUUGCAUCUAAAGAAUUGUUUGAAUGAUCAUUUGAAGUUGCCCAUGUGUUUUAAAUUAUUUUAUGCAUAACAUUUUAUGAAAUUCUCUCACUUAUGUUAUAUAUAAAAGUACAUUAUUUUGGAUUGCUCUGCGUACCAGUACAUCUAUAUUGACCACCUAUAUUUUAGGAUUCUGAGACAUAGUCCUGGGUCCCGUUAAGCAGUAGAAUGACUUGUCAGAAGUUUGUAGUUGGGAGCCUCCCUUACUUCGAAAGGCCUGGUUAUGAAUCUUGUCCCAGAUUUCAGACAAAUGUCCUUUCCAGUUAGUAGAGAUUUCGCAGACUAGUGUUAGAUGUUGUUGAUCUUUAUGCACUCAUUGCAGUAUUGAGUAGUUUGAAAUGAAAGUUUACCAUGGUUCCUUUUUGUUAUGUAUUUUCGCAUUUCAUCCUUGUUUAUGAAUGGUAUAUAUGAUUGCAGGUUAGAAGGGCUCUUGAGCCUUCAUGGUUCAGCAUGCCCGUUAUGGCCAAGGACCCGGUUCGGAUCGUGACAUCUUACCUUUCACAUCCCCAUCUGAUGCGACUCAAAAACCUUGGUAAAAAAACCUUAUAGGGUUAAAGACAGUAGUCCGCACAAAGAAGUAAAUAGGCACGUAGAUGCCUCUGUACAAGCAUUUAUUUCAAAUAAUAAUAUAGCUGGUGAGGGCCCAGUGACAAGUGGGACAUGGAACAGAUGAGGGGCUUAUGUUUUAAAAUUGUGAUUUUUGUUUGGGCCAAGCGAAUAGAGAAGCAGUUUUUGGAAAAGGCCCGGUUCUAUUUAAUGAGGCCCAUACGACAAACCCAAGACACUCUAAUGGCACGUGCUCAACAAUGAUUGAUUUUUUACUUGUGGAAAAAAAAGAAAACCACAAUAAUGACUCUUUCUUCAACAUCAGCUUAGGAGAUCUGGUGAUAAAAUUAUGAGAGAAAGACUGGCCAACCUCUCUAAUGAAAAGACCAAUUAUAGAAGAAGGGGAAGAUUAUGAAGAUGCAGCAUCAAACAUUGAAGAUGUUGAGACACAAUCAGAAAACAAUAGAUUUUAGCAAGACAUGCAAUUGGUUGAUUGCAUUGAUAAUCAAAAUUGGAACAUAAAAGAGGUUGAACCUCUAAAUUUUGAAUAUGCAGAGGGGGGAAAGUCACAAAGAGAUGGACAUUUCAAUUUGCGUUCAUCAAAAUAUAAUCAAGAUAAGAAAGGAGUUAUGAUACCAAACGGUAUCUACAAGAGCACAAAACAGUCCGUAAAAUCACAAAAAACAGUCCACACGUACAAGACAUCAAACGAGAACAACAAACACACUAACUGCACGUACAAGACAUCAAACGAGAACAACAAACACACUAGCUAGAAAAAUAAGGAGAUAGAUAACUUGACACAAAGAUAACUUAUUAGGUAGAAACUAAAGAGUGUAUCAAACUCUAAAACCUCUACAAAACAAGUUAACAAGCACCAAGUUCUUACGGGAACACAAGAGGAACACGGUUCUCUCAAGCACUCCUAUUUUUAGCCGCUUCACAACACAAGUGGAACCUUUCACUUGUGAAAUUCAAAUGUUUGGUGGUCUACUCUCUUAUUGAGAGGAAAUAUGAUGUUCAAUAUUACAAGUGUUUUCAAGAAUGAACUAACUCGGGAACCAAUCUAAAGAAACACCUUAAAUAGUCUUUACAAAAAAGAUGGCAAAAGAACCCCUUUGCCCUUAAUGAAGGGGUGGCAUGUGUGAGCUAUUUGGGGAAGACUUGGGGUGUAUUUUUGAUAACCUAAGGUCAGCCCCCAUAUGUAAAUACGUACACUCCCUUGGGCGAGUUCGCAACAAGCUCAACCACGUCCAUUUUCAUAAACACACCUUGAAGUCUUUGUAGUUCACGAGCUUGACUUCUAGUAAAUAGGCUCGAGCUCAUGACACCCAUAUCAUCCUCUCAAUCUUGAGAGGAUUUUGACCUCAAAAUCAUGGUUUCCUCAUCUUCAAUGGUAUCAAUUUGUGAGAGAUCACACACGUUGAAUAUGAUAUGCACUUGGUAUUCCGGUGGGAAAUCGAUCUUGUAAGCAUUAUCGUUGAUUGUUUCAAGAACUUGGAAUGGACCGUCACCUCUUGGCAGCAACGUGCCCUUUAUUUGGUUGGGAAACCAAUCUUUCAGUAGGUAUAUCCACACCCAAUCUCUCGGCUCAAGAACAAGAUACCUUCUCCCUUUGUUGACUCAUUUGGCCACCUCUUGCUUCUUCUUCUCAAGCCGCAACCUCACUGUCUCAUGCAAUAUUUUCAUGGAUUCAUCCCUCUUUGUUUCCAUCUAAGUUAACAAAAACAUCACUUGGCAAAGGAGUUAGAUCCAAGGGGGUUAAGGGAUUGAAGUCGUAGACACAUUCAAAAGGCGUGAUGCCCGUACUCAAAUGGAUCACCCGAUUGUAAGAAAAUUCUAUGAGAGGUAGGUAAUCUUCCCAAGAUGUCAACUUACCUUUAACCAUGGAACAUAGCAUGGAACCCAAGGUUCAAUUUACUACUUCCGUUUGGCCAUCGGUUUGUUGGUGGCAAGACAUAGAAAAUAAUAAUUUAGUUCCGAGCCUACACCACAUUGACUUCCAAAAGUGGCUAAGGAACUUAGAAUUCCGAUCACUUAUAAUGGUCCUUGGGAUACCGUGUAACUUAACAGCAUUUUCAAUAAACAAAGAAGCUACACUAGCCGCAUCUUCACUAUUUUUGCAAGGAAUAAAGUGUGCCAUUUUGGAGAAACGAUCAACGACAACAAAGAUGAUAUCCCUACCCCUUUGAGUUCAUGGCAGCCCCAACACAAAAUCCAUAGAAAUAUUAAGCCAUGGGUGUGAUGGAGUGGGAAGCGGGGUGUAUAACCUGUGAGGAAGGAUCCUAGACUUAGCACUCCUACAAUCCAUGUAUUAGCCGCAAAUUUUGACAACAUCUUUGCACAUCCUUGGCCAAUAGAAUUGCUCCUCCAAUAUUCUGAGAGUCUUAUCAAUUCCAAAGUGACCCAUGAGACUGCCAUCGUGUGCCUCCCUCACAAACAAAUCUUUUCAAGAGCUAUAAGGUACACAUAACCAUCUCCCCCAAAACAAAAACCCAUCAAACACGACAUAAUGACUAGAAUCUGAGGGCCUCCUUUACAUACACACGGCUUUACUUUCCCUAAAGAUAGGAGCGAAUUAAGGGUCCUGGGGAUACAAAGUCAUGAGGCUCUCAAACCCUAUUAGCUUGGACAACAAAGUGGACACAAGAACAUGCUUUCUAGAUAAUGCAUCGGCAACCAAAUUAUCCUUCCCCUUUUUGUAUUGAAUCACAUAGGGAAAGUAUUCAAGAAAUUCAAUCCAUUUGGCAUUCCAUUUGUUAAGUUUAUCUUGUGCCCGAAGGUUCUUCUAGGAUUCAUGAUCCAUUCGGAUUAUGAAUUCCUUGGGCCAAAUAUAGUGUUGCCAAUUGCCUAAUGCUCUAACCAAGGUAUACACCUCCAAAUAAUACAUAGAGUAGUUUAGAGUUGCUCCUUAGAGAUUUUCACUAAAGUAAGCAAUGGGCUUUAAAUCUUGCAUCAAAACAGCCCCUAUGCCUACUUUACUAGCAUCACACUCAACUUCGAAUGUCUUAUCAAAGUUAGGCAAUUGCAACAAUGGUACCGAAAUGAGCAUAUCUUUCAAGGUCCUAAAGGCCUUAGAUUGCUCUUCACCCCACUUGAAAGGUUGGUCCUUCCAGAUGAUUUCGGUCAAGGGGGAAGCAAGGGUACUAAAUCCUUUGACAAACCUCCUAUAAAAACUUGCCAACCCAUGGAAGCUCCGAACUUCCCCCAUGGUUUUUGGGGUUGGCCAAUCUUUAAUGGCGGUUAUCUUGGAUUCGUAUACCUCCACUCCCCUCGAUAUUACAACAAAUCCUAAAAACACAACUUUAUCAACACCAAAGGAGCAUUUUUCAAUAUUAGCAUUCAACUUUUCUUUCUGAAGAAAAUCAAACACACUCCUUAGAUGUAAAAUAUGUUCAUUAAGGGACUUACUAUAAAUUAAAACAUCAUCAAAGUACACAACCACAAACUUUCCAAUAAACGGCUUCAUCACAUGAUUCAUUAUCCUCAUAAAGGUAAUAGGAGCAUUGGUAAGACCGAAUGGCAUGACCAUCCACUCAUAUAGACCAAACAUAGUCUUGAAUGCGGUCAUCCAUUCAUCACCCAGUUGUAUACGAAUUUGAUGAUAUCCACUCCUAAGAUCAACCUUAGAAAACACACAAGAUCCAUUGAGUUCAUCAAGCAUAUCAUCUAGCCGAGGAAUAGGAUGAUGAUACUUUACCGUAAUUUUAUUUAUGGAUCGGCAGUCCAUGCACAUUCUCUAUGUCCCAUACUUCUUCGGUAUAAGCAACACCAGGAUCACGUAUGGACUCAUGCUUUCCUUGAUGUAUCCUUUAUUGAGGAGGUCCUCAACUUGCCGUUGGAGUUCCUUUGUAUCCGUGGGGUUGCUCCUAUAAGCUGGCUUGUUUGGUAAUUGCGACGUUAUAACAAAGUUGAUUUGGUGCUCAAUUCCUCAAAGUGGAUGAAGUCCUUGUGGCAACUCACUUACAAAUACAUCAUCAAAUUCCUGCAAAACAUUAGAAAUAAAAAAACAGGAUAGGGGAAGUGGGCGGGUUAGAAUUUAAAACAUUAGCCAAAAGUAGCAUAGGAGUAGUAUUAUCAUACUCUUUGAAGAGGUCCCCCUUUCAAUCCUACAUUACCAUCGAAUCCCUACACCUCAAUGCCAAAACUCCCUUCUUACUCUCACCCUUCCUCAUCUCAAGUUCCUCCUCCUUACCCAUGGGUUCCUUCUCCCUUUUUCCCUUUCCUUGCAAACUCUUCAUUUGUCGAUGUGCCUCGCACACUUGUGAUGGUGAUAAUGGUCGGAGGCUAUACUUCUGACCCUUGAACUCAAAGGAAUAUUAUUUGGUUCAGCCAUCAUUCUUGGUUGACCUAUCAUAUUGCCAUGGCCGACCCAACAAAAGAUUACAAGCUUGCAUAGGAAUGAUGUCGCAAAGUACCUCAUCCUCAUAAUUUCCAAUUUUGAACUGAAUCACCAAUUGAUGGUCCACCUUUAAUUCUCCACAAUCAUUCAACCAUUGGAGUCUAUACGGACUCUCAUGUGGAUUAUUCGGCAAUUUCAAGUGAUCCACCAUCGAGGCACUAGCUACAUUAGCACAACUUCCGCUAUUAAUAAUCAAGGAGCACACACUCCCCUUAAUGAGGCACUUAGUGUGAAAGAGGUUUUUCCGUUGGCUAGGAUCAUCCAAUGCUUUGCUAAUCAUAACUCUCCGUACCACAUAAUUAGGUACUUCAAGUUCACCUUCUUGAGGACAAACCUCCUCUUUAUCAUAAUCACUAGGCCUCUCGGCCUUCCCUCUCUCUCUAUCUUGAGAUACUUCCUCAUUUUCAACCAUUUCAAGUCCCAAUUCUUCUCCCAAUAAAUACAAUUUCCCUUUACUCUAUCAUAUUUCUCUAAUUAGGACACUCAUUAGCCUUGUGUCCCCAUCCAUGGCAUUUGAAGCAUUGGAAUCCCUUGACAUUGGAAGAAAUAUUCGGUUUGCCCUCAAACCGUAGAGGAGGUGGUUGAGCACUCUUGCUCAUGGAUGGAGGGGUAUUGACUGGUUGUUGCUUGAAUUUGUUCCACCCUAAAGACGAUGGAACCACUUCUUUCCCAUUGUUCCAACCCGAGGACCCUUGGUAGGCAUUGAUUUUGUAUACCGACCUUUCCGUGUUCUCUCAUUCAAUCUCUAAAGCCACUUUAAAAUCCCUUCAAUAGUUUCAAACUUAUGAAGUGUCAUGUACGUAGAGAUUUCCUUGUUUAGGCCGACCUUGAUCAGAUGAUGUCGCUACUCACUUGCUCUCCUCCAUGAUCAGUUUUCAAGAUAAGUUUUUGAAACUCAUCACAGUAGGCUGCCACACUUUUGUUUCCUUGCUUCAAGUUGUACAAUUUUGCAAGAAGUUCAUGUUGAUAUCUUUCUGGAAGGUACCUUUGCCUCAUAAGAUACCUUAACCAAAACCAAGGAGGGGAUUUCCCCUCAAUGAAUACAUUACCAAAAUGUUUGACAUACUCCCACCACGUGGUAGCAUAUCCCUCAACAUGAGCAAUGGCAUAGCAGCUCUUCUUCUCAUCCGUGAGAUCAUUCACUUGAAAGACUCUCUGCCAUGUGGAUUCCCAUGCGAGAAACUCUUCCGAAUCACUUGCUCCCUUAAAGAUUGGGAGCACCAUUUUUAUGGUGUUGAGGCCAACAUUCCUUUCCUGAGCACCUUGGCUGCCUCUACCUUCAAGCCCUUAGUUCUCCGUAUUCUCUACCCUUCUACCUCUCGUCCUAUCUUCCAUCAAAUAAGAAUCAUCGUACAUUCCAUACCCUCCCCUUCGGUUCUCCCUCACAAAUCCCUCUUCUCACAUUGGUGGGUUUUGGACAUUUGGAAUUUGGUAUGGCAAAUUGGCAUUUAGUGGUGUAGGUCUUUGGAUUGGUUGAUUUUGGUUUGGAGAAGUUGGAUAUAAGGGUGGAAUUUGGGUUCCAAAUCCAUCAUGUGGGACUUGGGGAUGUGGAGAAUGGCUAGGUCCUUCAACGCUUCGGCCUUGUGAAUAAUAGUUGGCUUGAGGUAUGGCAUUUGGUAGGUACAUUCUUUGGUGUGUGUCUUUGGGGGUAAUGGUUGGGGAUGUGUUUUGGGGAGUUGAGGGUCGAGAACACCAUUGACUAUCUACCCUUUCCAUUCGCCACUAAUAGAGGCCACUUCCACUCCCAACUUCUCAACCGUAGCAUUCACUCUAGCCACAUCCCGAGAUAAGGACUCAAGACUAGAUACAAGGGAAUUCAUAACAUUAUGAUCCACAUUUUGUGCAUUGGACGUUUUAGGUUCCAUGUGUGGUGGUUCCAUUUGUAAAUGUACCUACAAAACGAGCAAACGUUAGCUGAAAAUACUCUCACACACUUUUUUUACUCGGCUUACCCACUUGGCCCUUCAAAUGUUGUAAGCCGGCUAUCAAUCCUUGAGUACUUAGGAAUACGUCUACUCUUGAGUUAGAAUGGAUUUCAGUUUUCAAGACUCAAGGAAGUUUCGUACGCACUUGAACCAAGAACAACUACGAAUUGUAAACGAGCAAAGCACCACAAAGAACGUUGACACGAAAGACGUUCUCGAUAACUAGUUCACAACUUAGUAGGUUGUUAUUUAGUUGCCAACUAGUAUAGGAGACAAAUAGAAAGAAACUAGUAGAGACAAGUAAAGAAACUUAGAAGGUCCUAUGACUUAAGUUUUGUUGUUGAUGUGGCCCACACUUUUUAUUUUUGUCCGUUAGUGUUGUUGUUUUGUUGAAGUUUGAUGUUGUCCAACUUAAAUGAUUCAAUUUUGUUGAUUUGGUGAGGCUUUUUUGAUUUUUGGAGUGAAAAGGAAAGACUUGGAACUCUCUUUCCAAAGGUCAAGGUGUCAAUCAACUUUCCACCAACUUGCACCAAAAUGGCAAAACACCUUUUUGGCUUUGGUUUGUUCCUUUCCUGUUUUGAUUCUUUUUUAAAAAAGGUUUGACCUUUUGGUAAGUAAGCUUUUUUUGAGGUACCUUGUCUAUUUUCCUCUUUGUUGUUGGCUUGAAACUACUUCCAAGACAAACACAAGACUUUCACCUCUCUCUUCCUCUUUCAAAUCAAACGCACCUUUUGUUGAACAUUCACCCCAAGAACAUCAUCAGCAACAAUAAGAACACUUUAGAACAACAACAAUAUUCAAGCUGUCUAACCUUCAACAACACUAAAAAAGGCUAAAUUCUUGGACCUUAGAAUCAAGUGUGCUAGGUAAACAACAAAAUAACACACAAAACUACUAAGACAAGCAAAAUAACACCUAAAUCUAGACACUUCUCGGCCAACACAAGUCACCAGAUAACACCCACUUUUUUUUUCCAACUAGAAGAGCCCAAGAUUGGUGGUGUAAGAACAUGACCAGCCUUCGCUCUGAUACCAAAUGAUACCAAACGGUAUUUACAAGAUCACAAAAUAGUCCACAAACUCACAAAGAACAGUCCACGCGUACAAGACAUCAAACAAGAACAACAAACACACUAACUUGAAAAAUAAGGAGAUAAAUAACUUGACACAAAGAAAACUUAUUAGGUAGAAACUAAAGAGUGUAUCAAACUCUAAAACCUCUACAAAAUAAGUUAAGAAGCACCAAGUUCUUACGGGAACACAAGAGGAACACGGUUCUCUCAAGCACUCCUGUUUUUAGCCAUUUCACAACACAAGUGGAACCUUUCACUUGUGAAAUUCAAAUAUUUGGUGGUCUACUCUCUUCUUGGGAGGAUAUAUGAUGUUCAAUAUUACCAGUUUUUCAAGAAUUAACUAACUCAGGAACCAAUCUAAAGAAACACCUUAAAUAGUCUUUACAGAAAGGAUGGCAAAAGGACACCUUUUCCCUUAAUGAAGGGGAGGCGGGUGUGGGCUGUUUGGGGCAGCCUUGGGGUGUAUUUUUGAGAACCUAAGGUCAGCCCCCACAUGUCAACACUUACACUCCCUUGGGCGAGUUCGUAACAAGCUCAACCACAUCCAUUUUCAUAAACACGCCUAGUCUUUGUAGUUCACGAGCUUGACUUCUAGUAAAUGGUCUCAAGCUUGUGAUACCCGUAUCAAGUUAGGGGUAGAAUUCCUGUAUUGUAGAAAGGAAGCGUUAGCCCUAUUCAAGAUGAUUGUUAGCAAACAACAAGUGAUCAUGAAAGAACCAUUGACAAGAAUCAUGAAAACUCCAAAAAUUAAAGGUUCACAGAAGCUAAAAGGACUAGCCAUUGACAUUAAGUUCCAAAGUACAGGGGCAAGAACUAAUGGAAAUUCUAUUGUACUAUGUUGGAGAUCAUAAUAAUUUCUUGGAAUGUGAGGGGGUUAAAUUGUAGAGAUAAAAAGAGGGUAAUAAAUAUUUUAAUUCAAAAGUGAAAGAAGAUGUCAUUUGACUCUAGAAAACUAAAUUGGAGGGAGAUAUAGGGAAUUUAGUUCAUCAGACAUGGGAAAUAGGGGGGUUAUAUAUAGAUAGCUGGAGUCAAGUGGUACUAGGGGUGGUGUAUUGAUAUUAUGGGAUAGCAAGGUUUGGGAAGGGGAAAUUAUGGAAAUUGACUCUUAUGCUUUGACGUGUAGCUUCAAGUCCAAGACCAAUGAUUUUGGCUGGCACAUGAAAGGGGUUUAUGCACCAACCUACAAUAGGAAAGACAAGAAGCACAGUAGGAAAUAAGAGCUAGUAGGGGUCUAUUCACAGGGCCAUGGGUAGUUGGGGGAGAUUUCAACAUAGUCAUAUAUGCUUUUGGAUACAUGACUAAGUUCUCUGAUUUUAUUGAGGAUAUGGAGUUGAUUGAUCCAAAAUUGCAUGGGAGAAAUUAUACCUGGACCAGAGGGAACAAUCUGAAAACCUCCUCCAGAAUUGACAGGAUUUUAUACUUUGACGAGUGGGGAGAAAUUUUUUAAAAUGUCAAUCAAGAGAUUCUCGCCUGUAGUUCGAGUGGCAGUUGAGAGUAUACAAAAUCCUAUUUCAAGUUUAAAGCAUUGUGGCUGGAAACUAAAGGCCUCAAUGACAAAGUAAAGGUUUGGUGCGGCUCUUUUGAAAUAGUAGGCAAGCCUGACUUUAUCCUUGCAACAAAAUUAAAAGCUCUGAAGACCAAGUUGAAAGAAUGGAGUUCAAGUAAUUUUGGGAGCUUAGAGAAAAAAAAAGAUUUAAUCCUGAGCUAGAUUGCAGUUAUCGAUAGUAUUCAACAGACCAGAUCCUUAGGCCAUCCAAAGAGUUGAUCUAUACAUGAAAUUUGAGGAUUUUUCAAAAAAGAAGAGAUAGAACAAAGGCAAAUGUCAAGAACAUUGUAGAUCAAACAGGGAGAUAAAAAUACAAAGUUUUUCCAUAUACUUGCCAAUGCUCACAAGAGGAAUAAUCAUAUUGAUCAGCUGCUAGUGGAAGGAGAAGUAAUUAAGGAGGCAAAGACUAUCAAAAAAGAGAUCAUAUCCUUCCUUCAGAAAAUUUAUUCUGAAACUAAGAAGUGGAAACCCUUGUAUAACACAAACCAAUGUCCCAGUAUCAACAUAGAAGACCAACAGGAACUGCAAAGACCUUUCAAGGAAAAAAAAGUUUUGGAAGGGCUUAAGUCAUGUGCAGUAGAUAAAGCUCUCCAGACCCAAAUGGAUACACUAUGGGAUUCUUUGUCCAAUAUUGGGAGGUCCUAAAGGGUGAUGUGAUGGCUACAAUACAGAACUUUCAUUCUUAGGAAGUUUUUGAGAAGAGUUUCAGUGCAACUUAUAUGGCCCUUAUUCCUAAAAAAAAUGGGGCAAAGGAAUUAAGAGACUUCAGACCUAUCACCUUGAUGGAGAGCAUAUACACAAUAAUAUCCAAGAUUCUCACAGAAAGCUGAAGAAAAUGAUGCAUAAACUAGUGGAUACACAAUGAUAACAUUUUCCAAAGGCAUACAGGUUACUGAUGCAGUUUUGAUUGCUAAUGAAUGUAUAGGUUCCAGACAUAAAGAUAAGACUCAAGGGAUCAUAUGAAAAUUGGAUAUUGAAAAGGUAUAUGACCACGUAACUAGAAAUUUUUACUUGGAAUUCUGCAGAGAUGAGGUUUGGUGGGAAGUCAAUUAGGUAGAUGAUAUUUUGUAUUCACACUGUCAGAUUCUCGAUGUUGAUAAAUGGUUCACCUGAAGGUUUUUACCUUCACAAAGAGGUUUGAGAUAAGGUGAUCCAUUGUCACCUUUUAUUUUUAUUCUGUUAAUAGAGGGACUUAACAAUAUGGUGAAGAUUGCGCACCACAAUGGGUGGAUAAGGGCUUCAAUGUAGCAAAGGGACAAAAUGAGGAAGUGUAAAUAAUGCACCUUCAAUAUGCAUACGAUACUCUCAUUUUCUGUGAUACAGAGGAGAGCCAGUUGAAGUAUUUGAGGACUAUCCUUAUUCUGUUUGAGGCCACUUCAGGUCUCUACAUUAAUCGGAAAAAAACAACCAUAUUUUUCCAAUCAAUGAGGUGACAAGGAUUCAAAUUUUGGUUGAUACUUGGGCAGUGAGAUAGAUAAGAUCCCAACAGUUCCCUUAGGUAUGCCCUUAGGAUCAAAAAGUAAAUCCAAGAUGAUUUGGAAUGUUGUUCUGGAAAGAUGUGAAAGGAGAUUAACUAGAUGGAAAACUCAUUACUUAUCAAUGGGAGGAAGAUUUGUGUUGAUCAACUCUGUCUUAGAUGCUAUACCUACCUAUUUGAUGUCAUUAUUUUCUCUUCCUAACAAUAUGGAAGAAAUAAUUAAUUCUCUUAGAAGAAACUUUUUGUGGCAUGGCAACAAGGAGAAAAAAGGUUACCAUUUGGUCAAAUGGAAAACCUUAUUGUUCGACAAGAAUCAUUGAGAUUUGGGUUUCAGAAUUCUGAGAAAGCAAAUCAGAAGUCUUUUAAUGAAAUGGCUUUGGAGACUACCCAAGGAAAAACAAACUUCAUGGGGCACUGUGAUUACAACAAAGUAUGAAAAUGAUGGGUUUUGGAAGACUAAAGAAGUGAACACUUAUGGAACCAACUUGUGGAGAUACAUUAGGAUCUUAUGGCGUGGAUUCUCUAAAAGAAUUGAUUUUAAUGUGAAAGAUGGCAAGAGGAUUCUAUUCAGGGAGGAAAAACGGUUAGGGAGUGGUACUCUAAAGGCAAUGUUUCCUAACAUUUUCUUACUAAACCAGCAGCAAGGAUCUACUCUAAAUGAAGUAUGGUCUAAUCAAGGUGGUAACUUAAACCUAAAGCAGACUGAUGCAAGACUAGGAAAUUGAAAGAUGGGCCAGCAUUUACGGCACGUUAGACCAGUGCAAAAGCUACAUAUAGGGAAAAACACCUUACGAUGGAAAUGUCACAGUAAGGGCAUUUUCACUGUAAGUUCUGCAUACAAGGACAUGAACUAGAUGGGUUCUCAGAUUAAUUUUAUACCCAGGAAACUUAUAUGGAAAACCAAAAUUCCACACAAAGUAGUUAUUUUUACUUGGCUGGUUGUGAAAGAAGCUGCUUUAUCACAAGAGAACCUACAGAAGAGGGGCAUACAUUUGUGCUCCCGAUUUUUUUUUUUUUUGUGAAAAAAACGCAGAGACAAUUAACCAUCUUUUCUUUCAUUGUAAAGCGGUGAGCCAGCAGGCAUUAGAUGGACCAUGCCAGGAAGAACAGACGAGGCAUUAUUAAGAUAGAAUACCAAGGGGGAAGGCAGCACCAACAAAACCAGAUGGAGAAUUGUCCCAGCAGUAAUAUGGUGGACAGUAUGGGAGGAGAGAAAUUCUAGGAGCUUUGAAGACAACAGUAGCUCUAUACAAAAGUUAAAAAUGAAUUGCAUUAUAAGUAUUUGCUAUUAGUGUAGUUCAGAGUAUAUAGAUGAUCCAAUUUCUAUAGUAGACAUCUUAGGAUACUUGUAAGAAGAGAUAGGAUCUAGAGGAAGUGUAUGUUUUUACUCUUUUGACUGUUGGAUCAUUGAUGUAAAUUUUGGCUUCCUGCAUGUGCUGGUGAUUUACACACAAAAUCUAUUGCCUUCUAAAAAAAGCAAGGAUAAAAUGUUCUCAGUUAAGAAUAGCUAAAAUUUGUUGCUAGACCUUAGGGUCAGGGAACCUAAUUGAACCCUGAACCCUAAGAUUAUUAUUAAAACUAUAGCUCACGUUGAAGCUGUCUGUUUUGGAUGGAUUAUCACUUGGGAGGCUUUGUUUAACUCAGAAUAAUCCAUAGAAGAGAGGUUCUGCGCCUGUGUGAAGAAGAUCUGUUCUUGGAAUAUUUGUUCUUGGAUUGCAAUCUCCAAGAACACUGAGAGUUGCUUCUUAAUGCGACUGGUGUUUCAGGUUAAGUUGUGCCAACUCUUCAUUUUUUAUGCCGCACCCGUGUCGGAUUCUUCAAAAAUACACUAAUUUUGACGAAUCCGAUACGCACCCAUAGACAUUUUUGACGAGUCUGAGCAACAUAGGUUUUAGGGAUAAUGCCUCUAAAGAUAUCAAGAGGUUUUCUGGAAAGCUAGCUAAGUCAAAGGAUGUCUAAAAGCUUGAAGCAGAUUUGGAGAACAAUUUUCAUGUGCAUUUUCUGGACUAAAUGGCUGGAAAGAACAAGGGUUGAUUUGAAGGAAAAAGGAUGCAUAUUUCUAGAAUUAAAAUACUUGUUUGCAUAAUUUAUAUUUUUGGCGUAACAGUAAUAUAUUAGAUAGUCUAGGGAUGUUGUUGUUUCAUGUACUUUUCUGUAGCAACAAGGUACUAAGUUAAUAAAACUGGUCCUCAUCAAAAAAAGUGUACAGUUGUUCGAAUUUGAGUGCAGAUCUGGAGGUUGGAUUCAUCAUCAAAUAAAUAUUAGGAUUCCAGACUACAGGGGUGCUGGUAUACCGCCAAUUACUGUCACAUAUAUAUGUAUAAUAUAUUUCUAUUUUUAAAGUUAUUGGACUAAAACUAAUACAAUUUAAUUCUUUAUAAACACCUAAUAUUCUACUCACAAGAUAUCUUUUGUAAUAAAGAAGUGCUCGGAUGCUUUAUCUACUUAUAUAUAUAUGAUAUAAACCCAAGAAAUAAACAAACUACCCAAUUAUUUUUAUUUUUUCUUGAUCAUAGAUGUAGUCAAAACACUCCAAGUAAGUUGAAAAAAUCCGGUGUGGAUCCCGCAACCACUACCAGAUAAUGCCGGAUCAACAUUGGUUUAGAGGGGAUUUUGAAGGUCCAAGCAACAUAGGUUCCGCCUCAGAAUUCUCAAAUCUUGACUGCAUACAACUUUUCUCCUUAUAUCUCCACGCUUUAGGCAUUGCUGUAUGUGACCCUAUGACUUCUUCUAGUUAAGAUGAAUUAUACUUACUUUACCAUAUUACCAUUGCUUUUAAAUGUGAUAAACCUCAUGCGAUCCUUCGUUCGGAAGGUGUUAGCUAAAACUAAACCAUGCUAUAUAAGCACACGAUAUCAGAUUGAAUUCAUGACAAAUGAGUUAAAACUGAAAUAAACUUGCUUCCAUAAUAUGAUUUAGAUGUUAGAAGUUCAUUUUAAAUUCACUUCAUAAUCCAAAUUGCCUAAUACUAGAAAACACUAGUAUUUAGGCCAAAUUUCAUUUUUUGGGACUUUCAAAAGUGAAAUAUGUUUCCCAAAUAUUAUGGUCAAACACAUGGUGAAACUUCAUCCAAAUCUUCACAUCUAUGUCCAAAAGCUAGCUAAGGAAAUGGCUAAAAUACAUGAUUGGGGAAAAGGGAAAAAGCGAGGAGCUAAAGAGAUAGUAAGGCUUGUUUAAUGUUAAGAAAAGUAAGAGCAUGUGUUUGACGUAAGAAGUGUACUCAGACACCAAAACAAAAUCAGCAAGUUUUUAAUGAGUCAAUGCACUAGACUCAUAAUAAAACCAACUCAAUUACCAUCAUAAGUAAAACCUCAUGUUACUCACGGUCUCAAUCUUCUUCAACACCGAAACCCCUGUGUCCAUAUCAUAAUCAUAUACAGAAGGUGGGGUUCUCAUUGAGCUAUAAGAAAACCUGAGUACACUGGAUUCAAAUUCUGAUUCUAACGGAUCCACUGAGUAGACAGGAUCGACAAAAUAAACAGCACGACCACCUUGAAGUCUUUCUAGUGGCUCUCCAACAGCAGGAAGACGAUAUACAGUUAUUCUGGGUAGACCAUUUUCACGUUCAUGAACAGCAAGAUGAUCAGUAAAAAGUUGUUUGUCCUGGAGCUUGACACGGCACAAAAACCAAAUUUAAUGAGCCAUAAUCAUGAAAUAGCUCCAUAAUAUUUCGUACUCACAAAAUAGAUUAGAAGAGGAAUAGCUCUCUAAAUCCCUUUGCUCAUUUCUUAUAGUUUUUCCAAAAAUUCACAGGACUUUACACAGGUAUAGUUAAGUUGGGGAAAAUUUAAGUUCAAGAGAUAUCAAAAGACUUUUGGGGUGUUUUGGUUAGUCGGGACUGUGGCUAAAUUAGGCAUCAGGUUGUAACGAUGAAAAGGUAGAUAGAACUAUCGAAUGAAAAACCUCUUGAGAUUGCUAGCAAACUGAAGGUACAUGAUGAUACUUUAGCUCCAAGACCUUAUUCCAUACCAUGAGGAAAACAAGGAAAGCAAUUAGCUUAUGCACCGCUUCUAAAGGUUAUAAUUACAAUAUUAUAGAUAGUGUGAGAAGGAAGAGAAAUUGAGAGAAAACACUGCUUGAUUAUUCCCUCAAUCGAUUGGGGUUUAACCAGCUAUGUUUGCAUUUCUAAGAAAGGAAAGAGAAUUGAAAUACAUAAUCACAGGAGAAAUCAAGAAUCGAGCUAUAAUAUAUUUACGAGAUCCUAGGGUGUGGCCUACUGGUCAAUUAAGUGGGUUAAACACCUGAGAUAAUAGUGCAAAUCCCAGUAGAGGAAACAAAUAUUAGGUAGCUUCUAACCAUUUUUGUCACACCCCGUACUUUCGAUCUAGAAUUAGACCGUCGUUCCUACGAGUAAAGAGCCGAACUAAGUGAUUUCAUGUUAAUAUAUCUGUGGUGAUCACUCCUAUAGUGUGGGCAUACCUUUGAAUAUGAAUUGAGGUCACAAGAAUUCCCUAAGUCUAAGAUGAGUUGAAAACAUUUCUAUCGAUUAAGUUUUAGUGGACGUUUCAACGUGGGUCAACUUCCAUCGACUAUUAAUCCUAGAAUAUGACGAGUUAUAGGGCCUACUAUAUGUCAAAUGAAAGUUCUUUGAGUCUUCUUUCCAAUGAUACUAAUUUCGCGUCAAUCCGAUACCGAAGCGAAAAGUUAUGACUUUGCAAAGUGGAGUGUGUCGCCUAGCAAUCGCCUAAGGCUACUGGAAAUGUUAUGCCACGGAAAAUGUGCUGUCCAGCCUAGCUUAGGUGAUGGAAAAUAUGACGCCCAGACUAUUUUAGGUGAUGGGCAAUGCACGGCACAGACUAGCUUAGGCUAUAGGCAAUGCCCCGCAUGCCCUAUGGCCCAAUGGCGUAAAUACUUCGUUUUAAAGUCAUUUUAAGGGCAACAAAGUCUUUUUACAUUCCAAAACCAUCCCUAAUCAUCCUUACAUAAAUUAAGGUUAUUAGUAACAUUUUAAAUCUCUUAAAAUUCCUAAUCCAUCUUCCAAGAACACCAUAAGAGAAAAAAAAAAUAACUUAGGGCAAAUAUUCAAGCUCAAGGGAUCAACUUUUCCGCGAAUUCUUCAUUGAUUAAGGUACGUGGGACUAUCCUAAACCUCAUGGGCAUGGAUUUAGUUGUUUCAAACAAGAUAUAUAUAUAUAUACAUACAUACAUACAUAUAUAUAUAUACAUACAUACAUAUAUAUAUGCAUCUGAAAUUGGUUUUAAAGGUAUUGAUGAACAAGUAUUGAAAAUCCCUUAUAUUGAUGAAAUUUUGUAGAACUUGUGGUAUGAAACCCUAAGGCUGAGAUCAUGUAAUACCAAAAUUGUAAAGAUAAAUGAGAGCAUGACGAUGCAAAUCCCUCUAUUACUUUGAAAUCCAUUGUUUUCACAAGUUGUGGCUUUGAUUUUACAGAUUGCUAAAAGCUUGAGUUGAAGGGUUACUAACACAUGUACAUAGUUCAGUUUUGAUUGAUUAAAUGAGAGGGUGUUUUACUUGGUUUAUAAGCAUUCAUGUUUCCAAUUGAAUGUUAGCAAAUGUUUAAUAAAAGAAGAUGACCACUGCAGAGAAAGUGUUCAAGAGAGAAUGUUUUGUUUUCAUAUGCUUUCAAGUAUGAAUUUAUGCAUGAUUUUUAAAUAUUUUGGGUGGUAAAUGAUAUCUUUUGAAAUAAGAAAAAGGGCAGUAGACAUGUUGUAACAUGACUUGUAAGUCUGGGUAUGAUGAUACCCUAUUUUGAUGUGCCUCAAUGAUAUUAAGAAAGAAAGAACUUUUCAAAGAAGCUAUUGUUUAAAGAAUCUAAAACUGAGCUUAAGAGAGUUAGAUGGUUACCCCAAGAAUGCAAGAGUCAAAUGACUCAUUGUCGAAAACCGUAAUUUUUCGACACGGAUUUAUGAUACUCGAAAGAGAAGUUGUAUGCUGGCGAUGGCCCAAUGGCGUAGUAGAGAAGCAGAAACUCCAACCCUUGCGUCAAAAUUGGGUUGGGGACUUACCCGCCGAGUCAAUGGCGGAUUCCAUAUAGCUCAGAAGUAAGACAAAGAAUAAGUUAUGAUUUCAAAGAAUUGUUCAAAGUCUUUUAAAGUAUGUCCAUGUGUUUUCAUAUAUUAUAUCUAAAAUGUUUUAUGAAUUGCUGUCACUUAUGUUAAAUAUAGAUACAUUAUUUUGGAUUUCUCUACGUACCAGUACAUUUGUAUUGACCGCCCUAUAUUUCAGGAUCUGAGGCUCAGUCUCGAGGUCCCGCUAAGUAGUAGAUCAUUGUUAGAUGAUUGGAGUUGGUGAGCCUCCCUUAAUUCGGAAGGCCUUGUCUUAUGUGAUAAUUUUCAUUAUUUUUAGUUCAUGUUCUGACUGGGGGCCUUGUCCUGAUUUUAGACAGAAGUUGUUGCCAUGUUGUUAGAGAUUUUGUAGACUGGUGUCAUGUAUUUUGAAUGUUAUGAGUCUCAAUUCAUAUUGUUCAGUUGAAUUUUAAAAGUGACCAUGUUUCAGUUUAUUAAUCUUCCGCAUUCUUUUUACAUUGUGUAUGAUUGGUAGAUAAAAUAGGGGCGCUCGAGACUUCAUGGUUUAAGAUGCCCAUCAUGGCCAGGGUCUCGGCUUGGGUCGUGAUAAUUUUUCUAACUUUGGCCAACACAGUUACCAGGAACCUGUGUUAGUGGGAGGAAGUAUGAAUGUUGUGGAAUUAGUCUAGGUGCAUACAAUAAAUCCCGAUGAUUAUUAUUUUUUUAAAAAAAACAUGUGGUAUUCUAACAACUCACCCUCAAUUUUUUAUCAGGUAAACGUGUUUUCAUUUAGAAACAUGGCCAAAAAAAUUGGUUGUAUACAAUGGGUAUACCAAAAGGCAAGAAUAUAUGAUUCUAUACAAACUCCACCCAAUCUCCCAUACAACUUGGAAUCCUAUGGGUGCACUAAAAAAAUACGAAACCGGAGGCUACUCCUCAACUGAGAAAUUCUAUCUUCUACCCCCUCAAAAGCUCUCCUAUUUCUCUCUCUCCAUACCACCCACAACAACGCGAGAGGAACCACAUUCCAUGCCCUGUGUCUUCUCCUCCUCCUGUACCUGCAGCAAGAAAUCAAUUCUUUCAUAGUUUUUGGCAUUGCUAUGAAGUAUCAAACCACGUAAACAUAUCCCACCAUAACCUUAAUGGUAAAAUCACAAUAAAGAAGAAGAUGGUUGUAACACCUCGAAUCUGGUACCCAAAACGCUACACGAUGCUCAUGACCACGAAGGACCACAAGCUAACCCAUGACUGAUAUCUGUACCUGAGACUGCAUAAUAUACUAUAUGAAUAAGGAAUAAAAGGCUGAAAGGCCAUAAGGUUCAAACAUCUGAUAAAACAUAACAUCUUAAAAAUACAGUAUUUUCAUACCAAAACUGAAAUAACUAUAUAAACAUGCUAGUCUGAAAGCCUCUAAACUGUCUGAAUAAGGAGUUGAUGGGACAUUUCCCCAAAUAACUCCAUUUACUAAAAUAAAUUAAUUAAUGAAAUAAUAAAGUAAUGAUAAUGUCCUCGAAGGAUGAGGACUCACUACUAAAUUUGGUUGACGAAAUCUGGAAUGCUACUGAGGCUCUGGAGCUCGUGCUUCUGAACCUGUGGUAUAACACCAUAGUGCAAAUGUAUCAGUAUGAUUGAAUGUACUGGUAUGAAAGUGAGGUAGGCUGAAUGCAAGGGGUUUAUAUGUAUUAACAGUACUAACUGACUGAAUAUCAUGAACGUGAGAAUGCAUGCAUGAACACGUGAACUGUGACUGAGAUCAUGACAUCACUGGAUCUGAAUACUGAUAACAUAAGUUUCAUAUUUCUGAUAUCUAUUAUUUAAAUGACUAUGUCUAAUAGUCCUGUUGUAGAUGGAACUAGUUGAGUUUCAUACUAAACUAGGUGACUGUAUCUGACAGUCCUAAAUUUUGUAGAACUAUCUUAGUUUUAUUACUGAGACUGAGAUUGUAACUAUAGGAAGUAGUCAUCUAACAGACAUGCCCCAAAUAAAGAAAUAUAGCAGAGUUGGGGUCCAAUCUGUAACCCUAAUUGGAAGGGUGUCAAUACUGUGCCACUGGUAAGGCAAGCUGUAAGUAAUCCCUCAUCUAAUAGGUUACUCUAAGGAGAAUAGUGGGACCCUCAUCUAAUCGGUUAAACCACCUCAUCAACCCUCAUCUAACAGGUUAGAUGUAUCAACCUAUGCUAGCUACGUAGUUCUGGAGUACAAGGAUUGCUUCUAAGAAUCCCACCCUCUACUCGCAGGUGAGUUCCCAUCCUUGGGCUCACUCAGUGCUGAAUCCUACACCCAUCUGAUUAGACACUGAAUUAAUUAUACUGAACUGAUUGGACUGAGUUUACUAAGUUUUCCUGAGUCAUGAGAUUGACUGAAUUCUACUAAACAUGAACUAUCCAUUGAACAAUUUCAAUGCAUAACAAUAACAUGAAAGUUAUUUUGAACAUAAUGGUAAAGCAUAGGUUCAUCAAUUUGGUCAUAAUUGAGUCCUAAAGCAUAAGUCUUGUUCUUUAGGCAUUUUAUCAAACACAUUGCAUGCAUAUACUUACGCUUAGGCAUGACUAUUGAAAUAGUACAUAAUGGCAACAUUUUAUACUUCCAAUGCAAGAACUUAAGCCACAUGCUAACAUACUUUCAUGAUAAUCAUGAAAUACUUCAACUGGGAAAUCAAACAACAACAUAAACAUGGAUAUAUUUCAACUCAUACCAUGAAAUCCAAAGUUUAUAUUUCAAAUAAGGUUUCUUAUGCUUCAUGGGUUCCUACCUGGGUGGAUGAUUUCUUGAAUAUUGGUGGAGGAAAGCUUGAAUUUUUGACGUGGUAUUAAGCACCUUGGGUGAUCUUCGAGGGAAACACUAAUUGGAUAAUGUGAAUAAAUAAUUGAGUUAUGAUCUAUGGUCUGGUAUAAUUAGGGGUUAAAACAGGUGGGAAAAGACCCAAAUACCCCUUAAAAAUGGCUUAAAAUUUUCUGAAUAGGAUCUGCAAUGGCUCAUGCUAUGGUCCAUCGCUGGCUCGAUGGUCUGUCGCUGGCUCGACGGUCCAUCGGCCUGACCAUUGCACUUGGACCAGAAUAAGGACUUACUUCCUUAGUAUCGAUAGCUUGGGCAAUAGUUCGUCGUAAGCUUAACGGUCCAUUAAUCCAUCCAUCGUACCUUUGCCAGAAGAUUGACUUAGUACCUCGCCUGCGAAGGUUUGGGCGACGGUCCAUCGGCCUAACCGUCGUUUAUGAGGAGUUCCAAUAGUUCUUUGUAAAACAGACAUAACUUUUUACUCCGAUACCGGAUUUAGACAAAACUGGUAUCGUUAGAAAGCUAAUUCAAUUUUUCACAUGAUAAAAAGUCAAAAUUUUUGAAAUUCUAUCUGAUUUAAAUAUUAAUUAUUUAGGAAGUCAUCUCUAAAUCUUUUAGAAACUUGAUUUGACUUAAAGAAAGUUUGGAGUAUUACAAUAUCUCCCCCGUGGAAACAUUCAUCCUCGAAUGAGACUGACUGAGAGAGGGGGGAAAUGGUAGAUUGAAGCACAUCCUGAACAUGAAUGACUAAAACAUGACUCCAUGCCUAACAUGACUGAUAAGCUAAAUAUAUAUCAUACUGAACAUGCAUAUCUAAUGCAUGAGUAACUAAUUCAUGAAUGCAUGACUAAGUGUUCUGAGGAACUAAGUUUCUCACAAUGAGAAUGCAUAUCUGAUGCAUAAUUACUUGACUAAACUGAUACAUGAAUACAUAACUGAAUAUGAAAUGGUAUUUAAUACCAAGUUUAUAAUGGAAUUCUGAACAUAAAAUGGAUACGAAACUUGUAGCUGAAACCUGAACAUGCAACUAAAAAUCUUAAGGAGAACUAUUACCUUGAGCUAGAUCUGAGUUAGCGAAGAAAAGGUGAGGAUAAUUGGUAUGCAUGUCUGCUUCUGCUUCCCAAGUAGCUCCCUCAAUGGACUGAUUCUGCCAAAGAACUUUGACUAGAGAGACUUCUUUGUUCCUCAGUCUACGCAUCUGGUAGUCAAGAAUUUCGGCUGGAAUCUCUUUAUAAGAGAGGUUGUUUUAAACAUCUAUACUCUGAAUAGGGACUACAACUGCCGGGUCACCUAUGCACUUUGUAACGCCUCGAUUUUUCUGAGUUGAAAUGCUACACGGUGCCCAUAACCCCGAAGGACCACAAGCUAACCCAUGACUGAUAUCUGUACCUAACACUACAUAAUAUUCUGUAUAAAUGUGGACACAUUUACUGAAAGGCCAUAAGGUUCAAACUGGAUAAAUAGUUGAUAAAACAAUGUCUAAAAGUGGUAUAACAAUACCAAAAAAAUUAAAAUAACUGUCUAACAUGCUAUAGUUUGAAAGCCUCUAAAUUGUCUGAAUAAGGAGUUGAUAGGAUAUAUCCCCAACUAACUUCGACUACUGAAAUAAUCUGAAAACUAAAAUAAUAAUGUAAUCAUCAUGUCCUUGAAGGAUGAGGACUCACUGCUAACUCUGAUCGCUGAACUGGGAAAUACUAGUUCUUUGGAGAUUGUGCUUCUAAACCUAUGGUAUAAAAGACCAUAGUGCAAAUGCGUCAGUACUUUGAAUAUACUGGUAUGCAAGUGAGGUAGGAUGAAUGCAAAUGGUUUAUAUGCAUGAACAAUACUAACUGACUGACUAACAUGAACGUGAAAAUAUAUGCAUGACUACAAAACUGUAACUGAGAUCGUGAUAGGACUAAAUACUGAUUCUACUGAUACUGACCCCUGAGUCACUGAUAAGUGAGAAAGACUGAUACUGUAUUACUGAAUAUUGAGGGACUGAUAGUAUGUUACUGAUACAUGAAUAAUUAUUUCUGAUUGUUCUGAUAAUGAAGAACCGAUUUGGUUGACUAUAUCUGAAAGUCCUGAAGCUGAAUACUGAUAACAUGAGUUUGGAGAACUGAUAUAACUAAUAACAUGAGUGACUAUAUUUGAUAGUCCUAAAUCUGACGGAACUAGAUGAGUUUCGUACUGUAUCUAAAUUUGACUGUAUUAGAUAGUCUUGAACUUUGAAGAACUAUCUGAGUUCUUUUACUGAAACUGAGACUGAGACUGUGACUAAAACUGAGACUGUGACUGUGGGAGGUAAUCAUCUAACUGACAUGCCCCAGAACUGAACUGGUGGGGUCCAACCUAUAACCCCAGCUGGAAGGAUAUCAAUACCGUGCCAUGGGUAAAGACCUGCUGUGAGUAUACCCUCGCUAAUAGGGAGUUCUUCCAUCAACCCCUCCUAGUAGGUUACCCAAAUGAGAUGUAUAUAUAUAUAUAUCACUAAAUACGUAGGGUGCAUCUCAACCUACACUGGCUACGUAGUUCUGAAACUUAGGGAUUGCUUCUAUGGAUCUCAGUCCUAUCUAGUGGGUGAGUCCCCAUCCCUAGGCUCGCUCGGUGCUGAAUCUUACUCCCAUCUGAAAGACACUAAACUAAUUAACUGAGUUGAACUAAUACUAGUGGUAUUAUUUAGCAGAGCUAAACUAAACUGAAUUUACUGAGUUCCAUUGACUGACGAAAUGUACUGAGUUCUGAAGACUGAUUGAUAAGACUAAAGUUACUGAAACUUACUAGGAAUACUGAGAUUACUGAGUACUGAGAUCACUGAGAUUACUGAACUGCUGAGAUUACUUAGAUUACUGAUAUAUUCUGAGUCACAUAACUGACUAAGUUCUAUGAAUCAUAUCUUGACUGAGAGUAUUGUGGAAACAUGACAUGGCUCUAGGCACAUAGCUAAAUUUUAGGGUACUAGUACCCCCAGGACUCGAUGAGAAGAAACUAACAUAGCAUGGCUUACUUGAACACAUGACCAACAACACAAUUCAUAAUUCAUAUAUUGAAUCACUUCAUCAAACAUUUGAUAUGCAUAAGCUUGUACAUACAUGGGGAUUUCAUGAUAUCAUACUAGUUGGCCAUUGUUCCUUCAUCUAGGCAUUUAAUCAAACACAUGGUAGGCAUAACACAUGUAGACAACAUUAUACAAUAAUUAAUCAUCAUGAUUCAUCUCUAAUUUCAUCAUCUAGGUUUUAUUCAUAGAUUCACAUGAAUAUACAUCUAUACAAAUCGAUUCCAUAUAAAUUGAUCACCUAACAUGGAUUUGAAUUCAAUUAAUCAUCCUCAACAAAAACAAAACAAACCCAACAUGAAAUUCAUAAAGAAAUCCAUAGACUUAAACUUAGAAAAGAGAUUCUUGGGCGUCAUGGAUGAAAGGAGUCCAUGAAUGAACACUACGCAUACCUUAGUUUGUGAUUCUAUGAAGAUUGACAGAGAGAUUCUUGAAAUUUGACGGUGAAUUCCCUUGUAAUUGAACUUUCUAUGAAAACCCUAGGGCUUGUUCUUGAGAGUGUUUUAGAGUAAUUGAGUAUAAGCUGCUGAAUUAUGGCCAAAUCUCGUGUUAUAAGGCUUAUAUAGGGUGGGAAAUUGACCCUUUUAACCCUAGUACAAGUAUUUAAUUUUUGAGAAAAUUUCCCAAUUUUCAUGCUUGGCACGACGCGCCACAAUCGCGCUAAGUCACUAGAAUUGGACAAUUGGGAAUCUGCAUGGUGGCUGAUGUGGAUCUAUCGCGUUUCCACCUUGUCUGCGACCUGGAAGUUUGGCGCGACACUCCACUAUCAUGGAGCAACAUUGGAAAUUGACAAUUACCAUUUGAGCUAUCUCCGCGAUGCGCUGAAGGCUCAGGUGAUAAAUUGUCUCACUAAAAAGGCUCUAACUCUUUGCCCAGGUAUCGUAUUUGGGCAAAUUUAGUAUCGAUGGAAAGAUUAUUGAAUUUACCACAUGACAAAAAGUGAAAAUCUUAGAAAUUCCACUUCUAUCAAAGUGGAUUCAUCUUUCAAAGAAAGAUUCUAACAUUCUUGGGGAAAACUUUAAGCUAGGAAAAGUACGGGGUAUUACAUACUUCUUGAGAAAAGAUACAUGAAAUACUAGAUGAACUAAGGCUAGGUUUGAAGGAAAUUUGAGCUCAUAAGAUAUCUUACUGAAGCAGCUGAGAAUUUUGAAGAGACCGACAUAUCGGGGACUGAGCUUUUUUUUUGCCUAAUCUCUUCACUCCCUUCAUAGGAGAGAUCUUUAGAUAGACAUAGUCACCAAUCUUGAACUCAAGAUCCCUUCUGUGCACAUCAGCAUAAGACUUCUAUCGGCUCUGAGUGUCCUGGAGUCUUUCUCUAAUCAACUAGACUUUCUAUAAAGCAUUGAAUACUAAGUCAAGCCCUAUCACUAAGGCCUCACUAACUUCAAACCAACCGACUGGAGAUCUGCAUCUCCUACUAUAAAGAGCUUCAAAUGGAUCCAUCCGAAUGUUGGAAUGAUAAAUAUUAUUUUAUGCAAACUCAAUCAAAGGCAAGUGGUCAUCCCAACUACCCUUGAAAUAAAUUGCACAUGCCCUUAGCAUAUCCUCCAAAGUCUGAAUGGUCCUUUCUACUUAACCAUCUAUUUGAGGAUGAAAGGUUGUACUAAGAUAAACUUGGGUACCAAGACCCUUUUGGAAUGCUUUCCAAAAAUGAGAGGUGAACUGGGUACCUCUGUCUGAUAUAAUAGAUAAUGAAACACCGUGCAAUCUGACCAAAUCUUUAACGUAGAGUUUGGCGUAAUCCUCGGCUAAAUAAGAGGUAUGGACUGAAAGGAAAUGAGAUGAUUUAGUCAUCCUAUCUACAAUGACCAAAACUAAAUCAUACUGGCAACGAGUAUGAGAAAAACCUAUCACAAAGUCCAUGUUCACUUCUUCCCACUUCCAAGUAGGAAUACUAAACUCCUGCAUGGACCCACUAGGCUUCUGAUGCUCUAUCUUAACCUACUAACAUGCAGAGCAUUUAACCACGAACUCUGCAAUAUCUCUCUUUAUCCCACUCCACCAAUAAAUCUCCCACAAAUUAUGGUACAUCUUAGUGUCCCCUGGAUGAAUCGAGUAGCACGCAUCAUGCGCUUCUGCUAGAGUUUGUUGCCUCAAGUAAUCUACACCUGGAAUACAUAGAUGACCCUGACAAUGCAAAUAACCAUCUCCCCCUUGGGAAAAAACCUUUACUUUUUGAUCCUUGACUGACUCUUUCAACUUAACAAGACUGGGAUAUCUAUCUUGCUUUUCUUUCACCUCAGAAACUAGAGAUGAUUUUUAACUAGUCCAAACCCAUAUGUCACCCUCUUCUGUAUCGACUAAGCGAAUACCUAGAAUGACAAGUUGAUGAACUUCCUGAGCUAAAUUCUUUUUACUAUCCUCAACAUGAGCAACACUACCUAUAGAAAGUCUACUGAGAGCGUCGGCCACUAUAUUGGCCUUCAUUGGAUGAUAAAGAACACUCAAGUCAUAAUCUUUCAAGACCUCUAACCACCUUCUCUGACGAAGAUUGAGAUCUUUUUGAGAGAAUACAUACUAAAGAAUUUUAUAGUCUAUGAACACAUCUACAUAAAAUCCAUAUAGAUAAUGCCUCCAAAUCAUCAAGGUAAAGAUUAUGGCUUCUAACUCAAGAUCAUGAGUAGGAUAAUUCUUCUCAUGGGGUUUAAGCUAUCUGGAGGCGUAGGCUAUGACCUUACUAUGCUGUAGGAGAAAAUAACCCAAACCUACUCUGGAUGCAUCAUAAUACACUACGAACCCCUCUAAACCAUCUGGAAGAGACAAAACUGGAGCUGAGGUAAGUCAGGUCUUCAACUCCUGAAAACUCUUCCCAUAAGGAUCUAAUCACUAAAACUUGAUUUUCUUCUGAGUCAAUCUAGACAUAGGGGAUGCAAUAGAAGAAAAUCCCUCAAAAAACCAUCUGUAAUAGCCAGCCAAAACUAAGAAACUCUUGAUAUCUAAUGGAGAUAUAGGGCGAGGCCAGUUUCUUACUGCUUCAAUCUUUUGAGGAUCAACCCUAAUUCCAUCACUGGGAAUAAUAUGACCAAGGAAUGUUGCUGACCUUAGCCAAAACUCGCACUUAUUGAGUUUGGUGAAUAGCUGAUGAUCUCUGAGAUUCUGCAAUACUAUUCUGAGAUGGUCUGCAUGAUCACGCUCACUGCGGGAAUAAACAAGAACAUCAUCUAUGAAGACUAUGACAAACAUGUCCAAGUAUUGCUUGAACACACUGUUCAUCAAGUCCAUGAAAUCUUCUGGGGCAUUGGUAAGACCAAAGGAUAUAACUAAGAAUUCAAAGUAACCAUACCAAGUACGAAAGGUUGUUUUCGAAAUGUCACAUUCUCUGGCCCUGAGCUGAUGAUAGCCUAAUCUGAGGUCUAUCUUAGAGAAAUAGCUGGCACCCUGAAGUUGGUCAAACAAAUCUAUUCUGGGAAGUGGAUAUUUGUUCUUGACUAUGAAUUUAUUAAGCUGACGAUAGUCUAUACAUAUUCUAAGAGAACAGUCUUUCUUGCAUAUGAAUAAGACUGGUGCACCCCAUGGGGACAUACUGGGUCUGAUGAAUCCCUUGUCUAAGAUAUCCUUCAACUGCUCUUUUAAUUCUCUGAGUUUUGGUGGUGCCAUUUUAUAUGGCGAAAUAGAUAUAGGCUGAGUAUCUGGAAGAAUAUCAAUGCCAAAAUCUAUUUCCUGUUCGAGAAGAAUUCCUAGAAGAUCUUCGAGAAAGACAUCUGAAUAUUUAUUCAGGACUGGGACUGAUUCAAGACUGGGAGUUUUAGAACUAGUGUCCUUAACUCGAACAAGAUGACAGACACAUUCUUUAGAUAUUAUUUUCCUUGCCCGAAGGUAGGAAAUAAGCUGACCUCUAAAAGCCAAAAUGCUACCCCUCCACUCUAGGAAAGGUUCAUUUAGAAACUAACACUGGACUAUUCUGUUUCUGUGAUUGACUAUGGCAUAGCAGGAAUAAAGUCAAUCCAUGCUGAGAAUGACAUCAAAAUCAGUCACCUCUAAUUUUACUAAAUCUGCUGAGGUAACUUUCUAAAAUAUCAUAAUCGGACAAUUCCUGUAUACCCAUCGGGCUAUGAUGAGUUUACUCACUGGGGUAGAUACUGAGAAAGGCUUUCCUCAUUCACAAAUUGAAAAGAGAAUUGUGAAUCUCCUACCUAAGAGAUCUUUAUGCCACUUUGUACACCUUCCUACACUGCCCAAUUUCUAAUAGCCUUCGAAGAGCCCACCUAUUUUGAGAAUGUCCUUACCAAACAAGAUUUAAAAAAGACCUUUCUUCCCUAUGUAUGUUCAUUUGAAAUAGAGAAACAAUGGUCUUUACCAAAUUCUAGCUUCCGACAUCUUUCCAACCCAAUGGCUGGCCAAAAGAGUCUCAUUGUAUGACUUGAGAUCAGCUUUCUCAAAUUCUAGAAAGAAGUAGGAGCUUCUUUAUCUAGCCAUUUUUGAAUUUUCUAAAAAGUAACCUCAAGUUAGUACAUAUAAAUGAUAUGUACAGAACUUGUUACAAAUGUAGCUGAUACAAAAAUCAAUGAAGGGGGACUUGGAGUAACUAGUAAAGUUUCUUCCAUGUGACCAGAAGGUCACGGGUUCAAGCCUUAAAAACAGGCUCUGCCAAAAAUGCAAGGUAAGGCUGCAUACAAUACACCUUUAUGGGUGGGGCCCUUCCCCGUACCCUGUGCAUAGCGGGAGCUUAAGUGCAUUGGGCUGCCCCUUUUAAUGAGGGAUUUGAUGAAAAUAUAUGCAAGUUGAUUAUUUGACCUCAUGAAUCUUAACAAUGCCCACCAAAGAGCUUUUUUUUUUCAAAAAUGAAGUUAAAAUCGAUCUCAAUGUGCUAAAUUCAACCGUGAAACACCACAUAUAUUAAGAGUAGCUUCAUUAUCACAAACAUUUAAUCUAACUGAUUUCUCCAAAUUUCAAAUCUCUGAGUAAAUGUUUAAUCCAAAUUAGUUUGUGAGUUUUCACAACCAUUGCUCGGUAUUCAGUUUUUACACUAGAUCAAGCAACCAUAUUUUGUUUUUUACUUUUCCAAGGAACCAAAUUACCUCCUGCAGAAACCAAUUUCCAUAUGAAGAAUAUCUUUUGGAAUGUUAUCUCACCCAAUCAACUCUAUAUCCAACAGUCUGUUCAUGACCUAGAUCCUUAAAAACUUUAUUACCCUAGACUGGUUUUAUGUAUAGAAGACCAUUACUGUCAAAGGUACACAUAAAGCGUGAUUAAGACCCUAAAUAAGGGUCAAAAUGUAUUUCGAGCUUCAUAUCACUUAAUUAAAGUUUUUGUGUUGUCAUCAAGGCGAUAAAGGCAUACUUUUCCUUGACAAUGAACCUUUUCUGAAGAGGGGGGCACUAAACAAUUUAUAUUUCAAAUUAUAGUAAUUUUUUCAAUUUUCUUGACCAUAUAUUUGUCAUUCAUACUUUUAAUUAUUAAUCUUGGACUAAACAUAUAUUUGUACUUUUUCUCCUUUUGUGCUUUUUUUCAUUAAGUCCCACACUUAAUUUGAGCUUAAAACCCUAACAGAAUUAUGAUAUUUAGUGUUGAAUCUUCAGAAUUACACCAAUUGGCAAGGAAAAGUAUGUUAUUGUGAAUAUACAUGAUAGUUGAGAUCUUAAAAAUCCCUACAAAGUCAUUAUCAUGUAUUUCACUAGAUAUCUUUUACGUAAAUAUUUUUUUCUAUUUUGAUUUAUAUAUAUCUUAUUCCUUUUUUGGUGACAUUUAGGAGUGCAAUAAUUAUAAGGGUAUCAAGUUGAAAAACUACACUAUGAAGGCUUGGGGGAGGCUGGUGAGAUGAGGUUAUGAAGGAUUGUUGCUAUUUCUGAGAAUCAGUUCAAAUUUAUGUCAGGAUGCUCGACUACAAAAGACAUCCAUCUCGUUAGGAGACUAGUGAAGCAGUAUAGUGAGAGGAAUAACAUACACGUAGUGUUUAUUGACUUAGAGAAGGCCUACAGUAGAGUUCCUAGGGAGGUUUUAUGGAUGUGAUUGGAGGCCAGAGGCUUACUUAUGGUGUAUUCUAGGGCGAUUAAGGAUAUAUACGAUGGAGACAAGACUUGGGUUAGGACUAUGGGAGGGGACUCAGAGCACUUUCCCAUCUUGAUGGGGUUACCCAAUGAUCUACUCUUAGCCGUAUUUGCCUUGGUGAUGGAUGUUUUGCGUUGCAAAUUCAAGGUGAGGUGCCUUGGUGUUUGCUUUUUACAGAUGGUGUAGUCUUCAUUGAUGAUACCUGUGGUGGAGUUAAUACUAAAACAGAGGUUUGGAUGCAUACCUUAGAGUCUAUAGGUUUUAGGUUAAGUGGGUCCAACAUGGAAUAUUUGGAGCGUAAGUUCUGCAAGGUGUCGCAUGAGUCUGAUGUGGUUGUAAAACUUGAUCCUUGGUCUAUCUUGAAGAGACAUAAUUGUAAGUAUCUGGAAACUCGGUUGUCACUCAUCGAAUUGAGAUAGGGUGGAUGAAAUAGAGGCUCACUUUCAGAAUCUUGUGUGACAAAAAGGUGCCUCCUAAACUCGAAGGAAAGUUCUAUAGAAAGUGGUUAGAUCGGCUAUGUUGUAUGGGCAGAGUGUUGUCAAGAAAUCUCACAUCCAAAAGAUGAAAGUGGCGGAGAGGAGAAUGCUAUAAUAGAUGUGUGUGUACUAGGAAAGAUAGGAUUAGUAAUAAGGUUAUUCGAGACAAGGUGGGAGUGUCUUCGGUGAAAGCCAAGAUACAGAAAGCGAGGUUGAGAUGGUUCGGGCAUGUGAUUAGAAGGGGCACAGAUGCCCUAGUACAAAGGCGUGAGAGGUUGGCUAAGGAUGGAUUCAGGUGAGGUAGAGGUAGACCAAAUCAAUAUUGGAGGGAGGUGAUUCGACAUGACAUGGAGCAGCUUCAGCUUAUCGAGGACAUGACCCUAGAUAGAAAGGUGUGGGAGGAAACUUAGGGUAGAAGAUUAGUAGGAACGAGUGUGUCAAUGCUAGUAGGUAGGAGGACUUUGUUGUCUGUGUUAGUAGCUAUAGUAUUAGUAUUAUUUCAGAGUAUUGCAUUGUUUACUGUAUUACUUGGUGAGUUUUGUUUAUUAUAGUAUUGGGUGUGGCAAUUUCUAUUGUAUCUUAUUCUUUUACUAUUUCUUUUUUAGAUUGUUUUAUCUUGAGUCGAUGGUCUAUCGGAAACAUCCUCUCUAUCUCACCUCUAAGGUCGUUAUGGACUGUGUAUACUUAUCCUUCCCAGACCCACUUGGUGAGAUAUAUUGGGUAUGUUGUUGUUAAUGAUGCUUUUUUCUUUUUUUUAAAAAAAAUACAUAUUUUUACUUAUUAGAUAUUUUCUAAUUUCAAUAUUUUACCGAGUGAUAUAUUUAAGAUUAAAAUGUUCAAAUACCAUUGCAAUGUAUUAUACAAGCAUUUUAUUUAAUUUUGUAAGAUUUAAAAGUCUCUUAUUUUUAAGAAUUUUUACGUAGCUUUAAGGAGCAUAUAAGAUGACACAAACCUAAUCCGAAAACAAGGAUCAAAUCAACGUGAAAACUAAAUAAUGAGAUUUAUUGUGUAUGUGAUUCAUGAUGUCAUGUAUAUUCACAACAAAGGAAUAGUAUUGUAUAUAUAUUCACAAAAUACAUGUAUAUAUAUUAACAAAAUACAUGGAUGUCAUGUAUAUUCACAACAAAGAUGGAGUAUUUUCUCUAUCUUGUUACAUUUAUUCCCCUUUAGAUUUUUUAAACUUUGUCAGCUUUCUCAGUUGACGGAAAAAGUAAGGCGGAUCAUUGUUGCUGCCUCACAAGGCAUGAUAAUGCUCCUGCCUUACCUUUAACCAUUUAACUCACCCGUACCCCCUUUGUCCCUUUGGCAUAUUUCAACCUUUCCAUUGCCUCUUCGGAAUUUUGGAUGAAAAGAAUUUCCCUUUAGGCUCCGGGCUCGAAUCUAUUGAGUGAGGCAAAGCACUCAACAUGUUUUGCACCUCGAGGCUUAAUUGCGCUUUGAACACACCUUUGACAACAUUGCCUCUUGCAUUCAGUGUGUGGCCGCUCUGAUAAGGACAUGAAUUCUAGGGUUUUCCUCACAGGAGUUCCCGAUACCGUCUGUGGUGUUGAUUGUAGUGCAGUACUCAAGAAAGGUAAAGUAAGGAUGGACAAUUGUCGGAAAAUUUAAAAACAAAGACAAUUUCUCUUUUUCCUGAGGUCACUGGUAAAAUUCACAAUGACGACCUCGCAAAUGUUCUAAUACCAUGUGAAAAGGAAGAGAAAUUGAGAUAGAACACAAUCAAUAAUUCCCUCGAGCUUUACAUAUUCUCUUACCUUUCUUAGAAUAUGUACACUUAAAAAAAAUACAUAUUUUUACUUAUUAGAUAUUUUCUAAAUAUCUACAUUUACAAGAUCCUAAAUAUUCUAGCAUCAAGGAUAACGAAGCUUUACAAGUCUGCUAGGAAAAAUUAACAAAAUAGCCGAAACCUCAAGAUACCAGAAAAUCUUUCAAUCUGAAUUUUGAAGAGUAAGAACUUAAAACUAGAAGGACUACUGCAAGGUAAAAAUUUAUGCCCCAUCCAGACUGAAGGAAGCACCAACUUUAGAACUUACUUUAAUAUUCCCGACUAUACCAAUCAGGUUCAGCCAGUGAAUCGACAGUUGAACAUUACUAAUCCAAAUAUACCUUUGUCGGUCAAAGCUUCUCCAAUACGGAAUUACGAGGAAAAGUUAUCCAACUAGCACUGUGAAUUACCAAAUAACAUUGGCAUUUUGAUUCAAUUGUUAAGCAACAAUAUUAGAAAACAUUUAUAGUAUCUCCACACUUCGGAAUUCCUCUUAAGUUCACUAAGCUUAUCUCAUAAUCAUGGUAAGAAAAAAAGACACACAAAUUGACAAUUAGAAGACAAAGUAAUUCCUGGAAAGUUUUUCUGAAAUGUCAAUAAAUCGGUCAUCUUUUUAAUAAUACCUUGGACGGUGAGGAAGGAGAACAGUGGUAGCAGAUAUAUUUUCCACCGGGCACACAAGUAUUUCUGAAUUGAAACAUUCAUCACUUCUCCUCUUGACGAAGAAAUGAUUUCCACGAUGACUAGUCGAUGUGUCAAUGCCAGUAAUACGUGAUGUUAGUACCAGCAAUCCAUUUUCAGGUUUAGAAGUGUCUAGAUAAAAGAGAAAUCUUGUAAUUUUACUCUCAGAUGCAAUAAAUAAAUAUUUCUUGCUCUCGGAUGCUUGAAGACCCAAAGAAAAUGUUUCAUCCUUUUCAUGAUAAAGGCAAGAGUCAUCUAACUGGUUAGUUCCCAAUUUAUGCAACCAAACCUGUCAAAACUUAGAUAAAUCAAGAGAAAGAAUACCUGGAUAAACAAAAGUAAGAUGAAUUUCAACCAGAUGAAUCCAUAAAACUAGUUAUAAAACCAAGAGAGAUGAUUUAGCGAGUACAACACACAUGUAGGUAGAGGUACUUAUUAUUGGCAAACACAGAAAACAUAAGUUGUAUGUCUCACCACGAUAAGCAAGUCAAAAAAACAAUAUACUCAAUGAUUUCAACAAGGCAACUACUUUAUUAGAUCUUUUCAAUCAACUUUCUCUACUAAGAAUCCCUUUUUGGAUGGAGGAUUACCUUCUAUUUUAACACCACUUGACAUUAUUAUUAGCCCAAGACAUUUAACCAAACUGAAUAACAAUUAUGGAGCAUAAACAAUAUCAUUAUCAAAACAAGCCAAAAGUUGGACACUGGAUGCUACAGAAGGAAAAUAAAUCACUUAUAUCCAAUGGCUACAUGAAAUCCAAACCUUGUCUGGUCAAAGGAUCUCAUCCAUUGUGACGUAAACCAAUGCUUCAUCACCUGCCCAUUCAAGAUGUGAUGUAAUGGCACCAACCAGAGGUUUCCCAACCAGCAUUCCAGACUCUGCAUCAAUAACAUAAACAGUGUAUACUUCAUCCCCUUUUUUAUCCUCUGCAUAUGCAACUAACUUGUUAUUUGGGCUGACCUGAAGAGGGGAGAAUUACAAUGAAAUAAGAUAAGCUACUAUAACACCCCGCAAAAAUAGUCCAUGCAUUUGCUCGUGGUAAUAUGCUCUUAGAGUUAAAUGACUAGAAUUGUGUCAAAGAAACUUAGUCGCAUUUUUUAUUUCCAAAGUGAGUAAAGUUUAAACCAUAUUUAGUUUCCCUAAUUUUGAAUUUUUAUCAUGUGGGAAAUUGAAUGAGCUUUCCGUCGAUAUAAGAUUUGCCCAAAUCCGAUACCCGGGCAAAAAAUUAUGGGUAAUUUAAGUUCUAGUCGUAAAACACCGUCACAUUGGUGCUUGGCGAGUCGCGGAGGGGGCCUAUUUAGAAAUUGUCAAAUUCCAGUAGCAUAGCGCGAUUGUGGCGCAUCGCGCUGAAGUUUCAGGUCCUAAUCAGUGGGACAACGCGAUGGCUCCGCGUCGCGGUGGCCUUAAGAAUCCCACUCGUCAAUUUCCAGUGAGCCACCGCGAUCGUGGCGCAUUGUGGUGGCCUAUGAAAUCAGGCUCCCAGUUAUAUUUUUACUCUGUCUCAUUAAGGAUAUAUUGGGUAUUUUCCACCCCUUAUCAGCCUAAAUACGGGAUUUAAUCCCAAAUGACCUCAUUAUUGUUAUUUUCAACAAAAACCAUCAAGAACACUCCUUAGGUUUUCAAAUAAGAAAACCAAAAUAACUCAAGAUUUAAUCAUGGGUUUUCAAAAAUUAAUGAAGAUUUAGAAUCCCCAAAUCGUAGGCUUCAAGAAUCAUCCAUCAAAUUUCUGUAUUGAGGUAUGUGGGGUUUAUCCUAAAAACUACAUGAGCUUGUAAACACUAGAACAUGAUUUAAAGAUUAUCAAGUAUGAAUUUAGAAAGGGGUUUUUGAAAUACAUGAUUUAUUAUAAAUGUUUAAUUUUAUUGUUGAUUUUGUCUUUAGGUCUUUCCCCCUUAAAUUGAUUUACAUGUAUAUGUAUAUGUAUGAAAAUUUAGAUUUAAGAUUGUUUGAGAGCACAACUUAUGAAAUCCCUCUCUUGAUGACUUUAAGUUUAUGAUCUUACUGUGAAGGAUUUGAAAUGCAUGAUUGAUGGUAUGAAACUUGUUUACUCAAAUACCAUAGUAUUUUGAGCAUGAUUUAGAGAUUUAAGAGAGGGAGUUUCUUGAUGUACAUAUAUUUUGUUAAGAGAAAGAUUUGCAUAAGAUUAAGAGAUUGACAUGACCACUUGCAUCAUUGAAAUUUUGCUAAAGAGAGUUGCAUACAUGUGUUUACAUGAGUUUUAGAGAAAAAGUUCUUUGAAAUAAUUUAUUGAUAUGGUGGUCCUGAAUUUAUGUUUUGAAAACAGAGUUGUAAUAUGUUAAUAAUGGAUCAGAGAUGUGAUUUACAAGUCAAUGGUAUGACGAUACCAUAAGUAUGUAUGCCAUAACAGAGUAUGUAUUCAGAAUAUGUUUUCAGAGAAUGCAUGUUUUAAAGAGUUAAAAAUGGACUUAAAGAGGGUUAGGUGGCUACCUGAAGAAGGCUUGAGUUCAAGUAACUCUUAGCCUAAAAUCAUGAUUUGCCGAUCCGGAUAUAUUAUUUUUACGCUGGCGACGGCUGUGUGGUGUAGCAGAGUCAGAGACUCCAACCCUUGCAGCACACUUGGGCUGGAGGUUUCCCCGCAGAGUCAAUGGCGGAUUCCAUAUAGCCCAAAUUUUAGAGUUGUAAGGUAUACCACCUAGCGCAAAAGUAAAACUAAGAGCAUCUCAGAUUUCAGAUGAUUUUUUAGAGUCUUUCAAAAAUGGCCAUGAGAUUUUUGUCACGACCCAAACCGGGGCCCUGGCCGUGAUGGACAUCCCAAACCAUGAAGGUCCGAGAGCCCUUCUAACUUAUAAUCAUACACACCAUUCAUAUACAAAUAGGAAGUGAAGAAAAUAAAUACUAAAAUAGAAUCAUGGUCAUAAGUUUGAACUCAAUUUAUAAUGUGAAAGUAAGGCCCAACAACAACUAUUCAAUGUCUGAAUCAGUCUACAAAAUCUCUACUAUAUCUGAAAAUAACAAUUGUCUGAAACUGGGAAAAGGCCCCCAGUGGACCUAAACCAAAAUAAAUACAUAAUCUGAAAAACAUAGACCUUCUGAAAUAAAGAAGGCUCACCAAUUUCACACAUCACUGUUGUCUGAAAACUCUACGACUUAGUAGGGCUUCUGAACUGAGCUUUAGACCCUGGAGGUAGGGGUUCAAUAUAAUUGUACUGGUAUGUAGAGCAAUCCAAAAUAAAGCUUUAAUAUAGAUAAAAUAGUUGAGAGUUAGUCAUAAAUAUCAUGAAAGGUAUAAUUUCUUAACACAUGGGCAAUUUUGAAAACAUAAAACAUUUCUGUCAAUGCAGUUUCUAUCUUUGUAUUACUUCUGAGUUAGGUUGCAUUCCCCUACAAUUCUAAUAUUCUACGGGCUAUAUGGAAUCCGUCAUUGACUCGCCAGGGAAGCGCCCAACCCAAGUAUGCCGCAAGGGUUGGAGUAUCUGAGUCUGAUACGCCACAGGGAACUAGGCCAAGUAUAAUAAUAUACCUGAAUCGGUAAAUCACGGUUUUGGGCAAUGAGUUGUCUGAACUCGUGCCUUCUUCAGGGAAUCACCAAAUCUCUCUUUAUGCCCAAUUUUAGUCUGUUCUGAAACAUGCAUCAUUCUAGUUUCAAAAUCUAAAAAUCUGAUUUCAAACAUGCAUUCUAUUCUAUUCUGAAUUACAAUGGCAUUAUCUGAGUUGGUAUCAUCACAUCAAGACUUGAAAGUCCUAUUUCUGAGCCAUAAUGCAUCAUGCAUGAUUCUUUCAUCAAAAACACAAUUCAGACCACCCAAACAUUCAAAUAGUGUAAGAGAUUUCAUGUUCCGAAAGCAUAAGUCAAACUAUGCAACGAUUAUCAUUCUUUCGAUAACAAUGUGGUGUUCAUGUAAUAUUUAACAAACCACGCAACUCUUUUCAUUAUAUGAUUAUGUUCAACAUUCAUCAACAUAAACAACCCUCUCUUUUGAAAUCAAAAUCUUAAUCCAAAUAUAACAUUACUCAAGACAUUUCAUAUCAUGCUUCUCAAGAUGCAUUCAAAAUAAUUCCUACCAUAUCAUAAGUAAAGGAAAAUCAUAACAAGAGAGGAAUUUUUCAUGAGUUAUUCUCUCAAUUCAAUCAUCAACCUUAAAAUACAUGCUUACAUAUAUAAGAAGGCCUAAAUAAAAAAAAAUCAUCAAGGCUUCUAAAACAUGUUUAUAAUCAUAAAUCCAAAACCCUUUUCUUAAAAUCAUGAUUUCUAAACCCUUUGCAUAAUUAAAAGAAGAUUUCUAUGCCCAUGAGAUUUUAGGAAAACCUCACGUACCUUAAAUUAGAAGUUUUUGAAUGAACUCUAGCUUUUGGGAUGCUAUACGUAUGAUUGAUGGGUGUUUCUUGUAGCCCUCAUAAUGGGGAUUCCGAAUCUUGAAGAAUUAAGAAAAUACCCACGGCUAAAUCUUGAGAUAUAUUGAUCUUUGGGUUGAAACCCUAAGGAGUGUUCUUGGUGAUUUUGAGAGAAAACAAUGUUAUUUUGGUGUUUGGAGCAUUUAAUCCCGUGUUACGGAUCAAUAGGGGGUGGAAAAUACCACUUUUGCCCUUAAAAAUACGAAAACAACACCUAGAAAUUGGGUACAUGCGUCGCACGCUAAUCGCGCGAUGCUACUGUCUCAGUCACAAAAAUGUCCAUAACUUUUCGGUUGGAAAGCUAAUCAGAAGAGAUUUCAUUUCAUAUAUAGAAGGACCUCUAAUUCGUUAUAUACAAAGAGUUAUGGUCAAUUAAAGUUGACCCAAGUUUCGACGCUCACUCAAACUCGAACGAUAGGAAAGAUUUCUACUCUACUUUGAGUUUGGGGACCUAUAUGAUCUUAAUUCAUGCUCAAAUAGGUUCCCAGACUAAAUAAUUGAUUAACAUGCCAAAUUUGUAUAGGAUUUAUGGCUUUUGGAUCAUCUACGCAUAGAAACGAUGGUUUUUGUUCUAGCCCGAAAUAUGGGGUGUUACAUUAGCUCCCCCCUGGGAUCAUUCGUCCCCGAAUAAUGGGUAGGAAUGUUGAAAUCUUAAAGGUAUGUAAUAAUGUGUACAUGAUAUGUCUUCUAAGAAGGUAUAUAACCUAGCUGAAACAUUUAAACUUCUAUCAUGAAACUAAAUUCUGAGCUGACUUGACUUUACUUGCUUUAAGGAGCUGAUUCAUGCUGAGAGUUUAGGAUUCCCUUGAAGUUUUCAAGAUCAAAUCAUACAUAUUAAAUUGAAAAGUGAUAACUUAUGCAGGUAUGAAUCAUAAGACAAAUGGACUUAGAUCGUAUCAGGGUAUUACAUUGUCUGAGCUAAAAUACUUAGAAAAUUUGAGAUUAUGCCCUAAACUGUUAUGAACUGAGUCACGACUAAAUAGUUGAAUCUGAAACAUGAUUCUUUGACAGAAAUGAAUUUGCAAUUUAUAUGGAUGGAAUAGAUUAUCUCUUGGCAUGGUCAUACACCUGAGACUUCAGAUAUUAGGACUGGGUGAAAAGGUGAAAAACCACCAUAAGUUGUCUGCCUGACUGUUAAACUGAAUUAUAUUGGACAUUUAUACUUAAUUGGAGUAUCUCUUCAACACUCAUUCUAAAGAAGUCCUAGUAGCAUUAGGGAGCAAAGAAUCUCUGACAUGGGUUACAAAAGACAUACAACUAAGGAAUCACGACAAUGAUACUACUCUAUAGCAUGGAAUAUAGAUAUAUAACUCAUAAACUAGGAUAGAAUUACCAGGCCUUAGGCAAUACGACUUCUUACUUUCAAGCUUAGCACACCUCUCGAAUAUCCCUUAACUAUACUAUUCUCCUUAAAUACCAUACUCAUUUGACUCAACUUAUUUUUCUCACAUGGCCGCUGAUAUUUCCAUCUAGUAAUGUCUAAACUACACUAAAUCCCCAUACCAUCUUCAAGCCUAACUCAAAAUCACAAAAUGCACCACAUAAUACUGUAGUACUAGUUUGAAUAAUGAAUUCAGUACACCCUGCAUUUCACAAUUCCUCAUCUCCUGUAUAAUUCUUAUUGCCACUCCAUUAAUCACCUUCAACUUCAUAUUAGACAUUCACAAAGACUCAAAGCAUCCAUCCGCAUGUAUAGAAACUGGCAUUCAAGCCUAUCUUUAUGCCCACAUAUGCACUUCUAAACAAACACUCAUAAAGCGUCUUUCUCAUAUUCUCUAAUACGUCUAUCCAUAACAACUCCCCCGCACUAUUCAAAUGAUACACAUAAAAUAUCCUCAACUAACCAAGCAAUACACGAAACCUCAUCUCAAAAUUCUUUCAACUUAUAGACUUACAUAAAACAAGCACACAAUAAUUUUCCCAAAUAUAACACAUAAAACUUCAACUAACCUUGACAUGUAUCAAAUACUUGGCCUCAAUCUUACUCCACAAUCACUGCCUUAACUCAAAUGAGCACACAACCAUCUUUCAUCAACAAGAAAUGUUUAAUCUUUCCUAUCUAGAUAACUGUUCAUCAUCACUAUCUCCACCUAAGGGAAAAGGUCACUGAAAAAUUGGAAAAUUGGGAUCCGAAACAUGAGGGGAGUACUAAGAAUAACUUGAUACCCUACUGAGGCAUGAGAAAUAGGGCACUCAUGACAUGGACUCAUUGAAGAGAUCUAAUCUGAGGAUGUAUCUGAUAUAAAUAUGAAUUUCCACUUAUCGUUAACAGUAUCACAUGUGCACAAGAGUCAUGAACUGCAUGACCUGAAUUUUUGGAAUUCAUAACUUAUGGAAAGUGAUUCUGACUGUUGAACAAACUGGGAACUCAUCAUACUAGAAACUAGGAGAGUACAUGAUUCCUUAUCAUAUACAUAAACACGAGCUAUGAUCAUGAAGCUGAAAAUAAAGCAUGAGUAUGUAUCGGAAUAGCUGAAGUAAACUACUGAAAUAAGAAUAGAUUGAGCAUCAUUCUUUCUCACAUCUAAUUCCACAACAUUACUUGCACAUCUAUUAGCAUCUGAAAACUUGACUUGGUUACUCAUUCUAUCAUCUCCCCCUUUCUUUAAGCCAUUACUCUAAGUCUGUGAACCACUAUAUACACUCUGGUAUAAACUGAAAUCAGUUUACUCUAGAUUCGGGUAUAUAACAAUACAGAUAAAACUAAACUUACCCUGUAAAAAAGUAUCUUCAUGUACAACAAUCAAUGCUAGUACCUCCUACUAAGAUUCAACCCUUAGGUUUCUAUAGCCCCAAAAGUCAUCAUAUAACAGCUUAAACAUUCACCAACUUAAAUUCCUCUAACACUAAACAUGGAUAUCUCCAAACCUUUGACGGACCAUACUAUUUCGGUCAUAGUCCACCAGCAUCAUGCCUGCAAACUUAUAUUUCUAAACCAUGAGAAUCAAGAUUAUACAAAAAAGCUCAACAUCAUUAAUCACAACUCCAUAACUUAGCUAUAAAUAACAUCACAUAUUAUUUAACUAGUCUUUCUCUACCUAGCAACUCAAUGGUACUACUAACCACACAAUAUGCAAUGAUCUUUGAAAAUAAUGCAGCCCCAUAGCACCUUGGGCGUACUUCUACAUCAUACUUACCCCACCAAAAUUGAUUACGAAUCAAAUAAACUUAAGCUCUUGUAUACAUUGUUCAAGCCUACUAGAUCACUUUUACACAACUAACACCUACCACAUCAAUUCAUCAUAUCUAUCUUGAUCACAAUCUACUAUUCCAACUUAGUGUCUACUUCUAGCUAUGAUGAACCACAACUUCACACAAUUUUCUUACAUGCCAAACAUCUAAAAACAUUAAUUCGCCAAAACUUCAUAACAGUAAGGAUCAAUCACAAUCCUAUGAUCCAUCUUAUUUAAAAUCCAUUAACACACCCUCUUUCUACACAUCAUUACUAUCUACCCCUUUCAUAUAGCUAAACUUAGUUCAUAGCUCUAUAAGUCCCAACUAAACUCCCUUUUACAACCUCAGGGACAUCUAUAUUAACACCACUCAUCCACUAAGUACCUUCAUCAAUAACCUAUAAUUUUCUUGCAGGACAAACACCGUCAACAACUCUUUUUACACUUUAAGUACAAUAAUUCACUUUAACUAAUAACUCCUUCUCUACCUUACCUUCUACUAAUCCAUCACAAAGGGAUGUAUCACUUCAUUUCCAACUCAAUCUCAUGCAAAAAGAUUCAGCCAAACAUAUAUUUAAUAAAUUGCCCUUACCACUUUUCUUGCCAUUACGCCACUAAACCCUAGUUCCAACCAACACAAGAAAGUCAAGAUGAACAACAAGUGGCUAGUGAAUCAAAAUAGGCCCCACACAGCUCCACUAGACAUUGAUUUUGUGUUUUGAAUAAGAAAUGGGAUGAAUGACAAGGCAACUAUGCUAGUGAAUCGAAAGAGCCCCACACGGCUUUACUAGACUUUCAGUUUCAACAACACAAUAAUAACAAGAUUACAAGAGAUAGAAACUUGACACACAAAAUUCAAUGAUCUAAGAAUACCCAUCUUACUCUAUAUAAAUAAAAAAAAAUCUGAGUCUAAUACUUCUCCCACAGACUACGAUACAAUCCACACAUGCUACUAACUACUACAUUAGUCUAUCACUAUAAAAUGGUAAAUCAUUUUCAAACAUCAAUUAUUCAACUAAACAUAUUUAUCUACACAAAAGUAACCCUCACUCUGAUUUCUAACCUUGCAACUUUACAUCCCAACUUGCUCCAAUAUCACUACCAAUAGGUCAUGACACUGUCACUUUAACUUAUACUACUACUCGGGUGGAAAUACAGUUCCAACAUUCGGCUACAUAUCAUUCCCCUUGAAGCAUGAUGUCUGCAACAUAAAUUUUGAAAAGGACUGAAUACACUUAAUACUGCAGCUGAAAAGCACAAUUUCAUCAGUAUCAAAGUUCACACUAGAAUCAAUACACCUUAGAGUGCUAACGGACUCUUCUCAAGUCCUUGCACAAAUUUUAAACUCUUAUAUGGCUUAAUCAGAAAGGACCAUACCAUUUAGACUCUAAACUUCUGCACUUGAAUUAGCCUAAUAAUAAGACAUAUCUGAGCACAUCAAAGUAAGAAAAGAAUGGGGAUGACUUUACUCCCAUAUGGGCGACACCAUAGCAUAAAUUAGAGUAUGUAAGAGGAACAUUUUGACUCCAUAUCACAAACUAGAACAUGAAGAAAGAGAGACAUUCAUAAAUUCCUAGUAGCCUCUAGCCUAUAAGUGUGGUGCGUUACACACCCACAAACAAGACUCUACUCAAUGUGAUUUCGCAGACACCCUGGGACCAUGAACCGUGCUUUGAUACUAAGUUUUUCAUGACCCAAAUCGGGGCCCUUGCCAUGACGGACAUCCCGAACCAUGAAGGCCCGAGAGCUCUUCUAACUUUUAAUCAUACACACCAUUUAUAUACAAAUAGGAAGUGCAGAAAAUACAUACUAAAAUGGAAUCAUGGUCAUAAAUCCAAACUCAAUUUAUAAUGUGAAAGUAAAUCCCAACAACAACUAGACAAUGUCAGAACCAGUCUACAAAAUCUCUACUACAUCUAAAAAUGACAAUUGUCUGAAAAUGGGACAAGGCCCCAGUGAACCUAAACCAAAGUAAGCAACAUAAUCUGAAAGACAUAAACCUGCUGGAAUAAAGAAGGCUCACCAAUUGCACACAUUACUGUUGUUUGAAAACUCUACAGCUUAGUAGGGCUUCUAAACUGAGUUUUACACCCUGGAGGUAAGGGUCAAUACAAAUGUACUGGUACGUAGAGAAAUCUAAAAUAAAGCAUUUAUAUAAAUAAAAUAGUUGGGAGCUAGUCAUAAACAUAAUGAAAGAUAUAAUUUCUAAACACAUGGGCAUUUUUGAAAACAUAAAAUCUUUCUGUCAUUGCAAUUUCUGAUCUUUGUAUUACUUCUGAGUUAGGUGGAACUCCCCUACAAGUCUGAUAUUCCAUGGUCUAUAUGGAAUCCUUCAUUGACUCGGCGGGGAAGCCCGCAACCCUAAUGAGCCGCAAGGGUUGGAGUGUCUGAGUUUGAUAUGCCAUAGGGCACUAGGCCAACAUAUAAUAAUAUACCUAGAUCGACAAAUCACGAUUUUGGGUGAUGAGUUGUCUGAACUCGUGCCUUCUUUGGGGAAUCACCUAAGCUCUCUUUAUGCCUAAUUUUGGUCUAUUCUAAAACAUGCAUCAUUCUAUUUUCAAAAUCUAAAAAUCUGAUUUCAAACAUGCAUUCUAUUCUAUUCUGAAUUACCAUGGCAUUAUCUGAGUUAGUGUUGUCACACCAAGACUUGCAAGUCCUAUUUCUGAGCCAUAAUGCAUCAUGCAUGAUUCUUUCAUCAAAAACUCAAUUCAGACCACCCAAACAUGCAAAUAGUGUACGAGAUUUCAUAUUCUGAAAGCAUAAGUCAAAGUUAUGCAAGGAUUAUCAUUCUUUCAAUAACAAUGUGGUGGUCUUGUAAUAUUUAACAAACCAUGCAACUCUUUUCAUUAUAUGAUUAUGUUCAACAUUCAUCAACAUAAACAACCAAAUAUAACAUUAAUCGAGAUAUUUCAUAUCAUGCUUUCAAGAUGCAUUUAAAAUAAUUCCUAGCAUAUCAUAAGUAAAGAAAAAUCAUAACAAGAGAAGAAUUUUUCAUUAGUCAUGCUCUCAAUUCAAUCAUGAACCUUAAAACACAUGCUUACAUAUAUAUAUAAUUUCAAACUAUUUGGGGAAGGCCUAAAGACCAAAACAAAAUCAUCAAGGCUUCUAAAACAUAUUUAUAACCAUAAAUCCAAAACCCUUUUCUUAAAAUCAUGAUUUCUAAACCUUUUGUAUAAUUAAAAGAAGAUUUCUAUGCCCAUGAGAUUUUAGGAAAACCCCACGUACCUUAAAUUUAAAACUUUUGAAUGAACUCUAACUUUUAGGAUGCUAUACGUACGAUUGAUGGGUGCUUCUUGUAGCCCUCAAAAUGGAAAUUCCAAAUCUUGAAAAAUUAAGAAAAACUCAUGGUUAAAUCUUGAGAUAUAUUGAUAUUUGAGUUGAAACCCUAAGGAGUGUUCUUGGUGAUUUUGAUAGAAAAUAAUGUCAUUUUGGUGUUUUGAGGAUUUAAUCCUGUGUUAUGGAUGAAUAGGGGGUGGAAAAUAUCACUUUUGCCCUUAAAAAAGUGAAAACAGCACCUGUAAAAUUAGGUGCAUGCGUCGCAUGCUAAUCGUAUGAUGGUACUGUCUAUUCACAAAAAUGGCCAUAACUUUUUGUUCGGGUAUUGAAUUUUGGCAAAAUUUGUAUUGUUGGAAAGCUAAUACAAAGAUAUUUCAUUUCAUAUAUACAAAUCCCUCUUAUUCAUUAGAUAUAAAGAGUUAUGAUUGACUGAAGUUGACCCAAGUUUUGAUGCUCACUCAAACUCAAAUGAUAGGAAAGCUUUUAACUCGUCCUUGAGUUUGGGGACCUCUAUGAUCUGAACUCAUGCUCAAAUAGGUUCCCACACUAUAUAAUUGAUUAAAAUUCCAAUUUUUCAUAGGAUUUAUUGGUUUUGGAUCAGCUACGCAUAGAAACAAUAAUUUUCGUUCUAGCCCGAAAUGCGGAGUGUUACAAUUUCUUACUAUCUGAUAUGUUUAUGAACUAUUUUAAAUUUUUCUCAUAUAUGUUAAAUAUAAACUAGUAUUUUGGAUUUGCUCUGCAUACGAGUACAUCUGUAUUGACCACCUACCUCCCAGGUUCGAAGGCUCAGUCCAAGGGUCCAGCUAGUCAGUAGAUUAUUCCAGAGAGAAGUGAUCUGUUCAGUGGUGAGCCUUCUUUAUUACAGAAGGCCUGUUAUUUGAGAUUAUGUUAUUCAUUUGGUUUGGUCUACUGGGGGCCUUGUCCCAUUUUUCAGAACAGCUUUGAGAUAUAGUAGAGAUUUCUCAGAAUGAGUAAGAUCUUAUUCAGAUGUUUUGAAUUGUAGUUUUCUUUCUUAUGUCUUGAAACCCAGAGUUAAUGACCAUCUUUUUGUAUCAGAUUAUAUUUUUGUAUUUUUUUUAUGAUAUGAACUUUGUGCACGAUUAUCGAAUCAGAUAGAGUAGGAUGCUGGACCUUUAUGGUUUGAGAUGUCCAUCAUAGCCAGGCCCUAGUUUGGGUCGAGAUAGCUACAAAGCAACAAAGGACAUAAAAUCGCAAUAAGCAUCCACACAAAAGAUAUGUUCUUACUUUCAAAGCACCACUGCUAUAGUAUAUAUGUUCUAGAGCUUUCACAUUCUCAUCCAAGAUAAUAUGCUCUCAAGGAUCAUGAGGUCCAGUUGGCAUUGUAUCAUAAACAGAUAUUGGAGAUCCACUUGCAGGUAUAUAGCAUCUACAAUGUUGGACAUACUCUUUACCCUCCAAGUUCUUGUUGUAGUAGUAGUAUGAUCCUCUUCGCAUGGGUGCAGAUAUAUCAUCCUCUUUAAUUUUUCCUCUUAUCUUGGUAUAAAUAUGAUCCUCUAAUUGUUUUGUCCCUAGUAAAGUGACCAGACAGUUUAUAAUCCUUCAGCCAAGCAAUUGAGAAUAAUUGAUGAAAGCUUUGUCUUUAAAAGUUCAAACAAUAUCUAAUCAUCUUAACUUUGAAAAAUAAGUUUUUAUACAAUGAUUUACAUUGAUCCAACAACAACAACAACAACAUGCCCCUGAAUAUUCCCGCAAAAGUGGGUUCUGGGAGGGUAAAAUGUACGUAAUCUGUAUCUCUAUCUUAAAGGUUGAUACGGGUGUUCCAAGCUGUCCAACAAGUUCUACAAGUUGUCCAACAAGUUCACGACCAUUCACACGUAUCCAAGCUCGGGAGUUACAAAUACUCCAAGUUAUGCUAAUGCAAAUGACCGUGUGUGAGUUGGUACUUGAGCCUUCCAAUGGAUUAAAUGUUUUUAAGUGUGAAGAGGAGCCUUGAAGUGUAAUUAACUUACACUCCAAGGCCACUCCUUGGCAAGGGUAGGAUGGUCAUUUGUUAUCUUCCUUUGUGGAAUAAUAUAAAUAGAUAGUGUUAGAGUUAUUUUUGAGUUAGUUCAUUCAUAUUUUGGAAGGCAACAAACACUUUGUAAUAUUUUGGAACUUCUCUAUUCCAUUGGAGAAGCCUCAAUUCUGAAAACUCACUAGUAGAGUGAUACUAGUGUUGUCUCUUGGCUAGAAACUAGGGUCUUGAGUUCUUUGAGUUCUUCUUGGUCCAAGUAAGAGUUUGGUAUUAAUAUUCAUUAAUAUUAGGGUCCUUUCUCUUGUUAGGGCUCUUAGAUCAUUGAAUAUUGUGUGUCAAGUUACUAUCCCUCUUGUAAUCUUGUUAAUCUUGUGCUGUUGGAAUCUUGAAGUCUAGUGAAGCAGUGUGAGGCUCUUUCGAUUCAUUAGAAUUAUUAUUGACUUGCUUGUUCUUGUUGUUAAUAUCAUCUUCUUAUUCUAAAAACUUGACUCUUGAAGACUAGUGAAGCCGUGUGUGGCCUAUUUUGAUUCACUGGCACUUGUUGUUCAUCUUAUUUUUCUUGUUGUUGUUUGUUUCUUAUGUUGUGAACUUGGUCUCAUAUCAUUUGAUAUCAAAUCUUGUGGUUGAUUUUUUUCCAACAAAUCAAUCUUGGGUUUGGUAGUUGAAAAAUACCAAAAAAAAAAAAAAGAAAAAAAAAGGUUGCUGAAAUCUGAAAAUUCAGAAAAAAAAAAAAAAAGAGAAAUCUGUCCAUCUCUAUUCUUGGCCGAGAAAAUUGUGUUGUGUUGUUGUCUUGGACAAGAUUGGUGUUUGUGUUUUUACAUAUAGAUGUUCUUUUGUUUGUAUAGUUUGUUUCUUGAGUUUAUUUCUUUCUCAUCAACACAAAAGGUGUCCAAAGCUAAGUUGAGCUUAAUAUAUUGACAUUGCUAUAGUGGACUUGAAGUGGUAGUAUGAUGAACUUGAAGUAGGCUGAUUUUGUGUGUUUUUGCUUGACUUUAAAGUGGGAUAUUGUUGGUGAAUUGUGGUUGUGUUCUUGAAUUAUUGUUGUGGUGUUCAUCUUGAUCUUCUCAUCAUCUCAUAUCUUGACCACUAUAAAGACUAAAAUAGAUCCAAAAGGGUUGUAAGACAAGGUUGUAAAGUUGUUUGUGAAAAGACUUGUCAACAUCACUUCCUUGACUUAACAACCACUUUUUUCCUUAAAACAAGGAGCCUUGUCUUGUGGAACUAGUAAAGUGAAGCCUCAUCUUUUUGGGUUGGAAAAAGUUGAAAACUUACACGACUUUCCUUUCCCUCCAAAAGCAAAGUCAUCCAUUACAAAAUUGUGAAGAUUAAGGCUUCAAGUUGUUCAACAAAAUGUAUGGACCCGUGACCAAUUUCAUGCUGCGACAUCACCUUAAUCACUAUUCAUGUUAUUAAUUAAGCUCAAUUUGGAUAUUCUAGUUUCUAAUUAUUGAUUCUUAGUUUCUUCUAAUUGACUCGAGAACUAAUUAGCAAGCUAGGACAUUCCUACUAGGUUGUCAAUUAGUCCUUUGAAGCCUUGUAUUCAUAUCAUCAUUUGUUUGUGUGCUUUUGUCGUUUGAAUAUGUUGUAACUCCUUGAAUCUAGUCUGACAAGAAUUCUUUGAGUUUCAAAAAAGAAUCUACUCCGGAAAAGAGUAUACCCAAACCUUAAGGAUUCAUGGGUUACUAGCCAAUCUACAACACUUGUAGAGCUCGAGUGUGAGUGAUCCGAGAGUGUGUGAGUGAGGAGAGGUUUUAAACUAACUUGUUUGUUUCUUGUGUAGGUGAUAUCUUUACAAUAGAGGGAACCACAUCUCAAACCAUGGAUUUUAAUGAAAUGGAGAAUAUGAGGGUCACUCUUGAGGCUAUGACCCGAUCUCUUGAACGGUUGAGUACGGAAGUGGGAGCCAUAAGGGGAGAAGUGACGACUAUUAGUGGGAGGUUAGAACAAUUGGAGAUUCAAAGGAACUCUCAUCCUUCUACUCCUCGACAUGUUUUGUCAAGUGGACAUGAUAGAAAUUCCUCCGCCACCGUUACUCCCGAAACAUGGCAACAAUUAUCAAAUCUUUCACUAGCUCCACUAAAUGCCACAAGACAAACCACUCAUAACCCCCUAAACCGAGACUCCAAUAGACAAACCCAUUCCCAAACUCUUUAAGUUCCGCAAGAGGGACUCAGACGUCAAAUGCCUCCACAAAAUUCGAACCCUUCCUUCCAAGCUCAACUAAACCAUAGACCACCACCUCCAUAAAAUCCAAUCCCUACAAAUCAAGUUCCAAACGUCCAAAACCGUACCAUCCACUUUGAGCAAUAUGGUAGAGUGUAUUAUGAAGGGUAUGGAGCCUUUGACGAUGCUUAUAUAAGGGAAAAAGAGAUGAAAGAGGGACUGUAGAUCUAAUAAGAUACCGAGGGUAUGGAGAAAGGGGAAACCGACACCAAGAGAGACGUAGGCAUCAAUACCAUCAAAUUGAGCCUACCUAUCUUUAAGGGUGAAAGUGACCCCGAGGUGUAUCUUGCUUCGAAGUCGGCGUGUGAUAAAGUGUUUCAAGUGAAUGAUAUAUUGGAGGAGAAGAAGAGUAGUUAUGCCAUAGCUCACUUUGAAGGCUAUGCUAACAUAUGGUAGGAAUAUGUCAAAUGGUUUAGUAAUGAGUUGAUUGAUGGACAACCACCACCAUGGUUUUAGUUGAGUUAUCUAAUGAGGCAACGGUAUCUUCCUAAAAGUUAUCAUCAUGAGUUGCUUACUAGUUUGUACUAUUUGUGAUAGGGGAGUCGAAGUAUGAUGGCAUAUUAUGAUGAAUUUUAACAACUCAUGUUAAAGCUUGAUCAUCGUGGAGAACAAAUUGUCCAUGAUAUCAUUUGGUUCAAAUAUGGGUUGGACAAAGAGAUCUCCACUAAUUUGAUGCUUCAUAUGUUUGAUACCGUAGAAGGAAUUUUCCGAGCGUCUCUUGAGAUUGAUAGGGAGCUUAAAAAGAGGUCUUCGUCAAGGCAAAGGGACCAUCAACCUCGGGUUGGCUGAGGAGCAAAUAUAUGGUUCAACCAUCUUCGGUUUGGCCCAAAAACAAGGACCAACCCGCCCCUAUAAGUCUGCCCAAUCCUAAAAUAGUCCACAAAUUUCCUCCCCGACAAGAAGCUCACAAGUAUCCUAAUCCUAAAGGGUACCAAUGUUUCAAGUGCUAAGGUUGGGGACAUAAAGCCAAUGAAUGUCCAAAUCGACGUAUUUUGAUCCUAAGGGAAUGGAUAUUGUAUUACCUUGGUAACGAAGUGGGUCUUGAAAAAAAAAAGAAUAAGGCUGAGCCUCAAGAUAGAGAAGAAGCCGAAAAUGAGCCACAUAAUGAUGAUGAUGAUGAUUGUGAGGAUGCUUAUCCACAAGAAGGGGACUGCGUAGUUCCAAACUUUUUAGUAAGGCAUUCCAUGAUUAGUAAGGCGAUAGAUGAUCCUAGACAAUGGGAGAAUCUAUUUGAUACUAAAUGCCUUGUGAAGGGAAGUGUGUGCACUUUGGUGAUAGAUAGUAGUAGUUGUGUAAAUGUUGUUAGUAUUGCUAUGGUUAACUUCUUAAAUUUGCCAACUACACUUCAUACUAGCCCUUACAAGUGGCAAUGGUUGAAUUAAUAUGGAGAAUUGAAAGUUAUAAGGCAAUGUGUGAUACGGUUUAAGGUAGGAAACUACCACGACGAAGUGCUUUGUAACGUAAUACCAAUACAAGUAUGUCACUUGUUGUUAGGUAGACCUUGACAAUAUGAUAGGUAUACCAAACAUGAUGGGAGAUCUAAUAAAUAUACACUUGAGAAGGAUGGACUAAAGUUCACACUUCAGCCACUUUUACCUUCACAAGUGAAUGAGUUGCAUCAAAGGAUGAGAGAAUUGAAAGAAAAGGGGAAUCAAAAAAUGAAGAAAAAAGGGGGAACCUUCAAUACCCCAAAAAAUCCAACUCAAUAUUAGCUCCAUGUUUCAAGAUCAUGCAUAGUAAAUCAUGGUUCCUUGGUAUUUUCAUGAUCAAGGUUGAUGUGAAUUAAGGUCUCGAAUAUGUCCUAGCUAUUGUGCGAAUCAAAACAUUCCUUACCGAUUGAAUUCUUGAGAAUGAUAUUGGUAUCAUAAACUUCAAAUGAGCACAUCUCUCAUUAUACUAUGAACUUUUGAUCCCAUGACAUUCCAAGGGAUAUAUAAUUUAAUAAUCUUUCCGUCGAUACCAAAUUUGCCUAAAACGAACACCCGGUGAAGAAGUUAUGGCUAUUUUAAGUUUCUUCUGUAAGACAAGUACCAUUUCAGAGCAUGGCGCGUCGUGCUGGAGGAAAAAAUGGCACUCGUCAAUUUCUAUAAAGCCUCUGUGAUAGCCCCUCUUCGCGCCAAGCUUCCAGGUCGCAAUAAUUGGCAUUUUAGCAAGCUCCGCGUCGCACCGGGGCCCUAAAUUGGGAUAUAUUUUGCGUUGUUUUCAGUUUUCAUUUUAAACUCCUCAAGGGCAAUAUGGUAACUUCCCAAAACCCUAUAUAUACUACUUAAACAUGGGAUUGAAGCCCCAAAGCAUCCCUUUUCAUUAAUUUUAUCAAAAUUCACUCAAGAAUAGUCAAGAACAUGUCUAGGGUUUCCAUUGGGGUUUCAACCUUCUAGCAAAUUCAAUCGUAGAUUCCACGAAUUCUUAAUCUAAUGUAUGCGUAGUGUUCAUCUAUGGAUCCAAUCCAUUCAUAGAGCUCAAGAAUCAUGUUUUUAAAUGUUAUUUUGUAAACUUUUUGUGUUGAUAUAAUCAUGUACAUGUUGAUGAUUGUUGUUUAAGUUUCAAAAUGAUAUCUAAAGAUGUUUUCAUGAAAUAUAUGUGGUUGUUAGUUGAAAAACAUGAACUUUAGGUGGUUUGAUGUGAUGCAAGUAUGAAAUCCACCUAUGCUUUAAAGAAUGCAUGCAAGGUGUUUGACGAAAUUCCUAGGAUACUAGAAACGCAUAAUUUCAUGAUUCCAUGAUAUCUGAAUGACAAGUCGAUAUUAGCUAUACACUUCCAUAUGAAUUUCCAUGCUAUUUAUGUGUUGUUGUUGUUGUGGAAUGAAGCAUGUGUGAUAAUGAAAAUAUGAAUUAUAUACACGAAAUGUAUCCAUGAUCUCCCUACCAUGUUGAAAUGUGAAUAAAUACAUGAAGUAUACUAUCCCCUACUUAUAAUAUUGUGAAUUGUGGACUCUAAUCUUAUGAUCAAUUUAUGUCAUGUGUGCUAGUUCCCUUCUAUCAAGUGCUGGGGGUAUUUGUACCCAAAAAAUAUAGCUAUGUUCCUAGAUCCAUGUAAUGUGCCACGAUAAAUCUCAGUCAAGCUAUACUCUAUAGAACGAAGCUAGUCAUGUGACUCAGGAAACAUCAGAAAUCUCAUGAUCUCAGUUAACUCUCAGAUAAUAGUACUAAUCCAUCAGUCAACGGAUGUCAAUUAUUUAGUCCAUUUACAUCCAGUUGAAUCAUGUUCAGUCCCUUCAGAUGGGAGUAGAAGUUAGCACCGAGUGAACCCAGGGAUGGGAACUCACCUUCCAGUUCAGGGUGUGAUUCUUAGCAGUCAUCAUUGUACUCCAAAACUACGUAGCCAGCGUAGGUUGAAACAUCUUAACCUGUUAGAUUAGGAAUGAUGAGGUGGAUUAACCUAUUAGUUUAGGGUCCUACCAUUCUCACUUUGCGUACCUUCCAGGUAAGGGACACUCACAACUGUCCUUACCAGUGGCGCAGUGUUGACACCUCUCCAGUUGGGGCAGAGAUUGGACCCUAGCUUAGCUAUAAUGGUAUACAUGGGGCAUGUCGGUUAAAAAAAUGCCUCCCAUAGUUUUAGUAUCAGUCUUAGUAAAAAAACUCAGACAGUUCUUCAAAUAUCAGUAUACCAGGACUGUUAGAUAUAGUCAAAUUCAUUUAUAGCACGGGACUCAGAGAGUUCUACAAGAUUUAGGACUGUCAAACACAGUCGCUCAUGUAUCAGAACUACAGUUCCAUUCAUGUAUUAGCAUACAGAUUUAGCUACCACGUAGUCACGAUCUCAGUUACUAUGUAUGUAUGUUUGUACUCUUACAUUCAUAUCAGUCAGCCAGUUAGCAUUAUUCAUGCAUGUAUACCCUUUGCAUUAGCCUACCUCACUCGUAUACUCAGUACUCUAGUUGUACUAACUCAUUUUCACUAUGGUGCUUUCUUUUCAUCUUACACCAUAGGUCCAGAGCCGUGAGUUCCAGACCAGCAGUAGCUUUCCAUUCGCAGUGUUGCAGGGAGUCCUCCUCUAUUUAAGGAUAAUAUAAUUUAAUUUAUUCAUUUAUUACUUCACUUUAGUUUUACGGAGUUAGUUGGAAACAUGUUCCUUCAACUCCUUAUUCAGACAGUACUUAGAGGCUUUCAGAUUUAGUUAGACUAAGCUAUCAGAUUCAGUAUUCAGUUUUAUAUUCAGUUGUUUUGGGUAUUCAUUACCCCAUAGAUGUUACUAUAUCUCUUUAGUUGAAACUUAUAGCCUACAUGUUCAGUUUUUCCACGUAUUAUAUGUAUAUUAUGCAGUGUACAGGUACAGAUCUUAGUCAUGGGUUAGCUUGUGGUCCCUCAAGGUCAUAAGGACCGUGUAGCAUUCCGAUUUAGAAAAUCGAGGCAUUACAAACUUGGUAUCAGAGCCUAAGGUUCAAUAGAGUCCUAGGAAUUCUAAAAGCCGCAUCUAGUAGAGUCUUGUGCAUAGGUGUGUUACGCGCCACAUUUAUGUAUAAGAGGAUAUAAGAUGUUUUAGGAACAGUUUCCCUUCUUUAAGUAUUCAUGUCGUGCUAGUGAGCAUAAUUUCAAGUUAAACUCCCAGUCUAAUUCGUUCUUGUCUUAUUUCAGAAUAUGACCUUAGCUAGACUCAUGACCCAUGCUCAGUAGAUAGAGGAGCAAAAGGUUAGGACUAGAGUGAGGCAGAAUAAGAGAGCAAAAUUAGGCAGUUUCAAUUUUUCUUAGCCCAAAUCAGAGGGUGGGAACCAUUCACAGUUUCAUCCUAAGUCAGCAGCUCCAGCUCCUUCCUCCGCUAGUGCCUCAGUGCUGAAAUUCAGAUACGGUAGCAGAGACAAAGCGCCAGGCUCUAAAUCUCAAGGUAGUGUUAGCAGUGCCCAAAAAAAAUACCCUUUGUCAGGCUUGUGGUAAGAACCACAAGGGUAUAUGUAGAACCAGUAGUGAUAUCUGUUUUGGUUAUGGCAAGCCAGGCCACAGGAUUAGAGAGUGUCCGCAGUCAGGUCUUCAGGGUCAGCAAACUUGUUCGCUAGCUCAGUCCGAUCGCCUGAGCCAACAGGGUGCUACUUCCAGUGCUACUAGUGGACAACACCCAAAUAUACUCUAUUCUCUUUAGACCCAACAAGAUCAGGAAAAUUCUCCUGAUGUCGUUACUGGUACGUUACAAAUUUUCCAUGUUCAUGCUUAUGCUUUGCUAGACCCAGGUGCAUCCUUGUCUUUUUUUACUCCAUACAUAGCAGGCAAUUUCAGAAUCAGUCCCGAGAUUUUAGCAGAGCCUUUUUAAGUUUCUACCCCAGUGGACAACACCAUCAUAGCCCAAUGGGUAUACAGGAACUUCCCGAUUAUGAUAUCUCAUAAAUCCACGUCAGCAGAUUUAGUUGAGUUAGAGAUAUUGGACUUUGAUGUCAUUCUCAGCAUGGAGUGGCUUCAUUUAUGCUAUGCCACAGUCUACAGCAAAAAUAGAAUAGUUCAGUUUCAGUUCCUGAAUGAGCCCACCUUAGAAUAGAAGGUAGUGUUUCAGCGUUUAGGGGUCAGCUUGUUUCCUACCUCCGGGCAAGGAAAAUAAUUUCUAAGGGGUGUGUAAAUCAUCUCAUGCAUGUUAAAGAUUCUAUUUCUGAAUCUCCCAGUCUCGAAUCAGUCCCAGUGGUUAGUGAAUAUUCAGAUGUCUUUCCCGAAGAUCUUCCAGACAUUCCUCCUGAAAGGGAAUUAGACUUCGGCAUAGACCUUCUCCUAGAUACUCAGCCUAUCUCUAUCCCGCCAUACAGAAUAGAACCAGAAGAACUUAAGGAACUAAAAGAUCAGUUGAAGGAUCUCUUAGAUAAGGGAUUUAUCAGGCCCAGUGUAUCCUCAUGAGGUGCGCCAGUCUUAUUCAUGUGCAAGAAAGACGGUUCUCUCAAGAAGUGUAUUGGUUACUGUCAGCUCAACAAAGUUAUGGUCAAGAAUAGGUAUCCACUUCCCAGAAUAGAUGAGCAAUUCGACAAACUUCAGGGUGCCAGUUAUUUCUUCAAGAUAGACCUCAGAUCAGGCUAACAUCAUCUCAGAGUUAGAGAAUGUGACAUCCUGAAGACAGCUUUUUGUACUCGGUAUGGUCACUUCAAAUUUCUAGUUAUGUCAUUUGGUCUAACCAAUGCCCCUGCAUCUUUUAUGGACUUGAUUAACCAUGUGUUCAAGCAGUACUUGGACAUAUUUAUCAUAGUCUUUAUAGAUGAUAUUCUGGUCUAUUCUUGCACUGAGCGUGAUCAUUCAGACCAUCUCAUAAUUGUUCUUUAGACCCUCAGAAAUCAUCAUUUAUUCGCCAAGUUCAGUAAGUGCGAGUUUUGGCUAAGAUCAGUAGCAUUACUUGGUCAUGUUGUUUCCUAUGAGGGCAUUAGAUUAGAUCCUCAGAAAACUGAAGCGGUAAAAAACUGGCCCAUACCCAUAUCUCUAAUAGAUAUCAGGAGUUUCUUGGAUUUAGAUGGCUAUUACAGAUGGUUUGUCGAGGGAUUUUCUACUAUUAUGUCUCCUAUAUCCAGAUUGACUCAGAAAAAUGUCAAGUUUAUGUGGUCAAAUUCAUGAGAGAAGAGUUUUCAGGAAUUGAAGACUCAACUAACUACAACUCCAAUUCUAGCUCUUCCAGAUGGUUCAAAUGGGUUUGUAGUAUAUUGUGAUGCAUCCAGAGUGGGUUUACGUUGUUUUCUCAUGCAGCAUGGUAAGGUCAUAACCUACUUCUCCAGACAAUUAAAGCCCCAUAAGAAGAAUUAUCCUACUCAUGAUCUUGAGUUAGCAGCCGUAGUUUUUUCCUUGAAGAUUUGGAGGCAUUAUCUUUACGGAGUUCAUGUAGAAGUCUUCACAGGUCAUAAGAGUCUCCAGUAUGUCUUUUCUCAAAAAGAUCUCAAUCUUCAUCAGAGAAGGUGGUUAGAGCUCUUGAAGGACUAUGACAUAAGUGUCCUUUAUCAUCCGGGAAAGGCCAACAUUGUGGCCGAUGCUCUCAGCAGACUCUCCAUGGGCAAUAUUUCUCACGUUAAGGAUAGCAAGAAAAAGAUAGCUCAGGAAAUCCAUUAGCUUACCAGACUAGGCGUUCUCUUAGUUGACUCUUUAGAGAGUGGUGUAUAUGUUUAGAUUAGUUUAGAGUCAUCUCUAGUUUCCGAGGUGAAAGAAAAGUAAGACAUGGAUCCUAGCCUUGUCAAGCUGAAAGAGUUAGUUCAGAAUUAGAAAGUUCGCGUUUUCUCCCAAGGGGGAGAUGGUGUUCUUCAUUGUCAGGGUUGUUUGUGCGUUCCGGGUGUAUAUGACAUGCAACGAAUUGUGGCUAAGUGCUCUACAUGUCAUCAGGUUAAGAUAGAACAUCAGAAACCUAGUGGUUCCAUGCAGGAGUUCACCAUUCCUACUUGGAAAUGGGAAGAAGUGAACAAGGACUUUGUGAUGGGUUUGCCUAGAACUCGUCAUCAGCUUGAUUCAUUUUAGGUCAUUGUAGAUAGAAUGACCAAAGCCUAUUUCCUUCUAGUUCAUACCUCUUAUUCAGCCAAGGAUUACGCCAAACUCUACAUCAAGGAGUUGGUCAGAUUACACGGUGUUCCCUCAGCUGUUAUCUCAGAUAGAGGUACCCAGUUCACCUCUUACUUCUAAAAAGCAUUCAUAAAGGGUCUUGGUACCUAAGUUCAUCUCAGUACAGCAUUUCAUCCUCAAACAGAUGGUCAAUAAGAAAGGACCAUUCAGACUCUCAAAGAUAUGCUAAGGGCGUGUGUAAUUGAUUUCAAGGGAAGUUGGGAUGAACACUUGGCCUUGAUUGAGUUUGCAUACAACAAUAGCUAUCAUUUUAGUAUCCAGAUAGCUCCCUUCAAAGCUCUCUAUGGUAGGAUAUGUAGAUCUCUGAUCAGUUGUUUCAAAGUUAGUGAGGCCUCAGUCAUAGGUCCUGACUUAGUAUUCGAUGCCUUAAAGAAAGUUUAGUUGAUCAGAGAGAGACUCCGGGAUGCUUAGAGCCGAUAGAAGUCUUAUGCAGAUAUUUGUAGGAAAGAUCUCGAGGUCGAGGUCAACAACUAUGUCUAUCUUAAGAUCUCUCCCAUGAAGGGAGUAAAGAGGUUCGACAAGAAAGCAAAACUCAGUCCCCAAUAUGUCGGUCCCUUCAGGAUUCUCUGUCACUUUGACAAGGUAGUUUAUAAGCUAGAAUUGCCUUCAGAUCUAGCCUCAGUUUAUCCAGUCUUCCAUGUCUCUUUUCUCAAGAAGUGCAUAGGUGACCCAGCAGUUGUAGUCCCUGUUCAGAGUAUUGACAUUCAGAACAGCCUCUCUUAUGAAGAGAUUCGAGUCAAAAUCUUAGACUAUCAGACUCGUCGAUUGAGGUACAAAGAAUUCCCUCUAGUUAAGGUUCUUUAGCGAAAUCAGUCUCAUGAGAGAGCUACUUAGGAAAUAUAAAUAGAUAUGCGUACCAAGUAUACUCACCUCUUCCCUACAAAUUCAGAUCAAGCUCAAGGCAAUAGUUCUCCUUAAGCUUAUUCAGUUUCAUGUUCAUGUCCCCAGUUUAAAAUUGGUAUCUAUUAUCAUUAAAUACUUAGUCACGCAUUAAUGUAUCACUUCAAUUAUAAGGUCAUGCAUCAGAUAUGCAUUCUCAUCUUGAGAAGCUCAGUUUAUCAGAUUGCUCAGUUACGCAUCCAUGUACCAGUUAUCCAUGCAUCAGAUAUGCAUGAGUUCAAUAUGUUUAGCACGUCAGUCAUGAGAUCAUGUUUUAGUCCUUCAUGUUCAGUUCAUGUUCGGCUUGUCUUAUUCUUCCCUCUCAGUUAAGUGCCAUUCGAGGAUAAAUGUUCCCAAGCAGAAGAUAUUGUAAUACCCCAAAAAAUCCAAAUCAAUAUUUGCUCCAUGUUUCAAGAUCAUUCAUAGAACAUCAUGUUUCCUUGGUAGUUUCAUGAUCAAGGUUGAUGUGAAUUAAGGUAUCGAAUAUGUCCUAGCUAUUGUGCGAAUCAAACAUUCCUUACCGAUUGAAUUCUUGAGAACGAUAUUGGUAUCAUCAAAUUCAAAUGAGCAUAUCUCUCAUUAUACUACGAAUUUUUGAUCCCAUGACAUACCAAGGGAUAGAUAAUUUAAUAAUCUUUCCGUCAAUACGAAAUUCGCCUAAAACGGACACCCGGUGAAGAAGUUAUGGCUAUUUUAAGUUUUUGAUGUAAGACUAAUGCCAUUUCAAUGCAUGGCACGUCACGCCGGAGGACAAAAUGGAACUCGUCAAUUUCCAUAAAGCCUCCGCGAUAGCCCCGCUUCGCUCCAAGCUUCCAGGUCAUAAUAAUUGGCAUUUUACCAAGCUCCGCAUCGCGCUGGGGCCCUAAAUCGGGAUAAAUUUUGCGUAGUUUACAGUUUUCAUUUUAAACUCCUCAAGGGCAAUAUGGUAAUUUCCCAAAACCCUAGAUAUACUAUUUAAAUAUGGGAUUAAAUCCCCAAAGCAUCCCUUUUCAUUAAUUUUAUCAAAAUUCACUCAAGAACAGUCAAGAACAAGUCUAGGGUUUCCAUUGGGGUUUCAACCUUCUAGCAAAUUCAAUCGUAGAUUCCACAAAUUCUUAAUCUAAGGUAUGCGUAGUGUUCAUAUAUGGAUCCAAUCCAUUCAUAGAGCUCAAGAACCAUGUUUUUAAAUGUUAUUUUUUAAACUUUUUGUGGUGAUAUAAGCAUGUACAUGUUGAUGAUUGUUGUUUAAGUUUCAAAAUGAUAUCUAAAGAUGUUUUCAUGAAAUAUAUGUGGUUGUUAGUUGAAAAACAUGAACUUUAGGUGGUUUGAUGUGAUGCAAGUAUGAAAUCCACCUAUGCUUUAAAGAAUGCAUGCAAGGUGUCUGAUGAAAUUCCUAGGAAGCUAGAAACCCAUAAUUACAUGAUUCCAUGAUAUCUAAAUGACAAAUCCAUAUUAGCUAUACACUUCCAUAUGAAUUUCCAUGCUAUUUAUGUAUUGUUGUUGUUGUGGAAUGAAGCAUGUGUGAUGAUGAAAAUAUGAAUUAUAUACACGAAAUGUAUCCAUGAUCUCCCUACCAUGUUGAGACUUGAAUAAAUACUUGAAGUAUACUAUCCCCUACUUAUAAUAUUGUGAAUUAUGGACUCUAAUCUUAUGAUCAAGUCAUGUCAUGUGUGCUAGUUUCCUUCUAUCGAGUCCUGGGGGUAUUCGUACCCGAAAAAUAUAGCUGUGUGCCUAGAGCCAUGUCAUGUGCCACAAUAAAUCUCAGUCAAGCUAUAAUCUAUAGAACUUAGUCAGUCAUAUGACUCAGGAAACAUCAGAAAUCUCAUGAUCUCAGUUAACUCUCAGAUAAUAGUACUACUCCGUCAGUCAAUGGAUGUCAGUUAUUCAGUCCACGUACAGCCGGUUGAAUCAUGUUCAGUCCCUUCAGAUAAGAGUAGAAGUUAGCAUCGAGUAAACCCAAGAAUGGGAACUCACUUGCCAGUUCAGGGUGUGAUUCUUAGCAGUCAUCCUUGUGUUCUAGAAAUAUGUAGCCAGUGUAGGUUGAGACAUCUUAACCUGUCUGAUUAGGGUUGAUAAGGUGGCUUAACCUGUCAGUUUAGGGUCCCACCAUUCUCACUUUGAGUACCUGCCAGAUAAGGGUCACUCACAACUGUCCUUACCAGUGGUGCGGUAUUGAUACCCCUCUAUUUUGGGAAGAGCUUGGACCCCAGCUUAGCCAUAAUGGUAUAUAUGGGGCAUGUCGGUUAAAAAACUACCUCCCAUAGUUUCAGUAUCAAUCUCAGUAAAAAAACUCAAACAGUUCUUCAGAUAUCAGUAUAGCAGGACUGUUAGAUACAGUUAAAUUCAAUUUUAGCAUGGGACUCAGAGAGUUCUACCAGAUUCAAGACUGUCAGACACAGUCGCUCAGGUAUCAGAACUACAGUUCCAGUAUGUAUUAGCGUAUAAAUUUAGCUACCACGUACUCACGAUCUCAGUUACUAUGUAUGUAUGUUUGUACUCUUACGUUUAUAUCAGUCAGUCAGUUAGCAUUAUUCAUGCAUGUAAACUCUUUACAUUAGCCUACCUCACUCGUAUUCUCAGUACUCUAGUUAUACUGAUGCAUUUGCGCUAUGGUGCUUUCUUUUCAUGUUACACCAUAGGUCCAGAGCCACGAGUUCCAAACCAGAAAUAGCUUUCCAGUCACAGUGUUUCGUGGAGUCCUCAUCCAUUCGAGGAUAAUAUGAUUUGAUUUAUUCAUUUAUUACUUUAGUUUAGUUUUACGAAGUUAGUUGGAUACAUAUUCCUUUAACUCCUUAUUUAGACAGUACUUAGAGGCUUUCAGAUUUAGUCAGAUUGAGCUAUCAAAUUCAGUAUUCAGUUGUUUUGGGUAUUCAUUACCCUAUGGAUGUUACUAUAUCUCUUCAGUUGAACCUUAUGUCCUAUAUUUUCAGGUUUUUCGUGUAUUAUAUGUAUAUUAUGCAGUGUAUAGGUACAGAUAUCAGUCAUGGGUUAGCUUGUGGUCCCUCAGGGUCAUGAGCAUCGUGUAGCAUUCUGAUUCAAAAAAUCAGGGCGUUACGGAACCCGUAGGUAGGGUAGUGGGGAUAUCCGGGGCUGCCUCAAUAUCAAAGGGAAAAUAAAACAUGGUGAUGUUUGUUAGAAAGAAGGAUCUCUUCAUGGAUCAUGAUAAGGAGACCCUCAUGCUUAUUUUGGCACAUUGUUUUAACACUAACCCCACUAAUUAUUCUAUUUCUCCUUUGAUUUUUUGUGUGUUGCAGGAUUAUGAAGAUGUUUUUCCCAAAGAACUUAAACAAGGUAUGUCCCCUCUUUGGGGAAUUGAGCACCAAAUAUAUUUUAUGCCGGGAUCAUAAUUACCCAACAAAUCGGCUUAUAGGAGCAACCCGACGGAUACCAAGGAAUUGCAACACCAAGUUGAGGAACUCCUCAACAAAGGGUAUAUCAAGGAGAGUAUGAGCCCUUACGGGUCCCGGUGCUACUAGUUCCCAAGAAAGAUGAGACUUGGCGUACAUGCAUUGAUUGCUGAGCCAUCAAUAAGAUAACGGUAAAAUAUUGUCACCCUAUUCCUAGGAUAGAUGAUAUGCUUGAUUAAUUGAGUGGUUCAUGUUUGUUUUCUAAAAUUGAUUUGAGGAGUGGCUAUCACCAAAUCCAUAUGCAACUAGGUGAUGAAUGGAAAACCGCCUUUAAGACCAAAUUCGAUCUCGAUGAAUGGAUGGUUAUGCCAUUCAUCCUAACAAAUGGCAUGUAAAACAUAUAAAAUAUUUACAAUGUGUGUUUUUUGUCUAUGUUGAUGAUGUGUUGGUGUAUAGUAGGUCCUUAGAUGAGCAUGUAAAACAUUUACAAUAUAUGUUUAUGACCUCCGAAAAGAGAAGUUAUAUGCGAAUUUAGAAAAGUGUUCUUUUGGUGUCCAAGAAGUUGUAUUUCUUUGUUUUGUGGUGAGCUUAAGAGGGGUCGGAGUAGAUGAAUCUAAGAUUGACGCUAUCAAAAAUUGGAAACUUUCAAAACCAUAGGUGAAGUGAGAAGCUUCCAUGGGUUGGAUAGUUUUAAUAGAUGUUUUGUCAAAGGAUUUAGCACCAUUGCCGCCCCCUUGACCGAAGUGAUUAAAAAGGAUCGGCCUUUCAAGUGGGGAGAUGAACAAGCUAAGGCCUUCAAGGACUUGAAAUCUAUGCUCAUCUCAACCCUUUUUUUAUAAUUGCCGAACUCUGACAAGACUUUUGAGGUUGAAUGUAAUGCUAGCAAAGUUGGUAUAGGCGCGGUUUUAAUGCAAGAAUUGAAGCAUAUUGCCUACUUUAGCAAAAAUCUCAAAGGAGCAACUCCAAACUACUCUAAGUAUGAUUUAGAGUUGUAUUCCUUGAUUAUACCCUUGGCCACUUGGUAACAUUAUUUAUGGCCUAAAGAAUUCAUGAUCCGAACGGACUAUGAGUCCUUGAAGCAUCUUCGGGCACAAGAUAAGCUUAACAAAUGGCAUGCCAAGUGGAUUGAGUUUCUUGAAACUUUUACUUAUGUUAUUCAUUACAAAAAGGUUAAGGACAAUGUGGUUGCCGAUGCUUUGUCUCAAAAGCACGUUCUUGUGUCUACUUCAUCUUCAAAAUUGAUGGGCUUUGAGAUCUGAAAGGAAUUGUAUCCCCAGGACCCUUACUUUGCUCCUAUCUAUAGGGAAUACAAAGAAUGGGGUAGGGAUAAGUGGGAUUCGAUUAGGGAUUCAAAUCCUUAUUCCAAGUUUGACGGUUACUUGUUUAAAGGUAGGCGAUUGUGUGUAUCCUCUAGCACUUGGAGAGAGUUAUUUGUGAGAGAAGCACACAAUGUCGGUCUAAUGGGUCACUUUGGGGUUGAAAAGACCCUUGGAAUAUUGGAGUAGCAAUUCUAUUGGCCAAAAAUACACAAGGAUGUAUGUAGGAUUUGCGGCCAAUGUGUAGAUUGCAAAGGAGCCAAAUCUCGGUUCCAACCUCAUGGGUUGUACACCCCGCUACCCACCCUUUUACAUCCUUGGCUUGAUAUAUCUAUGGAUUUUUUGUUAGGGUUUCCAAGGAAUAUAAGAGGUCGGGAUAGUAUCUUUGUUAUGGUUGAUCGGUUUUCUAAGAUGGCACACUUUAUCCCAUGCUCUAAAUGUGAUGAUGCACCUAGUGUGGCCUCUUUGUUUGUUGAUAAUGUUGUCAAGUUGCAUGGUGUUUUAAGGACCAUUAUGAGUGAUAGGGACUCUAAGUUCCUAAGUCACUUUUGGAAGUCCAUGUGGGGCAGGCUUGGUACCAAGUUGUUGUUCUCUACUUCUUGCUACCCACAAACCAAUGGCUAAACGGAAGUAGUAAAUAGAACUUUGGGUGCUAUGCUACAUUCCAUGAUUAAGGGAAAAUUGACUUCUUGGGAGGAACACCUACCAUUAAUUGAGUUUGCCUAUAAUCGUGUCAUACACUCAAGUACGGGAAUGACUCCCUUUGAGUGUGUAUACGGCCUCAACCCCCUUACCCCUUUGGAUUUAACUCCUUUGCCAAGUGAUUUUAUGAUUAGCCUAGAUGGAAGAAAGUGGUCAGAUUUUAUGAAAAAGUUGCAUGAGAAGGUGCAUCUUCGACUUGAGAAGAAAAAUCAAGAGAUUGCAAAGCGGGCAAACAAAGGAAUAAAGAAAGUGAUUGCAAAGCGGGCAAACAAAGAAAUAAAGAAACUCAUUCUUGAACCGGGAGAUUGGGUGUGGGUGUACCUUAGGAAGGAUAAGUUUCCAUAUCAAAGGAAGAUCAAAUUGAUUCCAAGGGGUGAUGGUCCAUUCCAAGUACUUGAAAGAAUCAAUGAUAAUGCCUACAAGAUUGACCUUCCCUUGGAAUACCAAGUGCACAACACUUUCAGUGUGUGUGAUCUUUCUCUAGUGGAUGCUGUUGAGGAUGACCAAAUGUCAAAUUUGAGGUCAAAUUCCUCUCAAGAUAGAGAGGAUGAUACUGGUGUACCAAGCUGUCCAACAAGUUCUACAAGCUGUCCAGCAAGUUCACAACCAUUUACACGUAGCCAAGCUCAGGAGUUACAAAAACUCCAAGUUAUGUUCAUGAAAAUUGCCAUGUGUGAGUUGGUACUUGAUCUUUCCAACGUAAUAAAUAUUUUUAAGUGUGAAAAGGAGCCUUGAAGUGUAAUAAACUUAAACUCCAAGGCCACCCCUUGGCAAGGGUAGGAUGGUCAUUUGUUAUCUCCCUUUGUGGACUAAUAUAAAUAGAUAGUGUUAAGGUUAUUUUUGAGUUAUUUCAUUCAUAUUUUGGAAGACAACAAACAGUUUGUAAUAUUUUGGAACUUCUCUUUUCCAUUGGAGAAGCCCCAAUUCCAAAAACUCACCAGUAGAGUGAUACUAGUGUUGUCUCUUGGCUAGAAACUAGGGUCUUGGGGUUUUUGAGUUCCUCUUGGUCUAAGUAAGAGCUUGGUAUUAAUAUUCAUUAAUCUUAGGGUCCUUUCUCUUGUUAGGGUUCUUAGAUCAUUGAAUAUUAUGUGUCAAGUUACUAUCCCUCUUGUAAUCUUGUUAAUCUUGUGUUGUUGGAAUCUUGAAGUCUAGUGAAGCCGUGUGAGGAUCUUUUGAUUAACUAGAAUUAUUAUUAACUUGUCUGUUCUUGUUGUUAAUAUCAUCUUCUUAUUCUAAAAAUGUGACUCUUGAAGACUAGUGAAGCCGUGUGUGGCCUAUUUCGAUUCACUGGCACUUGUUGUUCAUAUUGUUGUUCUUGUUGUUGUUUGUUUCUUGUGUUGUGCACUUGGUCUCAUAUCAGAGGUGAGGUGGAGAGGUUGUUUCCUAUAAAAACCCCGGCUCAUAUGAUCCACAUUGAUCUAUCAUAGAAAUAUACUAUAUGUUAUUCUUUCGUGUAAAAUUAUUUAACUAAAGCUUUGUUUUACAACGCACUAAUACUAUUUUAUAAAAUCAUGUAUAACGUAGUUGAGCAUGCUUGUACAACGCACGUGUCGAGUAACUAGCAUCCAAAGAAGUGCAAAGCAUUUAGUCCUAUGAAUAUGAAAUACCAACACUAAGUCCGUCCAUCCAAAGACAUUUUAGUAUAUGGGAAGUGGAACUAAAUUCCAAUAUGAAAAAAUAUUAUGAAUAAUGAAUCAAAGAAUAAUUCAAAAAAUAAAGUCAAAGAACGGUGUCAGCUACCAUUCUGGCAGUUAUUAACUAACAAAGUAUACCUAUACGAAAUGAGUAACCUGUGUUUAGGAAUGCACUCACAUCAUCGCAUAAUGCGAUGAUGCAAAGCAAUGCCAUCCCUUCUUAUUUUGUUUGGCUGAUGCUAACCAACCUUACAGAAGCGGGCUCAUCACAUGGUUAUGCAACAUGCAAGCCAAUGCAAGUGCAUCAUGUUUAUUUUAUUUUUAGGGUCAAUUUUUAAUAAAAAAGAGUUAUUUCAUGUUGAUUUUAUAUUUAGGGUCAAUUUUAUAUUGUAUUAAAAAAGAGUCUACUACUUCAACUACCAGUGGUGCAAUUUUCUAUAAUUAACUUUGAAGUCCACUAUUGUGACUUCCUCUUCUUCACUGUGACUACCACUGCGUGCGACUUCUUUUUCUUCACUACUUUAGAAGAACAGGAAUUAAAUGUUGAAACAUUAUUAAUUUAGAUUUGGUAUUUCUUCUUUUUCCUGGUUUGUUUUACUAUUUUGUUAAACGAUUUUAUAAUUAUUGCUUGUGUUGUUGCAGCAGGUGUUUCGGUGAUCAAACCUGUGAUUCUGGUAUUUAAUUUAAACUUUGCUUAUAUAUAUUAUUUUUAUUGUUGAUUAUAUGGUUGUUUUGCCCUUUUCAGCUCUGUCUUACUGUUUCGAUGCUCUAUUAGUCUUUUUUCUUUUAAAUUACGCUGAGGAUGUGUAUUGAUUAUCAGCAAUUGAAUAAGGUGACUAUUAAGAAUAAAUAUCCUCUCCCAAGAAUUGAUGAUUUAUUUGAUCAGUUACAGGGCGCCAAGUGCUUUUCUAAGAUUGAUUUGAGGUCAGGUUACCACCAAGUGAGGGUCAAAGAGAAGGAUAUACCCAAGACAGAUUUUUGAACACUGUAUGGUCAUUACGAGUUUCUAGUUAUGUCAUUUGGUCUAACAAAUGCACCCUCAACUUUUAUGGAUUUGAUGAAUAGGGUGUUUAAGCCAUUCCUGGAUGUAUUUGUGAUAGUUUUUAUAGAUGAUAUUCUAGUUUAAUCUAGAUCAGAAGAGGACCAUGCCAAUCAUUUACGACAGGCAUUGCAGACUCUUCAUGAUUGUAAGCUUUAUGCAAAGUUCUCUAAAUGUGAGUUUUGGUUAAAGUCGGUGGCAUUUUUGGGUCAUAUUGUAUCUAGUGAAGGGAUAAAGGUUGAUGCUCAAAAGAUAGAAGCUGUGAAGAACUGGCCAAGGCCCACAACGCCUACAGAGAUUCAUAGUUUUCUCGGAUUGGCUGGUUAUUAUAGAAGGUCUGUUGAAGGCUUUUCUUCCAUUUUAGCACCCUUAACCAAGCUAACCCAUAAAGCAUCCAAAUUCCAAUGGAAUGAUGCCUGUGAGAAGAGUUUUCAAGAUUUAAAGAACAAGUUGAUUUCUACACCCGUGUUGGUACUUCCAGAAGGCACCGAAGGGUAUACAGUGUAUUGUGAUGCUUCCAGAAUUGGUUUAGGAUGUGUAUUGAUGCAGCAUGGUAAGGUAAUAGCAUAUGCUUCUAGACAAUUGCGGCCACAUGAGAAAAAUUAUCCUACACACGAUCUUGAGUUGGCAGCAGUUAUUUUUGCUUUAAAGAUAUGGCGCCACUACUUAUAUGGGGUUCAUGUUGAUAUAUAUACUGACCAUAAGAGCUUGCAAUAUAUUUUUAAUCAGAAGGAUCUAAAUUUAAGGCAGCGGAGAUGGCUUGAACUAUUAAAGGACUACGAUGUUGAUAUCUUGUCUUCUUGAAACUCUGAAUAAAGAGCUUAUCGUACAUAAUGCUGUGGAAUCUUCAUUAGUAGCUAAAGUGAAUGAGAAGCAAUAUGCAAAUCCUAUUUUAUUACAGAUUAAGGAGAACAUUCUGAGUGGUGUGACCAAGGCACAUUGUUCAAGGUAUUCCAUUCAUCCAGGAUCAACCAAAAUGUAUCAAGAUUUGAAAGAUAUGUAUUAGUGGAAUGACAUGAAGAAGAGCAUUGCAGAAUUUGUAGUUGAAUGUCCAAAUUUUCAAAGAUUUAAAGUUGAGCACCAAAAACUCGAAGGUUAUAUGCAAUGCAUUGAUCUUUCAAGCUGGAAGUGGGACAUGAUCAACAUGGAUUUCGUUAUUAGUUUGCAUCGUACAUCCCGGAAGUUUGAUUCUAUAUGGGUGAUUGUUGAUAGGCUUACCAAAUCCACACAUUUCCUACCAGUUAGGACCACUUACACAGUUGAAGAGUAUGCGAAGCUGUACAUUAAAGAGAUAGUCCAAUUACAUAGAGUGCUAAUCUCUAUUAUAUCAGAUCGGGGAACCCAAUUUGAGGACUAAUUUCCUAAAGGGGGGGAGGAUGUAAAACCCCGUAUUCAAGUACGUGUAUUGGCAUAUUCAAGUACCUGUAUUGGUCUUAUUUAUAUGGAAUUAAUUUUUUAUUUUAUUUAUACCAGAAUUUGCCCGUCGAUAGUUCCAUGUGAAGGUUAUUGAAUAAGCUUUCCAACGAUAUAAAGAUUUCUAAAAACGGAUAGGUUUUGGAUAUAAUCGAGCACGUUCGAAACUAUAAAACGGUGGCCGGGAUAUUUAGGAAUAGUAAAUGUGCAGGAAAAUUUCCUGCACACAAACUACUGAGGUUAGCCGAAUUUUUGGGUCAACUUCGAAUGAUCAAACUCCCUUAAUAUAAUGAACGGGGAGAGUUGGGACCUAUGAAAAGAAAGAUCAUUGAGUAUUCUUUCCAAUUCAAUUGGUUUCAUCCGAAUCCAACGUAUGAGUAAGGAGUUAUACUCGUUUUACUUCAGCCUAUCAAAAUAGAUUUUUAGGGACAACUUCAAAUGACCAUAACACCUUGUAAAGGAUGAACUGGGUGGCCUACUUUAUAUGAAAUGAAAACCCUUUGAAUUAUCCUUCCAACGAUACCAAUUUCACCCAAAUCCGAUAUCGGAGCAAAGAGUUAUGGUCGAUCUACUUUAGCUUAUCAAAACAGUCCACCAAAGGACAGAUUUGACAUUAUUUAAAUUUUAAAGGCAUUUUGGUCAUUUCCUAUUAUAUUAUGGACAGGAAUAUGUGUAUAUAUACAUGUAUAUGAGUUUAAAAACUCAUUUUCAUCAUCAAUCAUUGAGAAAGAACAAACCCUAGCCAAAUUUGACCUUUAAAUUACUUUUGAUUCAACCAUAGAAAUUCAAAAGUAAUCCGAUAACUGCGUUUGUCAUCUUGAGAGCUCCGAACGGCACCUAUUAUUUGUGCAAACAAUAUUGCAUAAUAAAGAGGUGAAUUCUAAGGUAUGAAUAUUGUUUGCCUUUGUUCUUUUCCAUAUGUAUAUGUGUGAUAGAGGAUUAUAUGUAUUGGAUGUUAUUAAAAGGUGAUGGAAUUAGUGUUAUGGACUAUUUUGCAUGGUUUGGGUGUAUAGAAUUGCGGAAGGUGAUAUGGUAAUUGAGUUAUGGAAGGUGGAUAUGGUGAUAUACUAUUGAAUUGAUGAUUAUUUAUGUCUAUGUCUCAAUUUGGUUUAAUGGAUUGGUUGGAAGGAUAAAUGAAUCCAAACUUGAUAUUGGAGGAUGUUGUAUGAAUAUGCAUGGCAUGUGAAUGUAAUUGGAGUAUAAGAGGGUUAAAGUGACACCCUUUAUGGUGUAAUUAAGGCUUACUACUUAACCAUUAGUUUGGUGAAUUCAAAUAAUUGAAUUGUGACGUUUGGUUGCUAAUACUAGAUUGCUAUAUAUGUUCAUUGUAGAUAAGUAAUCUGAAAAGACGGGAAGUCCAUUUGGGACUAGUAUUGAAGGUUGACAGUCAGGUAUGUAAAGCAUACUCUAUACCAUAUCUUUGGCAUGAAAGUGAACAAUUGUUCUAUUAAGAAAGUUUCCAAAGUUAUUCAGUAACAUGUGAUCCAUAAUGGUUUUGUAUGAUGUCCUACGUUACCAAUGAACUUGUUUCCUCCCUACAAGAUGUCAAGACAUUCCAAUACUUACUUGUCUUCCAAAUCUUACAUGUUUAUUGUACUAAUGAAUGUUAGAAGGUAUCCGGUUACUCAAACAAGAUUCAUGUGCUAUUAAUGACUCCAAAAUGUUUCAUUGAUAUACCAAUAAGUUCCUACUUCAUUAUUAUGGAAUUGAUGACUCCAAAACACUUCAUUGAUAUGCCAUUGAGUUCUUACUUCAUUGCUAUUGCAUUGAUGGUAUAUUUGCAUGUCUCUUAUUGAUUUAUCAUUAUUUCAAAGUAUCAAAAAUGCGGUGGCGACCGAAAUAACAAUCUCAAAGAUUAAUUGAACUAAGUGAUGGAAGUUCUCUCUUAUCGGGUGGUAUCCCAGGGGCAUAAGCCUAUCAUGGGUCGAUCCCAGUUGAUAUGUACUGGAGGCAGCCUAAUGGUCACAGUACAGUACAGUAAUAAUUACAAAGUUAUAAGAACGAAGGUAAAGUGAUUGAAUAAAUACAAUGUACAGGUUGUCACAAGUUCUAGUAAGUGUGGUCCACUCCUAUUACGAUUUAUUCACUUAUUUCUGAUUUCUAUUGAGCUCCUAUAUCAUAUGUGAUUAUCUACAGCCUUACGUACUCAGUACAUAACCUGCAUUUCAUGCUACAGGCACACGUACCUCAGCUCAUACACCGCACAAGUAGGAGCCAGGAUAUCCAACUACUUUUGGUGAGCUCCAGUUUUCUUCGGGGAUUUUCGUGUCAUAUCCAAUCACUUUUGGUAUUGUAUAGAAGUUAGUUAUAUGGCGGGGUGUGUCCCGACCUUAGUUAAACUCUGUUAUUAUCUAGAGGCUUUGUAGACCUAAUGUAUAGUCAAGGUGGUGUUUUGUUAAUAGACGUGAUGGCUCCAACAGCCAAGUAUUGUAUAUACAUAUAUAUGUGUGCUCGAGCUUAUACAGGUGAUUAUUUCCUUUUAUAUUUGACAUGAUGUUGUUCGAAUUUCUGGUUGUCAUAGAGGUAUGCAUGGGAAGUAUAAGUUUAUGAGCUGGUUCUCCCGGACCUCCUCGGUUACGAGUGCCAGUCCGCCCCAAUAGGAUUUGAGGCGUGACAUUUGGUAAUUGCAUAAUGAGACAGUAUUGCAUUCUUCCCGACUAGAGUCGUCGAUCGAUCACUCUGAGAUGAACCGAUUCUUACUACCUUAUAUAUUUAACUAAUACCUUAAUUGAUUAAGCUAGGACUAGGGGUGAGUUCUCAUAGGAUCAACUACAAUAGAUGACAGCGCCUAUUUGAUAAUUUACAAUAGAAUGGUAAUCUUUUGUGACAUGUGACAAUCUAUUUGAUAAUUUACAAUAGAUAGGUAAUCUGUCGCAACAGAUUACUUAAUCUGUUUGAUAAUUUACAAUAGAUGUGUAUCUGAUGCAAUAGGUUAAACAUUUAUUUUUAUACAAUUUCAAUUAAGUUUAUAUACCUAAAUUGAUUAAUUUAGGACAAGGGGUGAGUUCAUAGGGUCAACUACAACUUCAAUUGAGCAUUUUGGCAAUUGCAUGAUGAGAGGGUUAAAAAUUACGCAUAUCUUUUAUAAUUUUAAAAGAAUAAUUAAGAUCAAUUCGGACCAAAUUAACAUUUUCAAAACUUGUCAUUCUUUUCCAAAAUACAAAUCAACCCAUACAAAUCAUCCAUUUGCGAGAAAAACGUUUCAUCAUUUCAAAUCUCGAGUUCUCGCUCUUUUCUCUUUCUCACUCAAUUAUAUAGUACAGACAAAAACUAAUCAAGAAAUUGCUUUAUCCUUCAUAACAAAUCAAUUUUUUCUCAGUUUCGAUCACAUAGGUGUUAUUUUCGACUUUAUUCUUGCUUGUAUCAAUCAUUUUCUAGGUCUUCGUAGGUAAAAAAGUUCAAGAGAAGUUCUAUAUUUGUUAUUUAUUUCUAAAAAAUAAGGGCUUUUAAGUUAAUUAUGAAAAAGGAAACUUUUAGUUGUAUUAUCUUCGAGAAUGGGAUUACAAUUUUGAGUUUUGAUGGUAAAAUCGUAGGAAGAACUCGAGAAAACCUUUGUUUCUGUUGUAAUCUUCCGUUGACUAUCGUGGUAUUAUUGGAUGGUGUUUGUUGUGUUUGUGGUGGCAGCGGUGGUGGUCGUCGUCGUCAUCAUCAUCAUCAUCAUCAUCAUGGUGGCACUGGUGGUGGCUGUUGGUGGCAUUGGUUUGUGAUGUUUGUGGUGGCAUUGGUUGGUGGUGUUUAUGGUGACUAUCGGUGGUGUCGGUAUUCGUGGUGUUUGUGGCAUUGGUUGGUGGUAUUUGUAGUGGUGAUGGCUGUUGGUAUAUCGUUAUUGGUGGUGCUUGUAAUGUAUUUUUAAAAAUUUAUGUAUACAUUAAUUAUAAAGUAAUUUUUGUUUUUCUGUUUUUUGUAAGUAAAAUAUGUCUCCCAAAAAAAUAAAGUGAAAGUGGAUCAACGUCUUACCACCCAAAAAAAAGGCUAUAGUACAGAGGGAUUCGGAGAAGCUUCCUGAACAAUCUCAGUCAGGGAAACAAAGUGAAGCUAAGGAAAGAUAUAAAAACAAUAUUGAGGGAGGUGGACAAGGGUCUGUAGAUGGUGAUGAAGAAAAUAAAAGUGAUAAAGGGGAGGAAUUAGUGAGUGAGAAAGAGAAAGAGGAUGAUCAUCAACAUGAUGAUAAUGGAUCACCAAUGGGGAAUGAAUUAAUAUCGACAUCCCAGCAUGAUCCUGUCAAAACUUUUAGUAUUGACAAGUUUCAAGUUGCGAUGUCGAUAAAUGACCAAAAAGCAAAAGAAAAACUAACUGGUGAAAUUGUACUUAAAUGUCAGAUGGGGAGUAAAUUUAUUUAUUUUAGAAAAAUUAUGAAGGACGAAAUCAUAGACGAACUUUUUAAGAAGAGUUACUUUAGACACUUUCUUAAGCUUUCUGAUCCCCUGUUUCCAUAUGAGGAUGGUAUAUGGCUUUUUCAAUAGCAGGAUCAAGUACAUGGGGAUGAUGAAGAUUAAAAGGAGGGGGGAAAAUAUUGAUGAAAUCUGGAUCAACUAAUGUGGCAUACCGAUUUGUUUUGGCUUGUAAGAGUUUGCCAUAAUGACAGGCUUAAGAUGCCAUUGUCCAGAAGAACCACCUAUCGCCAAGGGAACACCCCGCAAAAGAUCCAAGGCAAGAAAAUGCAAGAAAAAAAUAGAUGGGUUGUUUGACAUUUCUCAAUGUGGCUACAAAGCAUCGGAUUUCAUGGAUAAAACCAUACCAAAGCAGUAUAAGGAGCAAUUGUGCUUAAUUUGGUUUGGCCAUUCGGUUAUAUUGGCAAGAGACGUCAACAAGGUAAUAGAAGAUGAUUUGUUAGUGCGUGCUACAGAUUUUGAUAAAUUCAACAAUUAUUCCUAUGGAUACGACAGCUUCUACUUGACUGUCCAAUAUUUACUGAUAAAGCUAUCCUUAGGGACGACCACAUUAUACGGCUUUUCUUGGGUUUUCAUAGUAAAAUUAAUCAAUAUUUUAACUCAUCCAUUAAGUUAUAUUGAAUAUAGUUAUUAUGAUUUUUUUGCUUGCUUCCUAUUUACAUGUUUUAGGCUUGGGCAUUUGAAGUCAUUCCCCCCCCCCCCUCCGAAAGCAGGUAAUGGAUUACCCUGAUGAGGUUUCUAAUGAAAGGAUGUUUAGGUGGCUGGAUGCAAAGAGCAACACCAAAAUUAAGGAGGCUGGUCUCUUUAACCCUCCGAAUGAUACAAGAUGAUUUUUUCAAGUAAAAUAAUUUUACUCAAUGAAAUGAAAGAUAUUGAACAGAUGUUAUAUCUGGUGCAACAGAUGUUAUAUCUGAUGCACCAAAUGGAACAUCUGUUGUGAAUGAUUACCAGUCCUGUGCCAACCGGUGCAACAGAUGGAUAAUCGGUUGUGACAAAAGAUUGAUAUCUUGCGUUAGAUUACCUAUCUGUUACUUUAGUUCUCUGAACCCAACUCCUAACAGAUUAACCAUCUACUGAAAAUUAUGCAACAGAUAUGUAAUUUGAUGUAACAUAUUGUUAAUAGACAUACAAAUCAUCUGUUUCAUAACAUGUGACCCAAAAGAUUAACUAUCUUAUGCAACUAUUGCAACAGAUUGGUAAUUUGUUGUGAUAGAUGAUUGAUAUUUUCCAUCAGAUUAUCUAUGUGUUGCUCUGGUUCUCUGAACCCGACUCAAAUGAAUUUUAACCAUCCACUGCAAACUAUACAAUAUAUAGGUAAUCUGAUGUAACAUAUUGUUAAUCUAUUACAGAAGUUGACUGUGUUAAAAUGUAAUCCAACUGUGAAAAUUAUUAUAUUAUAUGAUUUAAAUGUAUCAGUCUUUUUUUCUAAGUUGUGCAUCCAUGGAUCGUGCCUACUGAGGAGGAGUCAUUGAUGACUUCUUAUAUUACUCUAGAUCAUGUUAAUACUAUAGAAGACCCAACGAUGGAGUUAACAAGGAAGGAAUUGGUUGGAGCAACAGCCAUAAUAAGAGAAGUUAGGCAAGGUCAGCCUAAUAUUAAGGCUCUUUGUGACCAACCUACUAAGGCAGAUCCGGGUGCUUCUUCUGAUGGAGUUGUUGGUGUUGGUGGCAGGCAUGCUGAUGUUUCUACCACUAGUGAUGAUGAGUAUGUUGAUGCUCAAUAAAAAAUAAAUGUUUAAAAACACCCCUUUUCAUCCUUACACAGGUCCCUCUCACCCCUCUUCACCCUCGUGUUCUCUUUGCGAAUACGAAGAGUGCAAGGACAACCAGGAUAAACUCUUUGAAAAAGUAGAGGCUAUCUCUAAAGCUUUCGGGAAUUCAAAUCCAAGAGGGGUGUCAUACUAUCCAAGAAGGUGAGGAGGCCAUACACUCCUAUAGUGUUGGUUAGGAGGAAGAAAAGAGCAAUAACCAAUGUACUCUUCGAUCGAAAAUCAAAAAUAAUUGCAACUCCUCCCUCUCUAGAAGUUGUUGAAGCUCAGGGGCCAUUCAAGAAGGUAGACAUGUAUGCAAAACUUGGCGCCAAAGAGAAGAGGGAUUUGUGAUAGGCCAAGAAUGCCAAACCAGGCGCACCAGAUUACCCCAGGCCUCUCUUUUCCCCCAAGACAUCCAUACUAUGACAGAUAUGCGUAUGCGUUACGAGGACAAGGAAAGUUUACUCUUCCUAACCUAACCUUCUAAUCUACCCCAUGAAGAAGAAGCUAUACAAUAAAUGUGAAAUCUGUUGCAACGGCUGGGUAUUCUGGUGCAACUGGUAGUGGUUCUCUUGCAACUUACUAUUCAUCUAUUGCAUAAGUUGUGUUGGAUUAAUGAUUCAGAGAACCCUAUGCAAUAGAUUAACCACAACAACAACAACAAUAAACCCAGUAUAUUCCCACAUAGUGGGGUGAUGGGCCAUCUUUACAAUUACUAAUAUAUUUAUAAAUUGAUUUCUUAUAUCAUAGCAUGUUGACAAAACUCUCUGCUUCUUGAGGAAAUGGCAAUUAACGUAUCCAGAAGCUUAUUACGCUGCCAAUAGGAUAAUGGAACUCGACUUCUGCAAGAAACUCAAGGAUAAGUACGAUCAACUCAAUUCUAAUACAUCAUCUUGUGGUGCGGGACUUGAUUUCUUAGUUUCUACGUAGGACUUGGAUGAAGAAGAAAUAAUAAAAUAUGUUAGAGGGGAGAGGCCAAAUCUACACAGCAAGAUUUAGACCAAGGAAAAGAGGGUUCUUGCAGUCAUUAGCGUGAACGACAUACAUUAUUGGGCUGUUGAGAUACUACUCGAUGAGGAAAAGAUCAAAGUUUAUGACUGCAACGAACCUACCGUCGACGAGGUCAAUCUUUUUUUCCUCAUGCAGCCACUGAUGGAGCUGUUGUCCAUCUUGUUGAGGAAGAGUAGACUGAUAAAUCAUUUUCCAAAGAAAGAGCUGAUGAAGAAAUCAUGGGAUUUUGAAGGUCGAAACAAAAGCAUGACCCUUCCAAAAAAUGAUACCGGUUACGCGUGCGGCUUGCACGCUCUUGCACACAUCGAAUGUUUGCUGAACGACACAGAAAUAGUUGAGCCAAUGAACUUUCUGUGCCACAAUGUUGUGGCAAACCUGCAAGAGGUCUGGACCUAAGGGGUACUAACUGGAAGCUUAGGGCCUGUGUAUAUAGAAGAGCCUGUGAAAUAAUAAUUUUUUAUUUCAAGUCACACUUCACUUUACUUUAAAUUACAUGUACAUGUAAUGGCAAUAAUUUUUUUCUAAUGAAAGUUGAGUUUUUUAUAAUGCAAUAAUUGUCAAUCUGUUGUAAAAUAUAUUCUAUCUGUUUUGGAAGAUAGUUUAUCUGUUGCAAUAGGUUGGUCAUCUAUUGCAUUAUGUCGAUAUUAUAUCUAUCUAAUCUGUUGCAGCAGUGGAAAGACCUUUUUGAUAAUUUCCAACAGAUGACCUAAAUUUUACAACAUAUGCCUAAAUUUGUUUGAUAUUUUGCAACAAUUACACAUGAAUAUCCAUGUGCUCGACAACACCAAAUCGGUAGAAAAUACACCACCAUGAAAAUUUCAGUAAUUAGGCUUGAAUAUCCAUAUGUCAAACAGCACCAAACCAGUAGCAAUAACGGCAACAAUGUAGUAUCUUCUUGCUCGAUUUUGUUUCUCUUCAGAAGCCUUGACUUUGUUCAACAAACCCCAAAUUACACGAUUUGCUUGUGAAGGGUGUCGUUCUUCAGACCAAUCAAAGUAAUCGCAUCCACCCAAUUUCUAUAUAAACAAGAAAACAAUUAUAAAAUAAUUACAAGUCAAUAAUCAAUCAACUAAUUAAAUAAAAAAAUAUUACAUUUGAAAUCCUACAAGUAAAAAACCUACGACCUAUAUUUUGUUGAGUCCAAAAAAGUCUUCAAUAGAAUUUCAUGACCGCACAUACAAUAUCAAAAAUCAUUAUCAUAAAAAAUAGUGGAAUAUGCGCUCGACAUUGUCAAGCUCGAUUGGAAAAAAUGAAAAAAAGAUGAAGAAAAGAAAGAAAAAAUGCAAAUAAUUUAAAGAAUUUGGACAGAUAAAAAAAAAGAUGACGAUGUAAAAGAAGAUUUGAAAAUUUAGGGUUAAAUUUUAGGAAGAAGAUGAAUAUAUAAGACAAUGGGGGAAAAAUAAUCAUUGAGGCUAAAUCAGACGCCAAGUCAGCAAAAAUGGGGGUUUAACGAGCCUUGGCUGCGUGAAUUACACGCGAGCUGCCAACAGGGCAAAAAGUGCCAAACUAACACAUUUGAUGCCUAUUUUAUUUUAGGUGUUUAAAAUGUCACCUUUUUUAUUUCAAUUCACAUUCACUUUUUUACAUGUAGUGGCAAUUUAUUGUGUCCAAUGAAAGUUGAAUUUUUAUAAUGCAAUAGAUUCUCCAUCUGUUGUAACAGAUAUUCUACCUGUUCUGACAUAUAGUUUAUCUAUUGCAAUAGGUUGGUCAUAUGUUGCAUUAUGUUGGUGCUUCUAUAUAAGUCUAUCAGUUGCAGUAGCGGGAAGAUCUGUUUGAUAAAUUAUAACAGAUUACCUACCUGUUGCAACAUAUGUCUAAAUCUGUUUGAUAUUUUCCAACAAAUGUUCCGUCUGUUGCAACACAUACAUUAUCAGUUUUAAUAUUUGAAUCUAGUAUUCCAUUUCAAUUAAUAAGUUCAAAUCUAAGGAAAAAAUAAAAUUUAUAAACAAAAUAAAAUAAAUCGAAGCCUUAAGAAAUUAGCUAAAAUAAAUCAAUGAAUAAAUAAAAUGUAAAAAAAUUAUUAUGGGUAUAGAUCUCAACAAAUACAUCAAUAAUUUAAGUAUUGAUGCCAAGGAUUCCUAAGAAGGGGUGAGAUUAUUACUUUGACAGAUUCAAGCUAUAAAGAUCUACUCAAUAUGGACAAGUUGUUCUUCCUCUAGUGCUAUGGAAUUUGAAUUUACUCUUCGUGGAUCUUUAUUGUCAAUUACGUAUGAUUUCUGCGCUUUAUGUUAUCCAUAUUUCCAUAAAAAGAGUAGAGUUGCAUAUUGUCAAUGUUGUUCAGCAGUAGCUUCUGCAUCCACCUAGAAAGCCAGAAUUGGUCAAUGCUAAUCACGAAGAUACAACAAAAUAAAAAAGGAUAACUCAUGUGUUCUAGCAAAUCAAACAGGUCUUCCUCCUAUUUAAAUUAUUCCAAAAAGAUUAUAUUUUUGUUGCAAAAAUGAAUCAAUUGUUGGGAUAAAUUUCUACAUAAGGAAGACCUGUGUGAUAAUUUCCAAUGGAUGAACCAUCUGUUGCAAAAUAUGAAUUAUUUGUUGCAGUAGAUAGGUCAUCUAUUGGUACAAAUAAAUGCAGUACAAAUAGUUGUUUGAUUUGCUAAAAUAGAUGAGACAUAUGUCGCAAUAUAUACUUUAUCUGGUGAAACAAGUUAGUCAACUAUUGCAACAAAUGUAUAUAUCUGUUUGAUAAUUUUCAGAAGAUGUGUCAUCUGUUGAAACAGAAAUAUGUUUGUUUGUUAGUUGGAAGACAUGUAUAUUCACCUUCUUCAGCUCGUGCUGCUCUCCUUUGGACAUUAUACAUUGCUCAGUGCAACACACGGACAGAGAAGUUAUAAUUUUGCUUUUUUGGAUUCUUGAUAAUGCCUUGAAAAUUACUUUCCUUCUUCUCUUAGCCUUAAUAUCUAAUGGAGUGGAUGAAAACAAAAUCUUCUUUGAUGGAAUGACACUUCUCUUCGAUGCUAAUUCCUUUACAGAAGUAGUUAAUGCAUUAAUAGCAUUAAUCACUACAUCAUGUUCUUCCUGCAGUCUUGAUAUUUGCAUGCAGAACAUUCACGGGGAGAGACAAAAUCUGUAUAACCAGUAUGAUCAUACGCAUAAUGGUUUGUUUUAAAUACUGUAAGAGGAGCAUCAUUAGCCUCAACAGCAGCACCACUACUACUACCAACAGCUCCAUCACCACUAAGACCAUCAACAACAACAACCUCACCCUCCAAAAUUAUUUUUCUUGUAAUGCUUGUUACUCCAAACAAUUCCAUUUUUAUUCUGUCGAUAACCUUAGGGUCCGAUAAAGUUUGCACGGACUGUAAAGUAAAAAAAUGGCAUCUUCAACUCUCGAUUGGUCAGAACUAGUGACGGAUGCACAAUCUAACAUAAAUUAUUACAUAUAUUAGAAUGAUGAUUAGAUCAUUCAAAAAAAUCAUUAAUUAAAAUAAAAACUUAAUUAUAAUUACUUACUGCAUCCUUCAGGGGAUGAAGAGAUCAAGAAAAUUUAUAUUUUUAUCAGUUUUGGCCGACAACCUUCUCAAAAUUUUUGGACAGGAAACUUCUUCCUAGUAGUUCACUUGUUGUGUCAAAUAAAAAAUGGCUUCUAACGCCCAAUCCUAUAAAAUUACGCCAAUAAAUCAAAAUCAUUAUUGAGUGAAAAAUGAAUGAUAUUAUAAUCAAAGAAAGAAACAUUUAGCAUGAAAGACCAUGAAAAGCCAUAUAAGGUGAUUGUGUUUGGCGCUAACGGAGUCAAUAAAUAUUUGACAGUCAUUUUGAAACUUUCAUAACCCCAAGGAUAGCUAUUAAACACCUUAAGAUCCUCGGAGAGCUUUAUUAAACCAACGCUUAUGUUGUUGUUAACAUAUCUCACCCAAAGAUUAUUAUGUACAAACCAAACCAAGCACAAUGACAUCUUGUGCUUCUUUGAAAGUCCUUUACCUUUCAACGCUUCUAUCAAAUUUUUGUUUUUGAAGCUUGGACCAACAAUGGACACCAGGUCAUCACGAUCACGCGACUUGACUUUGCCUUUUAGGGUAUGCGGGGUGCUUUUUUAGGUUAGAAUAGGCAUAACUUGAGAAGGAGGAUAACAUUUUAGUCUAGUAACUAUGGCAAACUCCUUCCAACUAAAACAAAAGGCAUGCCACAGUAAUUUAUCCAUACCUCAUCCAUCUUAUCUUUGUUUUCAUACAUAAACCUACACUUGAGAAGUUCAUAUACCAUUUUUAUUUAGAAACAAGCAUUAUUGUCCUCCGGCAAAUCAAGAUAUUUCUCUAAGCAGCUGUCCCUGAAAUAAGCAUUCAAUUUUUGUUCUUGAAUUAUUUUUCUGAAGCCGUCAAAAGAUUUUUCCAUGGUUGAUUUAACCAUGAAAUCACCCAUUAAAUCUGUGACACUAUCGCACUGCAUUCUCACGGGAUAACGAUCAAUGCUGAAGGUUUUGACCAACUCUUCGGCUGAAGGGCUAUUAGCAUUUAGAUCAAUCUUUUGAAACAUUCCUCCUCCCCCUGCUCAUCAUGUUCUUCUCCUGAUUAAGAUAACGCUUAUAAAGCAAGCUCAUAGAGUAGUGGAUAUAGCCUAGCUGCUUCACUUGUUCCUUUACUUAGACUUGAUUCGGUUUCUAUUCUUUUGGGAGCCAUAUUAUCUAAAAUUAACAUGAACAUACAAAAAUAUUAUAGUUGAUUAAUGCAUCGUUAAAAAAAAAGAUAACAAUAAAUCAAACAAGCAAAAUAGUAAAAUAACAGUUCCAAUAGAUCACUUAUCUGUUGCACCAAGUAAUAUAUCUGUUGCAGCAUAUAACAAACCUAUUGCAGCGGAUGAGCAAUCUGUUGCAACAAUACAAAAUGUAUCACUCAUCUUUUAAGAUAGAUAAAUGGUCUGCGCAAUAGAUCACACAUUGUUGUAACAUAUAAGUGAUAUGUCGGAAUAGUUAAAUAACCUGUUGUAACGGAUGAAAUAUUUGUUGCAAUAAUACAAAACAUAUCACGAUCACACAUCUAUAGCAACAUCAUAUGUUGCAAUAUAUGAGUAAUCUAUUGAAACAGUUAAAUAACCUGUAGCAAUGGUUGAGUAAUCUGUUGCGAUAAUACAAAAUAUAUCACUCGUCUAUUAAGAAAGAUGAAUGGUUUAUGCUACAGAUCACACAUCUGUUGCAAUAUAUGAGUGAUCUGUCGGAACAGUUAACUAACCUGCAGCAACGGCUUAGUAAUCUGUUGCGACAAUACAAAAUAUAUCACUCAUUUAUUGAGAAAGAUGAAUGGUCUGUGCAACAGGUCACACAUCUUUCGCAAAAUAUAAGUGAUAUGUUUGAACAGUUAUCAACGAUCAAUAUUAUUUAGAUUUCUUCCAAGAUAGGAUCGUCUAUCGCGACAGAUGAAUGAUCAGUUGGAAAAAUAAAGUCUUAGACAUUUUCUAUUGGAAGAGUUGAUACGAUUUUAUCCAACAGAAGAUUUAUCUGUUGCAACAGAUCAUUAAUUUGAUAUUUUUUCCGUUGCAUUAGAUGGUUAACCAGUUGCAUUAGAUUUUUUUUAUUCGAUUCUUAAUCUGUUACAAUAUAUGUUUAAUCUGUUGCAUCAGAUAGUUAAACUGUUGUAUCAUAUGCUAAAUCGGUUGCAUCAGAUGAUUAAUCUAUUGCAUUAGAUGAUUAAUCUAUUGCAUCAGAAUUGUAAUCUGAUGGUUCUCCUAGUACAUCAGAUGGUUGAUCUGUUGUAUAAUAUGACAAAUUUUUUGCAUCAGAUAAUGAAUAUAUUGCACCAGAUGGAUAAUUUAUUGGAGAAAAUAAAAAACAGUAGCACGAUUUUGUUUAACAGAAAAAUAGCAAUAUCAUCAUUUUUACCAAGAACAAGAACAGAACAAAUCAACCCAAAUAGUUGUUUUAUUUUUAUAAACACAAACAACAAAAAUCAAACUUAAAAAGUGCAACAAAUAACAAAAUAUCAUAAGAGAAGAAAUACCAGAAAUUAGGAUUUUAUUCAGAUCGUAUUUCAAAUUAAUGCAAUAAAUAUUGAAAUUGUUAACUAAUACUAUAAGAGAAGUUGGCUCAAGUUCCUGUUUUUCUUCAAAACUAAAAAAGCCAUAAAUUUUUUACCUAUGAAAGAAGAAAAGGAACGAUGAAGAAUUCAAAGUUGUUGUGGCCGGAGAGUAAGGCUGUCACGUCGUUUGAAGGUUGAAUAAUUCGAAGCUGUUGUGGCCAGAGAGCAAGGGUGUCACAUCGAUUGAAGGUUGAAGUCGAAAAAAAACUCGAAGCCCAACUAUUUAUCGUCGGAAGUUGAAGUCGCCGAGGAUUGAAAGGAGAAAUUUACAGAACUGUUGGUUGAGAGAGAGUUGAGAGACGCUGUCGGGAGAGAGAGGGGAGAUACUAGUUGAUUUGGAUUAAAGAGGGAAACUCGAAGCCUAACUAUUUUUCGUUGAAGGUUGAAGUCACCGAGGAUUGAAAGAAAAAAAUUUUGCAAAACUGUUAAUUGGGAGAGAAUUGAGAGAACUUGUCGAGAGAGAGGAGAGAGACUGGUUGAUUUAGAUUGAAGAGGGGUGUGAGUUGGGUUGAUUUGUAUUUUUGAAAAGAUUAGAAAGUUUUGAAAAUAUUAAUCAAGUCCACAAUUAACUUAAUAAGUUUUUUAAUGAUGUUUGACCCUUUAAGUUGGUCAAUGACACCAAUCUUUCAUUCAAGACUUAAAAGACACAUUUCCUUCAAAUUUCUCAAGUAACUUCUUAAUAUGAUUUAUGAAAGAAAAAGUCAAAAAGAGUGAGCUAGGUGGUACUUGAUUUGACAAAACGAAGCAAUAACUUCUUUAAAAAAUUGGUAAAAAAUCGUAAUAAAAAGUUAUAAUUUAUAAAUUAUAAUAAAAAGUUUAAAUUUAUAAAAGUUAUAAAGUUUUAAUUCAUAAUUUGUUUUAAAAAAAACUCAAUAUAUUAUCACAUCACUUCUUUAUAUCAAAUCAUGUAAACAUAAUAAAUUAUCACGUUUUUCAAAAAAAAAUUAUAAAACGUAAUAAAUUAUUACGUUUUAUAAAAAAGUUUUGUAAAACGUAAUAAAUUAUUACUACGCUUUACUAAAACUUCUUUGUUGUACACAUCUGCUAUCAAACCGUCAAGAAAAGGUAAAAACAUACUCCCUCAGUUUCAAAAAAAUGACCUACUUUUCUUUUUAGUCCAUUUCAAAAAGAAUGAUCCAUUUUUUUUUUUGGUAAUAUUUUAAUUUCAGCUUUCCACAUGACAUGUUUAUGACCACAAUAUUAAAGAGUAUUUUGGUACAUUUGACACUACUUUAAUUUAAGGCCACAAGAUUCAAAAGUCUUCUUUAUUUUCUUAAACUUUGUGCUGAGUCAAAGUAGGUCAUUCUUUUUUAAACGGAGGGAGUAAUAAAUUAUUACGUUUAGCCUAUUUUGGUAACUUAUUAAAUAGGUAAUCUAUUUUGAUGACUUUAUUCAUAUUUUGGUUUAUUGUGAUUCCAAGUUUGCAAAAGUUACAUCUCAAUAUUUUCUAGAAAAUGACUUUCUUUGGCUAAGAGGGAAGUUAUUUUUUUUCAAAUGGAGGAAAAUGAGUUCCAUUGCAAAAUAUUUUCCCAAACUUAUAUUACAAUCAAACAAGGGAAAAUAGGAAAAUAUUUUCCAGAAAACAUUUUCUAUCAUACCUAACACACCCUAGGGCGAAGAAAAAAACUACUCACUCCAUUUCAUAAUAAGUGAAUUGUUGGAGUAUUUUUUAUGUUUCAAAAUAAGUAAAUGGUUCACAAUUCAAGGUAGAUGUUGAAAAAUUUUUCCAAAUUUACCCUUCAGUAAAUGUGCGUUGGGAGUGAUGAAUCAUGUGUCUUUGCUUUUUGAAGAGGAUAAAAAUAAAAAAAAAACGAUUAAUUUUUGUCUUUACUUUUUAUUCUUAAUAUGUGUGCUAAAAUCCAACGAUUAACUUAUUGUGAAACGGAGGGAGUAUUUCUCAAAAAGUUAAAAAAACAGUAAAGGAAAUCAGGGAUUUAUGGUGCAUUAUAAAAAAAUACGCACCAGACAUUACCGAAUGUGUGUAAGCAUUUUCUUCAUUGAGGUAGGAGAGGAUAUCUGGGUUAGAGCGAGAGUCAUCACGAAGCCAGUAAUAGUUGUCUACUCUAAUAUCCCCGAACAACUCCAUUUCGUGACUCACUUUCUUUGCCACCGGCGGUCCCUUCGACAUCGUGUUUGCCAUAGCUCGCUGGGAGAAAAUUAAAGAAGAAGAAGAAGAAUUUUAGAGUGUUUCCACGGAAUUGAGAGCUUAGUGGUAAUUGCAGUACAACCUAACAUUAAAACAGCACUGGACCAUUCAAAGCAGCGUUGGAGUGGCAAUUUUUGUAGUGUAGAACCGGUCUUCAUCAAAAAUGGAAAAUCAAAAGGUCAGCAAAAAAAAUGUUAUAAAAUUUAUGCAUAGCGCAUUAUCACGGGUAAAAUUUAUAAACAGUAUACUGAAAACUAUAUUUAUGAGAUUCAUAGUAAUACUUUUAUAAUUAUUUAAACACGCAACUUGUAUUUUAUAUUUGAACAAGUUGUUACUAUAAAAAUAUAUAUACAAAUCGUUUUAUUGCUCAUACUUAACUCAAAAUAGUUGAGUUAAAUAUGGUAUUAUUAGUCACGUAAUUUUCGUUAUUUGUUACCGAAUAAAAUAAAAAUUCAAAUUUCAGUUUCAUAUUAUCGUUUUGAUCCAAAAAAAAAUCAAAAUCAAAUUCAACAAAAGUUUCUUUUGUUCAAUAUUUUUGAAAAUUCAAAUUAAACCAUUGCUGUUAUUGAAGGUAUUUAAUUAUAAUAUUAUUUUCUCAUAUAAAUUUCAUCAGUUGUUUGAAAUCGAUCAAAAAUUUUUCAUUCUGAAUUUUUUUUUGAACUAUAACUAUUAUUUCUUUUAAAUUUUUUUGAGCCAUUAUAGAUGUUUCAUUCAAAUAUAGUGAUCAGAAUCGAUUUUUCGUUAAAUUAUUUUUGAAUAUUCUGAGUCAUUAACGAUUUUUUGUUAAAGUGAUCAAAAUCGAUUUUUUGUUACGUUGUACAAUUUAACAAUUUAUUUCAUUAAAUUAUUUUUGAAUAUUUUGUAAAUGAAUUUAAAAAAAAAAAAGAAAGAAAGAAAUGCAACAGUAAAUUGAGCUGAUCGAAUAAUAUAGUGAUCAAAUUGAUUUUUCAAACUGCUCUAACUCAAUUAAUUGGAGUUCUGAUUCUCGAAAUCUAAGAGUAUAUUCGUAUUUUCAUAAAGUUCGAUUUUGUAUAUUUUGGUUGUGUUUGAAUAUGGAUGUUACAAAGCCAUCACUAUGGAAAAAUACAUAUGAAAUUGGAUAUGUAUGUAUAAAAAUACAAAUAUUUUUAUAUACCUUAAAUGUAUAUUGAAUAGAACAAAAAUACAAAUGAAAGUGCAUAUGUAUUUAUAAAAAAAAUACAAAAUACUUCCAUGUAACUUAAAUGUAAAAUUAGUUAGCCAAUUUGUAUAUAUGACAAACCUAUAUAUAUUGUAUUGAAAAAUAUUUGAAAAUGUGUUUGUAUUUCAACAAAUACAAAUACGUUCAUAAUCUCAUCUGCAUAUUUAAACAAAAAGAAUACCCAAAUGUAUAUUUCAACAUUCCAAUAAACUAAAAAUACAUAACAAUUAUAAAAAAAAAAUACAUAUAGGCAAAUACCUCUUCAUAAAUAGUUCAUAGAUAAAUUUAUUUUUCAUACAUACAACUUAGCAUAUGUAUUUAACAUACAAAUACACAGAUACAUAUUACCCCAAAAUGUAUAUUUAAGAUAUCGGCUUGACCAAAAUACAUAUCAGCUUCACCAAAAUACAUAUUACCCCAAAAUGAUAUCAGCUUUACCGAAAUCCCCAAAUACAUAUCAGUAAAUAAAAAUACAUAUACACCAAAAAAUAACUUUUUCUCCUCACCUUCUUCUGAUUUAUUACCACACGAAUUUCAACAUCGUCAUUUACAACAUUGCUUGACUUUGCAAUUUCUUUUACUUUCCUUUUCUUCUCAUAUUUUUGAAAUUUUGUGGUUUUUGGAGGAGAUUUUUUCAACCUUUUUUUCUUCAAAAUAUCAGCCAUCUUCACUAGAUCAUUACAAAACUUGGAUCUAAGUUCUUUCGUACUAACUGAUUUCUUCGAUUGUAUAGGAGUAGAAACAACUUUAAAUACUUCAUCUUAAGUUAAUCCAAGACUGAAUGAUGGUGUAUUAUCAGACAAUAAAUUAAUAGGUGGUAUACCCUUAUUUGUUCGUGAUUUUGGUGUGUAUUCUGCCAUUAGAGCAUAAAAAACUCAAACUCGAAGUUGCUAAUGGUUUACAGUACAAGAUACAAAAUUAAAAAAAAAAAAGAAAAAUUAAUAACAUUCAAUAAUUGAAUUUAUUAAUUACCCAAAAUUGUGGAACACUAUCCUUAUCAAAUCGUAAAAAAAAAUAUGAGAACGUAAAAAUUUUAAAAAAGAAUCCAAGAGAUUUUAAAUAAUAAAAGGUAAAGUAAAAAUUAGUUAAAUGAAAGAAAAAGAGAAGUGGAAUGAAAAGAGAAAGAGAAAGAAAAGUGGAGUGAAAAAGGUUAAAAAAAGAGAAAGAGAAGUGAAGUGAAAAAGGGAAGAGAAAGAGAAGUAGAGUGAAAAAAGGAAUCUUGUACAUGGUAACUUUUCAAAUGCAGUAAAGAGGAGACCACACUUAGAAAUAAUGUUAUAUUUCUCAAAGGUAGUAAAUGGGGGACCACACUUAAAAUAAUGUUAUAUUUUUUGCACAAUGUAAUUUCAUUAAAGUGUUGCGAUUUCUCAUAAUUUAAGUCUUAAGUAUGUUACUUCUUGUAGUUUUUCCUAUAAUUAUUUACUAGAUACUGUAGUCCGUGCCAGCACAGGCCCAUUAUUUAUGUUAUCUCAAUUUAUAUAGCACAAAUAGUUUUUAGAGUGUCAAUUAAAUUUUUAUUAAUAUAAUUUUUUAAAUAAUUUAAGUUGUUAAUCAUUGUGAUUUAAAGUAAUUUUUAGAUAAUUUAGUAAUUUAUGCAACUGGCCAUGUCCCAAUUUUAUAAUUUAAAAAGUCAAUCAAAUUUUUACUAAUAUAUUUUUUAAAAUAUUUUAAGUUGUUAUCCAUUGUGAUUUUAGUAUCUUUUAAUGUAAUUUGAAAUAAUUUAUGUUACUUGCUUUAUUGCAACUUAUGUGACACUAUUAAAAUUUCAAAAAUCGAUCAUAUUUUUUACUGUAUGUUUUUAAAAUAUUAUAAGAUGUUAAUAGUUAUGACUUAUAAUUAUUUUUUUUGCAUAAAUUUUAAAUAUAUAAUAUUUUACCAAAAUAAAAUAAACAAAGUACUAAAUUUUUAAAACAUGUUACAUUCAAAAACAUCAUUUGGAUCAACAAAUUACUAAAUUAAAACACUAAAACAUACAAAUUAUAAAAUGCCAAAAAUGUGUCGGAUUUAUUGUAAUUUAUAAUAUUUUUAAUGUAAUUUUCAAAUAAUAUAUGUCACUUUCCUUAUCAAUUUUUUUGUGGCAAUAAUAGUUAAUUAUAUUCUUAAAAUAAUUUAAAUUUUUAAUUAUUAUGAUUUAUAAUACUUUUUCUUCUAUUUCAAUUUAACUGGCUCUAAAAUAAAUUCGAGAGUAAAUCAAUUUUAUGAUUGAAGCAGCGAAGCAUAUAUGUCUUAAAUCACUUAUAAUACCUAACUAGAAGUGAUAUACAAAAAUUACAAUGAGAAAAAAUUGUGAAAAAAUUUAAAUGAGUCUCAUAUAAAAUGUCAUAUUAAUUUAAAACAUCAAUAAUUAAUUUAUUAUUUUAUAUCAAUUUUAUUUUUAAUUAAAUAUUAUUAAUUUUUAAUACCUAAAUGACUUAUAAUAAUUAAUUAGGAGUGAUAUAGUAAAAUUACGGUUGAAGCAGCUGAAGCAGACAUGCCAUAAAUGUCUAUUUUAUCCCUUUUUAAUUAAAUAUUAUUAAUUUUCUUAUAUGUAAAUGUGUUACAAUAAUUAAUUAGAGGUAAUAUAGUAAAAUUAUGAAGCAAACAUACUUGUGAAAUAUUUUAAAAUAAGUCUCAUAUAAGGUGUCCUAUUAAUUUAAAAUAUCAAAAAUUAAUUUAUCAUUUAUGCCUUUUUUAUUAUUUAUUAAAUUUUAUUAAUUUUUUAAUAUCUAAAUGACUUAUAAUAAUUAAUUAGAGGUGAUAUAAUAAAAUUACGAUUAAUGAAGCUGAAACAGACAUGUCAUAAAUGUCUAUUUUACCUUUUUUAAUUAAAUAUUACUAUGUUUCUUAUAUGUAAAUGACAUAAAAUAAUUAAUUAGGGAUAAUAUAGUAAAAUCACAGAGCAGCUGAAGCAAGUGAAGAAGAAGACAUGUUGACGAAAGGUUGCCUACUUUUUCACACUUAGUAAUAGUAGUAACUAGUUACCACGGUAUGCGCUACGUCGACGCUCGAACUCUAAAUAUUAAAAAAUAUUUUAAUUAAUAAAAUUUAACUUUUUUUAAAUAUUUUUUAUUGUAUAUCUAUAUCUAUAAUCUAUAAUAAUCUAUAAUCUAUAAUAUAUUAGAAGUGUGAAAACCCUUAGAGAAAGUGAUUUAAAAUUUUUGCCUUUUGCUAAAAUUUUCAUCAAUAGACAAAAUUGUUUUUUCACUUAUUUCCUCCAAUUAUUAUAUUAUUAUAUUUAUAAUAUAUAAAAAAAUACUAUAAUAUAUGGUAAGAAAAAAUAUAUAAAAAAUUAAUGUUGGUAGAUUUUUUUUCUCCUUAAUGUACUUAAAAAAGAGUCCUAAAAUAUAGCAGAAAAAAAUGGCAUAAACGCCUGCACACCAAAAGAAAAAUUAAUAUUCUAGAAAAAAAGAAAAAUAACCCACCAAAAUCUAAUAAAAACUUGAAAGUUGGCAAACAAAUAAAAAGGAAAGAAAAAAGUUAGCAUGCGUGAUCAAUUUUUUAGCUUUUGAAUGUCUUUAUCAUUAGGAUUCUUUAAUUAAUUAAUUGGUAAUAAUUAUCUUUCUUUAUUAAGGUUUAGAAUUUUUUCCUCCAAAAUUACCACAUGUAGAGAAAAUCAGGUUUAAAUAUAGAAUUUUUUUAUUAAUGUAUAUAAAUUUUAUUUUAAUUUGAGGUAAUUUUUUAAAAUUUUAGCAUGUUUUUGAAGUUUCUAAUAAAUAAAUUAUCAUGUAUUUUUGAUAAACAAUUGCUAAUUGAAAGUUUUUUUUUUUUAAAUCUCAAUAUAUCUGAUGAUCGAAGGGACAAAUUUAUUUAUGAUUUAAGGUAAGUUUUCUAAUGUUUUAGCAUGUCCUUGAUAUUUACAAUCUAGACAGUAAAUGUGAUUUAAGAGAUAAAUUUGCUUGUAAUUUAAGGUAAUUUUUCUAAAUUUUUAAUAUGUUCUUAAAAUUUACAAAAUGAAUCAUCAUAUUCUUGAUAGACAAUUGCUCAUUGAGAAGCAUUUUUAUUUUUGCAAAAUUUGAUGUAUCUUAUGAUUGAAAAGACAAACUGCUUGUGAUUUGAGGUAAGUUUUUAAAAAUUUUAGUAUGUUCUUAAUGUUUAAAAUCUUUGAAAAGUAAUUUAUUUUUUUGUGCUUUAUUAAAAAUCUUUCCAAUAAAUAAAAUCGUCUAAUUUUAAAUGAUCAAAGGUUACACGUGCUAGGCAUGUGCGAUUUAACUAGUAUAUAUAUAAGCAAAGCUAAAACAAGACAAGAUGUGAAGUGACAACAUAUUAAAAUAGUCACGUGGCAGUUUUUAGGACAAAAUGUGAAAUAUUUUAAGACAAAGUUAAAAAAUUAUAAUAAAAAUUUUGAAUUGAAAGAUUUAAGUAUUUGAAUUUGAAAUACAUUAUCUUAAUAACUAUAACUCAUAAUUGAAGAGUUUUGAUGGACUAUUACUAUUUCAUACUUAUCUUUUUUAUAAUUUAAACAUCUAAUAUUUGAAUUUGAAAUUGUAUUAUCUUUUUAGAAAGAAGAAAAAAGUCAUUAGCUUAAAAAUAGAAAAGUAUGAUUAAAGAGUUCUAAGUAAACUCUUACUAUUUCAAAAUUUUAUUUCUUUUAUAAACAAUAAAAUAUGCUAAGUGGCAACAUAUUAAAAUAGGCACAUGGCAACUUUUAAGACAAAAUUAAAAAAUAUUUUAAGGCAAAGUUAAAAAUAUUGUAAUAAAAAAUUUGAAUUGAAAGAUUAAGUAUUUGAAUUUAAAAUAUAUUAUAUUAAUAAAUAGAAACUCAUAAUUGAAGAGUUCUAAUAGACUAUUACUAUUUCAAACAUAUCUCUUUUAUAACAUAUAUAUAUAUAUAUAUAUAUAUAAUAGAUAUAUAUAUAUAUAUAUAUAUAUAUAUAAUCCUUACUGAAAAAUAAGCUUUCGACAUGGGUUGAGCAUCAUAUUUCAUUAUGCAUAAUUUUAAAAGUUGUGAAUCCAUGUUAACAAGUUUACCAUUUUCAUAUGAAGUAUUUAUGUCUCAAAACCCUUUAAUAAUACUUAGAAAGAACAAUACGACAAGAAGAAAAAUUAAUAUAAAAUUUUUCACAACAAUAUCCUCAACCCUAGUUUCAACCAAUUGUUAAAGAACGCAUAAUUCCCAAGUAAAUCGAUAAAUAAUAAUACUUAAAGUAAGGAGUGUUCAACAUGCCUUUUUGAUGGAAAAUUCAUGAUUAAUGUAAGAGAAUUGGACCCUUAAGCUUGAAACUCUAGCCUCUUUGGCUUUUAAUAGUUUUAGGGAGGGUAAAAUGAGACUUUUGAUGGAUAUUAUCGUAUUUAGGGACUUUGGAAUGCUUUGGAUGGAUGAAAAAUGGUUUAAAACUAUGUGAAAAGACCCAAACAUCCUUAAUUUGGAAUUAAAACGUCUUUCCGUCGAUGAAAGAAGGGGGUGCAAUGCAUGCCUGGAAGCGUGGCCCAUCCCUCGUUGCAUGAGGCCUAUCAUGGGCAAAUAUUCUUGUGGUUCGAGGCUAUCAGUGGGUGAGGCAGUAUCCCCUUGCGGUGGUCAACGAGAUGCGGGGCCAUCGCCCAAGGCUCCCCUUGUGACGCUCAGCCCAUUUUCUAGUCCAAAACUCACACCAAUGCUUCUGAACCCAUUCCAAAGUGUUCUAUACUUGAUCUAGAAGUCACUUAGGCUCGUUUCUAGCUUUAUUUGAGUGCCCAAACAUCUGGGGCAUUGCAUGGGUAUCUAAGUAAAAAGGUCUUACUCUCUAAUGACGAGCUUUAAAGUUGUGCAGUUCUAGACCCAGAGCGGAUAAUAUUACUAGUGGAUUGGGCCAUUACAAAUAGUAUUAGAGCCACUUCUGAGUCAGCCUUGGUGAUGUGGAUCAGAGUUUAAACUGAGUUUAGAAAAAUUCAGUAAGGCGGAAAAAACUUCAAUCUUGAGUCUAGGCAAAUUUCAUUCGGUGGGGCAAACUUCAGCGAGGACAUUGAGUCCAUAAGAGGGGAUGUAUGUAACAUCCCAACUUAGGAUAAGGAGUCCCUCAUCGGCAAAAACACAUGAGAGAUGUUGAAUAUAUAAGUAAACAUGUCUUACUCCCUAGUGGCACAUCUUAAAGCCGCGUGGGUCAAGGUCUAGAUUGGACAAUAUCAUUUUUGAAAAAAAUUAUUUUCAAUAAAUUAACCUCCACGACCCCUUUUCCCAUAUUUUCCAAAUGAAGAAUCAAAAUGUAAAAUAAAGGCCUCAAACUCAAACCAACCAUGAUAUUAAUCCAAAUUCGACAUUUUGAAUUUGCCGAGUAGUCCAAAUUGCCAUCUGGAACUCGAAUCAUUAAAUUUUUAUCGAAGUCAACUAUAUGGCUUUUUGAAACCCCUAAAAUUCUCAAACUCAUCCAAAAUAUUUUUGAUUGCAUCGAACACCAUGUCAAUCAUCCUCAAAUCUUAAAAUCGACAUGUAGCAACUAUGAAAAAGAACAAAAUGGUCAGAAAAACAUAAAAAGCAAAUAUUCACAAAAUAUGUCAUUACAUACAACCAUUAUUAUUUCUUACAACAGUUAUACGAUGUUUACAACAUAAUUCAUGUGGAUAUUGUUAACGUAGAAACAAGCACCUGUCUAUUAAUGCAAAAUUUAACAUGGGAAUAUUUGUUUAUUUAUUUACUUAUUUAUUAUUAUACUAGUAAUACAAGUAACUGAACAAUUCUUAAUUAACUUAUCCAAAUAUAAGCAUUAUUCUAGAGAAAUGUGAUUCUUCAUUUUCUUGUUCCUCCUCUUCCAUUUUGAAACUCUCGAUUCAGAUGAUAGGAUCAAUUAUAAUCGCAGAAAUGACGUCUUUCAAGUUAUUUUUGGAAAAAGUAUAAGCAUCUUCAUCUUUAUAUAAGAACUCUACUGCUCUUGUAAAAUUAACUAUCGACAUGAGCAAAACCUUUGGUAUAAUGCCAGUGUGUUUGAGGUAUUCUUCAUUCAAAACCUUCCAAUAAUUCUCUAUCAUAUUCUUUAUUUUCAUGUAUGCUUCUU
rnacentral:lncRNA from 1 species